AAAAUUAUGUAUAACUAUUUUUGAAAACAAGAUCUUUAUAACAUAUUUGGAUUCAAUGUUGCUAACCUUCUAGAAAAAACAAUUGAUAGUUAUUGCAUAAUAAUAUAAAACUAAUUAAAUCUUAACCAUAUAUAGUUAUAUAUACAUGCAUAUGUGACAAAAGAUUAUGAAGAAUUGAAUACAGUUUAGCUCAGUAGUAGAUUCCAAUCCCUUCAUAACUGUUUCGCCAAAUCACAAGAAUGUUGCAACUAUUUUUCUUUUUUUCUUUUUCUUGUAUUUUCCAUUUAGUAACAACUAAGUAAUUGUACAUUCUAAUGAUCACACCCAAAGGAUGUAAAUUUGAGAAAUUAAUGAAAAUAGUUUUAAAAGUUUAGGAUAUUUUAAAUUUGACCCCUCAAAAUUUUUCCUAUCAUAACUAGUCAAAUGCUAGUUUUUUUUAACCAAAUAGUCCUCAUUAUUUUCAAUAACUUUACCAACAAAUGGUGCCCCUAUGAAAAAUCCAGAAAAAUCGGAACCUCAACACUCUCAAUUCUCCCAACAAAUCAUUAAACCUCAUUACUCUCAAACAAUAACCAAACCACAUCAAACAAGUAUUACGUAACUAAAGAUAUAAUUAUCAAUUGCAGAGCUUCUUAGGAUUAAUGUAUGUUCUUACACAAAAGAAACUUUUAAUGUAUUAAGUUUAGGGUUUAGUUCGAAAUUGAUGCAUUUUGUUGUAAAUAUUGUUAUCUUCCAUCAUAAAACAAUGUGAUAUCUCAAUGUACUUAGUUUGAGUUGAGAAAUAAAAAAAAAUCAUUGAAAACAAUAAAAAUUUGAGGUAAAACAAGCCUAAAUUAUGUGCGACAUGAAAGUUCACGUGCAAGAAGCAAUGAGACAAGUGUCUAUUGUACAUAAACACAGCUGCCUGUUGCACAUAAUCAUAAUAUGUGCAACAGUCAUGUAAAAUAUAUUGGGUCUCUCCAAAAGUUAUAACUUAGGCUAUGUGUGUUUGUCUUGAGCAUAUAAUAUAUCGUUUCGAAGAUUGUGAUAAGAAGAACCAAGGUAUAUUAGUGUGAUAUGCACAUGUCAUACUAAAAUAAAGUUUCAAAGUCACUGUAUUUAGUGUGAUAAGCAAAUGUUGGUGCAACAGGCACCUAUCAGACCAAAAGAUAGUUUCAAUGUGAUUGUCUUUUGGUGCUACAGGUGCUUGUUGCUCUAAUAUACUUUGAUUUGUCUCGUCCCCAGUCUCGAAAUAAUAUAUUAUAUGUUCAAAACGGACACAUAUAGUUUAAGUUAUAGUCUCCGAAAGAUAUCAAACACAUUUUACAUGACUAUCGCACAUAUUGUGAUUAUAUAUGUUAGCCACUUGUCUCAUUGCUUGUUGCACACGAACUUUCCUAGCCCACAUAAUCUAGGCUUGUUUUACCUCAAAUCUUUCUUAUUUUCAAUGAUUUUUUUCUCAACUCAAACUAAAGUACCUUAAGAAAUCACUUUGUUUUAUGAUAUAAAAUAAUAACAUUUACAAUAAAACUCACAUCAAUUUUGAACCUAAAUCUUAAACCUAAUACAUUAAAAGUUUAUAUUGUUUAAGAACAUACAUUAAGAACAUUCAUUAACCUUACAAAGUUCUCCAAUUGAUGAUUAUAUCUUCAGUUAUGUAAUAUUUAUUUGAUGUGAUUUGGUGAUUUGUUGAGAGAGUUGAGGUUUGAUAAUUAGGUAGAAGUGUUGAGAGUGUUGAGGUGCUGAUUUUUUGUGAAUUUUUUUGUAGGAGUGCCAUUUGUUUAUAAAUUUGUUGAAAGUGAUGAGAACUAUUUGGUUCAAAAAACUAGUAUUUAGUUUAUGAUAGGAAAAAGCUUGAGAGGUUAAAUUUCAAAAAUUUUGUAUCUAUUUUGAUAAAUUUCCCUAAAAUUUAAGCUUCGGGAUUAACAAAGCCUAAGCCAGAGCCCAGCAUGUUCUUCAAUUCAUGAUAUUAUGAACCAAUAGUUACUAUGUAUAAUAUUAUUCUUAGAAUUUUUUUAUUUUAUUCUUUUAUGUUUUAAAACCACCAGAUUUCUUCUCAUGUUAUAAUGAUAAACAACCUAAUAAACUCUAUAGAGAGCAACUUGCUCUCUAUUUAAUAGUUAAAUAUGAUAGUUAAAAAUGAAUGAUUUCAAUACUACUUUUGAAGUAAAAAAAUAUUGACAAAGCCCAAAAUAUUGUUAACAUUUAGGGUGUUCUAGUAAAUUUUUAAAAAGGAUAAGGAAACAAUUAAUUUUUUGAAAUAAAUGGAGUUUGUGUUUGAUAUUGUUUUUCAAAUCAUAUUUUUGUAUUUGUUUUAUAAUGUAAAAAUAAUUAUUUUUGUGAAUUUAAAAAUGUAUUUCAUAGCUUGUCUCUAAAAUAGUAUUUGAAAAUGAAAACUUAAAACCAUUUUUAGCUGUUUGUCUGAAAAUAUGAGGAUAGUAGAACUUAAAAAAAUUGUGUUAUAAUGCGAGAAUUUAAGAAAAUAUUAAAAAUAAAAUUAAUAUGUUCUAAAAACUAAAAAUAUUAAACAAAAUAACAUAAUAUUAUAUUUUUAGUAAAGUAAUUUGUCUACAAGUGCAAUUUAUCAAUGCGAAUGUAUUGGAUGAAAAAUUUUCAAUUGGAAACUAGAAAAUUUAAGAGGUUGUAUUUGCUAUCAUUUUCUCUUAAACAUUUUCACUAUACGAGUACAAAAAUUAAUUAAAUUUAUUUAGUUCACUAUUUUCUAAGAAAAUGUGAGGAAUAAAUCAUUUGUGUGUUAUUUUUUAUAAAAGACAUUGAAAAACAUUAAGUUAGUGUUCUCUAUGUUUUUUUGUCGCUAAAGUCAUGCAUAUAGGGACCACAACCUAUCUUUGUUUUAUUUAUUUGACUAGUGACUAAUGUAAGGACCAAAUUUACUUUUCUUUUAGUUUACGUCUAAAGUUAAUCAUUUAUGUUAAUCAUUUAUGUCUUAACAAUAUGGGAAUUUUAAGAAAUACAAAAAUCUUUCAACUACUAUGAAUUUAUUAAAAUAAACGUGGAUUUUCAUAACAUACAUCUUUUAGUCUUUUCACUAUCUUUUACUAGCAACAUUGGAUUUAUUUAUAAAUUCUACUAUCUUACAAAGAAUUAUAAUCCAUAGUAUUUCUCUCAUAUCUUUAUUUUAUACAUACUUAAAAUAAAUAAAAUCACUCUAUAAUAUAUUACUCUUUUAUUUUACUCUUGAUCUUCUGUUGUUUCUUUAUUUUUCGGUUGCUGGCUAAAAGCUUUUCUAAUACAAAUAUGUUUGUAAUUUUAAGAAAGCUAGCCAUUUCUUUUCUCUAAUAGGAGUUAUAAGAACGCCAUUCAAAAUGCAAUACCAAAUGCUGAAAAAUGAGAAUGAUUCAUUCUCGCGAAAUACAAAAAACAGUGAGCAAACGCAUUUUACACGAUUUUGUUUUUGGAAAACGGAAAACGCCAAAACAAAACCAGUACCAAACCCACCUUGUUUAAAAUCCUAAAAUUUUGUCGCCAAGGACUGCUUACUUUGGAACACGGCGCGGUCCCAAAAUUGCCGUCGUUUUGGUGGUCUGAAGUGUGAAGAUAAACACGACGACCUUUUUCGUGAAUCCCCGAGGCACCAUAAUGGAAGGCUAUCACUAGCACAAGUGUUAUCAAAUAGUAAUAGGUCUAUUGCGCAAGAUUUAGCCACCUCUUAUUUGGAUUUGUUUUCUGGUUUGGGUUUGAAUGUUCAGAACGCAAGGUUGUUUAAUCCUUUUGGCGUUAAGUUAUUCUCAACUGAAGACGAACAAAUUAAAAGGAAAGUGCCAAAAGAAUGCUCAUUUACGGUGUCAUACCUCAUAAACUCAUGUGGGUUGUCCCCAAAAAUUGCAAAAUCUGUUGCGGAAAGAGUAAAGCUUCAAUCUUCGAAACAACCAGAUUCAGUCCUUCAAUUUUUGAAAAAUCGUGGAUUCAAUGGUUCCCAAAUUGCUAAACUUGUUAGGGUGCGCCCACAGUUACUUUUUGCCCAUCCCGAGAGGUCUCUCUUACCUAAAAUUGAGUUCUUGAAUUCUAUUGGGGCCACAGACGCUGAACUUGCUGAUGCUUGCUCGUCAAUCCCAGCCAUUUUGGGUCAAAGCUUGGAGAAUGUACUCAUUCCCAAUUAUAAAUUUCUCAAAAGUGUGUUUUUCUCUGAUGAAAAUGUUAUUAAGGUUUUGAGGAAAAAAAGAACGCGGUUAUUUUGUUUUGAUUUGCAGAAGACUGUGUCUCCGAAACUUGCAUUCUUGAGAGACCUUGGAAUGCCCGAGGCCAAUUUUGCACUGAUGUUAUCAUGUUAUCCCCCUAUUGUCCUCCAAAGACAGGAUAAGUUUGAUGGAAAUGUUAAGAAGGUCAUCAAAAUGGGUUUUAAUCCUCAAAAAUGUGAAUUUGUCCAUGCAAUGCAGGUAUUUUCUUCAAUUGGUCAAUCAACUUUGGAGUGCAAAUUGGAUGUCUUGAGGAGGUGGGGUUGGUCUGAUGAGGACGUUAGGUUGGCAUUUAGAAAGUGUCCCAUUUAUAUGAGUGCAUCUAAGACAAAAUUAGUCAGCGUAUUCAAUUUUUUGGUAAACAAGAUGGGUUGGCACCCUUCAGCUAUUGCCCAUGUUCCAAGUGCUUUUACGUAUAGUUUGGAGAGGAGGAUCAUCCCCCGUUGUUCAGUUAUAAGAGUUUUGCUUUCAAAGGGCUUGAUCAAUGAAGAAAAUAAAAUCUAUUUAUCUUCUCUGGUGGUAAAUUCUAACAAGCGCUUCUUGGAUACAUUCGUGACCAAAUAUCAGGAUCAUGUGCCUCAAUUGUUGAAUAUCUUUCAUGGGAAAAUGACUAUUGGAGAACUAGACUUAGAAUUUGAGCCAAAGUUUGUCAUGAAGAAUUGUAGCGCAUAAAUGUCAAUACGAUGAAUUCUUUUUACACUGUGCCCAAAGUUCUUCUUGGUUGUAGUUUUAGCACAGUAGAUUCAUCACUUAUGCUUCUUUGGGUAUCCUUUUGUGCCUCAAGCUUCUUUCAUCGGAGGAAUGGCAGUCAUCCAUUUUGCCACUCUUGGUGGACUUAAAAUGGUUUGUUUCACUUGUCUUUUCUAGGCUGCUAAUUGCUUAACUUGAUCUAGAUUUCUUCUUUUAUGAGAGAAUAAGCUUCUACAACCCUGUUUAUCUAUGCCUGAAUUUUGUUAUAGGAUGUUGCUCUUUGCCGCAACUCAAACAGAACUUGUACCUUUCGUCUUUAUCACUUUAUGAAUCAUGGGAAAUGUUUUGACGCUGACAGCUGAUACACUUUCAUGUUGUCUGUAGUGUUGGUAGUUGUUUCAUGAUCUUGGCUUUUUUGAUGGAGGAUUGAUUGGAUUAAGAUAAACCGUUAGUGCAUGUUUGGGAGUUAGGAUUAAGUAUGAGAUUAGAUUAACUUUGAGAUUAAAUAUUUUAUCUCAUGUUUGGCUACUUUGCUUGGAUUGGAUUAGGAAGGAUUAAAUUUAAAUUUAGUCCUUAAAUCAUGGGAUUAACAAUUCUAAAUUCCUAAUUUACAAGUGGGUUUAGAAUAAGAGAAAAAAAUUUAUUCAUAUUUCUUUCAUAAAUAACACUAUUUUUUAUUUGUAACCUAAAAUUUAAUUACUUAAUUAAUUAUUUUAUUCAUGAUUUACUUGAAUUUUUUUUAUAGUCUAAUUAAAUUGGUACUUUUACUCCAAUAAAAUUAACUAUUUAAUAAUUUGUUACAAUAAUUGAUUGUAUUAAAUUUAAUAAUCACCAAUGUAAUAUUAAAAAUAAUCAUGGAAAUUAAUAAUACAACUAAAUAAUUGAUUUUAUAUAUACAUUAUUUGCUAACUUUUUGAAAAAAUGAAAUAUAUCUAAAAUAUUUGAUAAAUAUUAAUUAAAUAAUUAAAUAGUUUUAUUAAUUUAUAUUUAUUUAUUAUAAUUAUGAAACCCAAUAACUAAUUUACUGCAUAUUUAAUGCUCUUGUUAAUUACUUUUAAAUUAAUUUUAAUUAUUACUCUUAGAUAUUCAUAAAUAUUUUUUGUAUUUAAAUAUGAUUUUACAUUGUCCAAUCCGAUGUUGUACCAAACAUAGUACAAUAUAUAACAUAAUCCAACAUAAUCCAAUUCAAUCUAAUCAUGCGUGCCAAACGUAGCCUUAGGGGGCUGUUAGAUCACAACCUUUGGCUUUUUCGUACAGCCACAGAUCUAUAAUAUUUUUAGCCUUCUUGACGAUUGGAAUAAAGAAGUAAAACUGCGAAUGGAUACAUAUAAUGCUGGAUAAUUUAGGAUUCCCAAUUUAUUUGUAAUGAAAUAUUUCCUUUCUUCUUUAGGAAAAAAGACUUGGCUUGGGUAGACAUACUAUUUAUUUUUAAUGCUUAUUUUGUAGAAUGUUGUUGCAUUUAUUUUGAACUUAGACCGAUGAUGAUUGUAGUUAUAAAAGUUGAGUGACAAAAUUCAAUCAUGGCAUUAUUCAUUCGAUUGUCCUAUCGGAAAACAAUUAGCAAAAUUAAUACAGCUUUCGUGUAUGUAGUUAUUUGCUGUUGAUACGUACUCUGACCGAGAACUUGGGUGGGUUAGGCUGCCAGGUGGUGCAUCUGCGAACUUCUGUGGGUUAGACUGUUAAAGGGGUUGCGGUGCGUCUGACCAGUCGGGACCCGAAAACUAAAUUAUAUGGGACCCAUAUAAAUUUGCGGGUCCCAUGGUCUGCUAAACGGCCGGUCCAACGUGGUCGUCCGCCCCCACGCAAGUAAUUCUCACUCCGAAAUACAUUGGAGUUUCUCAAAGCAGCAUAAGAUGUAAUAGUCUUUCAUCAAUGUGUUUUAUUUUAUUUUAUUUUUUCCGUUUUCCAUCUAUCUGAAUGUCUGAAUGAGAAAGAAACAGUUUCUAAAUUUUGGUAUAAUUUUUAAAAAAGAUAAGAGGGUGAUAAAAAACUUUAAAUUAAUUUUUUUUGCCUCCUACCUCUUUAAAUAUUUGAACUCGAAUGAUCAGCCUAAGAAAAUUACUGAAAAACUACUUCAUAAAAAUUUUAGAAGUUGAUGGUAAACAAACGUACUCCAUAACAUAUCUAUUAAUUACAAAAUCUUUCCAAUUUUUAAUAUACACCAUAUUACACAAUGCCUAAAGAAAUAACAAUAAAUAAAUAGCGUGCUUCAUUUAUUUGUCAUUCAUUUCAUGACCAAGCCACUAUUCAGGCUUUCAUUUCCUUUCUAAUCAAAAGACCAUUCAAAACAAGGCGGUUGCUAUGUUACAGAAUCUGUAACAUACACACCCAAUGAGAGGAGCACACAUGUCUUGAGGGGAGAGAAAAGCCACCGAAUGAGUGUAUAUGGGAGUUGGCUAAAGCUGGAUCUUUAAGUUACUGAAUCCGUAACUUAGCCCGCUCCUUCAAAACAAUUGAGAAAGAGAAUUACGCUGUAGACUUAGUUUGACUUUGACUUUUUAGAGAACAAAUAAGUUAAGGCCGGGGUUAAGUUACAUGAUCAUGUAACAAACAUUACAUGAAUGAGGGCCGUUAGGUGUGAACAGUAAAAUCGAACGGAUGGGAAUGAAAUGAAUAGAAAAAAAGAAGUGAUGGAAAACUGGGAAAACUGGUGAAAGAAAAUCUCUUGGGCUACCGGGUCAAAGCAGGGACUAUUGUUUGGAGGCAAGAAACCUGAUUUUUUGUAAUUCGAUUAAGCGCCAUUAAAGCUAGUUUUCACAGCAACUAUGAUUAUUUUUUAAUAAUAUCACCAACUCCUGUCCUUGAUUUAAUCAUCUUCAAGAUUUAAUUUAUACCAAUAUCCAGGGGCAGGCGACCAUGAAAAGUUCCUUGGAGUUUGCAUGAAUGGAGUUAAAAAUUAAUACCUCAUUGAUGACUACUCUCAGCACAAAGGGUGAAGGUGGCUUCGGCUUUAGCAAAAAUCUUCUCUGCAUCUUCAUCUUUUAAAAAGCACACCAUUUCUUGCUCCCCAAUUAGCCCACAUUAAAAUUACAAGGGAUUCGUUUUUGAGUUAUUUGAUGAAGAGGCAGCGUAAUGCAUAAAAUCCAUAAAUUAUGUCCAGUCUUUUUAAUCAACUCACGAAAAAACUAGAAUGAAUCUAAUUAAACUUUCAAUUUUUUGCAUCCAAUACGAGCAGGACAUGAAACUGCAUCUUUCACCGGCUUCAGAUGGACAACAAAAACUCUAUUUUUUUAGCGUUUGGCAGCAAAUCGGAUAAAAUUCUUCAUAAAAAUAAAAAAGUAACCCCAAGGAUCAUCCAGGUCAAUCUGCAUGAGUUUUUCUGUUCAUACAUGACCCAUAGAAGCAAGCUACCCGCCAAACCGGGCACGAAGGUGAGACGUGAAAACACCCGAUCCCGUUCUGACCUUGAUCUGUUCGUUUUCUUGCUCAGAACGGGCGGAUAUGCGCAAGUCGGAAGUUUCCUCAGCCUGAGAGUUCAAAGAAAUCAUGUCGCUUUGGGUUGCACAGGCUAUAGUAGAAAUUAUUCCUCUUUCGACCAACUUUUUUCAACCGGCUACAAACCGCUUCAAUCGAUAAAAUUAGAAUUAUAACAGUUACACGUGGUGUAAUGUUGUUGAUUUGUUUGUCAAUUUCUUUAAUGUUUGUUACAUUUUAUAUUGUAAGAUAACAAGACCCGUAAGUUAAUAGUGGGUGUAUUUAAUUCUUUUCUAUUUUGGUAUUAUUUUACUAAUAAAGGACUCAUGUAGAUUAUGGCGUAUUUGUUAUACAAGCAGGGAAAAAAAGUAAAUAACCAAAUGCAUGGUUAAAGAUUAAAUCAAUUUUUUUAAUUAUUCUCUUUAGGAUAUAAAUUCCAAUAAAAUAAAACUGUUUAAAAACCUCUCGACUAAGGCUCGAGGACUUAUUGCACAAGUAGCUUCAAUCUUAUUUUCUUUUAUGAAUUUGAAAGCAUAAGAUUAAUAUGUAGUUUCCAAUUUAUUGAUUGUCCCAAAUCAUUUAGAACAAAGAAGGAUACAAUAAAGAAUGUCUAGUAUUACUGGAAGUGUAAUGAUCAUUUUUUUUUUCUUUAUUUGUUAGCACUUUGCAAUGAUCUAAAUAAAUAGUUAUAAAUAAUAAAUAAGGUAAAUGUUCUUUCAAUCCCUAUAGAUUAAACCAAUUACUCAAUUAGUUUUGGUGCUCUCAUGUUGUUUUUUUUGUUGCAAUUAGAUUUAAUUUUUCAAGGGUGAAAUGGUAUUUAUAUUUGAUAUUGUUCAAAAUUGAAAUAAAUUUGACAAGAAACUAUGAACAAUAGAUGAUGAAUCAGAUUUCAUGGAAUUAUAUAUAUAGUAAGGCCAGGGAUGACAAAACCGGGGGUUGGGCCCAGGAAUGGCAAAUCCCAGCUCCGACACGGACAUGUUUUUUGAACACCUAGGCUAGGCAUUUUGUUCGAGCUUCAAAAGCAUUGGAUUUUAUAUUUUAUAAUAUUAAGUAUGUAUAUGUUUAGAUUUAUAUAAUUUUUAAUUUUUAAAAUUUUUUCAAUGAAAUUAGGCAUGAAAUAUGAAUUUAAAUGUUCAAAAAUUUUAACGUUUGUAAUAGAUUGGCCGAAUAAAUAUAAUUAUUUAAAAUAAUAUAUUUUUUUAAUAAAAUUAGAAUUUUGGACAUUACCCCCAAUUUAUCAAGUGAUGCCUGGGGCUACGGCUUGACCUCAUCCCUUGACUAGAUGUUACUUGGCCCACGUCGCGUAAGUUCUGUCCAAGUCCGGUUGCGCGGAUAUUUUUGACACCCCCAAAUAAGGCUUUAAUGCAAUUAUCCAUAUUUAAUUUGGUCACUUUAUCAACUAGUAAUAAAAUUUCCGUACUUUUAUCAAAAGUACAACCUUAUGUUCAAUGAACCCCAAUUACUAAAAUGAUCUCAAAUUUCAUCAAUGCAUUUUAUAAAAUGAACUAAAAAAAUGGAAACAAUUGAAUUUGAAUGCUUUCAAACUCAUUAACAAAAUAAUAUUGAAACUACUUGCGUAACAAAUAGGGCGCUAAGUGAGAUGAACCCUUUAUUAGUAAAAUUUUCUGUUUUCUGUGUAAAGAAAAUUUUACGAAUACAAUAAAAUUUAAAAAGAGAUUAAAAAGAAGAAAAAUAUGAUAUGAAUAUAAAUGGUAUGAGACAAACACCGAUGCGCAAUUCCAAUAAGAAAACAAUUUUUUAUUUGAUUAAAUAACUUCAUACAAGGAAAAUGCCAGAAUCAAGGGUUCGGUGUUGUUUGUUUUUUCACUUAAUAUUGAAACUAGAUUCAGCUAUUUUCAAUUUGUUUGUUUUUAAAUUAACACCGAAAAUUUAUCAAAUAAGUUUGAAUAAAAUUAAGUGUGAAAAAGAAUAACUUAACAUUUAAUGUUGAAUGCUAGAUGGAUUAUUUAACUUUUACUUUCGAAACUACCAUCAUAUUGAAUCCAUUCUAGCGCUAAGUUUACUAAACAAUUUGACCAUUUGAAAGUGAUUCUAUUGUUUUCUCCAAUUUUAUCAUAGGAUUUGUCUGCUUUCCCCUGCCUAUUUUGUGAAAUAAAGAUAGAAUCUGAAGUUGGCGGCAUAAAUAAGCUCAUUUGAGAAGCACGUUAUUUUAGGGGUGGUCACGCAUUGGUAGGGAUGGCAAUUGUACCCGCAAACCCGCAAACCCGCCCAAAUCCACCCGCCAAAACCCGCCCGUUGCGGGUAAUUUUAUCCGUUGCGGGCGGGUUUAGUAUUAUAAAUUAAAACCCGCAUAUGGAUGCGGGUGGGUUUGGUAUUAACCUUAUACCCGGUGGAUACCCGCAUGAAUAUCCACCAAACCCGUAAUAAUUUUUUUCAAAUAUUUUUAAUUUAAUUUAAAUAUAAAAAUAUAUAAAGAAAAUAAUGUAAUUAAUCAAAUUACCAAAUAGCAAAAGGCUCAAAGUUGUGUAUGUGUGUAUAUGGCUCAUCUCUUAUUCUAAAGUCAUAACCUAAAGAAAACUAAAGGCAUUUCCCUUCGAAUUAGUAUUUGAAAAUAUUAAUCUUAAUUAUUAUUUUAGGCAUUGUGUUAGAUGGGUGCUUAUGGUGGUGAAUAAAAUAAAUAUAUUCUCUUUGAUCUUGUUUUAAAUGAUAAUAUGAAAUGUAAUUAUUAUUUUUAGAUAUUAGUUUGUGUUUUUUAAAUAGAUUUGUAUAAUUUAUACUUAAAUUUGAGAAUUUGUGUUGAAUUGAUGUGGAAAUUUUAAUUUUUCAUUUACAUUGUUUAAAUAUAAAAUUGAAUAUGUUAUAUGGAACUUGAGGUUAUUAUUAUAAAUUUAUAUAUUAAAUAUUUGUGAUUUUAAAUACGGAAACCCGCAAAAAAUCUGCCGGAUACCAUUGCGGGUUUGGUAAUUGUUAAAACCCGCUGCGGGUGGGUUUUUUUAAAAAAAUUAAAACCCGCUGCGGGUUGCGGGUGGGUUUGGUAAUUUAAAUUUUGUGCGGGUUUGGGUUUGGUAAUGGCAAACCCGCUGCGGGCGGUGGCCAUUGCCAUCCCUACGCAUUGGUUGGAUAAGAUUUGUGAAUACUCAAUCUAAACCACUAUUGAAUGCGUUGAUAUAAAAUCAAUCCAAUCCAACCUAAUAAAUAUGCUCAAUCCAAUCCAACUUGACCCUUAAAUCAUCAGGUUGGGUUGGGUUGAUAAAAUUUGAAUGUCAAAUUAAAAUUAAAAUUAAAAAUUAAAUAAAAAAGAUAUAAGACUUAAAUGAGACUUAUUAAAAUUAAAUGUAAAUAUAUUAUAACAUAAAAAUUUCAUUCAUGGUCUAGCAUUCGAUAAAGAAAACUAAAAACACUUAAAUGUGUGGUCACCUAGAAUUUGUAAGGCCUAUAAAUACAUAGCCAUGUCUCCGACUGAAGCAAUGAAGUUAAGAAUAACUAAAUUUUUCACUAGUAAAAUACUUUCCACUAAUCAAAUAUUCCUGAUCAAAACUAGUUUCCACUUUAAUUAUUUUAGCCUACUAUCUACCCCUGCUCCAACUCCUAUGCCUUCCACUUCCUUAAUUCUUGGGAAUCGAAUCUUAAAAAUUUUUUAUAUCAUGGAAUUUAAAGGAGGAAAGAUCAAAAUGAAAGAGUAUGAUAAAUUUCUUUUGAAAAAUGAAUUAUUUUUUCAACAUUUCUUUGAUAACGUAUCAUUCUCACUAUAAACUAUAUUGUGAUUAUUUUAUGUUGUCUGCUUAUUUUAUUUUAUAUCUUUGGUUACUACAGCAUUUUUCUAGAGUAAAAAUAUAUAAAAGCUUCAAAAUAGGCAUGGUGUUCCAUGCAUAUUCUGUUAUUCCGUCUUUCGAUUUAUUGACACAAAACAAGGAUAGAACUAGUUUCAGAGACAAUUUAAAGUUGAAAAUUACAUAAAUUAAGCUUCUUAUUCAAAAGCCGUACGUGCAGGUUUUGGGGGGUCAAUGAGAAAAAUGUCAAGAAGUUGAUCGAUUGUGGUGAAUUUAAAAUCUGGAUACAGCUUUGAAGCUUCAAUGUCAUCCUCUCCAAGUUCAAAGUUCAUCGAGUCACCCUUUACAAGUAGGCUGUGCAUGAUGGAUAUUGGUAUGUCUUCUGGAGGUGGUAAGGCUGCAACAAUUGAAAAAUUAAUAGGUUGCAAUAAACAAUAUCAAUUAAGUGUAAAAAUGAAUGAGAUGUCAAAGAGAUGGAAGCCUAUAAAAUCUUAUAGUUAGGGGUGGAACUAGGCAGAGGCAAAUAUAUGAAUUUUUCUUAGAAUGAGCUAACUAAAAUUUUUUCAAUUUAAAAAAAUCUAAAAUAAAAGCUGUUACAUCACCCUAACAUUAAAUAAGUACUUUUAGGUUUGAGAAAUACUUUAUUAAUUGACUUCAUUUAACAAGAAAAAUUAUCCUAUGUACACCAUACCCAAACUGGCACAAUUAGAUAUUUUUUAUUUUAUUUACUUUCUUAAACUUUUUAAUUAUCUAACUCGGAUUGUGGGGUAUUGUACGCUUAGUUAGAUACUAACUUCAAACAAUUAACAGUCAAAUGAGUGAUAAAUAUCAUACAGGAGAAACAUAUUAGGUUAUGGCAAACAUUUAUAAAAGAUGAGCGCCUGCUUUGAAAUUUAACCAAAAAAAAAAAUUUACGUUUUGACCCCACUAGAUUUAUACUUUGGGCCCAUAGAAUGGAACAUCAUUCCGGUUCGCUCCUGGUUGCAUUGAUUUUAUCUUUUUAUGACUUUAUAUAAAAGUGAAUAAUUUUAUUAAACAAAAAAUUAAAUAAAAAAUCAAAAUUCUUACUCUGAGAUAGCUUUACUAGCUCUUCCUCAGAAACUUGAAUUCUUUUAAAAUUCCGUCCAGUCUUAUGUUCCCAAAGGGAGAUCAAUUCAAGCUGUGAUAAAAUGUUUGUUUGCGGUCGAUAAAUCACAAUUCGAUUGCAUGUCCUUGGAUCAUUUAUCACUUUGAUUGUACAUUUAGCUAUAUCUUCCUCGUAAUUAAAGACAGCUGAAAUAGAUAAAUAGAUGGUAUAACAUCAAAAAAAUAUUCAACAAAUGAACUUUUAGUGUAAAUUGUAUUUUAAUAUGUGUGGACUUCUGCACUGGGAAGCAAACUUACCUUUUGCUUCACCACUUCCAUAAACAACAACAUCAUCAUAUGAUUCAGAUGGACGAAGCAAGACAUUCACAAAGUAAGCACCAUAGAGAUUUGCUGAGACAAAAGUGUAGGGAAUUUUAGCUGCUUCUAUUGCCCUUCUUACUAUUCUUUUUUUCUCCAAGCAAGCUUCAAAAGGGGGCAGAGGCCUCACCCUGUCCUCUUCACAUCCAAAGUCAGAUGGAAGAAACCUCUAGCAACCAAAACAUAGUGUCUUUAAGAUCUGUCCUGUAUAAACAAAUUUGAAGCAAUGCAGCACUGAAUUGUAAAAAGACACUAAAAAGACACUGAAUUUAAAGUUUGUAAUUUUAGGUAUUUUGCUAAUUAACUAGCCCUCAUAUAUAUUUUUACGUCUUUGAUAGCUAACUACCAUUGCCUAACUUAAAUCUACAUUUACAAAGUGCAGACGUCCACAUUUAAAAGUUUCUAAUAUUUUCCAAUUAGUAAAAAAACUAUAUUUCAAUUUCUGAAAAAAAAAGACAACAAGCGAUUUAUUUUUUUUUUAAAAAAAGAAAGAGCUCAAUCAAAUACCUUGAUGUUACCAGCAACUUUGAUGGCACGAACAAUUUUCAGUUGAUCAAGACACUGAGGAUAAGAUACAGUAGAUAUCACCACAUCUACUUCCUUAAGCAUAGAUACAAUUUUCUCGUGCUCAUCUAGCUCUCCCUGUUUUAAUUUCAACAGUAUUAUUAUAAAUAAUAUCGAAGGGUUCCAAUUAGAUCAACACAAAAUUAAUCUCAUAAAAAGAAGUAUAAGAGGGCUGAGGUUCGAAUUUCACGCGUGCAUUUAAAGGGGGAAAAAAGAAGAAAAAAAAAGAAGAAACAAAACCAAACGAGAUCGAGAUAAUUGAGUAAUGAAGUAACCUCAAUAAUGGUGACGCCAAUACCCUGAAAUUCCUUGUGGAUUUCAAGCUUGGAGGGUCUUGAAUUUUGUGUAACAGGUCGAGCAUAAACAAAAGUUUUGUGACCAGAAGAAACACUUGCUUUCACCAUAUACUUACCGAAGUAUCCAGUACCCCCAAAGAUAAGUAUCUUUGGUUUUGUGUUCUCACCUUCCAUUUCUUCCUUUCACUUCAAUUUAUCUUUCAUCCUCCCUUCCCUUUUUACAUAUUUAUAUAUGAUAUCAGGAACUCACAUUUUUAGUGUUGAAAAUGUUAUACACAGAAUCUGGUAAAUUUGUUUUCUUGAAAAAGUUGCUUCACCUAAACUAUAAUUUUUUAAUUUUCAUCAAUAAUCAAUAUUCUUAACAACAUAAAUUUUACUGCCAUUAUUUUUCCCUGAAAAAAAAUUUAUUUAAUUAUAAAUUUCAAUAGCUAAAUUUAUUAUUAAAAUAUUUGAAUUUUUUCAACCGCGAUAAAAAGAAGUCUAACCCGACCAAGUGCUAAAUUUUCUACAUGUUGAAAAUUUGACUUGAAUGUGAGAAAACAUUAAAGACAAUAGGAUAAAAUAAUUGGAAUCAUGAUUCUCUCUUGAUCUGGUCUUUAUAUGAGCAAAUUUUAUUAACACAAUUGGUGGUUAAUAAAUUAAAAAGAAAAAAAAGUUAAAUCUUAAUCCUACACUAAUACUAAAACACAAGUGGUAUAAGAUCUAUAAAAGAUCAAGAGUGUUCAAAUUAAAGAUAUUAAUCCAAAUAAUUGCUCCGCAAAAGAGUGAUAAUGAAAUAGCAAAAUUCUUUGACAAUUUUGUUCAUGCAAUUAAAUACCAAGUGGUGAGAGCAAAAACAAAUAAAAGGCCAAAGCCUUUUGGCUUUAGAAUUGAAAAAGUGGGGCCCAUUUUGAAGAUUCUAUAAGUAAGCUUUUGGCUUUUGGCUUUUGGCUUUUGGCUUUUGGACGAAGAGGUGAGGGAGCCGCCAAAGAGAAAGAAAAAAGGCGGACGCAAGGCAGAAAAGGAGAAGAAGAAUAGUGGCAGCAGCAGUAAUUUAAUUCUUGCUUUCUAUUUAAAUAUGUCUAACUAAUUUUUUUAUACUGAAGUUAAGAAUAAAAUUAUAUUUAAUAAAAUAUUUAUUUAUUUAUUUAAUUAAUUCCGUGUGCUUUAAUGUUUAUGAUUUUUGUUGAAAAUGUGAGACUCGGCAGUUCUAUGUGGGGGACUCAAUUUGUGGUGUUUCCGUGCAAUAAUGUUGUACGCUCUAGAUGUUAAAAUCAAUGGAGCUAUUUUAGCCGUUCAAAAUCCGAAAAUUGUCUCCUUAUUUCUGAGUGAGAUAAUUUUUCACUUACUAAUUUUAUCUCGGCGUCUUUGACUGUUUACACAUAAAUUGACAAAAUCAGCCAUGAUUCUUAUGUUUCUCCUUAUAAAUGGAUAAUUUAAAUUUGUGAUAAUAUAUAUUUUAUUUAUUUUUUCUUUAAAUGAUAGAAUAGUAGACAAAGUUCAAAUUAAUUCCUUAUUUCCUUUAGUUUUAGGAUUCAAACUCGGAACCAACCAAAUAAUACUAUUUGAAAACUACUCUUUAGGCCGGUGACAAAUAAGUGAUAAUAAGUUUUUGGUUUAUAAACAAAAUGACGACGUUUUCUAUGCGAAAUGAAUGGUGACUAUUGCUCUAUGCCACGAGCAAUUUUUGUGAGUAUUCAGAUUCUCACAUGAAUAUAUAAUACAAUGGUUGAUUGAUAAAAGGAUGACGGGUCUUUUGUGAGCUUUGUAGAUAUAUUUUUCUUCCAAUUGUACUAUUGCAAAAAAAAAAAAAAAAGGGAUCCGAAUCUUCAAUUGAUUUUUUUAAAUUGUUUUAAGGGGAAAUUAAAGCACUUACGUGGUCUUGUACAAUUUUUAUAAAUAUAUAUAGUUGUUUUAAAAAAUAGUGACAUCGUCUCUUCCUACGACAACUAUGUCUUUUAUUGUAGUGAUCGAAUUAUUUUUAUCUAGGCGUAAUUAUUCCAAAAGUAUCUAUAUAAUCAUUUUGUUAAAUGACGAAAUGUGACCAUUUUUUUCUCAUUUUUUUUCUUUAUAGUGCUGAUAUUUUCAUACCACAAUUUUUGUAAACCCACCCUACUUCAAGAAAAUAAUUAUAAUAAAUUCACAUUAUUUUUAAGAAAAUUCAAAUAAAGAAGAAGUUUGAGAAGUAAUUAAUUAAAUCUACCUUGAUUUGUUUUGUGACUUUAAUUUUUUUAUCAUAUUUGACUAAAAAGAUUGCUUUGUCAUAAUUUUAAAUUGAUUAUUUACUCUUAUAAGGUAAAAGUAGCAAAAUACCAAAAAAUUUACUUUAAGUUCAGAGUUUUUGAAUUUUAUACAAAAUUUAUAAUUUCUAAAAAAUUUAUCAAAACAAAUUUAUUAGAAUGAUUAUUAAGAUUUAGUUAAACUAACAAAAUAUUUUUAUGGCAUAAGACUCAUGUAAUUUAUUGGAUGUCAUGUUGUAAGUCACAAAACUAAAUACUUAGAUUGUUAGAUAUAGGAACAUUAUCACAUUAUCUUUGGAUAAUUUGGUCAUUUUAUGUAUCUUGGGUAAAACAUUGAAAUAAAAUUUAUCUUAAACCAACCUUAAUAGCAAAUAUGGCUAAACAAACAUAAGUGAAAAAAAUACAUAAGAAUUAAUUGAUUAAUUGCCCAAUCUCUUUGUUUAUCUCUAUUUUUUGAAAACAAUGUGAGCUUAUUAUAACACUUCUAUCUCCCUCAAGAUUUACAUUCGGGUGACUAGCCAAAUAUAGAUGCUUGAAAACCAAAAGGCUUGGGAAAAUAAGAAAAUCUUAUAUAUUUUCACUAUCUGUUUCAACAAAUUUAUACACAUGGAAUCUGGUAAAUUUGUUUUCUUGAAAAAGUUGUUUCACUUAAACCAUUAUUUUUUAAUUUUCAUCAAUAAUCAAUAUUGUUAACCACAUAAAUUUUAAUUCCAUUAUUGUUCCCUAAAAAAAAUUUAUUUAAAUAUAAUUUUCAAUAGCUAAAAUUAUUAUUAAAAUAUUUGAAUUUUUUUAAACCGCGAUAAAAAGAAGUCUAACCCGACCAACAAGUGCUAAAUUUUCUACAUGUUGAAAAUUUGACUUGAAUGUGGGAAAACAUUAAAGAAAAUAGGGCAAAAUAAUUGCUCGGUAAAAGCGUAAUAAUGAAAUAGCAAAAUUCUUUGACAAUUUUGUUCAUGCAAUUAAAUGCCAAAUGGUGAGGUUGGGGAUCAUUGAAGAAGUUGAAAGGUCUUUGGCCAUUAUGAAUGGUCGAUCCGCAAUUCAUUCAUGAUUUGUCAAUAUUUGCUCAUGGAAAUGGCGGAUAUUUCACCGGAUUUUGGACCGCAAGCUUAAGGCGAUCCUUACACGCCAUCUGUUGAAAAAUUCAAAAUUGGAAUUCAAAUACACAUGCAUGCAUUCAACUUUGAAGAGGUAAAUUUGAAGACAAAUUCCUUGCAUGCAAAUUUCAAGCACACCACUAUUGAGAGGUAAAUUUGAAGACAAAUUCCUUGCAUGCAAAUUUCAAGCACACCACUAUUGAGAGGUAAAUUUGAAGACAAAUUCCUUGCAUGCAAAUUUCAAGCACACCAAUAUUGAGAGGUAAAUUUGAAGACAAAUUCCUUGCAUGCAAAUUUCAAGCACACCAAUAUUGAGCUAGCGUGAUCCAAUUGCAUGUGCUACUUUGGGUUCAUGGAUGAUUUGACCUGAACAAGCCAAUUCCUUACCUCAAAAGCUCAACUAUCUAUCUUACCUGUCGAUUCCUGAGCCUCCCCUCCCGGUUGGCGUUUGUCAGCCACUAGAGCAAGUAAGAGAACCUAUAGUGAAUGAACUUAAAGAUAAAGAACCGCCUAUCCUAGAUCUUCCCAUUUCAAGAAGAUCCCGGGCUCGAUCCGGUUUAGUAUCAAGGUGAGGGAUCAGUGUUUUCUAAGUGAAUCGGAAGCUUUCUUUCUUUAAGAGAUUUCAAGUCUGGGUCCCCUCGAGCACCCUUCCCUUGAACGAACCUGAACUGGUCGAGAGAGAUGAACCGGCACCACAUUUUAUAACGGAACCAACUGGUUUCACACCGGAGGAACAAUUCUUUGAGGCCACGCAACGACCCCAACAAUUUGGAAAGCAUAUAUAGAAUGCAACCCUUAUGGACUGAAUCUUUAUUACACCCUUGACGAGGAAACAAGAGUCAUUUACUACAUGCUUAUUAGGCACUGCCGCAGCAUCCACUGGUACAAGGAAGAGGCACGAUAGCGAAGAUCAAUCCAUCUCAAUCUACAAAAACGAAAAACAUUGCCUUAGGCAUGCAACCCCAAAAAAAGGAUAGAAAGACUGCUCUAAAUUGAUUCUUUUCUGCCGAUAAGCUCCAAUUGCAUCAUAGGAUUUACAAAAAAGGGGUUCUUUCGUAUACUUAGGUGAUGUUUGGUUGGGGGGAGAGAAUUGAGGAGAGGAAAGUAAUUUAAAAUUUACUUUUAUUUUCAUUAUUUGGUUGCACAAAAUAUAUAAGAAUUUAAUUUCCAUUAAAAUUUAAUAUCCCUUAUAAUGUAGAAUUUAAAUUCCACACCAAAGAGUGAAGAAUUUAAAUUCCUCUUAUGUUGAAAACACAAGUUUUCAAAAUUGCCCUUCAACAUUUCAACUUGUUUAAUGUUAUUAAUAAUUAUUAUUAUUUAUAAUUUUAUUUUAUCAAUUUAAUAUUAUAAAUAAUUUUAUAUUAAUCAAAUUUAAUGAAUGAUUUAAAAAAAUUAAUAAAAUAAAUAAACUUAUUUAUUUAUUUAAUAUGAAAAUAUAUAAAUAUAAAUUAACUAUCGCCGGACCUUCACCGGAUUUCCGUUGGAACUUCGCCGGAUUUUCGCCGAACCACCGCCGGCACAUCGGAUCUCCGCCGGAACUCGCCAGACUUCUGUCGGAAAAUAGCCGGCCGGCGUUGACUGGCGCUGACUUAUGUUGACUGACGUUAACUUAUAUUGAUUGGCUUUUGUUUAUAUUAAAUUAUAUUUAAUAUUAAAUUAUAUUAAAUAGUUUAAGAUAUUAAAUUAUUUUAUAUUUUAUAUUAAAUAUAAAUCAUGAAUUGUUUUAGAACUUUUUGAAAUUAAAAAAGUUUGGUAUUAAUAUUAAAUUAUAUUUUAUUAUUAAUAUAGAUAAUUUAAUAUUUAAGGCAAAUGAUAAAUUUGUCCAAAAAAAAAUUACAAUUCCUUUCCCUAUUAAAUUUUAUGUCAAACCAAAUAAUGAAAUUUAAUUUCACUAUUCUCUUCCACUCCUCUCUUCUCCUUUCCCUCCAUUCCACUCUUUUCAUCUCCUCCCCUUUCUUAAAACCAAACACCACCUUAUAGCUAUUAUCGUCGCAAGCAUGGCGGAACCCAAGCUCAUGCUCACGAUAGCACAACGUGGCCUACGGUGGCACCAUGAUGUCCCCAGAGUCAUAGACAAGCUUCGCAUAUCAAAAUCCCGUACAGUAUAGCGGAUGCACGUCUAAGCCUCACGAUUUCGUAACACAGCUAGGCUUAAGGCCAACCACUGGCUAUACUGACUACUUACUAUUGUUCUAGAGCGGGGAAAGUCUUCAAGAAUGCUGCUACCGAAUGAAGUUCAUCUUUCCCCCAUUUCCCUAUAAUAAAGUGCAGGCCCCGUAGAUAGAUAUCCCAUAUACCCCCUCUUCACGUCGACUUUUUGCCGUUGAAUCCCGAAGAAAGAAUAAAAUAGACAAAAUUCCUAACAAAAAGAUAGUGAUGGUUCCUCUUUGAGGGCUCGAAGGGCAACGUACCUAAUAGAUAAAGGAUUUUUCAAACGGGAACUCAUCUUGUACUGCGACUUAAAUAAUCAUCGUAGGAAGGGCCAGAAACUUGCGUUUUCUUAUGAUAGAUUGUACCAUGAUUAUAUUCUAUUUAUAUUCUCUAGUCUAUCUUUCUUCAAGUGAGAUAGUUGAGCCCGCCCCAAGCGGAACCGCAUGAGUUCACCGGGGUUGAGCACGGUCCGCCAAAAUCGGCAUAGGUUAGGUGCUAUUGAUGGAACAUGGUAAGCCUAUCUUUCUUCUCCAUAUGGAAGUGCUGCGGGAUUAAAGGAGUUGGAAGAUGAGCAGGAGUAUUCUCAAUCGACACUCCUAAAAAAGAUAAUAGGUAAUAUGAUAAGGAAUAUGAACAACAAAAGCAAGUCUUUUGAGUAUAAUCCUGGUAUCUUUCUACAAUCAUCUUUGUGGCACAGACCGAUCAAUCCCCGAAAUAAGAUCACUUAAAGGAAAAGAGUUGAAAUAAGACAGGUCUAUAUUCCUAUAGAAAGAGAAGCCCUUUCCCUCCCUGCACGAGUGAGUUGCCAAGUGCCUCCCAGGAGGGCAGUCUACCACAAGAUCUUACUCAUGAAUGUCAAGGAAGAAAAAGAAAGACAAGUAGGUUUGUAAACUAAAGCCAGAAGCCCGAGAAGAGGUGUUCUCCAUUAGUAGAAGUAAGCGGCUGAGUUAGCAAAGCCUACCCUACUAAUGUAUUGUAUAGUAGCGCCUUUUUCUUUUUUAAUAUAACUAAGGCUAGCCCGCUGGUAGUAAAAGGAAGCAGAGAUUCAGGCAAUUAGGCAUCAGGUUGAGUUCAAGAUUGAGACCCCAUAGAUAAGGUAGGUGUUAAUAGAUCAGUUCGGUCUCUGAGGCCACCGAGUAAUCAUAGGUAAAUAGCAACUAUUUCCGACCGAGCAGGUGUAGGGGAAGAAAAGACAUAACCAAAACAAUUGUGUAAAAUAAAUGAAUUUAUCCAGUUGAGGCAUGCUUGAUUGCGCAUUCCUUUAUGCAUUCCGCUGACCUUUCCAUUACCGUGGGAAAGCCUCACUCUCGGUGAAACGGAUAACAAACUGAAUAAGUGGUCGUCGUCCGGCGGUCGGUAGCUCUACUAAACGAAUAACCGCUCGCUGCAUUUUCUUCGCAAAAAACAUGUGUGGUAGCCCAGGAGAAGAGAAGCAAGCUACCUUCGCCUACCUCCCCGCCGCUCAUGACAAGCGAGCAGCAGACUAGGUUUCAUUAUUAUAUAGGACUUCUUUUGUGUUACCACGCCUCUCUUGACCUCUGCUUGCAUCUCAAGAAAGUAUAAGGGUCGCCGAAGGUGAGGGAAGAGAUAUCCAAUUUGAUAUCUUAUGAUAUAUUGAGGAUGCUGCAGCAGUUUGGUUUCACCUCUAGAUGGAGUGAGUGGAUCAGGGCUUCCAAAACCUUUCUUUUUUUGGUAUGACGCUCCGCGAGCAAGGAGUGCCACGUACGAGCGGAGCGAAAACAAAGCCGGUCAAAGAUUCCAUUGGAAAGGUAGAUGCCAUUUCUGCUAUUUCAGUAAUGCCUGAGCAGGGGCAGCCCAGCCUUAGUCUAACUAAGUAUUCUAUCCUUACUAUGACACUGCGCAAAAGAACCAGGCAUAGUGUGAAAUAUGAUAAUACAAAUAGGGGCGUGCCACAUUCUUGGUUUAAGUAUACUAGAACAUAUUCCAUUUUAUUGACCGUGAACGGCUGUCGAACCACUAGGGGAAAAAUAAUAAAAAAAGUUUCUAAAAAUAAAAAAUACUCAAAAAUAAUUGAUAAGGGGGUUGAGCAUCCUUUGUAGAGCACUUUGCUGGCGCUACGCUAUCACGCUACAACUAGCAGCCCCUUUUUGCUAUUUCUAUCUAUUAUUUGUUAGGGCUUUUCCCUAACUAACAGCGAGAGAGGGAGUGAAAGAGGCUGGAAAGUACGAAGCAGGUUCUAUGCAAUUGAGCUCGACUGAAAGGAAGAUUUCUUACAUAGGCCCAGGAGAGGAGGGCUAUAGAGCUAGGAGUGGAUCGAGGGUUUGUCCAUUGGGAUUGGUUUGAUAUAGUUUAUGUGUUACUGGUUCCCGGAAGAGUUAAUAUCUCCAUUAACUAAACCCUUUCUUACUCUAGGAUAGAUUCAUGAAAUGAGCAAGCAUCUGAUAUAUUUUACACCUUUUUCCUAACGCCUAUGUGACUUGCCAAAGUCGUCGCUUCAUAUUUCUUGCUUAAAGCGUCGCAACUUAUACUCUUUAAAGCUGCACUUUAAACUUAACCACAUUUGAGCACCUGUUUUCUUGCUCCUUGUCCUGGAGGCUCUCCGGCUGGAGAGAGGCUUGCUAUCGUAACGUUUACAAGCCAUGAUCUAAAAGUGAUUGACCCUUAGGCGAGAAAGACUAAUCUUCGAAUUUCGCUGGAAAACGAGUCCCGUCCUUGCCUUUCUAAGAAGUUACUAUCCCCAACAGGAUUGGAACUCUAGUUGUUCAAGUUCCGUUCACCUCCUUUUCCUUCCAAUUAGUGAAAUUCUAUCUAUUUCUUUCUUGGGGAAUUGUGGUCGACCUCGACUAAAUGACCUGGGCCUGAAGAAGGACAGGCUUUUGCAAUGAAAUCUUUCUCCAGAUAAUGCCUUGAUUACAUAAAUAAUCUAUUCCGCUACACCUACCUGUGGUAUAGGUGUGUUCAAACACACCACACCAUUUUUUUCCUUUUGAGAGGGUACUCCGAGUAGUGGGUACCUCGUAGGACCUCGACCCGCCUACUUGGGUCUUGUAUGGAUAUGCAGGAAGAUCUUUAGCUAACCAUUACCUUCUCUAAAUACCCAGGUUCCGUGAUAUCAGAUCGCAAUUCUGAUUCUUUUGCCAUCACCUUCUAUUACUUCCUUGGUCGAGCAUCUAUCAACACCUGACGAUGAGGAGAGUGAUCGAUUCACCAUGUACCUGAUUCAAUACAACUAUCUAGCCCUAUUAUCGAAGCACUUCGUUAUAUACGUCGCCAUUUGACGAUCUGUCUUUAGUAGGUCGUUUAUUCUUUCUUACUGAGAAUCGAGCGCGGGGCUUGAAAACCCUACCGUAUUCCGGCCACGGGGCCCUCAAUUGGUCCUUUCUCUCUUCUCUUUUACCAGUGAGUGGUGAGUUACAUAUGUACCUUUAGUAGUCUGUUAUCUCAUACGCUACCCUAACUACCAUAUGUACUUUUCUUCUGCCAUCUAAUCAACCCAUUGAUUCAGUCUUGGAAGGUGGUGCGUACUAAUGGCGUUUGUUAAGUCUUUGAUGAAGUGGUUUUCUUGCCUGACGAAGCCCUUCAAACUAUACUUACACCUCAGCAGCCGUUACUAGCAAACCCAACCUAGUGGAUCCUUGCGCUUUAUGAAAGUACGCUGUACUGGCCUUCCUUCCCCUAGCUGUCAGUGAGACUUAUUUUCUUUAUUUUCAAGGCUUCUCAGACUCUUGUGGAUUCGCCUAUUUCUUCCCUCGCUUGUGACCAGCUUCUCUUGUUGUUGUUUCUAGAAAAAAGUAGAAGUCAUGUGACAAGCAGUGCUUUUUCUUAGCGCGUUCGUUGGAGUCGUGGAAACGAAGCAAGGCUCGUUAUAGAGGAAAUAUGGAAUCUUCUAGAAAAAAGUGGAACCCAUGCACCUUUUCGCUUGAAAGAGCUUUGAUCACGACUGGUUGUAAACAAACCACUGUCUCGUCUAUGCUUUCUAUCGAGCUCCGCUCUCCCCGCCCCAUUCAUGGCUUGCUGUUCCCCAAACUCUUUCUGGCAAAACCCUCUGAAUUUUUAGAGAAAAACCACGCUAAAUUUUUUUGAGAUUUUGAAACUUAUUGCACCUAACCUUUGGGCAUAUCAAAACAAGAAAAGGCACUACAUGCGGAAGAGAAAGGGAGAGGAAAUACAGUACACAUGUCAGUCUAUUCUACAUCAAUAUUGUUCAAGCAAAAAUCAAAAUGGGAUGUCUAUAUGAUGAAUUUCUAAAUAAAAAAGAAAUAGUGAGUGAGAAAGAAGAUGUGAGUCCAAAAGGCAACAAUCAAACGCCCCUUUAUUAGUAAGGUUGCUGCUUGUCCCACAAGUCGUCUUUGGCUCGUCUCCUUCCGCGAUAUGCACCUGGUAGUAGUAGUAGCCCGGCCGUAAAUCCAACUUCGAGAAGUAAAAGAAAAUCAAGACAGAUGCCGAGAGAAACUGUUAGACUUCUUUAUUGCGUUGUGAAGAGAGAUCUACCGUUUAUCCACAAUCUGCUCAGCUCUUUAUGAGCUAAGCUAUUGCAUAUGAAAAAAAGAAUCCAAUCAUCUACCUAAGCCGCUUCUAGAUCCUUCUUUGAUUCGCGAGAACUCACUCAGCCUAACCAAAGCAUCACAACAACAUCCAAAGGUUGACAAAAUCAACGCUACUAAGGACCGGGGCGAGCGGAAUUCAGUAGAGGCUCCUCCUUUCGCUUCAUCCAUUGAUCAAUGUCCUCGCAGAUGGACUGAGCAUCAAAUGCUUGGGGAAGGAGAGUGAACAAGAAGCAAAAAUUCUAUUAAUUAGAUUCCGCUAUCAAGAGAAGGAAUACCUGGCAAAGUCCCAUAUCCUCAUCAUUGGCCUUGGAGGGGAAUCAACUAAACCGAUCUUUCUAUGUCUUCAUCUCUCAAGAACCCUGACGGAACUACAUGAAAAGCUAAGCAAAGGCGAGUAACGUUUCCCUCCGCAGGGGCCUAUUCCUUAUCCCUCUUUUCCUUAAUAAUAAGGUAAGCUUUCAAGCCCCUUUACUUGCUUGAUAUUCUACUAGUAAAGCGCUGGAGCCCCCCUUGUAUAUGAUCUCUUCACCAAAAGUCACACCAAAACCAUUAAAAUUGAAAAUGGCCAAAGUUUUUUUCAUGCAUUCAUAUUGUAAGCUUUGCCUAUAAAUAGAGAAGUAGAAUGCAUUUGUAAAGCACCCCAAUUUGUGAGAAGUAGAGAGCAAUUGCAAGUGAGCUCUUUGGGACAAUUUGAGAGAGCUACUUGAGUGUUCUAGUGAGGUUCAAUGUUGUGAAAAAUUUUAAUAUACUCGCAAGUGCACGAAUCUAGAAAUAGAAUAGUGGUAACGAGGUCGAACCCACAUGGAUUGUUAUAAAUUGAAAAGUCUAAUUUAAAUCUAAAAUUAAUAUUAAUUCUAACCUAAUUGAGCAAAUUGAAUUUUUAAGGGAAAUUAAACUAAUUAAACUAAGAAAACAAUUAAAGCAAAUGAAAAAUCAAUAAGACAAAAAUUACCAAGGUUUCAGAAUCUACCACUAUUCAACUAGUAAUUAUCUAAUUAUUAAUUAAUCCCCAAUUUUAAAGUGACAACUCGAAAUCAAUCUAUGUCAUCUCAUAAAUAUAACAAUUAAGCCCAAUUAAAAUUAAUCUUGUGUAGGUUCUUUUUCUGCUUAAUAGUAUGAUAUCUAAGAAUCUCAUGUAAACAUAUUGAAUAACAAAGAGUCAAAGUUUUCCUAAGCACUCUGUGUAAACAAUUUAAUGAAAGACAGAAUCAAAUAUAAUCAUGUAUAAAUUUUAUAGAUCCAAGCAUAGAUUUCAUCGAAUAUCAAUCAUAACAAUUAAUAAUGCAUGACAGAAUUAGUGAAAAUAUUUAAUAACACCCAAUUAAUUAUGUGAAACAAAAAUCAUAAUCAUCAAAGAACAUAUAUAGGAAAUUAAUUAAAUGAAAAAAUAAUUAUUUCAUUGAAUAGGAUUUCAUCCUUAACCUCAAUAUAAGAAAAUUAGUUAAACAUACUUGAAUUAGGAGCAACAAACGAAAUAAAAUCAGCCAUGGGAAGCCGAACUGCUGCAGCCAGUUUUCUCCCGAAUCGCGUCUGCUUUUUUUUUUUCCUUCCUCUGGCGGCUGCCGUCCGUCUUCUCUUCUUUUUUCCUGGCGGCUACCCCCUAAUUCUUUUUAUAUUGUAACGCCACCACAAAAUCCUUAAAUCAAAAGGAUUUUAAAACAAGCCAAGCACAACCAACUUUAAGCCCAUGCACGUGAAGCCCACUCGAAAUCAAUGGUCAAUGCUUUUCCAACUAUUCACGUGAGAUGCACACUUGGAAAGCCAAUUAUUCUCCUUUAAGCAUCUUUUUUCCUCUUUUCUUUUAUUCUUCACAAGCUAGCAAUUAUUUCCAUAAACUCUAUUUUGUUUCCUUUUUAAGCUCCCUUUCAUCAAUGGCUUCCACAAAUUGAUUUGAUCUUCAAUGCUGUCCAAUUAUUAUUCCUUAUGCACUUUUCAUCCAUAAUCUCCAAUUAAUUCCUUAAUCAAUAAAAAAAUUCAAUUAAUUAAAAAUAGGAAAAUUAUCCACCGUCCACCCGUUUUUUCACCGUUUUUCAAAAAUACACAAUUCUUUUUUUUUUUUUGGCUGGAAUCCACCUGAAAUUACAUUUCUUUUCACUUUUCCACUUCCGUUUGGAGACCGUUAUAACUUUGCUAACAUCAUAAGGGUAAAAUCAUCAUUUUACAAUGACACAGAGGUGGAUAGGUGUAAAACAAUACAACUUCGAGUGGAGGUCAGCAAAAAAAAAAUUAAGAAUUGUGUAUUUCUGAAAAAAAUAUGAAAAAAACAAGUGGUCGAUGGAUAAAUUAUCUUUUACAUUUGAGGGUAAAAAAGUCAUUUAAGCAAUAUUCCGUUAAUUUCCUUAACGGAUUCCAAACGGAAGUGGAAAAGUGAAAAGAAAUGUAACUUCAGGUGGAUUCCAGAAAAAAAAAAGAAUUGUAUAUUUUUGAAAAAGUUGGAAAAAACGGGUGGACGGUAGAUAAUUUCCCUUAAAAAUAACAAAUAAAAAUAACUAGCAAUUAUAUAAUUAAGGAUAAAAUAUGUAUAUAUUCUAUGCUCAUCAAAUACCCCCAAACUUAGAUUUUGCUAGUUCUCGAGCAAAACUAAAACUAAAAACAAAAAUAAAAGUAACGAAAAAAUAAAUCCUAACUAAACUAUUUUCGCAGGUAAUCGUGAUUGCAUUUAGCGUAUGCAACAAGCCUUUAAACCCCUAGGCGACCUUAGUGGACGAGUUAUAGUCUCAUGAGGGCUUCAGUGAUGAUACCCACAAACAUCAUUUAAAAAAAAAUAAAUAAAAAGAACAAAAAAAUUUAAAUAAAAUAUGAAAAUAGCCUCAAAGAUCGCAUAAAUUAUAUAGCUCAAAGAAAAUUUCAAAUUUUGGCAAAGUUCUAACUUUAAUUCAAUAGUCAAUCCCAUCUCUCUUUCGAUUCUUGUAGUGUGUGUGUGUGGAAUCAAUUCAAUCAAAUUCAUUCCCAAAAUCAUCAAUAUCAACAGCCUUCGCCUCAAACAAAGAAAAGAGUAAGUCAAAUUAAUCUUAUCAUCUUAAUCUCCAAAUUUUUUUUUUCACAAGCUUUUAUGUGCAUUUUCUUUUUUUUUUUAACACAUGCACUUGAUUUGUUUUCUAUUUGUUUUCUAUUUUUUUCUUUACUUUCUUUUCUUUUUUUUAACCAUAGUCACGAGCUUUCACUCUACCCCUUAAGGUAGCCUUCUUCUCAUAGUAGAUUAUCUUCUACAUACUGGUGGUACAUAGGCCUAAAUUACUCAAGGAUAGCUUUACUCUUAAGGGUUAUGGAUAGCUAUUUCUGACUUUGGUGCCUGUGUAUACUAUUUUAUAUUGUGGAGAUAACAAUUAAGACAAACAAUCAUUUACUCUAUCUAAAAUUCUCAACUCAGACUGCGUCAAUAUCAAAUUUCAAGUCAAAAUUACGAAAGAAUUAAUAUUAGUGCUCAUGAUUAAAGAAUCUCAAUCAAGAUGAAUUAACACAAGAAUCAAGUAUAAACUAAGACAAUAUUCAACCCUUUCUAAGAACUAUAUUAAUUGUCAAUCAAGUUCUUAUCAUUGGCUUUUCACAUUAAAAAAAUAAUUUUUUUUAAUUUUUGAAUGUUUUGAAUUUUUUUAAUAAACAAAGCACAAACUAUUCCUACCCCCAAAUUUAUUCGGAACAUUGUCCUCAAUGUUUCACAAACAAAAUAUAUGCAUGCAAAAAGAUGAGAAAAUAAAUAAAUAAAAACAUAAAUAAUAAAAGAAAAAGUUAGAGAGAACACACCUAGGGGGCUGGAAAAGUUUAAAAGAAAAUUAUAAAUAAAAAGAAAACGUUAGAAAAGAAAAACAAGCAAAGAAAAGAAAACCUACUAUUUAAAUAAAACAAGAAUGUAAAAAUGAAAUUAACUAAUCCUGAUAAACAAGAUCAUCUAAAAGUAUCUCCUUGACUUCUGGUGUUCUUAACUCUAAAAAUGGUUUUAAUCUUUGACCAUUGACCUCAAAUAAAUCACCAUUUUGAGGAUUUUUAAUCUCAAUUGCUCCAUAAAGAAAGACAGUACGAACUAUAAAAGGACCAGACCAUCGAGAACGUAACUUACCUGGAAAGAGAUGCAAUCGAGAAUUGUAUAAAAGUACUUUCUAACCUGGUGUAAAGGAUUUUUUCAAAAUGUGCUUGUCAUGAAAUACUUUCAUUCGUUGCUUGUAAAUCUUGGCAUUCUCAUAUGCAUAAUUCAUGAUCUCUUCAAGUUCUGCUAGUUGUAAUAUUCUCUUGGAACCAGCCUGCUGCAUAUCAAAAUUGAAUUUCUUGAUAGCCCAAUAUGCACGAUGCUCCAACUCUACCGGCAGAUGACACACUUUUCCAUACACAAGUCUGUAAGGCAACAUCCCAAUUGGUGUUUUGAAAGCAGUCCUAUAUGCCCAUAAUGCAUCAUUAAGUCUCAAAGACCAAUCCUUUCCAUCUGACCUAACUGUUUUUUUCCAGAAUUUGCUUGAUCUCUCUAUUAAAAAUCUCUACUUGGCCACUGGUUUGAGGAUGGUAUGGGGUGUCAACCUUAUGUAUAAUGGAAUAUUUGUUUAAAAAAGUUUUGAAAGGUUUAUUGCAAAAAUUGGUACCGCCAUUACCAAUGAUUGCUCUAGAGAAACCAAAACGAGAUAGAAUAUUACUUUUCAAGAAUUUCACUACAACUCUAUGAUCAUUGGUUUUGCAUGGAAUAGCUUCAACCCACUUCGACAUAUAGUCCACUACAACCAAUAUAUACUGAUAACCAAAAGAUUGAGGAAAAUGUCCCAUGAAAUCAAUACCCCAUACAUCGAAGAUCUCAACCACCAGGAUAUGAUUGAGUGGCAUCAUAUUCCUCUUUGAAAUGCUACCCAUGCGUUGGCAUCUAUCACACAAAGAACAGAAAACAUAAGCGUCAUGAAAAAGAGUAGGCCAAUAAAAACCACACUGUAAAAUUUUUGUUGCUGUCUUUUUGGUACUAAAAUGACCUCCACAAGCUUGUUCGUGGCAAAAAGAGAUGACACCUUGAAUUUCAAUUUCUGGAACACAUCUCCUAAUAAUCUAAUCAGCACAAUAUUUGAAUAAAUAUGGAUCAUCCCAAAAGAAAUUCUUCAUUUCGGAUAAGAACUUUGUUCUAUCUUGCUUAGUCCUGUGUUCUAGGAUUUGACCUGUGGCAAGGUAAUUAACUAUAUCAGCAAACCAUAGUACAAAAUUUACACUCAUAAGUUGCUCAUCCAGAAAAGACUCAUUCAAAGGUAAAGAUUCUGGAAUAAAUUUAAGAUAAAGGCGAGACAAGUGAUCCACCACAACAUUUUCAGAACCUUUUUUAUCUCUAAAUUCAAUGUCAAAUUCCUGUAAAAGCAAUACCCAACGAAUCAAUCUUGCCUUAGCAUAUUUCUUAGUAAGCAAAUAUUUUUAAAGCAGCAUGAUUAGUAAAAAUAAUCACUUUACAACCUAUAAGAUAAGAUCUGAAUUUAUCAAGUGCAAAUACCACAGCUAGCAUUUCUUUUUUUGUAGUUGAAUAGUUCAACUGUAUAUCAUUGAGUGUCAUACUAGCAUAAUAAAUCACAUAAGGCACACGAUCUAAUCUUUGUCCUAAAACUGCUCCUACAACAUAAUCAGAUGUAUCACACAUAAUUUCAAAGGGCAAAUCCCAAUUAGGUGGCUGAAUGAUAGGUGAAGAAGUCAGCAAUUCCUUAAGCUUUGCAAAAGCAUCAAGACAAGAUUCAUCAAAGAUAAAAUGUGCAUACUUAACAAGUAAAUUACAUAGGGGUCUAGAAAUUUUACUAAAAUCUUUAAUGAAUCUUCUAUAAAAACCAGCAUGUCCAAGGAAAGAUCUUACUUCUUUUAUGGAUUUGGGAUGUGGAAGAUUAGAAAUUAAAUCCACCUUAGCUUUGUCGACUUCUAUACCUCUGCUGGAAAUUAUAUGACGAAGAACAAUACCUUGUUUUACCACGAAGUUACACUUUUUCCAAUUUAGAACCAAGUUCUUUUCUUUACAUCUCUACAAAAAUAAUGUUAGAUGUUGCAAACAUUCAUCAAAUGAAUCUCCAUAAACAGAAAAAUCAUCCAUGAAUACUUCAAGAAAUCUCUCAACCAUAUAAGAAAAAAUACUAAGCAUGCAUCUUUGAAAGGUAGCAGGUGCAUUGCAUAAACCAAAUGGCAUUCUCCUAUAUGCAAAAGUUCAAAAGGGACAAGUAAAAGUAAUUUUCUCUUAGUCCUCUAGAGCUAUAGGGAUCUGAUUUUAACCUGAAUAUCCAUCUAGAAAACAAUAGAAAUCAUGACUUGCAAGUCUAUCAAGCAUUUGAUCAAUAAAUAGAAGAGGAAAAUAAUAUUUUCUUGUGCCUGAAUUCAGUUUUCUAUAAUCAAUACAAACACGCCAACCUGUAGUUACUCUAGUAGGAAUUAAUUCAUUAUUAGCAUUAGUAACUGCCGUAACACCAGAUUUCUUAGGAAUGACUUGCACAGGGCUAACCCAAGAGCUAUCUGAAAUAUGAUAAAUAAUUCCUGCAUCUAAUAAUUUAAUUACUUCAGCUCUUACUACUUCUUUCAUGUUAGGAUUUAGCCUACGUUGCAUCUCCCUAAUAGGUUUAGCAUUUUCUUCAAAAUGAAUACGAUGCAUCUAAUCUACUGGAUUAAUACCUUUAAUAUCAACGAUGAUCCAUCCUAUUGCCUCCUUAUGCUUUUUUAAAAUACCCAACAACUUACCUUUUUGCUUAAGAUCGAGGGAGGAAGAAAUAAUAACAAGUAGAGUGUCAGAUUCUCCCAAGAAUGCAUAUUUGAGAGUGUCGGGCAGUGCUUUGAGUUCCAAUUUUGGUGGUGUCUCUGCAGAUGAGCUAAUCUUCUUCUCAGAAUGAGGCAGUGGUUCUGCCUUUGUCUUCCAUUUAGUUGUGUCCAUAAUUGAAGGUGCAUCAAGUAAGGCGUUGACUUCUGUAAUUACACUGUCAUCAUUAAAAGAUACAUCAGAAUGAGUUAGACAUGCCUCUAAUGGAUCAUCAGUAUAGUUAGAAAUGAAUGAAUCUUCUACUAAUUCCUCUAUCAUAUUUGCUUCGAUAAAUUCAUCUUCUUCCUGUGGCUACUUGGUAACAUUAAAAAUAUUAAAUUCCAUGGUUAUAUUACCAAAAGAUAGCUGCAUGUUUCCAUUCCUGUAAUUAAUAAGAGCAUCAGCUGUAGCUAAGAAAGGACGACCUAGAAUAACUAGGGUGUGUUUCUUAGGAUCCUGUACAUGCUGAGUAUCAAUAACAAUAAAAUCAAUAGGAUAAUAAAAUUUAUCAAUCUGUAUCAACACAUUCUCUAUAAUACCACGAGGUAUUUUCAUUGACCUAUCAGCAAGUUGCAAAAUAAUAGAAGUUGAUUUUAACUCACCUAGUCCAAGCUGCAUGUAAACAUAAUAAGGCAAGAGAUUAACACUAGCACCCAAGUCCAAUGAUGUUUUAUCAAACAAUUGGUUCCCUAUAACACAUGAGAUAGUAAGGGAACCUGGAUCCUUAAAUUUUGGUUGCAUUUUACAUUGAAGUAAAUUACUAGUUUGUUCAGUUAAAAAUACUUUUUUGGUGACAUGCAAAUUUCUCUUUUUAGUGCAUAAAUCUUUCAAAAACUUGGCAUAUGAAGGAACUUGCUUAAUAGCAUCGAGUAAAGAGAUGUUUAUACUUACCUGCUUGAAGAUUUCCAUAAUCUCACCUGUUGAAGUUCAUUUCUUUACCUUUGUUAACCUUUGAGGAAAAUAAGCCUUGGGAAUGUAAGCUGGUGGGCCACUCUCUUCUGGAUAAUUUAGUGAUGAGUCUUCUAAUGGAACUGGAUCUGAAGAAGUAGGCUCAGAUGUCUUCCUUGUUUGAACCUCCACUUUGUUGUCAAACAAUUUUCCUCUUCUCAAGGUCAUAAUAGAUUUUGCUUCUUCAUGUUGAUGGCUUGAACUCGAUCCAACUUCAUGCACUCUUUUAGGAUUAGGAACUAGUUGACUUAGGAAUUUUCCUUUUUCUCUCUCAGCCACAGUAGUUGCUAAUUGACCCAAUUGAUGUUCAAGCUUUAGAAUAGCUUGAGUGUUUGACUGAAAGGCCUGUUGGGUUGAUUGGAUGAAACUUUAAAGUGUAUCUUCUAAAGAAGGUUUUCUUUGUUGGGUGCAACAAAUUGAAACAUAGGCUGUUGGGCAGGAGGAUAUACUUGGUUAGGAGGGAUAAAUUGCUGAUUGGGCAAGUUAAAUUGUUGUCCUCCUUGGUUUGACAAAGGUUGAUUUUCUUUCCAAGAAAAAUUAGGAUGAUUCAUCCAAUUAGGAUUAUAUGUGAGUGAAUAUGGAUUAUUGGAGGUUUCUCAUAUGAUUGUAAGGCAUAUACAUGCUCAGGAUAAGCCUCUUGAUAGGCUGGUAAUGAUGGACAAUUUUGUGCUGUAUGAGACAAGUUAGAACAAAGAGCACAAAUCUCAUUAGCUACACUGAGAUGAUGAUUCAUUGAUUGGUUCAGAGCUAAGGCAUCUACUUUCCUAGAAAGAGUAGAUAGAGUGGCUUUCACAUCAAAAUCAUCUUCAACUUCAUAUAAACCCUUUCUAGAAACUUGAGGCGAUUUCUCUCUUUGAUGUGAAAAAUUCCACUGUUGAGAAUUCUCAGAAAGUGAAUUAAAGAAAUCACAUGCAGCCCUUUCAUGUAGGUUAAAAAAUCUCCCACCAUUCAUAGACUCUACCAUAUGACGAUUUGACAUGGUUAAACUGUUAUAAAAGCAUUGUAUAAGUCUCCAUUUCUCAAAACUAUGGUGGGGACACUUGAGGAGUAAAUCAUUAAAUCUUUCCCAACACUCAUAAAAUUGCUCUUUGAUAAAUAUCACUUAUCUCUCUCCUAAGGGCAUAUGUUUUAGACAUAGGAAAAAACUUGGUGAGGAACUUGUUGCUUAAUUCAUCCCACGUAGUAAUAGACCCAGCAUGAAGUGAAUUCAACCAAGCUUUCGCUUUGUCUUUUAAUGAGAAAGGGAACAUACGAAGCCUAAUUGACUCAUUAUUAAAAUUUUGAAAACGAAAUGUAGAGCAUAUGUCAAGAAAUUCCUUAAUGUACAAAUAUGGAUCCUCUCUCUCUAACCCAUGGAAAGAUGGUAAGAGUUGAAUGACAGAUGGGUUAAGUUCAAAGUGUGUUACUGCAGUUUGUGGCAACACAAUACAAGAUGGUUGGUUGGCUGCAAGUGGUGAAAAAUAUUUUCUAAGAGUUUUCUCUACUUGCACUGGUGGAAGUAUUGGCAAUAGUCUAUUAGGGUCAUCUAUCACUUCUGAAGAACUAUCUCGACUACAAUCAAUUUUUAACUCUUUUUUUUUUACCAAACGAUUUGUUAAAUCGCGUUCCCAAAUACUCAUAACUAGAUAAGGAAAGAAAAAAUAAAAAACAAUAAAAUAAAAUAAACCAACAAUAAUGAAAAUAAACAAAAUUUAAAAAUAAAAGAAAUCAAACAACCAAACAAUGAAUUUAAAGACAAAUAAAAAUAAAAAUUAAUAAAAAAUUAAAUAAAUAAAAUAAAAGACAACCUAAAUUAUAACUAGUGAAAGAAUCAAAUCAACCUAAAUUAAACUGACUUUCUGGCACAAUCCCCGGCAACAGUGCCAAAAAGUUGUUGUGAAAAAUUUUAAUAUACUCGCAAGUGCACGAAUCUAGAAAUAGAAUAGUGGUAACGAGGUCGAACCCACAAGGAUUGUUAUAAAUUAAAAAGUCUAAUUUAAAUCUAAAAUUAAUAUUAAUUCUAACCUAAUUGAGUAAAUUGAAUUUUUAAGAGAAAUUAAACUAAUUAAACUAAGAAAACAAUUAAAGCAAAUGAGAAAUCAAUAAGAUAAAAAUUACCAAGAUUUCAGAAUCCACCACUAUUCAAAUAGUAAUUAUCUAAUUAUAAAUUAAUCCCCAAUUUUAGAGUGAUAACUCGAAAUCAAUCUAUGUCAUCUCAUAAAUAUAACAAUUAAGUCCAAUUAAAAUUAAUCUUGUGUAGGUUCUUUUUCUUUUUAAUAGUAUGAUAUCUAGAGAUGGCCAAUGGGCCGGGCGGCACGUGGCACGGCAUGGGCACGACACGUGUCCGUACGGCACGGCACGGCACGAGCACAUUUCGGUGGGGCACAAGGCACGGCACGGCACGCAUGUGGGCCGUGCCCGACCUAGAAUUUUAGGCACGCGGGCCUUAAAGCACAGCACGAUUAGAGAUGAGCCAAAGCACGGCACACGAAAAAGCACGUAAUAUGCACGGUUCAUUGGUGGCCUAGCACGCGGCCCGUGGGCCAUCAAUAGCACGUGGGCCAAAAUAUAUCUAAGUAAAAUUUUUUAAUAAAAAGUAAAUAUAAAAUGUUAUGAAAUUAAAGUAAAAUAUCUUGGAAUUAAAUGUUUUAAUAUAUUUUUUAGCAUAGACUUUUAAAAAUUAAUUUAAAUCAUUAAAUCUUAGUUUAAAUAAAUAUUCUAAUUUUUUUGUGUUUAUAAUUUAUUAAAUGAAUAAGUAAAUAUCAUGAUUUUAAUAAAUAAAAUUAUAAAUAUCAUAAUUUUAUUUAUGAUAUUUAUUAAAUGAAUAAUGUUAUUUAUUUAUGUUUAUAAUUUAUUAAAUGAAUAAGUAAAUAACUAAAUAUCAUGAUUUUAAUAAAUAAAAUUAUAAAUAUCAUAAAUUUAUAAAUGAUAAAUAAAAAAUAAAAAUUUUAACAACAUUAAUAAUAAAAUAUUUUUCAUAUUAAUAUUAAAUCAUAACUUAGUUAAUAUUUAAUAGAGAUAUGUUUCAUUUGUGAAUGAAAUAUUUUUCAUAUUUAUACACAAGAAAAAUUUAUGAACGAAAUAUUUUUAUGAUGAAUUAAAAAUUACAUUUUCAUUAAAUGAAGUUCAAGUACAAUUAUAAUAUUAGUAAUUCAAAUACAAUUAGGUGUAAUUUGCAUUACUACAGUUAACUAUACAUCACAGCUAGGUUGGCACCUACUGAACCAUCUAUCAUUUGUAAAUUUACAACCUUCUGACUAAUAAAGUUUGUUUCAAAAAGUUAAAAGAAAAAAAAGUCUCUAGUCUUUGGAAGUGGCUUUAAUGUUCAGUACUCUGCAUAAUCUGGAUCCACUUCAUCUUGAUCAACAUCCAAACUCUCAAUUUGUUUAAUUAAAGCAUUUUGCCAAUCUUGUUGCACUCGACGUUCAGCAGCUUCCCAAUCUUUCAAACACAACAAAGAGUCUAAUGUCUCUGAUGACAAUCUUGACCGACGUUCAUCUUGAAUUCUGCCACCUGUACUAAAAGCUUAUUCGGAUGCUACAGUUGAAGUUGGAGGGGUUAGUAGAUCACGGGCCAUAAUGGAUAAUAUAGGGAAAAAAGAUGUCUUACCUAUCCAAAAUUCUAAAAUAUCAAAAUUUUGCAAUUGUGAAGGAGUUGCUAAAUCUUCAAGAUUGGAGAACAAUAUCUUUGCAAUUCAUUACGAUUAGUAUCAAUACUAGAGGCAACGCCCUUACCUUUGAGUAACAAAAGGUGAGCUGGAUUUUUAUAAGAAGUCGAUGCUUGUUGAACAUUAGAAUAUGUAUUGCUUGAUCCGAAUUUAUUUCAAUAAAAAUUAAAAAAGUUCAUGCACAGAGGACAUAAUUGUAUCAAAAUUUGUAUCAAGUUUGUAAAUUUUCACUAAUACCCUCAACUAAAGGUUUUGCACCAACUUCCUUGAUUGUAGGAUCCAACACUGCUGCAAAAAUAAAUAGGUGGGGAAUAUCUUUUCAAUAUUUUUGAAAUUUUUCCUCCAUGGCAUCAGAAAUAUUUUUAAACAUAAUAUUCUCUCUAAAAGUCUUAAAAGUAUAACUCAUAUUAUACAAGUGCAUCAACACUCUACAUGAAGUAGGCUCAUAAACAGUAGAACAUGCAAGAGUAGCAUCAUAAGAUACCUUUAAAAAAUCCAUAAAUUUAAAUGCAAUAUUCCAAUCAUAAUCAGUGAUAUGAUAAUCUUCAUCAUUCAUUCUCUCAUUGUAAAAACUAGAAAUUGCUUCAGAAUGGUUUUGGCAAGAAAGCAACAUCAAAUACGUAGAAUUCCAACGAACUUUCAUGUCAAUGUUGAAUUUUCUCCUUUUCAAUCCAAAAAUUUUCAACGUAGACAAAAAUUGUUGACGUCUUGAAGGUGCUCUAAUAAAUAAAAUGGCUGCUCUAAUUUUUUCUAAAUAAUGAUUUAUAUGAGUCAUACUAGCUUGAACAAUUAAAUUAAUAAUAUGACACACACAUCUCACAUGAAAAAAUUUUGAACCACGUGCAGGCGUGAGAGUAGAAAUAUUCCGCAAAAACAUAUCAAUUGCAGCUGUAUUGGCAGAUGCAUUAUCAAAUGAUAUGCUAAACAAUUUAUCAGUAAUUUCAUAUUCUCUUAAAACAGACAUUAUAGCUGCAUAAAUUAUUGAACCAGUGUGAGGAUAUUCUAAUUCACGAAAUGCAAGCAAUUUUUUUUCCAACCUCCAUUUACCAUUAAUCUCAUGUAUAGAGUGCGAAGUCACACAAAAAUAACCAACCAUAUUAAUACUAGUCCAACAAUCAGAAGAAAUUGAAAUAACACCAUUAAAAUUGAUAAAAGUAUUAAUUAAAAGUUUUUUCAUGUCAUGAAAAAUUUUAGUUAAAUCACGUUUUAAUGUAUUUCUAGGCACUUUCUUAAGUUGAGGCUGAACAUACCUUUGCAGAAAAUUUAUUAGACGUUCAUCUUCUGAAAAUGUUAAAGGUUGUUCUGCUGCAGCAAUAUACCGAGCCAAUCCUUCUCGCAUGUUCUGUUGUGAAUAUCUGAAUGAUGUUAUACCGGAAGGUCCAGAACCAUAUUUUGAGAGUUGGGUUUGUGUUGGGUCUUGUGGCGCGUGUUUGUCUGACAAGUUUCCAUAUGUCAUCUAAGAUGUCCAGUUCCACCAUUGCUUUUGGCACUUAAAGCGGAUUGACAAUAUUUACACACUGCUUGAUCCACCAUUUCACCUUUUUUGUUUUGACGUUUUUCCAAAGUAAAACAUGACCAAACAAUCGAUGUUCUUUGUCAUUUGGAGGUAGUAGUAGGAUUGACAGUCGAAGAAGUAUAACCACUUUGACUUGCUUGAGAAGUAGGAGGCGAUCGUUCAGGUGGGACAAUAAAUAUAUUACUUAGAUCAAAUUCUGGUGCAUCAAUUUCUUCAUUUGCAACUUCCUCCCCCUCUUCAACAAAAUUAAAAUUCUCAUCUAACUCGAAAUGAGAGUGAGACAUUUUAUAUAAUUAGCGUUUUGGUAAAUAAAGGCGGCUGGAAUGUAUUUGUGCGGGUGAAAAAAAAGAAAAAAUUUAUUGAGCAAGAGAAUGGAGAUUCGUGUGUUAAAUGGUGUUGAAUGAUGUUUUGCUUUUGUUUGAGAUUUCAGUAACAAAGGGAAAUUGCUGGAAUUGUAGCAAAGUUUCGAGAAGAUUGGGCAAGCAGAGACUAGAGAUGACUGAUGAGACAAGAGAGAUAACGAAGAGAUAGAGAUUGAGAAGUGAGAAUAAAAUUAAUUUAGAAUUGUUUUCUUUAUUUAAUAAUUAGAAAAAAUUAAUUUUUAAGUGCACCGUUGUUAUUUAUUUUUUAAAAUAAUUUUAGUAAUUAAUUUUUUUUUCAAAACAACGUAUUAAAUUAAAAAGAAAAUUAUGGUUCAUUGUUACAAGAGAAUCACGCAACUAUCACAAUGUUAAUAAAUCCUAUCACAAGUGUGUUGAUGAGAUAAUAUUAUAGUAGGAGUACGGGAGGAGCUUGCAUUCAUUAUGUAGAGUAUUUUAUUUCUUUGAAUUUAAAUUCUCAACUCAAAUUUUCAACACAGUAGUUGUCAUUUAGUGCACAUGCAGACGUGCAAAUUGCAGUGUAGCUGUGCAGUCAAUUCAAGUUUCAAGAUUUGAAAAUUGUGAAAGUUGCAACUUGCAAGCGUGUUGCAAAUUUGAGUAGUUAUGUCGAUUUUAUUAUUUCGUGAUUGUAAAAUUUUAAAAUUAUGUACAGUGUAAUCAAUUAAAAAUUUGAAAAAUUAUGAAAGUUAACCGACAAUGAUGUUUAAAUAAUAAAAAAUUGGGAUAAUUGUGCAUUUGUUUUAAUAUUUUCAUUUAUUUUUUAAAUAAUUUAAGAUCUUUUUCCUACAUGCCACCCAAGCCUCACGGCUCCACAAAAAAUAAGAUCUCAAGAUUCAUUCAUUCACAAAUAUUUAUAUUUCACUAAAUAUUUUUUUACUUACUCUUUUUACUCCCACCUACAAAGUAAAUAAAAUUAAUUUUUGUCUUUUUAUUACUAUCUAAUAUUAUAUAUACACGCCAUUAUGCUAUGAUGCUUCACAAUUCUUAUUCUUCUUCUUUUUCCUCUCAAACUUUCCAAUAUUCUAAAAACCAAAAUCAUUAUCAAUCCACAACAACAUAAUAUGAAUGCAGAAGAACCUCAACACCCUCAAGAAUACAGUGUGGAUGUAGUUGGACCUCAACAAAACGCUAGGCUAAAUCAGUCCAGAAGUCGUUCUUUAAAUGAGUUUUUUCAAAAUUUUACUACAACAAGGGAGGAAAUAAUAGAUAAUAGUUUGCAUCGUCCUUACAAACGGAUGAUCUUGAGGUGCAACUAUUGUCAUCAAGAAGUUAUUUAUUCAGACAGCCAUGGCACCUUGGGUUUACGUCGGCACAUGUCAAAUUGUUUAGCUCGCCACCUUAGCCGAGAUAGAAUUAACCUUGCUCGUUUCCCGUAUACAUAGUUGUGAUUAAUAAAUAUUUUUUUCGUGCUUGUUAUUGUCAAUUGGUCGUAGUUGUAACUUGUAAGUUGUGACCUAUGAUUUGUUAUAUUGAUAUUUCGUAGUUAUGAUUUAUUGUAAUUAUUAUUCGAGGAUUGUUUUUUUAAUUUUAAUUAAUUAUUAUUAUUAUCUAUGGAAUUAAAUUAAAUUAAAUUUAUGUAUUGUUGUGUUAUGAUUGAUUAUUGUGAAAUAAAAUAUGUAGUUGUGAAAUUGUGAUAAACUAAUAAUAAAAUAUUAAUUGCCUCUUAAUAAAAAUUAAUAUGAUUAUGAUUAUGAAUAUUAUUAUUAUUAUUAUUAUAUUGGUGGGCUUAAAAAAACACGCCAGGCACAUGGGCUUUUUUAUGCACGCAAAAAAAAAAAAGUUGGUGGGCUUUUUUUGGGCACGGCCCACGGCACAUUACGAGCACGGUACGAACGGGUUCGUGCCGUGGGCCGUGCUGGGCUCAACUGAAAAAAAGAUGGGCCGUGCCGUGCCGGCCCACGAGCUCUUGUGGGCCGACAGUUGCCGGCACGGCCCAUUGGCCAUAGUUAAUGAUAUCUAAGAAUCUCAAGUAAACAUAUUGAAUAACAAAGAGUCAAAGUUUUCCUAGGCACUAUAUGUAAACAAUUUAAUGAAAGACACCGAAUCAAAUAUAAUCAUGUAUAAAUUUUAUAGAUCCAAGCGUAGAUUUAAUCGAAUAUCAAUCCUAACAACCAAUAAUGCAUGAUAGAAUUGGUGAAAAGAUUUAAUAACAUCCAAUUAAUCACGUGAAACAAAAAUCAUAAUCAUCAAAGAACAUAUAUAGGGAAUUAAUUAAAUGAAAAAAUAAUUAUUUCAUUGAAUAGAAUUUCAUCCUUAACCUCAGUAUAAGAAAAUUAGCUAGAAAUACUUGAAUUAGGAGCAACAAACGAAAUAAAAUCAGCCAUGGGAAGCCGAACUGCUGCAGCCAGUUUUCUCCCGAAUCGCGUCUGCUUUUUUUUUUUUCCUUCCUCUGGCGGCUGCCGUCCGUCUUCUCUUCUUUUUUCCGGGCGGCUACCCCCUAAUUCUUUUUAUACUGUAACGCCACCACAAAAUCCUCAAAUCAAAAGGAUUUUAAAACAAGCCAAGCACAACCAACUUUAAGCCCAUGCACGUGAAGCCCACUUGAAAUCAAUGGUCAAUGCUUUUCCAACUAUUCACGUGAGAUGCACACUUGGAAAGCCAAUUAUUCUCCUUUAAGCAUCUUUUUUCCUCUUUUCUUUUAUUCUUCACAAGCUAGCAAUUAUUUCCAUAAACUCUAUUUUGUUUCCUUUUUAAGCUCCCUUUCAUCAAUGGCUUCCACAAAUUGAUUUGAUCUUUAAUGCUGUCCAAUUAUUAUCCCUUAUGCACUUUUCAUCCAUAAUCUCCAAUUAAUUCCCUAAUCAAUAAAAAAAUUCAAUUAAUUAAAAAUAACAAAUAAAAAUAACUAGUAAUUAUGUAAUUAAGGAUAAAAUAUGUAUAUAUUAUAUGCUCAUCAUUCCAUUUGGGUGUAUUGGGGUUGUGGGUUUUGUGAGUUUUUCCCACUUUUGUAAAUUCUCAUUAUUAGUAAAAUUAUCUUUCAUUCUUUUCCCGUGCACAUAGGCAUUACACUGAACCACGUAAAUUAUUGUGUUCUAUUUUCUUUACAUUUAUUUGUCACAUUUAUAUUUCUCCAAAAGUUACAGUCAUCGUAAUAUUGGUAAUUGUUCAACCUCGCACUUCCGCAACACCAUCCUUACACUAUUAACAGAGAGAGAGAGAGAGUAAAGUAUCCCAAAAUGUAGAGAGCUUAAGAUUUAACUCUUUGAUAGAGAGUGCAGAGAAACGGAGUACUUACAAGUGAGUUCUUAAAAAGUUUGGAGAGUGUUCUCUUGAGUGUUCAGUUGAGAUCUAUAUUAUUUGUAGGGAUGCGAGAGAUUGUUUCCUUCAAGAGCGUUGAGAGUACUAAAUGUAUUUAAGUAUUUGGAAAAUAAGGUUUAAUUACUCAAAUUUAUACUCUAUUAAUUGUUAAUAAAAUAAUUACUCUCUCUUUGCCUCCUUGGAUGUUGGUAUCGUUGCCAAAUCAGGUUAAAGACAAGUGUCUUUAUCUUUUGUAAAUUAUUUAGUGCCUAUUGAUUGCACAUCUGCGCAUAAGUGGCAUUGAACUGCAACAAAUGACACUUUUGCACACAACACCACAUUGGAUACGUCACCGAGCAAGUUACCAGCAACUCGCAUCUUAUGAACCUAAUUUACAUGUGAAUAUAAAUGAGCAUGGCAUUGGCAUGUUACUAAAGAUAUUGUACAUAAAUCUACUAUUCUUAAUACCAACUAAAUAUUGGUCGUGUAUCAUUGUGCACAAAACUUUUAGGCAACAGCGAAGUCAGAUAACAGCGUAGUUAGAUAUUCAAUAUAGUUGGAGUUAUGUUCAAACAACAAUAUGAUUUAAAAAAUUUUAGUAAGUACUAAAAUUCUAAAUUGGCUUUACUGAAAUAAUAUAAUUCAGUUGCUCGUAGGCGAACGUGCUGAAAAGAAAUAAUAGAGACCUUAAAGAGAAAGUUAAGUAACUGAAACGAGAUUGCUUUCACGUUCAAACGAUGGGCCUUUAAAGGUCAAGGUUUUAGAAUCUAAGGCUUAUAGUAGAACUCAGAACACUAAGAAGUUGGAGAAUUUUUAGUAAGACGUACAACAUCACUUUCCAGCUAUUCGAGUACCAUAGACAAAGCAUGUCACUAUCACAAGCAUAUACUUAGAGGGUGAUACUAAGUUGUGGCAAUGGGGUAGGCUUUAACAGGAUACUGAAGCAUACAUCGAUUGGCAAUUGAAAAAUAGGACACACUUAAAGGAGAAGUAAAUGGUCAGUUCUUAUGCAGGAAUGGUAUUUGGCUUGAAGGGAAGAGCUUGAAAAAGCUAAAGCACAUCGGCUCAGUGAGAGAAUACGUUAAAGAGUUUAUUUCAUUGAUGUUGGACAUCAAGAACAUAUAAAGUGAGGGCAAGCUCUUCAAUUUUAUAUUAGUAUACACUAAUAGGCUUAAACGAAAUUACAGAAGCAGGCUGUAAGGUACUUACCAACGGCAAUUCCAGCUGCUGAUAGCUUGGUGCAUUUUAGACCCAUGAAUACUUAUCCUUUUGAAUAUAAGAAAUCCAAAGAUAACAAGAAAGGCAACACUUUGUGUGAUAGUGGGAUGAAGAAUGGCAACCACAUCAAAGCCAAGUAAAGGAACUGCAAGACAAAAAGGGUUCAGGGUACUUCAUUUGCGACUGACCACAUCGGGCAAAAGAUUAUCUAAACCCUGAGAUGCUUAAUGCUUUGGUUAAGGAAACAGAAGGGGAUUCUUUGAAACUUUCAGCUGCCAAAUUAGACGCAACACGCAUAAAUCCAUUACAACUAUUAAACAACAUGGAUGUCAAGGUGAAGGAGGUACUUGUAAAUGAAAAGAAGCUAAAAAGUGUCUUGAUGGGUAAAUCCUAAUUAGGUAGACUGAUUUGUGUAGUAAUGAUGGUUAAUAGAGUAGAAAUAAGGGCAAUAAUAGACAUAGGGUGGAAUGGUGAAACAUGUAAAGGCGAAUUUGAUACCACAUCUUGGACUGCAAAUUGCUAGAGCUAACAUUGACGUGAGUUUUGCUUUUAAUAAUCAAGUAGUUCCAGAGGAUAUAGUAGUAGCCAACCUAAGUAUGGGAACUUGGGCACUAGAUGCUAGGUUUGUAAUUAUAUGAUCGACGAUAUUUGUUGGAAUUUUCGGAAUAGAGUUCUUAUACAAUUCAGAGGUACAUUUACUAUCUCGCUUAUUAUGCAUUUAGAUUAGGAGCAUGAAAGAGUCGUGCACAGUCAAAUGUGAGUUUAAAAGUUUCAGUAAGUUGGGACCACCAUCCCAAUUUACCAUAACUGGUGUAAAUUGAGGGAAUUUCGUGAUCAUGUCCAUAGUUAUGGAGCACCUUCAAUUUAAGAAGGGAAUUGAUGGGUAUACCAAGGUGUUCAAGAAUGUGGAAGACUUUCAGAAAAGUACCGACUGUGGUAUACCAAUGUCAUUCGAGCUAAAAUGGCGGUAAAAGGGCAUAGAAGUGUGGCGAACAUUUUAAGGCAGCAAGCAAAAAUUUAGUAAGAGUUUCAUUGAUGGCUUUUUGGUUCUUAUUGGUGCCUAUUAGAGGUAACGACAUUGUUCCUCAUUUAUUAGUGUGCAAUUAGGUGGAGUGAGCGUCAGAUAUUUGGCGAGAAAGUUUAGUAUGGUGACCUGAAGUGGAUAAAGACAUAUGUAGCCCUAGAAUUUAUGAAAACUUUUGAUGUUCUUAGCGAAAUCGAAACAAAAGUUGAGCUUUAUUGUGCAAUUUCCAAGAAAAGCAAGCAGGAGCUUUUACGAUUAACAGAUGAAGAAACUAUUAGUCUAAAAUCAUUUAAUAGGUAGUAAAUAGUUCCAUAUAUGUAAAACAUUAGAGGGACUUAACAAUGGCAAAUCGGGUGAAUAGUGAGCCAAAUGUUGACAUAGGGAUGUUUGUCAAAGAGAAGGAAAUAUAAGCUUUACUAUGGCAAUAUGAGGGAGAGGUUAUGGUAGACUUAUUACCUUAUCAACGAGGACAUCAAGUUUUCUGGUUAAAGAGGUUUGUCACUGCUAUAAAUCAUUAUGGCUUAUGCCAAGACUUAGCUUGUGGCCUUGUGCCAAGCCGCUGGCAGCAUUAUGGGCAUACUUGUAGGCGUGAACGAAAGUAACACUAGACUGGACUGCGAACUAGGGCGCGACAUCAAGCACAUGCUCCAAGACAAGUGCGGGGAGUGCGAGACAGUGCUCGCAAGGAUGUGUGCUACCAUCUAUAUAAAUGUAGAGGCAUGGGAUGUAUAGAGCACACCUAUAGGCUAAGUUGGGCAGAAUACAGGAUGGCACAAUGCAGUUGUGCUCAGGCUAAAUAGGCAACGCGUACGUUGGUCGGCAGCAGGUGCAAAAGCAUCCAAGGCAGUACGUAAAUGCGCAACGUGCAACAUAUAGAUAUAUACAUGGGAGUCAAACUAUAUAAAUAUGAGAGACAUUUGGAUUAUACAUGUGGCCUAUAUUUGGGCAAUAGCAAUCGAACACUGAGCAUAUUGGCUAGAAAAUUUCCAAGAAUGAGUCUUAGAAACAAAAAUGAGUGAGAUUUUUUGUGCAACGAACAAAAGACAUGGCCUUCAAAUUCAUUCCUAAAACCAUGUAGACAAGAGAAGUAGACAGUGGCGAUUAUUCAUUAUUUCCUUGCUUCUAGUGUAGUGGGCAGCGGUUGCCUAAUCCUUAAAGGAAUAGCGAUGUGAUUCCUAGAAUCAUGCUUAAUAAUGCCUAGUCUGGGGGGGAGGAAAUGAGGUGGCAUAAGGACAGCAAGCCACCUCGCCUUGACAAAAAGUGGUGUCAUAUGUAACAUGUAUAUAUAGUGAGAGUGCGUGUGUGUUUUGGGAGAUCUAAAUUUUAGUAAAAUGAGUGGUCCUUAAGCACACAAAGCUUAGAGCUAUUUCAUAAUUUUUCUUAUUAUAGGAAUUGAAAAGUUAGGGAUCAGUGCCUCCAUAAAAAGCAAUAUUGUGUGUUCUUGUUAUUUUUAUUCCUUUUUCUAUUGUUGGUUUGGUUUAUCUCUUGUGAUAACCUCUAUUAUGGGCCUUUUGGGUUGCUUUCAUUAACGUUGUUGAGUGAUUGGCUAAGUGGGGGCUUAGCACCAUCACACAAGUUGUCAUGUCUUCAAACAAAACCAAGUGACAACUAGUAUCAGAGCAAAUGUUGCUUCAGUUGUUAGAACAAUUAGUGUUAGAGUAAAGAUUGCAUUAGUUGUUUGGACAACUAAUAUCAGAGCAUAGUUUGUUCCAGUUGGUAGAACAAUUUGGUAUCAAAGCAACAAUUACGAAGCAGGGUUGCAUCAAUGUUGGUGACAAAUGAUUUCAAGGCUCGAUUAAAAUCAGUUCAAGGAUAAUUGAUUGUGUGAUUUUAGGGAAGCUACGAUGCAUGAGCUAGAUUGUGUAAUUUAUAGGGAAUUUAACAAUGGUACAUGAAUUGUGUGACUAGCGACUAAAACCAGCAUGGCAGGAGAAUCAAUAAAGGAUGACUUAGAUGAUUGGACGCUAUUGUGGGUACUUUGUAGCCGUACUUGUAGAGUUUGGCUAAGAACACAAAAAUCAACUCAAUUAAGAUGGCAAGUAUGCAAAAAACUUGCAAGGAGUUUGGAAAUGAUUUCAUGAAGACGCUUAACAAGGUGAUGAAAAAUAUUGUUCAUAAGCGAAGGUGCUGAAAAUCAAUAUUAUAGAACUUGAAGAGAAAGCUGGGUUACUGAAACGCACAGUAGGCAAUGCUUCAGAUUCUAAAGAUGGGCCUUUGAAGGUCAAGGUUUCAGAACCUAAGGCUUAUAGUAGAACUCAGAACGCUAGGGAAUUGGAGAAUUUUCUGUGAGAUGUGGAUUAGUGCUUUCUAGCUGCUCGAGUAUCAGAGAUGGAGCAUGUCACUAUCACGAGCAUGCACUUAGAAGGUAAUGCUAAGUUGUGGUAGCGGAGUAGGCUUCAAGAGGAUGUCGAAGCACAUAGUGAUCGGUAAUCGAAACAUAGGACACAUUAAUGCAAGAAUCGAAGGGUCAGUUCUAAUGGGAAAUCCUGGUUGGAUGAAGACAGAAAUCUUUAAAGAGCUGAAGCAUGCCAAAGAUUUUAUUUAAUUGAUGUUGGACAUCAAGAGCAUGUCAGAUGAGGACAAACUUUUCAAUUUUAUAUUGAGACUGCAACCAUGGCCUCAAUCAAAAUUGUGGAAGCAAGCUGUGAGGGACUUGUCGAUGGCAAUUAUAGCUAUUGAUAGUUUAGUGGAUUUUAGAUUCAUGAACACUUCUCCUUCUGAAUUUAAGAAAUCAAAAGAUUGCAAGAAAGAAAAUUCUUAGCAUGAUGGUGGGAAGAAGAAUGGCAGGAAAAACAAAGUCAAGCCAUGAAAUCUACAAGAAUAGAAGAGCUUGGGGUACCUCAUUUGCAAUGGACCACGUCAGGAAAGGAUUGUCCAAAGCACGAGAAACUGAAUGAUUUCGUGAACAAAACAAAAGGAGAGUGUACAAAACCUUCAGUGGCCGAAGUAUGUGCAACACAAAAGAAUCUGUUACAAUUGUUGAACAACAUGGAUAUCCACUAAAGUAUUAUUUUUUCUUACAAUAUGUUCAAUUUUUUCUUUAUAUCCUCUACCUAUUAUUACUUCUAAGAAAUAUAUCCAUCUUUUACUAAUAAAACAAUUUUUCUUCUCAAAAUUCUUCUUUUGUACUUUUUUUUAUAAAAUUCUAUAAUUUUAUUACAAUCUGUUCUUACUGUAAAUGUGUCACUUUGUAUAUACAAAUGAAAUGAGUUUAAAGAAUUUAUUAUUCACAGAUUCUCCAAUUCUGUACAUGACUUUCUACUUUCUAUUUCUGUAAAUUUUCUACUAGUAUACGUUGUUAUUUCUUCUUUCUCUUUUGACCUAUCUUCAUUGGGCUUUUGUAUUAGUAUUCUUGUCCAUUCUAAACUACUUGCAUUAGUUUAUAUAAUUUUAUAAUUAUUGUUUAUAGGCAAUGCUAAUGGCUUAAGAUUCCUAACUAUUCCUUUUAAGUUUUUGUAUUAAUUUUGUAUCUUCUCUGGUAAAACAUUUCUAUCCAUUUUUACUUAACUUAUUAUAUAAAGGUUUUAUUAAUGUAUUAAGAUUUGGUAUAAAUUUCCUACUACAAUUUAAUAAUCCUAAGAAUUUUUGUAGUUCUGUAAUAUCUUCUAUUUUAUUAGGAAAUUCUAAUAUUUUACUAACUAUAUGUGGUUGUAAUUCUAUAGUUCCUCUAUCUAUUGUUAGUCCAAAUUUAUUUUGUUUUAAUAAUUCAAUUUUCUUUUUAGAAAUUACUAUAUUAUUAUUCUUAAAACAAUCUAAAUUUUUAUGUAGGUGAGUUAUGUGCAAGAACUUGUUAUGACUAAAAACAAGAAUAUCAUUCAUAUAAACUAUACAAAAUUUUGUAAAGGGUUUCAGUAUUUUAUCUAUUCUACCUUAAAAAACUUGUGGUGCAUUUUUUAAUCCAAAUGACAUUACUAACCGUUCAAAGUGUCCUUUAGAACAACUAAAAGUUGUCCAUUGAACAAAUUCUUCAUGGAGUCAUAUUUGCCAAAAACCACUUUUACAAUCAAAUUUAGAAAAAUAUCUAGUAUUUGGUAUACAAUUUACUAGCUCAUCUUUAUUAGGUACUUUAUAACUAUUGUCUAAAGUAUUGUCGUUUAAUCUUUUAUAAUUAAUUACCAUUCUAUUCUUACCUCUUUUUUGUUCACUAUGAUUAUUUACAAUAAAUAUUGAACUUCUAUGUCUACUUGUAUUAUUUCUUAUUACUAUUAUUUCUAAUAAUUCAUUUAUAUGCAUUUUAAAUUCAUUUUGUAUCUUUAAGCUAUAAGCUAAAUUAUGUGUUUUUAUUGUUAUAUUUGGAUUAAUAAUUUAGAAUUUAUAUACUUCUUUAUUAUCUUUUCUAAUUGUGUUGUUGCCUAUUAUUUUUAAUGUUUCUUACUCUUCUACUUUUUUUUAUUAUGUCUACAGCCCAUUUUUCACAUUUUAAACAUUUUACUUCUUUUUCUAUACUCAUAACAUUUUCUAAAUACUUGUCUAUCUCUUCAUCGUCUAAAAUUUCUACUUCAGUACUUUCUAACUUAUUAUACACGUGCAUGUGUCACUUUCUAAUUCUAUCUUACUAUUGUCUGUUAGCUCUUUAGUAUGUUCUACUUUGCUAUCUUUUUCUUCUUCUUNNNNNNNNNNNNNNNNNNNNNNNNNNNNNNNNNNNNNNNNNNNNNNNNNNNNNNNNNNNNNNNNNNNNNNNNNNNNNNNNNNNNNNNNNNNNNNNNNNNNGUUUCUUAGAAUGUAUAGCAAAUAUACCUAUUAGAAUAAAUGGAGAAACACACAUUUUACCACAAACUUUUAUUUCUAAUAGGAAAGUAGGAUAUACAUUUAUUAAUGGAUUAAACUUUAUAUCAGGAAAUAAUAGCAGUAUAUAAAUAACUCAAAAUGGAGUUAAUUUCUUAAAAAAAUCAAAAUUUAUUCAACCCAAAUAUGAAACACACAUUUUGUCCUAUGAAAAAGAAGACUUUAAUGCUAGGAAAAGAAGUAGAUAUAGAAUUCUUUGAUGUUUUAUUAGAAGAAUAAAAAGAUAGCAAAGUAGAAAGUACUAAAGAGCUAGCAGACGAUAGUAAGUUAGAAUUAGAAAGUGACAUAUGCACAUGAAUAAGAAGUUAGAAAGUACUAAAGUAGAAAUUGUAUACGAUGAAGAGAUAGACAACGAUUUAGAAGAUGUUAUGAGUAUAGAAAAAGAAGUAGAAUGUUUAGAAUGUGAAAAAUGGCUUGCAGACAUUAGAAAAAAAGUAGAAGAGUUAGAAAAAUUAGAAAUAAUAGGCAAGAAUCUAAUUAGAAAUAUAAAAAGAACUAUAUAAAUUAGAGAUUAUUAUUCCGAAUAUAACAAUAAAAACACGGGAUUUAGCUUAUAGCUUAGAAGAUAGAAAUGAAUUUAAAAUGCGCAUAAAUGAAUUAUUAGAAUUAAAAGUAAUGAGAAAUAGUACAAGUAGACAUAGAAGUACAACAUUUAUUGUAAAUAAUUAUAACAAAAAAGAGGUAAGAGUAGAAUGGUAAUUAAUUAUAAAAGAUUCAACGAUUAUACUUUAGACAAUAGUUAUAAGAUACCUAAUAAAGAUGAGCUAGUAAACUGUAUACAAAUGCUAAAUGUUCACAAGGACAUUUUGAACGGUUAGUGCUGCCUUUUGGAUUAAAAAAUGUAGCUCAAAUUUUUCAAGCAAGAACGGAUAAAAUAUUAAAACAUUUUUCAUAAUUUUGUAUAGUUUAUAUAGAUGAUAUUUGUUUUUAGUCAUAAUAAGUUCAUGCACGUAACUCGCUCACAUAAAAUUUUAUAUAGUAAUUUCUAAAAAGAAAAUUGAAUUAUUAAAACAAAAAAUAGAUUUUUUAGGACUAACAAUUGACAGAGGAACUAUAGAAUUACAUCCACAUAUAUUUAGUAAAAUGUUAGAAUUUUCUGCUAAAAUAGAAGAUACUGAAGAACUAUAAAAAUUCUUAGGAUUAUUAAAUUAUAGUUAGAAAUUUAUAUCGAACCUUAGUACACUAACAAGACCUUUAUAUAAUAAGUUAAGUAAAAAUGGAGAGAAAUAUUUUAACAGUGAAGAUAUAAAAUUAGUACAAACUCUUAAAGGAAUAGUUAGGAAUCUUAAGCCAUUAGCAUUAUCUAUAGACAGUUAUUAUAAAAUUAUACAAUUUGAUGCAAGUAGUUUAGAAUGGACAGGAAUACUAAUACAAAAGCCCAAUAAAGAUAGCUCAAAAGAGAAAGAAGAAAUAAAAAUGUGUAGUAGUCAAAAUUUUAUAGAAAUAGAAAGUACAAAGUCAAGUACAUAAUUAAAAAUUCUAAGAAUAAUAAAUUUUUUAAUCUCGUUACAUUUGUAUAUACAAAAUGAUAUAUUUACAAUAAGAACAGAUUAUAAUAAUAUUAUAAAAUUUUAUAAAAAAAGUACAAAAGAACAAUUUUUGAGAAGAAAAUUUCUUUUAUUAGUAAAAGAUGGAUAUAUUUCUUAGAAGAAAUAACAAGUAGAGAAUAUAAAGCAAACUUUGAACAUAUAGUAGGAAAAUAUAAUAUUUUAGCUGAUAUUCUUUCAAGACUAAUUAUUCAAUAAUUAUUUUAUAGGAAUGGAGUGAUAUAUGAAUUUUGGUCCAACGGCACUUAGAGAGUCCCUUCAUGAACAAAUUUAAGGUUUAGAAGUAAAUAUCAAUUAUUGGACAAUCAACAAUCCAUCUUAGAUAAUUUGUAGAAUUGUAAUAACCUAAAAGAUAAAUUUAAAGUAGCCAAUGCACUCUUGCAUUACUUUAAACAGAUUAAUAAGCAUGUAGAAACUAAUCGUUUUGCAUUUUUCAUAUUAGUCAGAGGUAGACAACUAGGCAUUUAUAGUCAGUCGAGAGAGAUAGUUGAUCUAACAAUCAAUUAUCCUGAUCCAUACUAUGGAGGUUUUUAUAUAUUUCAUGAAGAAAUAGAAUUUGCUAGACAAAAGAUAGGACCAAAUACAAUGUUAGAUAUUUAAUUAACCUUUUAACAGUGCAUCAACAUCAUCAAACAUAUAAUUAAAUAAUUCUUUAGACAGUGCAUCAUCAUUAUCAUCAUCAUCUAUACAGAUUUGCAACCAUUGUGAAAUUAUGACACACACAGUUAGAAAACUUAAUGAUACUAGACAUCAUCUAGACGGUGUAAAUGAAAAAUGUAAACAAAAAAUGAUUGCAUUAGAAAGUGAAGAUAAAGAGUUAAUUGGACAGAAUAUUAAAUUACCAAAUAAAUAUCAUAUUCUACUAUUGGAUCACCAAAAAACCCAAAAACAAAAACAACUACUGAAACAUUAUUUAAUCAUAUCCUACCAGGAUAAUUAAUAAAAAUCCACCAUAUUUCUUCCUUCCUUGGUGGCAGCAUAGACAUUGUAAAAGAAAAAAUAGUAGAAAAUCUAUACCAAGACUUUGUUUCUUUAGCCAACCAAUUAUUUUAUAGUCAGUUAAAUUUCUUAAUCUAAUUUGUACUUAGAUGGUCAGAAUUAAGGAAUAUUACCCCUCUUGGACAUGAUUUGUCUAUAAUUUCCUUUGAUUAUUCUUUAGCCAAAACCCUAGACAAUGAAGAUUUAUUAUUAAAGGCUAUCAGUUUUGGUCUAAAUUGCAUUUUAUAAUAUGUGGAAUUCAAUCUUGGAGAAUAAAAUACUUUUGUUGCACCACUUCCAUAAACAACUACUUCAUCCUGUGAUUCGGAUUGACGAAGCAAGACAUUCACAAAGUAAGCACCAUAGAGAUGUGCUGAGACAAAGGUUAUAGGGAAUUUUAGCUGCUUCUACAGUUCUACUGCCCUUCUUACCAUUCGUUUUUUCCUCCAAGUAAGCUUCAAAAGGAGGCAGAGGCCUUACCCUGUCUCUUCACAUCCAAACUCAGAUGGAAGAAACCUCCAGCAACCAAAACAUAGUAUGUUUAAGAUCUGUUCUAUAUAAACAAAUUUGAAGUAAUUCAGCACUGAAUUGUAAAAAGACACUAAAAUGUUACAAAGACGCAAAUACUAAAUUAGAGUUUGUGAUUUUAGGUAUUUUGCUAAUUUACUAGCCCUCGUAUAUAUUUUUACAUCUUUUUUAGAUAACUACAAUUACUUAGCUUAAAUCUACAUUUAGAAAGUGUGGAAAUCCACAUUUAAAAGUUCAUAAUAUUUUCCAUUUACUAGACAAACUAUAUUAAAAUUUCUGAAAAAAAAAACAAACGAUCUAUUUUAUUUUUCAGAAAGAAAGAGCUCAAUCAAGUACCUUGAUGUUGCCAGCAACUUUGAUGGCAUCAUCAAUUUUCAGUUGAUCACGAAACUGAGGAUAAGCUACAGUUGAUAUCACCACAUCUACUUCUUUAAAUAUAGAUACAAUUUUUUUCUCGUGCUCGCCUAGCUCUCCCUGUUUUAAUUUCAACAGUAUUAUUGUUAAUACUUAAGCUUACAAAUAAUAUUGAAGAUUCUAAUUAGAUUAACACAAAAUUAAUUUCAUAAAAAGAAGUAUAAGAGAUCAUUCUACGCGCACUUAAAAAAGAAAAAAAAAAAGAUCAAGAAAACAAAAGGAGAUCGAGAUGAUUGAGUGAUGAAGUUACCUCAAUAAUUGCGACACCAAUAUCCUGAAAUUCCUUAUAGAUUUCAAGCUUGGAGGGACUUGAAUUUUUUUUUUUGAACCGGUCGAGCAUAAGCAUAAGCUUUGUGACCAGAAAAUACACUUGCUUUCACCAUAUAUUUGCCGAAGUAUCCGGUACCCCCAAAGCUUGCGUUCUCACCUUCCAUUUCUUCCUUUUACUUCGAUUUAUCUUUCAUAUUCCCUUCUCUUGUUGCGUACAUUUAUAUAUAUGAUAGCACAAAAGAGCUCAUUGCAUUUUUGUCAUGAUAAUAAAAAAUAAAAAAAAUUGGCAUUUUUGUUCUUUUUUUUACUAGAAACGCAAUGAAUUGAACAUUUAUAAUUAGUAAAAGAAUAAGUGCGACUUCACAGUUUAUGGAGUUUUUCAUUGCAAUCAUGUUGAUGUUCAUAAUGUUAAAAUUAAUGGAGCUAUUUCAGCAUGUUGAAAAUCCGAAAAUUGCAUCCAUCAUGUAGUACUUGUGUCAUGUCAUUGAGUUUUGUUCUCUUAUCUUUUUUAUUUUAAUAUAUUACUUGUUUGACAUAUUGCCUGUGGAGAUAUUUCUCAGGUGAAAUCAUAAUUUAGUUUUUUUUUAAAUAAUUUAAAUAUGUGAUAUAUAGUAUUUUUAGGCCUUGUUUGAGAUUGAGGUUGAAAUUCAGUAACUUGCUUAUUUGAUAAUGGUGGCAAAAAUAUUAUUUGAUAAAUUUUGUAAAAACUACUUAUUUCACAAUUUCUCCAUCUUGAAAGUGGCUUUUAAACGCAGGUACGGGUUGUCUUUCAUAAUCAGUUUAUUAUAUAAGCUACCACAAUUUUUUAAAUUUCCUAUUAUAACCUUAAAAUUUAAAAGAAUAACUAUCUCUUAUUUUUUCAUACACCCUGAUAUAUAAGCCAUAAUAUCAUAUUAUCACCACAACAAAUUAUAAAGCUAUUGUGCAUUCUCUUCAGUAUCAAAAUUUUGACCCAACAAGUUCAUUGGAUUUUAUUUAAUUGAGAUUUUUUUUUCUUUAUGUAAUUUUAUGUGUUUUAAAAAGAAAAAGAUAUGUCUAAACAUUAUUAAAUAUACUCCAGAAAAAUAAAAGGUAAUUUAAACUUAUAUCUAUUUUGGUCAUUAUAUAAUAAAACAAUACGUCUGUAAUCAAAUUUACUGAACGCAUGUACAUUGCUUUUUAAACUCAAACUCACAACAACUACAACAAUAAAGUUUAUCAAAUACUAUACUGCUUUUUUAAUCAACAACUUAUUAUAUCUAGACAGCAAGAGUAUCUUAUUUAAUCAACGGCCACAAUACCAAACUAGUCCUUAGUCUAAUGAUAACUCAGUCUCUUCUCCAUUCAUGUGAGCAGACAUCAAACAUUAAAACUCUUAUUUUCAAUUCAAGAGGUUUUACUAUUUCAAUUAGAUGAUACCAUCUCAAAUUUAUGACAAUAUUAUCUUAACAGCAAGUAGAUCUUAUAAAUGAUCUUAACAGCAAGUAGUUCCUAUAAAUGAAAAAUGAACAGUGUCUUUUCUUCUAUGCAUCCAGCAAGUAGCAAGGCAAUGAGUCAUUUUUAUGCAUAUUCAGAUUCUCGCACGCAUAAUGCAAUGGUCUCACAUGAAUAAUACAAUGGUUUAUUCACAAAUGAUGAUAGGUCCCUUGUCUGCUUUUUAGAUAUAUUUUUCUUUCAUUUUUAUUCAUAAAUAGGUAUCAAAAUCUUCAUUUGAUCUGGAAAAAAAUAUACGGAUAUAUUUUUAUUUAAAAGAUGGUCACAUAAUCUUUUUUGUAGGAUAAUUAUAUUCUUUAACUUUCAUGAUCUAAUUGUAUUUUAUCCAGACUUAAUAAAAAAAAUCUAUAUAACUAUUUUUGAAAACAAGAUCUUUAUAACAUAUUUGGAUUCAAUGUUGCUAACCUUCUAGAAAAAAAAACAAUUGAUAGUUAUUGCAUAAUAAUAUAAAACUAAUUAAAUCUUAAUCAUAUAUAAUUAUAUAUACAUGCACAUGUGACAAAAGAUUAUGAAGAAUUGAAUACAAUUUAGCUGAGUAGUGGAUUCCAAUCCCUUCAUAACUAUUUCUCCAAACCACAAGAAUAUUGCAACUAUUUUUCUUUUUUUCUUUUUAUUAUAUUUUCCAUUUAGUAACAACUAAGUAACUGUACAUUCUAAUGAACACACCUGAAGGAUGUAAAUUUGAGAAAUCAAUGAAAAUAGCUAUAAAAAGUUUAGGAUUUUUUAAAUUUGACCCCUCAAAAUUUUUCCUAUCAUAACUAGCCAAAUGCUAAUUUUUUUUAAUCAAAUAGUCCUCAUUACUUUCAAUAACUUUACCAAAUAGUCCUCUCCAUCAACUGAACCUUUCCCACCAUUCCUCACCGCCGAUCGACGCUCAAACCACCGGAAACUGAAGCCCUUCAAAACCGCUAGCUUUAUCUACAAUUUCCGGCCAAAACACCACUUUUUCAGACAAACCACCACCACCAUCAUACUUACCAACCCAAAAUUUUUCAGAUCCACCCAUCCUUACUCGAUUUCCGACCACCGUCAUCGGAAAUCUAAAACUUUUGCUUAAUUACAGUUUCGGCCUAAAAUUUUUAUUUACUUUCAGUUUAGCCCCACUACCUUUUUAAACUCGAAUUUGAAAAAAUGCCCCCAAGAAAAGUUCGUGAUGCUCAUAUUGCAACUUACAAUCAAGAAGAUGUUUCGAAAGAUGAAGCCCUGGCUAGUAUGACAGCCAGAAUUGAUAUGUUAGCUGCACAAAUGGCACGAAUGGCAGAGUUACUUGACGAACGCCAUCGUACUCCAGAACGUGAAGAAAAAUCAAGUGGAAGUUUUGCUAACCCAUUCUCUGGGCGUUGACCUAGAACUGAGUCUACUGAUGACAGAAGAUAGGAAUCUGGGUUGAGAAUUGACAUUCCUGAAUUUCAAGGAAGUGGUCGACUUGAAGAAUUAUUGGAUUGGAUUAACGCCAUUGAGGAAGUUUUCGAAUACAAAGAAGUUCCUGAAAAUAAACUAGUUUCGCUUGUUGCAACUCUAUUUCGUGGAAGAGCAGCAGCUUGGUGGCAACAAAUUAAGCUCACAAGGAUUAGGCAAGGCAAAAAGAAGAUUGAUUCUUAGGAAAAGUUCAAAAAGCACUUGCGUGGAGCAUGUUGUGCAAAUUUUAUUGAACUUGCAAGUGCACGAAUCUAUUGUAGAAUAGAUUAAUGGAGACGAGUGUCGAUCCCACGAGGAGGUGAAUUUUAAUUAUAUGUAGAAUUAAUUUUGUAUGAGGGUGGUUGGAUUUGUGGUGAAAGUGACUUAAAUUAUCUUAAAAUUAGAAUUGAAAUGGCGAGAAUAAAUUCUAAAAUUGGAAUUGAAAUGGCGAGAAUAAAUUGAAGAGAAAUCUAUUGAGAUGACGUACUUGGAUAUUUGGAUCCGUAUCAACAUGCACCAUGGGCUAAAUAUUCCUUAUUAAUACCAAUUAAAUCAUGAGAGGGGAAUCCACACCUCAUGAACCACACUCUAAUCAAUAUGGUGCUAAGGGCUUAUCGUGCCAAAUAAUAAUAACCUUGUACUAGGGGGCCGGUGAAACCAAGGCGGUACUAGACAAGCUUAUUAUUAUUUGUCGACGAGAAGUCAAAACAUCCACAAAAACUAGAGGGGAAGAGAAAUAAAUUUACCAAAUAAAACCCAUGACAUAUGUUGAGACUUCACCUUCAACCAAAGCUUGAAAGAAAAUUAGCCACUCAUAAUUGAACUAGGGGCAAAAUGGAAAUUUAUUAAAAUAUGUAGAAAAUACAAGAUGGAGAAGGAAUUACAGAAAAUGGAUUCAGAGAUAUCAAAUUAGGGGGGAGAAGCCCUAUUUUUAUAGAUACAUGGAGUAAAUCAUGGCCAUUGGAUUAAAAACAGUUUGGACGCUCAGGAUUGCGCCACAUCAUCAGUCAACAGUACGCGGUUUGACCACGCAGAUGAACAGAAACACGGUUUGACCCGGGUUGAACAGUAACGCGGUUUGGUUGAAAAUAAUCCUGUGUGAUGCAUGUACCGUACGCGAGAUUUUUCGUCCACUGAUAUGCUGCCACGUCACCAUCAACAGUACAUAAGAAUUUUAGCCCAACAGGAUCGUGACACCUCAUCAGUCAAUGCCACAUCAUCGAUCAAUGCCACGUCAUCGAUCCGUUUAUGUGAACAUGUCAUGAACAGUAACGUAGACAAUACCGUGCACGUGAAUAGUACCGUACACGUGAAUAGUGCCAUUUUUUCUUUUAUGCUCCUUUUAAGGUUUUCGACCGUCUGAGUUCAAAAGUGAUGUCUGUUUUGCCGUCUGAUCUCUCGUUUAUUGUGAAAUGACCAUGAUGCCCCUAAAAUACAUAAAAUACUUAAUUAAAAUAAAACACACAUAAUUAAAUUACAAGAAGCUUAAAUACAUAAAAGUAAGGGUUGUUAGUAAGACUUGAAAUGUAAAAUGACGAUUUUCUCCUUUAUAAAUAUGCAUUUUCUAACACUCAACACACCCCCCAACCAGCUUAUUGCUAGUCCCUAGCAAAUAAAGCGAAAACAAAAUUCAAAUCCAAAAUGAUUUUUUUUUUAAUAGAAACACUCAUGUUUAUUCAAUCAGAUUAAUGAUAGCAAUCAAAUAAAACUAUAAGUAUUAUCUCCAGUCUAAAGAAACAUCACACCCACAUCAACCAUCCACAUGAAUCAGCCCAGUAGACUUUGUUAUAGCUACUUUCAAGAAUGACAUGUCAAACCCCAAAAUCUCACUGGAAGUAGUGACACUCUCACAAAGAAAUUAAACCCAAUAAAAAUAGUCACUCCAAUGAAUGGUAAUUGAGAGAAAAUAAUAAAGAAGUGAUAUCACAUGCUCUCACCAAGAUGAAAGAAAUAUGCCCUCAGCUUAGAAAUAAUACGAUCUCAAGUCAAACAAAAAUGCUAGUCAACCCAUUUUAUUUAUCUCCUUUUUUUUUAUAUUAUUAUGUACCACUACAUCUUUUUAGCCCAUAUAACUAGCUUCUACUUCAAACUAUAGUUCCCUAAAAUCAAGGACUUUUAUUAAGACGUAACGUAGGCUAGGGACAUGGUUAACACAGAAGGGAAAUAAGGAAAAUAAAGUGUAUGUUUGAGAAAAAUGCAAAGAAUUUUUUUUUUUUUAAAGUUGCAAGGUGUAUUUCACCUAUUGUUGUUAUUUUUAUUCUUUUGAAACAACAACUUUUGUUUUGUUUUUUUGUUUUUUUUUUUGCUUUUAUUUGGCAUAACUUCACUAAACAAAAUAAUUAUUUACAUUUUCUCAAACAUAAAUAAGUGAUGGAACUUAUAAGACAUCGGAUAAUACUCCAAAUCGGAGUGGGUCAAGAUGAUAAGUUGACAAAAAAAAGGUUUUUUUUUAAAAGCUCAAAAGGGUUAACUAUGGAUAUUUAAUAAAAGGGAUGGUUAGAAAGGCUCAAACGGAUCAAAGAUGGCCUUUCCAUCGUCUUUUAGGGCUCUAAAUAAUCAUCCAUAUCUACUAGUUAGAUGGGCCUCCCAAUGUAGCAACACACAUUUUUUUUUUUAUUUUAUAAUUUUUUUUUAGGGUUAACUCAAAAGAAAUCUAGAGAUCGUGUAUAAAAUAAUAAACUGCUAAGCUGUAUAGAGAAUGGGUAAAAGGGUUACUCUCUAAGAAAAUGAUAGGCUCAACAACUCACUUGGCACUUAUUUAUGACAUGUUCAUUCCUUCAAGCAACUCAUAUUUGUCUCCGACAUCAACAUGUAAAGUAGCAAACAUAGCGUAACAUCACUUAAGACCAAAGAUAAUACAAAUACUAAAAUUUGAAAUUAAUCAUGUCAUCCAAUGUUAAAACAAAUCACACAAAUUUUUUUUUAAACAACAUUCUACCCCCCAACCUAUUCUAAGCAUGAAAGGAAAAUAUGAAUGCAGAAAUGUGAAUAUGAUGCAGAAAAACUAAUUAGAAAAGUUACACUUAAAAUGAUAAAAAAAGAGAAUGGUUUUUUUUUAAAGGCUCAAAAGUUUGAAAAUGUAUAUUUAUAGAGGAGAAAGAAGAAGACAAAUAAACAUAAAAACUUAAUAAAGAAAAAGAAAACGUCUGAAUUUUUUUAUUUUUUUUAUUUUUUUUUCAAACGAUGAAGAUGCGUUUCUAGAGUCACUACACUCCAUAUUCAGCAAUCUUCAACACAAAACGUUAGCAACAGUUAAUUUUUACAACAAAAAAUCUGUAAAAACUUAACCAAGAUUCCACAAUUGUCAACUAUUCCCUCCCCCCAACCAGAACGAAACAUUGUUCUCAAUGUUUUAAAGGAAAAAAGUAAAGUUUAGAAGACAUCACCUGGGUGGUGCAACAUAGAAGAAAAUAUUUACAAGCGAAGAGUUAAAUCUAAUUUGUACUUCUUACUGCGGCUACUGUUACCAUCAUUAUUUGGACGCUCCAACAUAAAGGUCCAGGGGUCUGGCUCCGGUCUAUAAGCUUGUAACAGAUCAAGUAGCUCAUUAGCAGUGUGAGAACAAAUAAAAAGCUUUUUGGCAUUGGAAGGAACGAAAUAGUUUUUUAUUGCAUGGUUAAGAAAUGCGAUAAAGCCAUCAUAAAAAUUAUUGACAUUUAACAAACCAAUGGUUUCUGGUGAAUGUGCAGAUGGGCCCAAGAUGCUAGUGUGAUAAGUACCUCUAGUGUUGCAAGAUCUCCUGAAAGGAAAAUAAAAGCAUCAACAUGAUUAAGCAUUUCAGUUAUUUUUUCUUGCAUACCUGAGAUGACUAACUCUUCUCCAGUCGAUGAGUCAGACAAACUGCCCAAAGGUUUUAGGACUCUUGGGAUGAUGCCUAACACUUGACUUCCUCUGACAAAAGCUGCUUCUGAGACCAUUUUUGAUAACCCUCGAUUACCUCCUCCAUACACCAAGUGUAAUUUUCGCGCUACUAUGCUUUGACCAAGAUCUAUGGCUGCCUCAACGAACUCUUUAUGUUUGCCAUUGUUAAAUCCAGAAAGCACACAAAUGUUCUUGAAUUGUCUAUUGGGAGUAGCUGCCAUUGUGAUACUUCUAAAAAACAAUUUGUGAGUGCUUGACAAAAAAGAAUCACAUUUAAGAGUCUUGGUAACAGUGGGUCACAGUUGUGUAUGAGGUAACAUGUCAGUGUCAAAUAACGUGUAAAGUACAUGGCUCGCGAGUCAAAAAGAAAACAGUAAAAGGAAAAAGCAAACAGUAAUAAGGAAAAAGAAAACAGUAAUAAAAUUAUUAAAGACAAUAAUGCACACAAUAAAACAAUAGUGAAAUAAAAUAACAGUAAAGUAAAAGGAUAUUUACAGGUAGUUGCGACUGUGGUUCACAUCUUUCUCUGGUUUUACGUCCAGAAAUGGCUUGAACGUCCUCUAUUGAUCGAGGAUAGGCUUCCUAUUCAGUUUACAGGUAGUUGCGACUGUGGUUCACAUCUUUCUCUGGUUUUACGUCCAGAAACGGCUUGAACGUCCUCUAUUGGUCGAGGAUAGGCUUCCUAUUCAGUUUUCUUAUAAACUGGCAAACAGGGUCGUUUAUAGUCAAAUUCCCGAGACUAUAUCGUGCAUGCUCUUUCUGGAAUAAUGGCCAUAACUGGAGAAUCGCUCCUUACGCAUAUCCACUGGGAUGCGUUUCAAGAGACAAAAGGAUAUCAUCCAAUGACUCCUUAUUCAAGCCAUCCCUAAUGAAUUGAAUCUUAUCUUCCCUAUUAUCAGACACCAUUCCUAAAGAACAUGGGUUUUUAUUGCAACUCAUUCUGGCACACUUAUGACAAGCAACAGAAAUUCUUCGAGCCCGUCAUUUUUUUGCAUAAUUUCCUUUACCACAACCAGGCAUGUAUGCAAUAAAUUUUGGAGGUAACUCAUCUGCCGAUCGUACUUUAGCCUCGAUUAACUAAUGGAUGUCAGCAGGUAUGUUAUUCCUCAUGAGUAAUCGCAUGCGUUCGGACCGAGCUUUAUAGAUCGUAAGGAGGGCAUUCUGAGGAAGUGAAGGGAAUCGCUUGUGAAGCUUCGCUAGAAUGUCGUUUCUGUCCAUACUUUCGCCUCAGAAUAUCAGUUAUUAUGGGAAACUGAAGUAACCGACUUGAUUGUCACGGAGUACCAUUAUCCGCCACUUCACCGGGGUAACAAACUAAAGCACACAAACAGAAAAACAAAUUAAAACACACAAAGAAAAUUAAAAUCGUCCUCUUAUUGAAUUUACCUCAAGCUCCAACUGAAUGCUAUAAACACUUCUCUCAAUGUCUCUGAGUUGGCUUUCUAAACUCUCAACAUAGGAUACUAACUCUGGUGGUUGCAGAGCCCAAAUACGAUGUGUUUUACAAAAUUGAAUCUGCCUUUUGAGAUGAGUUUUAACACGUUGAAGUGGUUUAAGAAUGUUCAGAAGGAACGGUCUAAGUAUGGUACUCAUGAUUAACAAUGAUAAGAGAAAACUUAAUGGUAAAACAAACACACUUAUGCAAAAAUAAUUUCAAUUAGCAAAAGAAUAAUAUAAAGAAAGAAAAAAAAAUAUCAAAUCACCGAAAAGAAAAAAAAUUCAAUUCAAAUCUGGUGGGUCACUUAAAUUUAUUUCGGUGUCUUCUUCAUGUGGUUGGUACUCUAGAUAUGGCUUUAAUCUUUGACCAUUAACUUUAAACGUGACACCGUUUUUUGGGUCCUUAAUUUCAAUUGCCCCAUGUGGAAAAACAGUAUGAACAAUAAAGGGGCCAGACCAUCGAGAGCGUAACUUACUUGAGAAUAGGUGCAAGCGAGAAUUGAAUAAAAGCACUUUCUGACCUGGAGUGAACGAUUUUCUCAUAAUUUGCUUGUCAUGGAAGACUUUUAUUCGUUGCUUGUAAAUCUUGGCAUUUUCGUAUGCAUCAUUGCGAAUUUCUUCAAGUUCUCCCAGCUGUAAUCUUCUUUCUGAACUGGCUUGCUGCAUAUCAAAGUUGAAUUUCUUGAUAGCCCAAUAUGCACGAUACUCGAGUUCCAUAGGUAGGUGGCAAGUUUUUCCAUACACUAGCCUGUAGGGUGACAUCCCAAUCGGGGUCUUGAAAGCCGUUCUAUAUGCCCAUAAUGCAUCAUCAAGUCUUAAUGAUCAAUCUUUUCUGUCUGGCCUCACCGUCUUUUCUAAUAUGUGCUUUAUUUCUCGAUUGGAGAUCUCAACUUGGCCACUGGUCUGCGGAUGAUAUGGGGUCGCCACUUUGUGAGUGAUUGAAUACUUUGUCAAAAGAGACUUGAAUGCUUUGUUACAAAAGUGGGCACCACCAUCACUGAUUAUUGCUCGAGGGAAUCCAAAGCGCGAAACAAUGUUGCUUUUCAAAAAUCCUAUCACCACCUUGUGAUCAUUGGUUCUGCAUGGAAUUGCUUCUACCCAUUUCGAUACGUAGUCAACAGCAACCAAUAUGUAUUGAUAGCCAAAAAAAGGGGGAAAGGGACCCAUGAAGUCGAUACCUCAAACAUCAAAAAUCUCAACCACUAAAAUUGGAUUUAGUGGCAUCAUGUUCCUUCGUGUAAUGCUCCCUAUUCGUUGACACCUAUCACAUGAAGAACAGAAAGUGUAAGCGUCUUGAAAUAUAGUUGGCCAAUAGAAACCACAUUGUAAAACUUUAGUUGCUAUUUUCUUAGCACUGAAAUGCCCUCCACAAGCUUGUUCAUGGUAGAAUGAAAGAAUAUUAUGAAUUUUAUUUUCUGGGAUACAUCGUCUAACAAUUUGAUCUGCACAAUACUUGAAUAAAUACAGGUCAUCCCAAAAGAAAUUCUUUAUUUCUACAAAGAAUUUAGCCUUGUCUUGCUUGGUCCAAUGUUCUGGAAGUUGACCUGUAACAAGAUAAUUCACGAUGUCAGCAUACCAUGGUAAUGCUUCCACACUCAUCAAUUGUUCAUCUAGGAAUGACUCAUUCAAUGGUAAUGUUUCCAUAAUUGUGUCAAAAUGGAGACGAGAGAGAUGGUCCGCCACAACAUUUUCUGUCCCUUUCUUAUCUUUGAAUUCCAAGUCAAAUUUUUACAAAAGUAACACCCAACGAAUUAGUCUAGCUUUUGCAUCUUUCUUUGUGAGAAGAUAUUUAAGAGCAGCAUGAUCUGUGAAUAUAAUUAUUUUACAACCAAUGAGAUAAGAUCGAAAUUUCUCUAAUGCAAACACUACUGCUAGCAUUUCUUUUUCAGUAGUUGAAUAGUUCAACUGUGCAUUAUUCAAUGUCAUAUUAGCAUAGUAAAUAACAUGGGGGAUUCGAUCAACUCUUUGUCCUAAUACUGCUUCUACUGCAUAAUUAAAUGCAUCACACAUGAGCUCAAAUGGUAAGCUCCAGUUUGGGGGCUGAAUGAUGGGUGAUGAUGUCAACAACUGCUUUAGUUUUUCAAAUGCCACAAGACAUGAAUCAUCAAAGAUAAAAGGUACAUCCUUAGCAAGUAAAUUGCAUAAGGGUCUAAAAACUUUGCUAAAAUUUUUAAUGAAACGUCUAUAGAAACCAGCAUGCCCAAGGAAAGAUCUUACUUCUCUGACUGUUUUGGGUGGAGGAAGAUUAUAAAUGAGAUCCACCUUGGCUUUGUCAACCUCAAUACCUUUGCUCGAAAUGAUGUGACCGAGAGCAAUACCUUGUUUUACCAUAAAAUGGCAUUUCUCCCAAUUUAAGACCAAGUUCUUCUCGAUACAUAUCUGCAGAACUAGUGUUAGAUGAUGUAAACAUUGAUCAAACGAAUCACCAAAGACAGAAAAGUCAUCCAUAAAGACUUCAAGGAAUCGUUCAACCAUAUCAGAAAAAAUGCUUAACAUGCAUCGUUGAAAUAUAGCAGGUGCAUUAAAUAAUCCACAUGGCAUUCUCCUAUAUGCAAAUGUGCCAAAAGGGCAAGUGAAAGUAGUUUUCUCUUGAUCUUUUGGUGCUAUGGGGAUCUGAUUGUAUCCUGAGUAGCCAUCUAGAAAGCAAUAAAAUUCAUGGCCUGCUAAUCUAUCAAGCAUUUGAUCGAUAAAUGGUAAAGGAAAAUGGUCUUUACGUGUGACAGAAUUCAACUUUCUAUAAUCAAUGUAUACAUGCCAUCUUGUAGUUACUCUAGUUGGUAUCAAUUCAUUAUCAGCAUUGGUAACUACUGUGACUCUUGACUUUUUGGGGACAACUUGUACAGGACUGAUCCAUGAACUAUCAGAAAUUGGGUAAAUAAUACCUACGUCUAAUAUUAGGAUUUAACCGACGUUGUAUUUCCCUAGUAGAUUUAGCAUUUUCAUCGAGGUGAAUGUAAUGUAUGCAGUCUACUGGGUUUAUACCUUUAAUGUCUGCUAUAGUCCAUCCUAAUGCUCCUUUGUACUCUUUUAAAACAUCCAACUUACCUUUUUAUUCGUCAUUUAGGGAUGAUGAGAUGAUUACCGGCAAAAUACUUUCUUCUCCCAAAAAUGCAUAUUCUAGAGUGUUGGGCAAUGGUUUGAGCUCGAGUUUCGAUGGUGAUUCUGAUGAUGGGAUGAGUUUCUUUUCUGAUGGUGUUAGUUGUUCAACUCUUGACUUCCAUUUAUUAGUGUUCAUGGAUGGUGCUGAGUCAAGUAGGGCGUUGACCUCAUCGACUGAUAUGUCAAUAUCAAAAUCAAAACCAAAGUAAGUUAAACAUGUUUGUAAAGGAUCAUCACUAAGGUUUGAAACAAAAGUGUCAUCAACUAAUACUUCAAUUAAAUCCACAUCAAUAAUUUCAUCAUCUGCAUUGUGAGGCUGUUUGGCAAUGUUGAAGAUGUUCAGCUCGAUAGUCAUGUUCCCGAAGGACAACUGCAUAUUUCCAGUCCUGCAUUGAAUGUGAGCAUCCGUAGUUGCCAAGAAAGGUCGGCCUAGAAUAAUGGGGAUGUGCUUCUUUGAAUCCUGUAUUAGUUGAGUGUCAAUUAUAAUGAAAUCAACAGCAAAAUAAAACUUGUCUACCUGGAUAAGCACGUCCUCUACAAUACCACGAGGUAUUUUCGUGGACCGAUCUGCAAGCUGUAACACCACUAGCGUUGGGUGUAAUUCUCCAAGUCCAAGUUUCAAAAAUACUGAGUAAGGCAACAGAUUUACAUUAGCUCCUAAAUCCAACAAAGCAUUCUCAAUUGUGUAGUUCCCUAUGCUACAUGAGAUAGUGGGGGAGCCUGAGUCUUUGCACUUUAGAGGAAUUUUAUGUUGGAGUAUAGAACUAACGUUUUCUGUUAAAAAUGCCUUCUUUUGAACGUGAAUGUUUCUCUUUUUAGUACAAAGGUCUUUAAGAAACUUGACGUAAGAUGGAACUUGUUUAAUAGCAUCAAGCAAAGGGAUGUUAACACUUACCUGUUUGAAGAUUUCAAGAAUCUCACUUGUGGAUUUUUCCUUCUUUUCUUUCGCUAACCUCUGACGAAAUGGAACUUUCGGAACGUAUUCUCGUGGUUUGGUUUCUUCUCUCUCCUCCGGUGAUGAGUCAUCAACACUCACAAGUACAAUUUGAUUUUCUUUUGUCGCUGGCAUCUCCAUUUUGUUGUCGACUUCUUUUCCUUUUCGCAAGGUCAUGACUGCUUUGACCUCUCCAUGCUGCUGUGGUGAACUGGUACUUGCUUCAUGUACUCCUUUAGGAUUAGGCACUAGUUGACUUGAAAAUUUACCUUUCUCAACGGUCAUUGUCAAGGUCUAAACUGAAGAAGCAAGUUGUCCCAACAUCUUCUCCAGGCUUGAAACUGAUUGGGCUUGCGAGUUGAAACCUGCUCUCAACUCAUUUCGUAGCCCAUCAAUGGUGCGGUUCUGUUGCUCAAUCGUGGAGUGAGUAAGAUUUUUAAGAUUUUGGAAUGAAUCCUCCCAUUGUCUGGGCUGAGUGUAGUUCGGGUUCUGAUUGUAUGGUCUAAAUGGGGGUUGAGAGGCUUGAGGAGUUUGAGAAAUUGGUUGCGUUGGUGGAGCUGGAGCUGCUGGUCCAUUAUGUUGGAAUCAUUGAGACUAUGAAAAAUUAGGGUGGUAUCUCCAUCUAGGAUUAUGUGUUGGAGUAUGGGUUGUAAUUUGAUGGUUUUCUCAUUACACCUAUGGCAUUGGCUUGAUCUGGAUAUGAGUCAGGGUUAUGUGGCUCUGUUGAUUUAGCAGUCGAUAACGAUGCUAUUUGUCGAGCAAGACUUUCAACCAUCUCCUUGACUUCUUUAAUUUCUGAACUCGAUUCGCCAAUGUGAACCUCAUUUACUCCCUUAAUUCUUCUAGUAUUCCUGAGUGACCGACUCCGUUGUUGGGAAUUAUCCGCUUGUCGCUGGAAGAAUUCCCAAAUCUCUGAUGUACUUUUUGACAAUAGCUCUCCUCCACUUGUUGCCAUUAGCCAUUCUUGCACAUUUGGUAGUAAUCCCUCCAAAAAGUAUUGGCAUUGGUGUCAUUUCUCGUACCCAUGAUGUGGACACUUCAAGAGUAGCCCAUUGAAUCGCUCCCAUGUUUCGAAAAAUUGCUCGUCUUCUCUCUGGGUAAACUCUGAAAUUUCCCUGCGAAUAGCAUUGGUUUUAUGCACUGGAAAAUAUUUAUUCAAAAAUUUCGUUACCAUUUGUUCCUAUGAUGUAAUGUUAUUAGCAGGUAAAGUAUUUAACCAUGAACGAGCUCUAUCCUUUAAAGAAAAUGGGAAUAGUCUGAGUUUAACAUCAUCAUCUGAAAAAUUCUCAUAUUUAAAUGUUUGACAAAUAGCAUGAAAAUCAUUCAAAUGAUUAUAUGGAUCCUCAUUUUCUAGGCCAUAAAAUGUGGGAAGACAAUUUAGCAUACUACGUUUUAGUUCAAAGCUCCUAGCAGCUACAUUUGGGUAUCUUAUACAUGAUGUGCUCAAAUUAGCUAAGGGACUGAAGUAGUCCUUAAAUGGCCUCUCCUAUGGUGCUUGUAAAUCCAUUCUAAAUUUAUUUUUAACGUGCCUAUGUGUGCGAAGUGUUUUUUCUAAUUCAAGGUCUAUAGGUUCAAGAUUAGGAAAUAAUGACCUACGACCAUGCAUGCAAGGAAUACAAAAAUAAAUGGGAACAAAACGAAUAAAAAUAAAGAAAAAAGAGAAAUUACGAUACUAACCUUAUUGCGCUGUUACAAUAUUUCUAUAAAAACACACUAAAACAAAUACGUGAAAUAAAUUAACUAAGAAUAAAUUAAUAAGAUAAAAAAAUUACAAAAAAAAAUAAAUUAAAAAUUAAAUUGCAGAAUUGUAAAGAAUAGAGAAAGAAAGAAAUACUAACCUCUAAAUGCAGAUUCACUUUUUUAAAAAAUAUAUAUAUACAAGAAAACAAUUUAAAAGAAAUUAUUCACAAAAAUUAAUUCUAUGAAUUAAAAUUACUUACCUCCCCGGCAACGACGCCAAAAACUUGUUGUGCAAAUUUUACUGAACUCGCAAGUGCACGAAUCUAUUGUAGAAUAGAUUAAUGGAGACGAGUGUCGAUCUCACGAGGAGGUGGAUUUUAAUUAUAUGUAGAAUUAAUUUUGUAUGAGAGUGGUUGGAUUUGUGGUGAAAGUGACUUAGAUUAUCUUAAAAUUGGAAUUAAAAUGACGAGAAUAAAUUCUAAAAUUGGAAUUGAAAUGGCGAGAAUAAAUUGAAGAGAAAUCUAUUGAGAUGACGUACUUGGGUAUCUGGAUCCGUAUCAACAUGCACCGUGGGCUAAAUAUUCCUUAUUAAUACCAAUUAAAUCAUGAGAGGGGAAUCCACACCUCAUGAACCACACUCUAAUCAAUAUGGUGCUAAGGGCUUAUCGUGUCAAAUAAUAAUAACCUUGUACUAGGGGGCCGGUGAAACCAAGGCGGUACUAGACAAGCUUAUUAUUAUUUGUCGACGAGAAGUCAAAACAUCCACAAAAACUAGAAUGGAAGAGAAAAUAAAUUUACCAAAUAAAGCCCAUGACACAUGUUGAGACUUCACCUUUAACCAAAGCUUGAAAGAAAAUUAGCCACUCAUAAUUGAACUAGGGGCAAAAUGAAAAUUUAUUAAAAUACGUAGAAAAUACAAGAUGGAGAAGGAAUUACAAAAAAUGGAUCCCAAAAAUGAAUUCAAAGAUAUCAAAUUAGGGGGGAGAGGCCACCUUUUUAUAAAUACAUGGAGUAAAUCAUGGUCAUCGGAUUAAAAACAGUUUGGACGCUCAGGAUUGCGCCACAUCAUCAGUCAACAGUACGCGGUUUGACCACGCGGAUGAACAGUAACACGGUUUGACCCGGGUUGAACAGUGACAGGGUUUGGUUGAAAAUAAUCCUGUGUGAUGCAUGUACCGUACGCGAGAUUUUUCGUCCACUGAUAUGUUGCCACGUCACCAUCAACAGUACAUAAAAAUUUUAGCCCAACAGGAUCGUGACACCUCAUCAAUCAAUGCCACAUCAUCGGUCAAUGCCACGUCAUCGAUCCGUCUAUGUGAACAGUGUCAUGAACAGUAACAUAGACAGUACCGUACACGUGAAUAGUACCGUACAUGUGAAUAGUGCCAUUUUUUCUUUUAUGCUCCUUCUAAAGUUUUCGACCGUCCUGAGUUCAAAAGUGAUGUCUGUUUUGCCGUCUGAUCUCUCGUUUAUUAUGAAAUGACCAUGAUGCCCCUAAAAUACAUAAAAUACUUAAUUAAAAUAAAACACACAUAAUUAAAUUACAAGAAGCUUAAAUACAUAAAAGUAAGGGUUGUUAGUGAGACUUGAAAUGUAAAAUGACGAUUUUCUCCUUUAUAAAUAUGCAUUUUCUAACACUCAACAAAGCAUUCUUGCCUCAUAAUUACGCCAAACUAUUAUACCAACAGCUACAGAAUUUAAGGCAUGGUAAUCGAUCAGUGGAUGAUUACACUACAGAAUUCUAUUGGUUGGUGGCACGCAAUGACUUGACAAAGACAAAAGAACAGCAGGUUUCCCGCUACAUUGGAGGCCUGCGAUCUUAAUUUCAAGACCAAUUAAAUUUACUUGACCCAUACUUUAUUUCAGAGGCACACCAACAAGCCUUGCAGUUGGAGAAGCAAUUUAGUUGACGUACUAUUGACUCAAGCUUUCGGGGUGUUCGAAGUGUUGUUCAUGAUAAUUCAAACCCGACUUCCCAAUUUCGUAAUUUCAUUCCUCCAAAUCCUCUAAAUAAAACUAGUAAACCUAGUGAAAUCAGUCAAAACAGCAAAACCCAAUCCUCGGGUUCGGGAUUACGCUGUUUUAAUUACGGAGAGAAUGGGCACCGAAUGACAGAAUGUAAAAAGGGAGGAAAAUAUGGUAAAGGCUUAUUCGUAGGCACAGAGGAAAGCGAAGACUAUCAGGAUGAAGAAACUGAAGAGUUCACUGUAGAGCGAACUUUUGAUAGUAGUGGUAGCGCUCAAUCUGUUGAAGAACAUGGUGAUAGCGGACCAAUGUUGAUCGUGAACCGCGCAUUCUUCACUCCUAAAGGUCAAGACAAAGACAAGUGGCUACGACAAAAUAUCUUUCAGACUACUUGCACAAUUGGGGGUAAAGUAUGUCGUAUGGUCAUAGACUCAGGCAGUUGCGAGAAUGUCAUUUCGGAAGAAGCCAUAACAAAGCUAAAUUUAAAGACAGAACCUCAUCAAACUCCAUACAAGCUCACAUGGCUGAAGAAGGGAAAUCAAGUGACAGUAUCGAAACAUUGCUUAGUUUCCUUAUCCAUUGGUUCAAUUUAUAAAGACAAAAUUUGGUGUGAUGUUGUGGCUAUGGAUGCUUGUCAUCUAUUACUGGGUAGACCUUGGCAAUAUGAUCGAAACGUAGCACAUGAUAGGAAGAAAAACACCUACAGCUUUAUGUUUAACAACACCAAGAUCGUUCUCCUACCUAAAAAGGAGUUUACUCUCCAGCAAGACUUGGGUAAUUAUUUGUUAGGCAAGAAGCAAUUUAUAGAUGUUGUAGCAGAGACAAAAAGAGUCUACAUUUUAUUGGGAAAAGAGAGUAACGGUGAUUCGAAGAUUCCUGAAGCUGUGACACCUAUUCUGGCGGAAUUUCAAGAUUUGUUCCCCAAUGAGACACCACAGGGUUUACCACCUCUUCGGGAUAUACAACACCAAAUUAAUUUGGUACCAGGUUCUACAUUACCAAAUCGACCUCAUUAUCGUAUGAGUCCUACAGAACAUAAAGAAUUAAGGCGCCAAGUGGAAGAGCUACUAGAAAAAGAAUUUAUCCGUGAAAGUCUUAGUCCCUGUGCAGUCCCUGCUUUAUUGACUUCAAAGAAAGAUGAUUCUUGGAGGAUGCGCGUGGACAUUCGAGCUAUCAAUAAAAUUACAGUUCGAUAUCGUUUUCCAAUCCCUCAAUUAGAUGACUUGUUAGAUCAACUCAGUGGAGCAAUAAUUUUUACCAAACUUUAUUUGAAAAGUGGCUACCAUCAAAUUCGAAUAGGGCCUGGAGAUGAAUGGAAAACAGCUUUCAGCCUUAAGAGCAGCAAGUUUAUACACAGCAGUAAAAAAGUGUAUUUUCUUGAUAGAGAAAUUAUUAUUUUUGGGAUAUGUGGUGUCGAAGGAUGGUAUAUCUGUUGACCAAUCAAAAGUGGAUGCUAUUCGAGAUUGGCCUCAGCCAACUACUUUAUCCGCCACUAGAAGUUUCCAUGGAUUGACCUCUUUUUACAGGCGAUUCAUUCCUCAUUUCAGUACUAUUAUGGCACCAAUCACGGAUUGCAUGAAAGGAGGACAAUUCUCUUGGACAGAGGCAGCUACUAAGGCAUUCAAGAUUAUCAAAGAAAAGUUGAUUACUGCCCCAGUACUUGCCCUACCAGAUUUUUCGCUCACUUUUGAGGUACAUUAUGAUGCUUCUAAGGUCGGUAUUGGAGCUAUUCUUAGCCAACAGGGUAAGCCUAUAGCUUAUUUCAGUGAGAAGUUGAAUGGAGCAAAGACACACUACAACAUUUAUGACGUGGAAUUUUAUGCAGUAAUCCAAGCGUUAAAACAUUGGUGACAUUAUCUAAUUCAUAAAGACUUUGUUUUAUACACUGACCAUGCCGCGUUAAAGUACCUUAAUAGUCAAGACAAGCUCUCUCACAGACAUGCCACGUGGACAGCAUUCCUUCAACAAUUUACUUUUGUGGUGAAGCAUACCUCUGGUGAAUCCAACCAGGCAGCAGAUGCACUUAGUCGACAAACUUCUUUAUUGACACAGAUACAUAAUCAAGUUCUCAGAUUUGACACAUUUCGAGAGUUAUAUGCUUCCGAUCCUUACUUUGCUCCUAUAUUAGAAGACGUUGUUGCAGGGUUUCGCUCAGAUUAUCAUUUACAUGACGAAUUCCUUUUCAAGAGUAAUCAGUUGUGUGUUCCUGACUCAAGUUUGAGAUUGAAAAUCAUUUCAGAGUUACAUAACGAAGGGCACAUGGGUCGUGACAAAACUCUGGCUUUAAUCGCCAACACUUAUUUUUGGCCUACUAUGAGGCGUGAAGUCUAUCACUAUGUCGAGACUUGUCGCAUUUGUCAAGUUUCCAAGGGCGCAGCAACUAAUGCUGGGUUAUAUAUGCCGCUGCCGAUUCCAACACAACUUUGGGUUGACAUUAGCAUGGAUUUUGUUUUGGGAUUACCCCGCACUCAGAGGGGUAUGGAUUUAAUAUUUGUUGUUGUUGAUCGAUUCUCGAAAAUGGCUCACUUCAUUGCUUGCAAGAAGACUACAAACGCUUUGACUAUUGCUCGCCUAUUCUUCAAAGAAGUCUAUAGAUUGCAUGGUUUACCAAGUUCUAUAGUAUUUGACCGGGAUACACGAUUUCUUAGCCAUUUUUGGAAGACAUUAUGGAAGUUGACUAACACUCACCUGAAUUUUAGUAGUGCUUAUCACCCACAAACAGAUGGUCAAACUAAAGUUGUCAACCGUUCUUUAGGAAACUAUCUACGUAGUCUAGUUGGCGAUAACUUGAAGAUGUGGGAUAAGAAGUUAUAUCAAGUCGAGUUUACUUAUAACCGUGCAGUUAAGCGUAGUACUGGUUUAAGCCCUUUUCAAGUGAAUUACGGAUAUAAUCCACGAGCUCCCAUCGACUUGGCUCUAGUUCCAGAUUUAGUUCGCAAAAGCGGUAAAGUAGAAGACUUUAUUGAGCAGCUUCAGAAGAUUCAUGAAACUACGCAAGAGUCUUUGAAGCAGACGACCGAAGGUUAUAAAAUUAUGGCAGACAAAAAACGUCGAGCUUUGAAAUUUCAAGUGGGAGAUUUUGUUUGGGCUGUCCUAACUAAAGAUAGAUUUUUAGUUGGUGAAUACAACAAGCUUUCUGCCAGGAAAAUCGGCCCUUUGGAGAUUAUAGAGAAGAUAAAUCCUAAUGCCUAUAGAUUAAAGCUUCCUAGUCAUAUCCGCACCGCAGAUGUAUUUAAUGUUAAGCAUCUUAUUCCUUACAGAGGUGAUCAUGAUGGAGAUGUUGUUGCUGACAAUCCGAAUUCGAGGGCGAAUUCUCUCCACCCUGGGGGGAAUGAUGAAGAGUAGGAAUCCAUAUUAUACUAAGAUUAGUUUCCUUAUUAACUACAGUUUAAGACUUUUAAAUUCCUUUCUAAUUUAGAAUUUUGUUUCCCUUUCAAUUUAGGAUUUUGUUUUUACUUCAUGAAUUAGGAUAAUUAUUACUACUAUAAAUAGCUCCCUCUUGUAGCCUUUGAAGGUAGAAUUUUGAGUUUAAUAAUAUUUCAAUUUUCAAAUCUUUUUGUGAGUAUUUGAACAGUUAAUUCUCGGUAUAUUGUGGAAUCAACGAGUCUUAGCCCCUAAGUUCGCGGUAUUCUUUUGAAUCAACGUGAAUUUAGUUGUUCUUUUAUUCUGGUAUUCUUUAGAAUCAACAGAAUAUUUUGAACAUUAAACUUCCGCUGCAUCAACCAAGAACACAUGGAAUGUAAGUUGCAGAGAUCUAUUUAUGGAUUGAAGCAAGCAUCCCGGUCAUGGAACAUCAGAUUUGAUCAAGCGAUUAAAUCGUUUGGAUUCAUUCAGAACAUUGAUGAAUCAUGUGUGUAUAAGAAAAUUUAGGGAAAAUUUGUAGCCUUCCUAGUUCUUUAUGUAGACGAUAUUCUCCUAAUUGAAAAUGAUAUAGGAGUAUUGACUACAAUAAAGAGUUGGUUAACAAGACAAUUUGAUAUGAAAGACUUGAGAGAGGCAAGUUAUAUUCUUGGGGUAAAAGCUUUUUUAGUCCCUAUAUUAUGAGGUUAGUGCCCAUUUAGUCCUAAUAUUUUUAAAAACACCUCAAAACGUCCCUACUGCUAAAUAUUAACACUCAUGCCAUUAUUUUUUAUUCUUUUUAACUUGCUUUUACAAUAUAACACUCUUACAAUAAUGUUUCUUUUUUGGAUAUUAAUAAAAAAUUAGAUUAUCAAAUUAAACUCAAAAAUAAAAUAACAACAAAAAAAGUAUAUAUUAAUUUUUGUGGAAGCUCACGUAUGUCUAAAAAAAUAAUAUUAUAAAAAAUUACAUUAUCAAUUUUUUUAGAAAAAUUAAUAUUUUAACUCAAGAGAGUGUUCCACAAAAAUUAAUAUAUAUUUUUUAUUUUUAUUUUAUUUUUUGGUGUUAAACUGGUAAUUUAUUUUUUUUCUUUUUAAUAAUUUCUAAAAAAAAUUAUUAUAAUAGGGUAAUAUUGUAAAAAUAAGUAAAAGGAACAAAAGAUAAUGGCAAGAGUGUCAAUAAUUUUAUGGUAGGGAUGGUUUGAAGUAUUUUUAAAAAUAUAAGGACUAAACGGACACUAACUUCAAAAUAUAGGGUCUAAACGAGUUUUUACCUUAUAUUCUUGGUAUCAAAUUACUACGAGACAGGAAGAAUAGAACUUUAGCCUUGUCUCAAGCGGUCUAUAUCGACAAGAUAUUAGCUAGAUUUAGCAUGAAAAAUUUCAAGACUCGUUUAUUACCAUUCAGACAUGAAAUUGUAUUAUCUAAGGAUCAAUCACCCAAAACAUUUGAAGAAAUAGAAUGAGACGAGUUCCCUAUGCAGAAGUUGUGAGAAGUCUCAUGUAUGCCACACUUCGCACUAGGCCAGACAUCUAUUUUGCGGUAGGGAUGGUUAGCGGAUAUCAAUCUAAUCUUGGAUCUGAACACUGGACUGCAAUCAAGUAUAUAAUGAAGUAUCUGAAAAGAACUGAGAAUUAUAUGCUUGUGUAUUCUGGUGAUGAGCUCAUUCAAGUGGGUUAUACUGAUUUUGACUUUAUGUCAGAUAAGGAUUCCAGAAAAUCAACUUCUGGCUACGUGUUUACAUUAAGAAGUGGAGCUUUUAGUUGAAGGUGUGUGAAAUAACCUUGUAUCACAGACUCCACAAUUAAAGCUGAAUAUGUGGCUACAUUUAAAGCUGUAAAAGAAGCUGUAUGGCUCCGCAAGUUCCUACAAAUCUUAAGGUGGUACUUGUUGUAACUGCACCCUUUAAACUAUUUUGUGAUUAUGGUGGUGUGAUAGGAACAAAGGAACCACAAGAAACAAAAAUAUAUUGAGAGGAAGUAUCAUAUUAUAAAGGAAUAAUGUAGAAAGGCUAUAUGACAAUACCCCAAAUGGCAUUAGAUGUUAUAUGACAUAUCUUAUUACAAUGGUCAUUAGUGGGAAACCUUUAUAACCUGCACUUAGAGCCCCUAGAGUAUGUGCAAUAUGCCAGAUAUGCUUUAAAGAGUUAGUGGGAGAUUGUUGGGAUUAUGUGCUCUUUUAAAAGCAUAAUAAUUUAUUUUUUGAUUAAUAAAAUAUUUGAGAUAUUUUCAAUUGCAUAAAUAUAUUAAAUAAGGUCUGUUUAAUCAUAUUAUAUGUAUUUAUGUGAUCAUCAUAUGGAUUCACAGAAGACAUAAAUAUAAGUUAUUUUAUGAUUAAAUAAAUUAAGUUCGCAGUUGAUAAAUAGAGUUGGGCGCUCUAUUUAUGUUUAGACUGUAGUAAAUUCAUUGAAUGAUUUAUCUUAAUUAUGUAUGAAUUUACUGAUGUAGUUUGACUACAUUGAGCUGGAUCACAUAUGAGAUUUAAUUAACCUUGAAAUGACUGUCAGACUUAUUAAAUCUCAUAGGCAUUAAUUUUAUUGUAAUCUUAAUCUUGAGUUAGUUAUAAUUUCAUGAUUGUAAUUGUUAUUUCAUUUGAGUUACCAAUGGGCACGACACACACUUGCAGUCAAGAUUACCUGGUAUUUUGGUGGCAGCAAUUAUGAGUAUUGGAGUUAUAAAUUAACAAUAUAGAAUUUGUACAACACAUCUCUUGAUGAGUUUUCGAUACUUGAUCAUAGCAUUCUCUGGCCAGAGUGUGUCAACAUAUUUAGUAUGUUGAAAAUGAUCAUUAGAGAAAACCAGUAUUUAUCAAGGAACAAGAUGUAAUUAAAUUGAUUGGGCAGUUGAGAUAUCAAUUUAAUUAACGAUGUGGUAUGCAGGAUUAUUCAGUAAAGAAAUCAAUGUGGCAUGGGUCGAAUUAUUAUUCGAGAACACUAUCCUGGAUAGUAUACAAUUAUGGAGGUCAACUUCAAUCUUUUAGUGGAGUAGAUUUGGAAUUAAAUAAUUGGGCUAGUUUAAUUACAGGCCUAAUUAUUGUAGUCACUAUUGUAUGUACCCAAAUGAUCCCCGGAUUAGCUCAUUUAAUUGACUGCGCCGCUACUGGAUUAAUAAGCAAGAUAACUAGUUAUUUGGGUUAAAAGCCUAAAUAUAUUAUUUAGUGGGAGGCUUCAUAUAAUGUGCUUGUGUCUAAGGGGUCUUGUGUUAUUUUACAAAGUGGACCCCUAUAACAAGAAGAAGUAAUGUUACUUUUUAUUUUAUUAUUUUUAAUUUAAAUCAAAUUUGAUUUAAUAGAAUUAAAAAAUAUAAAAAUAUGGAGCCUAGGGUUUCCACCAAAUAAAGAUAUAAAAUGACUUAUUUUCUCCCAAAAGCAGAAAUAGCCACAAUAUACAGAUCAAGAGAAAAAGAUUUUUUCUCUCUAAUUUUGAGAGGAAUAUUUUCUCUUACUAGUUGCUUUUAGUAGUGAUAAAGGCGCCCACACGUCAAGUGUAGAUCAAACCUGAGUCAUAACUCGGAAGAUUAAUUGGUGACGAAUCGUGAUCUAAUCAACAUAGUGGUGACAGAUCGUGAUCUGGGAAGCCUGGAUUAAUUUCAAUUGUUCAUCUUCUCAGAUUGUUAAGGUAUGAUUUUCUAGAUUACGUAUUCCUAUAUAUUGGAUGAGAUCGGUCUUGAAAGUUUUUUUUUAACUGAUUUUUCUCCAACAAUUCACUAUUCCAUAAGAUUUGCAUCGUCGCUGAAGGGUUACAAUCCAUAGUAGUACGAAUAAGAUCAGGCAAAAUACCAGCCUCACAUAACGUCUCAUGAAUGAACUCCCAACUUAAUCUGCCAUAAGCCUUCUCAAGGUCAACCUUUAUAAGCAUUUGCCCCCUUUUACCUUUCUUCAUCCUUAUGUUAUGAAUGAUAUCCUGGGCGACAACUAUAUUUUCUGUGAUAUGACGUCUAGCGACGAAACUUGCCUGAGUGGGGCCGAUCAAGUCAGGGAGGAUGACUUUAAUCCUGUUAGCCACAAUCUUAGUAAUAGUUUUGUAGAACACUAUACAGAGGCUAAUAGGGCGAUACAACUUGAGGCUAUUGGGAUGCUUAGUCUUAGGAAUAAGAACAAUCAACGUCUUAUUGACUUCGCUCAGGACACUGUUCCCAGUAAAAACAUUCUUCACCAGGUUGCACGCUGACUCCUCCACCGCAUGCCACUGAGAUUGAUAGAAGACGGCAUGUAGCCCAACAACCCCAGGAGCUUUCAACGGCUGCAUAGUCAACAUGGCUACCACAAUAUUUCUUUGAUAAUGAGACAAUUUAGGGGUGUGCACGGUUCGAUUCGGUUUAGUUCAGAUCAAGAUUGAGUACAACAGAUUAAAUUUGUUUAUUUUAUAAUAAGAACUGAAUACAAUAAAAAACCGAACAUGAUCUUAUCCAUGGUUUGGUUCGUUUCAGUUUUUUCAGUUUUGUGCCUAUUGAGCCUAUUUUGAAUUCCAAAUUUUUAGUUUGUUGGGCCUCAUUAAUAAAAUAAUUUUUCUUAGUAAUCAGUUCAUUAUAGUUUCAUUAUAAAUGCUAACAAUAAACAAAAAGUAUUCAAAACAAAUUUAUCACAACUGUCUUACUAACUAAUGCUAAUGAAAUAUGAAAUAUUAAGAUUUAAGAAUACAAAUCUAGACUCCAAUGCUCCAUCUAAAUAAAUUUAAAGUUGUAAAGAAAAAUAAAAAUAGUAAUAGGUACAACACAAAAUAAAAAUAACAAUCAUGUGUGAGUAGGUUUAUUGUAAUCAUUUUGCAUAGCGAAUUAACAUAAAACACAUUUCAUGUUUUGGUAAAAUUACAAAAACAUUCCAGUUCUUCAGUUCGGUUAUUCGGUUCAGUUAAGUAAAACAAAAUCCACACCGGUAUUUCGGUUUUUUCUUAUAAAUUGGAUAUUCGAAUAUUUAUAAGAAUUAAAACUGAUCCGAACCCGAACUGAUCCACCGGUUCAAUUCAAUUUUUCCUAGGCCUUGGUUUUUUUGCCCACCCCUAGAUGAUGUAUCAUUUCAUUAUAAACAAUAUCAUGAUCGCUUAUGUUGUCUGCUUAUUUUAUUUUAUAUUUUUGGCUACCACAACAUUUUUCUAUAUGGUAACAAUAUAUAAAGCUUCAAAACAUGCAUGGAGUUGAUUUAUUGACAAAAAACAAGGAUAGAACUAGUUUCAGAAACAUAAAUUAAGGUCGAAGAUUACAUAAAUUAAGCUGUUUAUUCAAAAGCCGUGCGUGCAGGCUUUAGGGGAUUAAUGAGAAAAAUGUCAAGAAGUUGAUCAAUUGUGGUGAAUUUAAAAUCAGGGUACAGCUUUGAAGCUUCAAUGCCAUCCUCUCCGAGUUCAAAGUUCAUCAAGUCACCCUUUACAAGUAUGCUGUGUAUAAUGGAUAUUGGUAUGUCUUCUGGAGGUGGUAAAGCUGCCACAAUUGAAGAUGGAAAGGUUGUGGUGAACAUUAAUAUUAAUUUAAGUGUAAAAUGAAUGAGAUGUCAAAGAGAUGGGGGCUAUAAAAUCUUCUAGUCAGGGGUAGAACUAGGUAGAGGUGAAAAUAGGAAUUUUUCUUAGAAUGGGCUAAACUCAAUUUCUUUCAAUUUAAAAAAAAAAUUCUAAAAUUAAAGCCAUUAAAUCACCCUAACAUUAAGGUAGCGUUUACUUUUUGGAUUGGAGUGGGAAUCCUAAGAUUGGGAGUGUUGAGUGUGAGUGGGAGUGGGAGUAGGUUGUUUACUUACAUUGAAAUGGAAGCAUGAAAUGGAGAUCAGAAUUCAAUUUAUGUGUUUACUUUGUCUUGGAUUGGGAGUAAAUAGUUUCAAAUUACAAUUUUUUUCUUAUUUAAAUAAUUAUAAUUUUUAAUUACAAAGUUAAUAAAAAAUAUAUUUAAUGAAUAAACAUUUAUUUUAUUAUGUUUGUAAAUUUAUAAUAAAUUAUUAAUAUUCUUAAUUAUGAACAUCACAAUUUUUUAUUAAUUUUAAUUUUAAUUAUAUAAAUUAAAAAUUAUUGAUAAGGGCAAUAUAAAUGAAAUAUUUUUACUAUUAACAUAGUAUGAAAUUAAUAUUUUCUUAGAAUAAACUAUUUAUUAGUAUUAAUUAUUAAUAUUAAAAAAAUAUAAUACUAAUAUUUUUAAAUAAAUAUAAUAAUAUUAUAUUUUCAAAUAAAGAUGGUAUAUAGUAAUAUUAUUAAUUCUCUAUUAAUAUGAUAUUAUUAUUUUUAAGUAAUUUAGACUUAGAAUCAAACCAAAUUAUUAUUUAGUUAAAUAUAAUAAUAUUAUUUAAAUAAAUAUAAUAUUAUUUAAAUAUUUAUUAAAUAUAAUUAUAGUAAAUUUAAUAAAAAGAGGGUAAAAAAGAAGGGUAAAUAUAAAAUGAAACAUUAUUUUAUUUUAUUUUAUAUAAUUAUAUUAAGUUUAUUAUUAUAUAAAAUAAUAAUAUAAUAUUAUUUAGUACAAAAUUAAUAUUUUCUUAUAAUAAACUAUUUAUUAUUAUUUAUUAUUAAAUAAAUAUAGUACUAUUAUUUUAAAAAUAAAUAUAAUAAUAUUAAUCAAAUAAAUAUAAUAAUAUUAAUCAAAUAAAUAUUAUAUUAUUUAUUUUAUUUUAUUAAAUAUAAAAUAUUAAAUUAAGUUAAAUUAAAUUAAAUUAAAAAGGAUAGAAAAUGGAGACGUGGGAGUGGAUUCCCACUCCCACCUCUCCCCAUGGGAGUCCCACUCCCACUCCCCACUCCAAAAAUGGGUGGGGCUCACGGAGUGGGAUUCCCAAUCCGAAACCAAUUUGUUGAAGUAAACACUGGAGUGGGAGGAAUCCACACUCCUCACUCCCACUCCAGAAAGUAAACACAACAUAAAUUAAUACUUCUAAGAUUGAGAAACACUUUGUAAAUUGAGUUCAUUUAACAUUAAAUGGUUUCUAUUUUAUUGAUUUUUCUUAAAUUUUUAAUUAUCCGACUGUAUUUUGAGUGUGGGUUUUGAUACCCUUAAUUAAACACCAACUUUCAAACAGUUAAAAGUCAAAUGAGUGAUAAGUAUCUUACCAUCAUAAUUUUAUUUGACACUGAGAAAGAUAUGUAGGUCAUGGCCUUCAGGCCUGGCCAAUCAAUGUGGAAAAAAUUUAUAAAAGAUAAGGGUCUGCUUUGAAAUUUAAUUGAAAAAUUUAGCUAUUGACCCCACUAGAUUUACACUUUAGCCCAUAUGGUUCCGCUCUUGCUUGCAGUGAUUUUAUCUUUUUGUAACUUCGUAUAGAAUUAAAUCUUUUUAUCAAAAAAGCUAAAAAAAAAAGAAAUUCUUACUCUGAGAUAGGUUUACUAGUUCUUCCUCAGAAACAUGAACCCUUUUGAAACUUCGACCUGUCUUUUCUUCCCAAACCGAGAUCAAUUCAAGUUGUGAUAUAAUAUUUGUUUGCGGACGAUAAAUCACAAUUCGAUUGCAUGUUCUUGGAUCAUUUAUCACUUUGAUUGUACAAUUAGCUAUAUCUUCCUCGUAAUUGAAGACAACUGAAAUAGAUAAAUAGAUGAUAUAACAUCAUAAAGAUAUUCAACAAAUGAACUUUAAGUGUAAAUUGUUUUUCAAUGUGUGGAGUACUUGUGCAUUGGGAAAGUAUACGUGCCUUUUGCUUCACCAUUUCCAUAAACAACAACAUCAUCAUGUGGCUCAGAUGGACAAAGCAAGACAUUCACAAAGUAAGCACCAUAGCAGUUUGCUGAGACAAAGGUGUAGGGAAUUUCAGCUGCUUCUAUUGCCCUUCUUACUAUUCGUUUUUUCUCCAAGUAAGCUUCAAAAGGAGGCAGAGGCAUUACCCUGUCCUCUUCACAUCCAAACUCAGAUGGAAGAAACCUCUAGCGGCCAAAACUUAGUGUGUUUUAAGAUCAUGUGCAAUAUAAAUUUUAUAAAAUGCAGCAUUGAACUGUAAUUUUAAUAUUAAGACCCAAGUCCAAGUUUGAAUCUCAUAAAAUAUGACACCCAGAACUCCUAAGAAUUGGCCAAAUAUACUCAUGGAUUCUCUUAAUUUCGAAAAAUGUCCAUGGAAUUUCCUUUGACUGAAUAUUUCAUAAUAUCUUUGACUAUAGUAACCCCAAAUAUUGACUUUAUUUUUUUAAUAAAUAUAAUAAGAUAAUAAACAGAGAGUAAAUACUUGUUUAAUUUUAUAUUUUGAGUCAAGUGUUCAUUUAGUUUUUAUAUUUUAAAAAAAAUCUCAAGACAAUCCCGCUAUUAAAUAAACUAGUACACUUACUUUUCUUUCUUUUUACAAUAAUACCGUAGGAACAAUAUUCUUUGAGAUGUUAAUGAGAAGAAAAAAAUAAUAAAUUAUCAAAUUAAACAUAAAAGUAACAAAAACAUUUACACAAACUUUUAUAUUAUUAUUUUACGAUUCAAAUUAAUUGGGUAAAUUAAUUUUUUAUAAAUAAUUGUGUAAUGUAACAUUUUUAACUAUAAUGAUGUUUUGAGGUAUUUUUUAAAAAACAAAUAGAAGCUAAACGGGUGCUUAGGUUAAAAUAUAAGGAUUAAACGAGUAUUUACCCUAAUAUAUAUUUAUAAAUUUUUAUAUUAAAAUUAUUAAUAACGAGACACAUUUUAUUAUUAAUAUUAUAUCUAAAUUUUGGAAAAAGGACAUUAACACCUUCAUGCUUUAGUAAAAGGUCAUGGAGACCUUUUAUUUUUAGAAAUAAUUAGACCCGGGAAAUUUGUCCGAUAAAAUGGUCUCUUUACCAAAAGGAGUAUGCCUGAAAAUUUCUAGACCAUUCACCACUAAAUUAGAGUUUGUGAUUUUAAGUAUUUUAUGCUAAUUGACACUAACUAGCCUUCGCGUUUUCGGUUUUUUGCAGCUAAUUAUCAUUCCUUAGCUUCAAAUCUGCAUUUAUAAAGUGUCAAUAUUUACGUAUGAAAAUUUUCUAAUGCUUCGGAAAAACACAACAAAAGCUUUUUCAAAAGGUAUAGAGUUCAAAGUUCAAACAAAUACCUUGAUGUUACCAGCAACUUUGAUUGCAUCAACAAUUUUCAGUUGAUCAAGAAGUUGGGGAUAAGCUACAGUAGAUAUCACCACACCUACUUCCUUAAGUAUAGAUAUAAUUUUCUCGUGCUCGUCUAGCUCUCCCUGUUAUAAUUUCAACAGUAUUAUUAUUAACACUUAAGCUUAUAAAUAAUAUCGAAGGGUUCCAAUUAGAUCAACACAAAAUUAAUUUUAUAAAAAAAUUAAAAAAAAAACCGAGGUUCGAAUUUCACUCGGACAUUUAAAGGAAAAAAAUAAAAGCAAAGGAGAUCGAGAUAAUUGAGUAAUGAAGUAACCUCAAUAAUGGUGACACCAACCCUGAAAUUCCUUGUGGAUUUCAAGCUUGGAGGUUCUUGAAUUUUUUGUAACUGGUCGAGCAUAAACAAAAGUAUUGUGACCAGAAGAAACACUUGCUUUCGCCAUAUACUUACCGAGGUAUCCAGUACCCCCAAAGAUAAGUAUCUUUGGUUUUGUGUUCUCACCUUCCAUUUCUUCCUUUCACUUCAAUUUAUCUUUCAUAUAUCUUCCCUUCCCAUUUUACAUAUUUAUAUAUGAUAUCAGGAACUCACAUUUUUAGUGUUGAAAAUGUGAGACUCGACGGGGACUCAAUUGAUGGUGUUUCCCUGCAAUAAUGUUGUACGUUCUAAAUGUUAAAAUCAAUGGAGCUAUUUCAGCCGUUCAAAAAUCCGAAAAUUGUCUCCUUAUUUCUGAAUCUCCUUAUUUCUGAGUGAGAUAAAUUGAUAACAUCUUUUAGUGUGAUAAAUUUGUAAUUUUUUACAUAGUAAUUCUAUCCCAUCGUCUUUGACUGGUACGAUUUUUUUUCCUCUCGAUAGAGAAGUUUUUGAAGUAGUACUUGCAUCCUCGAUAGAGUUUGUUCUCCAUCUUUUUUUACUUUGAUAUAUUACUUGUUUCACAUAUUGAUUGCGCUUAUAUCUUAAUGGAAUCAUAAUUUUUCCACUCAUGAAUUCUUAUUUAUUGAAAACAGUUUUACAUAUUCAUAUGAAACAAUUUUUCGGAUAUUAAAAAUAAGAAGAAUACGAUUCAAAAUUUUGAAUUAAUCUUAACUUCUCAGUGCUAUGUUUGAAUCCCAUAUCAAACAUACCCUAAACUUUAAGAACAUAAAAUUCACAUAUAAAAAAUAAUUUGAGUGAAAAAAGAAAAUGAAAGGAAUUUUUUUUCCGAAUUUCCUUGGUGUACUUUUUUUAAGGGAACCCAAUCAUAAAACUGGUUUAUGAUUAACGUAUAUUACAUAGUUUACACAUAAAUUGACAAAAUCAGCCAUGAUUCUUAUGUUUUUCCUUAUAAAUGGAUAAUUUAAAUUUGUGAUAGUAUAUAUUUUUUUAUUUUUCUUUAAAUGAUAGAGUAGUAGAUAAAGUUCAAAUUAACUUUUUAACUCCUUAUUUCUUUUAUCUUUAAGAUUCAAAUUCGGAACCAACCAAAUAAUACCAUUUGAAAAUCACUCUUUAGCCUCGAGACAAAUAUGUGAUAACAAGUUUUUGGUUGAUAAAUAAAAUGACGACGUUUCCUAUGCAAAAUGAAUGGUGUCUACUGCUCAAUGCCACGAGCAACUUUUGUGCGUAAUUGCAAUUGCAAGUGAAGUAAUUUGAGAGUUUUGAGAGAUCUUCUACUUGAGUGCUAGGAGGAUUCAAUUGGGUGUAUUGGGGUUGUGGGUUUUUAAGAGUUUUUACCACUUUUGUAAAUUCUCAUUUAUUAGUAAAAUUAUCUUCUAGGUUUUGCCCGUAGACGUAGGUAUUACGCCGAACCACGUAAAUUAUUGUGUCAUAUUUUCUUUGUAUUUUUUUAUUCACCAAAUUUAUAUUUCUCCAGAAAUUGCAGUCGCCAUAAUAUUGGUAAUUGCUCAACCACAAGCUUCCGCAACAAGGUUUGCCUCUAAACAUUCGUUCAUGAAUGGGCAUUUUCGCUGCUCUGAAUGUGUCCUGAUCUUUCAAGAAUCAUAACAACCAGACAAACCAAACACAUUCUCAGUUGACAAUUAUUUUUUACACAAUAUGACAAAUUUAGAGCAGCAAAAUAUCUGAGCAUUUAUAAAAUAUCUUCAAAACAAAUUUAUGAAUGCUAGAAAUAUCUAAGCAUCUAAUAAAUUUCUUUUAAACAGAUAGAAAUAUCUAGGCAAAAGUUGUAGUUAAAAAUUAGCCACAACGAAAAAUUCUAAAUGUGUGGUCACCUAGUGUUUGUAAGGCCUAUAAAGACAUGGCCAUGUCUCCAAUUCAAGCAAUGAAGUUAAGAACAAUAAAAUCUUCCACUAGUAAAAUCCUUUCCACUUCCCUUUAUCUUUGAUCAAAUAUUAUUGAUCAAAAAUAGUUUCCACUUUAAUUAUUUUAGCCCACUAUCUACCCCUGCUCCAACACCUGCCUUCUGCUCCCUCAAUUUUUGGGAACCGAAUCUAAAAUUAUUUUAUAUCAUUGAAUUUAAAGGGGGAAAGAUCAAAAUGGAAGAGUAUGAUAAGUUUCUUUUGAAGGAUGAAUUAUUUUUUCAAUAUUUCUUUGAUAAUGUAUUAUUUUCAGUAUAAACUAUAUCGUGAUUAGUUAUGUUUUCUACUUAUUAUUAUUAUUAUUUUAACAUCACGGCAUUUUUCUAUAGAGUAAAAAUAUAUAAAUGCUUAAAAAUAUGCAUGGAGUUCCAUGCAUGUUCUGUUAUUCUUUCUUUUGAUUUAUUGACACAAAACAAGGAUAGGACUAGUUUUGGAAACAUAAUUAAUUAAAGUCGAAAAUUACAUAAAUUAAGCUGCUUAUUCAAAAGCCGUACGUGCAGGCUUUGGGGGGUCAAUGAGAAAAAUGUCAAGAAGUUGAUCGAUUGUGGCGAAUUUAAAAUCAGGGUACAGCAUUGAAGCUUCAAUGUCAUCCUCUCCAAGUUCAAAGUUCAUCAAGUCACCCUUCGCAAGUGCGCUGUGUAUAAUGGAUAUUGGUAUGUCUUCUGGAGGUGAUAAGGCUGCAACAAUUGAAAAUGGAUAGGUUGUAAUGAACAGUAUUAAUUAAGUUUGAAAAUAAAUGAGAUGUCAGAAAGAUUGAGGCCUCUGAAAUCUUAUAGUCAAGGGUGGAAUUAGGCAGAGGCGAAGAUAGUAAUUUUUCUUACAAUGUGGUAACUAAUUUUAUUAAUUUAAAAAAAUUCUAAAAUUAAAGCUGUUAAAUCACCCUAACAUUAAAUAAAUACUUUUAGGUUUGAGAAACACUUUAUGAAUUAACUUCAUUUAAUAAGAAAAAUUAUUCUAUUGUGACAUCAUAUGCAAACUGGCACAAUUAAAUAGUUUUUAUCUCAUUUUCUUAAUUUUUUAAUUAUCUAAUAAUAGACUGUGGGGUAUGAUACCCUUAGUUAAAUACUAACUUCAAACAAUUAACAUUCAAAUUAGUGAUAAAUAUCUAACACAAGAAACAUAUAUGGUUAUGGUAAAAAAUUUAUAAACGAUGAGGGUCUGCUUUGAAAUUUAACAAAAAAAAUUCACGUAUUGACCCCACUAGAUUUACACUUUGGCCCAAUGGAAUAGAACAUCAUUCUGGUUCCGCUCCUGCUUGUAGUGAUUUUAUCCUUUUAUGACUUUUUAUAAAACUAAAUAAUUUUAUAAAAACAAUUAAAUAAAAAAUCAAAAUUCUUACUCUGAGAUAGCUUUACUAGUUCUUCCUCAGAAAUGUGAACUCUUUUGAAACUCCGUCCAGUCUUUUGUUCCCAAAGGGAGAUCAAUUCAAGCUGUGAUAUAAUGUUUGUUUGCGGUCGAUAAAUCACAAUUCGAUUGCAUGUCCUUGGAUCAUUUAUCACUUUGAUUGUACAUUUAGCUAUAUCUUCCUCGUAAUUAAAGACAGCUGAAAUAGAUAAAUAGAUGAUAUAACAUCAUAAAGAUAUUCAACAAAUGAACUUUAAGUGUAAAUUGUUUUUCAAUGUGUGGAGUACUUGUGCAUUGGGAAAGUAUACGUGCCUUUUGCUUCACCAUUUCCAUAAACAACAACAUCAUCAUGUGGCUCAAAGGGACGAAGCAAGACAUUCACAAAGUAAGCACCAUAACAGUUUGCUGAGACAAAGGUGUAGGGAAUUUCAACUGCUUCUAUUGCCCUUCUUACUAUUCGUUUUUUCUCCAAGUAAGCUUCAAAAGGGGGCAGAGGCCUCACCCUGUCCUCUUCACAUCCAAACUCAGAUGGAAGAAACCUCUAGCAACCAAAACAUAGUGUGUUUAAGAUCUGUUCUAUAUAAACAAAUUUGAAGCAAUUCAUCACUGAAUUGUAAAAAGACACUAAAAGGUUACCAAGACACAAAUACGAAAUUAAAGUUUGUGAUUUUAGGUAUUUUACUAAUUAAGUAGCUCUCGUAUAUAUUUUUACAUCGUUUAUGACUAACUACUAUUGCCUAGUUUAAAUCUACAUUUACAAAAUGUGGACAUCUACACUUAAAAGUUUCUAAUAUUUUCCAAUUAGCAAACAAACUAUAUUUCAAUUUCUCCCCAAAAAAAAAAAAAACAACAACAUGAUUUGUUUUUUUUUAAAAAAAAGAAAGAGCUCAAUCAAAUACCUUGAUGUUACCAGCAACUUUGAUGGCAUGAACAAUUUUCAGUUGAUCAAGAAACUGAGGAUAAGCUACAGUAGAUAUCACCACAUCUACUUCCUUAAGUAUAGAUACAAUUUUCUCGUGCUCGUCCAACUCUCCCUGUUUUAAUUUCAACAGUAUUAUUACAAAUAAUAUCGAAGGGCUCCAAUUAGAUCAACACAAAAUUAAUCUCAUAAAAAGAAGUAUAAGAGGUUUGAGGUUCGAAUUUCGUGCGUGCAUUUAAAGGGGGAAAAAAAGAGGAAAAAAAAAAGAAACAAAACCAAAGGAGAUCGAGAUAAUUGAGUAAUGAAGUAACCUCAAUAAUGGUGACGCCAAUACCCUGAAAUUCCUUGUGGAUUUCCAGCUUGGAGGGUCUUGAAUUUUUUGUAACAGGUCGAGCAUAAACAAAAGUUUUGUGACCAGAAGAAACACUUGCUUUCACCAUAUACUUACCGAGGUAUCCAGUACCCCCAAAGAUAAGUAUCUUUGGUUUUGUGUUCUCACCUUCCAUUUCCUCCUUUCACUUCAAUUUAUCUUUCAUAUACCUUCCCUUCCCUUUUUACAUAUUUAUAUAUGAUAUCAGGAACUCACAUUUUUAGUGUUGAAAAUCUUAUACACACAGAAUCUGGUAAAUUUGUUUUCUUGAAAAAGUUGCUUCACCUAAACUAUUAUUUUUUAAUUUUCAUCAAUAAUCAAUAUUCUUAACCACAUAAAUUUUAUUGCCAUUAUUGUUCCCUGAAAAAAAAUUAUUUAAUUAUAAAUUUCAAUAGCUAAAUUUAUUAUUAAAAUAUUUGAACUUUUUCAACCGCGAUAAAAAGAAGUCUAACCCGACCAACAAGUGCUAAAUUUUGUACAUGUUGAAAAUUUGACUUGAAUGUGGGAAAACAUUAAAGACAAUAGGAUAAAAUAAUUGGAAUCAUGAUUCUCUCUUUAUCUGGUCUUUAUAUGAACAGAUUUUAUUAACACAAUUAGUGGUUAAUAAAUUAAAAAGAAAAAAAAUUAAAUCUUAAUCCUACACUAACACUAAAACACAGAUGGUAUAAGAUUUAUAAAAGAUCAAGAGUGUUCAGAUCAUGGAUAUUAAUCCAAAUAAUUGCUCCGCAAAAGAGUGAUAAUGAAAUAGCAAAAUUCUUUGACAAUUUUGUUCAUGCAACUAAAUAGCAAGUGGUGAGAGCAAAAACAAAUAAAAGGCCAAAGCCUUUUUGGCUUUAGAAUUGAAAAGGUGGGGUCCAUUUUGAAGAUUCUAUAAGCAGCCUUUUGGCUUUUGGCUUUUGGCUUUUGGACGAAGAGGAGAGGGAGCCGCCAAAGGGGAAGAAAAAAGGCAGACGCAAGGCAGAAAAGGAGAAGAAUAGUGGCAGCAGCAGUAACUUAAUUCUCCAUGACGGGUUUUAUUUGUUUUGUUGCUCCCUAUUUAAGUAUGUCUAACUAAUUUUCUUAUACUGAGGUUAAGGAUGAAAUCAUAUUUAAUGAAAUAAUUAUGUUUUUAUUUAAUUAAUUCCGCUUUAAUGUUUAUGAUUUUUGUUGAAAAUGUGAGACUCGACAGUUCAUGUGGGGGACUCAAUUUGUGGUGUUUCCGUGCAAUAAUGUUGUACGCUCUAGAUGUUAAAAUCAAUGGAGCUAUUUCAGCCGUUCAAAAUCCGAAAAUUGUCUCCUUAUUUCUGAGUGAGAUAAAUUGAUAACAUCUUUUAGUGUGAUAAAUUUAUAAUUUUUUACUUAGUAAUUUUAUCUCGGCGUCUUUGACUGUUUACACAUAAAUUGACAAAAUCAGCCAUGAUUCUUAUGUUUCUCCUUAUAAAUGGAUAAUUUAAAUUUGUGAUAAUAUAUAUUUUAUUUAUUUUUCUUUAAAUGAUAGAAUAGUAGACAAAGUUCAAAUUAAAUCCUUAUUUCCAUUAGUUUUAGGAUUCAAACUCGGAACCAACCAAAUAAUACUAUUUGAAAACCACUCUUUAGGCCGGUGACAAAUAAGUGAUAAUAAGUUUUUGGUUUAUAAACAAAAUGACGACGUUUUCUAUGCGAAAUGAAUGGUGACUAUUGCUCUAUGCCACGAGCGAUUUUUGUGACUAUUCAGAUUCUCACAUGAAUAUAUAAUACAAUGGUUGAUUGAUAAAAGGAUGACGGGUCUUUUGUGAGCUUUGUAGAUAUAUUUUUCUUCCAUUUGUACUAUUGAAAAAAAAGAAAAAAUGGAUCUGAAUCUUCAAUUGAUUUUUUAAUUGUUUUAAGGGGAAAUUAAAGCACUUACGUGGUUUUGUACAAUUUUUAUAAAUAUAUAUAGUUGUUUUAAAAAAUAGUGACAUCGUCUCUUCUUACGACAACUAUGUCUUUUAUUGUAGCGAUCAAAUUAUUUUUAUCUAGGCGUAAUUAUUCAAAAAGUAUCUAUAUAAUCAUUUUGCUAAAUGACGAAAUGUGACCAUUUUUUUCUCAUUUUUUUUCAUUUACAAUGCUGAUAUUUUCAUACCACAAUUUUUGUAAACCCACCCCACUUCAAGAAAAUAAUUAUAAUAAAUUCACAUUAUUUUUAAGAAAAUUCAAAUAAAGAAGAAGUUUGAGAAGUAAUUAAUUAAAUCUACCUUGAUUUGUUUUGUGACUUUAAUUUUUUUUAUCAUAUUUGACUAAAAAGAUUGCUUUGUCAUAAUUUUAAAUUGAUUAUUUACUCUUAUAAGGUAAAAGUACCAAAAUACCAAAAAAUUUACUUUAAGUUCAGAAUUUUUGAAUUUUAUACAAAAUUUAUAAUUUCUAAAAAAUGUAUCAAAACAAAUUUAUUAGAAUGAUUAUUAAGAUUUAGUUAAACUAACAAAAUAUUUUUAUGGCAUAAGACUCAUGUAAUUUAUUGGAUGUCAUGUUGUAAGUCACAAAACUAAAUACCUAGAUUGUUAGAUAUAGGAAUAUUAUCACAUUAUCUUUGGAUAAUUUGGUCAUUUUAUGUAUCUUGGGUAAAACAUUGAAAUAAAAUUUAUCUUAACCAACCUUAAUAGCAAAUAUGGUUAAACAAACAUAAGUGAAAAAAAUACAUAAGAAUUAAUUGAUUAAUUGCCCAAUCUCUUUGUUUAUCUCUAUUUUUUGAAAAUAAUGUGAGCUUAUUAUAAUACUUCUAUCUCCCUCAAGAUUUACAUUCGGGUGACUAGCCAAAUAUAGAUGCUUGAAAACCAAAAGGCUUGGGGAAAUAAGAAAAUCUUAUAUAUUUUCACUAUCUGUUUCAACAAAUUUAUACACAUGGAAUCUGGUAAAUUUGUUUUCUUGAAAAAGUUGUUUCAAUUAAACCAUUAUUUUUUAAUUUUCAUCAAUAAUCAGUAUUGUUAACCACAUAAAUUUUAAUUCCAUUAUUGUUCCCUGAAAAAAAAUUAUUUAAAUAUAAUUUUCAAUAGCUAAAUUUAUUAUUAAAAUAUUUGAAUUUUUUUAAACCGCGAUAAAAAGAAGUCUAACCCGACCAACAGGUGCUAAAUUUUCUACAUGUUGAAAAAUUGACUUGAAUGUGGGAAAACAUUAAAGAAAAUAGGGCAAAAUAAUUGCUCGGUAAAAGCGUGAUAAUGAAAUAGCAAAAUUCUUUGACAAUUUUGUUCAUGCAAUUAAAUGCCAAAUGGUGAGGUUGGGGAUCAUUGAAGAAGUUGAAUGGUCUUUGGCCAUUAUGAAUGGUCGAUCCGCAAUUCAUUCAUGAUUUUUCAAUAUUUGCUCAUGGAAAUGGCGGAUAUUUCACCGGAUUUUGGACCGCAAGCUUAAGGCGAUCCUUACACGCCAUCUGUUGAAAAAUUCAAAAUUGAAAUUCAAAUACACAUGCAUGCAUUCAACUUUGAAGAGGUAAAUUUGAAGACAAAUUCCUUGCAUGCAAAUUUCAAGCACACCAAUAUUGAGCUAGCGUGAUCCAAUUGCAUGUGCUAAUUAUGUUGACCAGCUUUAAUUAUAUUAAAUAGUUUAAGAUAUUAAUUUUUUUUAUAUUUUAUAUUAAAUAUAAAUCAUGAAUUGUUUUAGAACUUUUUGAAAUUAAAAAAGUUUGGUAUUAAUAUUAAAUUAUAUUUUAUUAUUAAUAUAGAUAAUUUAAUAUUUAAGGCAAAAGAUAAAUUUGUCCAAAAAAAUUUACAAUUCCUUUCCCUAUUAAAUUUUAUGUCGAACCAAAUAAUGAAAUUUAAUUUCACUAUUCUCUUCCACUCCUCUCUUCUCCUUUCCCUCCAUUCCACUCUUUUCCUCGCCUUCCUUUUCUUAAAACCAAACACCACCUUAUAGCUAUUAUCGUCGCAAGCAUAGCGGAACCCAAGCUCAUGCUCAUGAUAGCACAACGUGGCCUACGGUGGCACCACGAUGUCCCCAGAGUCAUAGACAAACUUCGCAUAUCGACAGCCCGUACAGUAUAGCGGAUGCACAUCUAAACCUCAUGAUUCCGUAACACAGCUAGGCUUAAGGCCAACUACUGGCUAUACUGACUACUUACUAUUGUUCUAGAGCAGGGAAAGUCUUCAAGAAUGCUGCUACCGAAUGAAGUUCGUCUUUCCCCCCUUUCCCUAUAAUAAAGUGCAGGCCCCCGUAGAUAGAUAUCCCAUAUAGCCCCUCCUCAAGUCGACUUUUUGCCGUUGAAUCCCGAAGAAAGAAUAAAAUAGACAAAAUUCCUAACAAAAAGAUAGUGAUGGUUCCUCUUUGAGGGCCCGAAGGGCAACGUACCUAAUAGAUAAAGGAUUUUUCAAAUGGGAACUCAUCUUGUACUGCGACUUAAACAAUCAUCGUAGGAAGGGCCGGAAACUUGCGUUUUCUUAUGAUAGAUUGUACCAUGAUUAUCUUCUAUUUAUAUUCCCUAGUCUAUCUUUCUUCAAGUGAGAUAGUUGAGCCCGCCCCAAGCGGAACCGCAUGAGUUCACCGGGGUUGAGCACGGUCAGCCAAAAUCGGCAUAGGUUAGGUGCUAUUGAUGGAACAUGGUAAGCCUAUCUUUCUUCUCCAUAUAGAAGUGCUGUGGGAUUAAAGGAGUUGGAAGAUGAGCAGGAGUAUUCCCAAUCGACACUCCUAAAAAAGAUAAUAGGUAAUAUGAUAAGGAAUAGGAACAACAAAAGCAAGUCUUUUGAGUAUAAUCCUGGUAUCUUUCUACAAUCAUCUUUGUGGUGCAGACCGAUCAAUCCCCGAAAUAAGAUCACUUAAAGGAAAGGAGUGGAAAUAAGAUAGGUCUAUAUUCCUAUAGAAAGAGAAGCCCUUUCCCUCCCUACAUGAGUGAGUUGCCAAGUGCCUCCCGGGAGGGCAGUCUACCACAAGAUCUUACUCAUGAAUGUCAAGGAAGAAAAAGAAAGACAGGUAGGUUUGUAAACUAAAGCCAGAAGCCCGGGAAGAGGUGUUCUCCAUUAGUAGAAGUAAGUGGCUGAGUUAGCAAAGCCUACCCUACUAAUGUAUUGUAUAGUAGCGCCUUUUCCUUUUUGAAUAUAACUAAGGCUAGCCUGCUGGUAGUAGAAGGAAGCAGAGAUUCAGGCAGUUAGGCAUCAGUUUGAGUUCGAGAUCGAGACCCCAUAGAUAAGGUAGAUGUUAAUAGAUCAGUUCGGUCUCUGAGGCCGUCGAGUAAUCGUAAGUAAGUAGCAGCUAUCUCCGACCGAGCAGGUGUAGGGGAAGAAAAGACAUAACAAAAAAAAUUGUGUAAAAUAAAUGAAUUUAUCUAGUUGAGGCAUGCUUGAUUGCGCAUUCCUUUACGCAUUCCGCUGACCUUUCCAUUACCGUGGGAAAGCCUCACUCUCGGUGAAACAGAUAACAAUAUGAAUAAGCGGUUGUCGUCCGGCGGUCGGUAGCUCUACUAAGCGAAUAACCGCUCGCUGCCUUUUCUUCGCGAAUAACAUGUGUAGGUAGCCCAGGAGAAGAGAAGCAAGCUACCUUCGCCUACCUCCCCACCGCUCAUGACAAGCAACCAGCAGACUAGGUUUCAUUAUUAUAUAGGACUUCUUUUGUGCUACCACGCCUCUCUUGACCUCUGCUUGCAUCUCGAGAAAGUAUAAGGGUUGCCGAAGGUGAGGGAAGAGAUAUCUAAUUUGAUAUCUUAUGAUAUAUUGAAGUUGCUGCAGCAGUUUGGUUUCACCUCUAGAUGGUGUGAGUGGAUCAGGGCUUUCAAAACCUUUCUUUUUUCGGUAUGCCGCUCCGCGAGCAAGGAGUGCCACGCACGAGCGGAGCGAAAAAAAAACGGGUCAAAGAUUCCAUUGGAAAGGUAGAUGACAUUUCUGCUGUUUCGGUAAUGCCUGAGCAGGGGCAGCCCAGCCUUAGUCUAACUAAGUAUUCUAUCCAUACUAUGACACUACGCAAAAGAACCAAGCAUAGUGUGAAAUGUGAUAAUACAAAUAGGGGCAUGCCACAUUCUUGGUUUAAGUAUACUAGAACAUAUUCCAUUUUGUUGACGGUGAAUGCCUGUCGAGCCACUAGCGGAAAAAUAAUAAAAAAAGUUUCUAAAAAUAAAAAAUACUAAAAAAUAAUUGAUAAGGGGGGUUGAGCAUCCUUUGUAAAGCACUUUGCUGGCGCUACGCUAUCAUGCUACAACUAGCAGCCCCUUUUUGCUAGUUUUAUCUAUUAUUAGUUAGGGCUUUUCCCUAACUAAUAGCGAGAGAGGGAGUGAAAGAGGCUGGAAAGUACGAAGCAGGUUCUAUGCAAUUGAGCUCGACUGAAAAGAAGAUUUCUUACUUAGGCCCAGGAGAGGAGGGCUCUUAGGGACUGAGGGAGACGAGUGGAUUAUAGAGCUAGGAGUGGAUCGAGGGUUUGUCCAUUGGGAUUGGUUUGAUAUGGUUUACGUGUUAUUGGUUCCUGGAAGAGUUAAUAUCUCCAUUAACUAAACCCUUUGUUACCCUAGGAUAGAUUCAUGAAAUGAGCAAGCAUCUGAUAUAUUUUACACCUUUUCCUAACGCCUAUGUGACUUGCCAAAGCCGUCGCUCCGUAUUUCUUGCUUAAAGUGCCGCAACUUAUACCCUUUAAAGCUGCGCUUUAAACUUAACGGCAUUUGAGCAUCCGUUUUCUUGCUCCUUGUCCUGGACGCUCUCCGGCCGGAGAGAGGCUUGCUAUCGUAACCUUUACAAGCCAUGAUCUAAAAGUGAUUGCCCCCCAGGCGAGAAAGACUAAUCUUCGAAUUCCACUUGAAAACGAGUCUCGUCCUUAUUUUUCUAAGAAGUUACUAUCCCCAAUAGGAUUGGAACUCUAGUUGUUCAAGUUCCGUUCACCUCAUUUUCCUUCCAAUUAGUGAAAUUCUAUCUAUUUCUUUCUUGGGGAAUUGUGGUCGACCCCGACUAGAUGACCUGGACUUGAAGAAGGACAGGCUUUCGCAAUGAAAUCUUUCUCCAAAUAAUGCCUUGAUUACAUAAAUAAUCGACUCCGCUACACCUACCCGUGGUAUAGGUGUGUUCAAACACACCACACCAUUUUUUUCCUUUUGAGAGGGUACUCCGAGUAGUGGGUACCUUGUAGGACCUCAACCCGCCUACUUGGGUCUUGUAUGGAUAUGCAGGAAUAUCUUUAGCUAACCCCUACCUUCUCUAAAUACCCAGGUUAUGUGAUAUCAGAUCGCAAUUCUGAUUCUUUUGCCAUCACCUUCUAUUACUUCCUUGGUCGAGCAUCUAUCAACACCUGACGAUGAGGAGAGUGAUCGAUUCACCAUGUACCUGAUUCAAUACAACUAUCUAGCCCUAUUAUUGAAGCACUUCUUUAUAUACGUCGCCAUUUGACGAUCUGUCUUUAGUAGGUCGUCUAUUCUUUCUUACCGAGAAUCGAGCGUAGGGCUUGAAGACCCUACCGCAUUCCGGCCCCGGGGCUCUCAAUUGGUCAUUUCUCUCUUCUCUUUUACCAGUGAGUGGUGAGUUACAUAUGUACCUUUAGUAGUCUAUUAUCUCAUACGCUACCCUAACUACCAUAUGUACUUUUCUUCUGCCAUCUAAUCAACCCAUUGAUUCAGUCUUGGAAGGUGGUGCGUACCAAUGGCAUUUAUUAAGUCUUUGAUGAAGUGGUUUUCUUGCCUGACGAAGCCCUUCAAACUAUACUUACACCUCAGCAGCCGUUAAUAGCAAACCUAACCUGGUGGAUCCUUGCGCUUUAUGAAAGUACGUUGUACUGGCUUUCCUUCCCCUAGUUGUCAGUGAGACUUAUUUUCUUUAUUUUCAAGGCUUCUCAGACUCUUGUGGAUUCGUCUCUUUCUUCCCUCACUUGUGACCAGCUUCUCUUGUUGUUGUUCCUAGAAAAAAGUAGAAGUCAUGUGACAACCAGUGCUUUUUCUCAGCGCGUUCGUUGGAGUCGUGGAAGCGAAGCAAGGCUCGUUAUAGAGGAAAUAUGGAAUCCUCUAGAAAAAAAGUGGAACCCAUGCCCCUAUUCGCUUGAAAGAGCUUUGAUCACGACUGGUUGUAAACAAACCAUUGUCUUGCCUCUGCUUUCUAUCGAGCUCCGCUCUCCCCGCCCCAUUCAUGGCUUGCUGUUCCCCAAACUCUUUCUGGCAAAAUUUUUUCGAGAUUUUGAAACUUAUUGCACCUAACCUUUGGGCAUAUAAAAACAAGAAAAGGCACUACCUGCGGAAGAGAAAGGGAGAGGAAAAAUAGUACGCAUGUCAAUCUAUUCUACAUCAAUAUUGUUCAAGCGAAAAUUAAAAUGGGAUGUCUAAAUGAUGAAUUUCUAAAUAAAAAAGAAAUAGUGAGUGAGAAAGAAGAUGUGAGUCCAAAAGGCAACAAUCAAACGACCCUUUAUUAGGAAGGUUGCUUCCUUGUCACACAUGUCGUCUUUGGCUCGUCUCCUUCCGUGAUACGCACCUGGUAGUAGUAGCAGCCCGGCCGUAAAUCCAACUUCGAGAAGUAAAAGAAAAUCAAGACAGAUGCCCAGAGAAACUGUUAGACUUCUUUAUUGCGUUGCGAAGAGAGAUCUACCGUUUAUCCACCAAUCUGCCCUGCUCUUUAUGAGCUGAGUUAUUCCAUAUGAAAAAAAGGAAUCCAAUCGUCUACCUAAGUCACUUCUAGAUUCUUCUUUGAUUCGCGAGAACUCGCUCAGCCUAACCAAAGCGUCACAACAACAUCCAAAGGUUGACAAAGUCAAUGCUACUAAGGACCGGGGUGAGCGGAAUUUAGUAAAGGCUCCUCAUUUCACUUCAUCCACUGAUCAAUGUCCUCGCAGAUGGACUGAGCAUCAAACGCUUGGGGGAGGAGACUGAACAAGAAGCAAAAAUUCUAUUAAUUAGAUUCCACUAUCAAGAGAAGGAAUACCCGACAAAGUCCCAUAUCCUCGUCACUAGCCUUGGAGAGGAAUCAACUCAACCGAUCUCUCUCUGUCUUCAUCUCUCAAGGACCCUGACGGAACUACAUGAAAAGCUAAGCAAAGGCGAGUAACGUUUCCCUCCGCGGGGGCCGAUUCCUCCUCUCUCCUUUCCUUAAUAAUAAGGUAAGUUUUCAAGCCGCUUUACUUGCUUGAUAUUCUACUAGUAAAGCGCUAGAGCCCCCCUUGUAUAUGAUCUCUUCACAAAAAGUCACACCAAAGCCAUUAAAAUUGAAAAUGGCCAAAGUUUUUUUCAUGCAUUCAUAUUGUAAGCUUUGCCUAUAAAUAGAGAAGUAGAAUGCAUUUGUAAAGCCUCCUAAUUUGUGAGAAGUAGAGAGCAAUUGCAAGUGAGCUCUUUGAGAGAAUUUGAGAGAGCUUCCACUUCAGUGUUCUAGUGAGGUUUUUUGAAUUUUUGAAUUUUUUAAAUUUUUUUGGUUUUUUUUAAUAAACAAAGCACACACUAUUCCCACCCUCAAACUUAUUCGGAACAUUGUCCUCAAUGUUUCACAAACAAAAGAUAUGCAUGCAAAAAGAUGAGAAAAUAAAUAAAUAAUAAAAGAAAAAGUUAGAGAGAACACACCUAGAUGGGCUGGAAAAGCUUAAAAGAAAAUGAUAAAUAAAAAGAAAACGUUAGAAAAGAAAAAUACUAGAAAAGAAAAACAAACAAAGAAAAGAAAACAUACUAUUUAAAUAAAACAAGAAUGUAAAAAUGAAAUUAACUAAUCCUGAUAAACAAGAUCAUCUAAAAGUAUCUCCUCGACUUCUGGUGUUCUUAACUCUAAAAAUGGUUUUAAUCUUUGACCAUUGACCUUAAAUAAAUCACCAUUUUGAGGAUUUUCAAUCUCAAUUGCUCCAUAAGGAAAGACAGUACGAACUAUAAAAGGACCAGACCAUCGAGAACGUAACUUACCUGGAAAGAGAUGUAAUCGGGAAUUGUAUAAAAGUACUUUCUGGCCUGGUGUAAAGGAUUUUCUCAAAAUGUGCUUGUUAUGAAAUACUUUCAUUUGUUGCUUGUAAAUCUUGGCAUUCUUAUAUGCAUCAUUCUUGAUCUCUUCAAGUUCUGUUAGUUGUAAUAUUCUGUUGGAACCAGCCUGCUGCAUAUCAAAAUUGAAUUUCUUAAUAGCCCAAUAUGCACGAUGCUCUAACUCUAUUGGCAGAAGACACACUUUUCCAUACACAAGUUUGUAAGGCGACAUCCUAAUUGGUGUUUUGAAAGCAGUCCUAUAUGCCCAUAAUGCAUCAUCAAGUCUCAAAGACCAAUCCUUUCUAUCUAACCUAACUCUUUUUUUACAGAAUUUGCUUGAUUUCUCUAUUAGAAAUCUCUACUUGGCCACUGGUUUGAGGAUGGUAUGGGGUAGCAACCUUAUGUAUAAUGGAAUAUUUGUUCAAAAGAGUUUUGAAAGGUUUAUUGCAAAAAUGGGUACCGCCAUCACUAAUGAUUGCUCUAGGGAAACCAAAAUGAGAUAGAAUAUUACUUUUCAAGAAUUUCACUACAACUCUAUGAUCAUUGGUUUUGCAUGGAAUAACUUUAACCCACUUCGACACAUAGUCCAGUGCAACCAAUAUAUACUGAUAACCAAAAGAUUGAGGAAAAGGUCCCAUGAAAUCAAUAACCCAUACAUCGAAGAUCUCAACCACCAGAAUAUGAUUGAGUGGCAUCAUAUUCCUCUUUGAAAUGCUACCCAUGCGUUAGCACCUAUCACACAAAGAACAGAAAACAUAAGCGUCAUGAAAAAGAGUAGGCCAAUAAAAACCACACUGUAAAAUUUUUGUUGCUGUCUUUUUGGCACUAAAAUGACCUCCACAAGCUUGUUUGUGGCAAAAAGAGAUGACACUUUGAAUUUCAUUUUCUAGAACACAUCUCCUAAUAAUCUAAUCAGCACAAUAUUUGAAUAAAUAUGGAUCAUCCCAAAAGAAAUUCUUCACUUCGGAUAAGAACUUUGUUCUAUCUUGCUUAGUCCUGUGUGCUGGGAUUUGACUUGUGGCAAAGUAAUUAACUAUAUCAGCAAACCAUGGUACAACAUUCACACUCAUAAGUUGCUCAUCCGGAAAAGACUCAUUCAAAGGUAAAGAUUCUAGAAUAAAUUUAAGAUCAAGGCGAGACAAGUGAUCCGCCACAACAUUUUCAGAACCUUUUUUAUCUUUAAACUCAAUGUCAAAUUCCUGUAAAAGCAAUACCCAACGAAUCAAUCUUGCUUUAGCAUCUUUCUUAGUAAGCAAAUAUUUUUAAAGCAGCAUGAUUAGUAAAAAUAAUCACUUUACAACAUAUAAGAUAAGAUCUGAAUUUAUCAAGUGCAAAUACCAUAGCUAGCAUUUCUUUUUUUGUAGUUGAAUAGUUCAACUGUGCAUCAUUGAGUGUCAUACUAGCAUAAUAAAUCACAUAAGGCACACGAUCUAAUCUUUGUCCUAAAACUACUCCUACAACAUAAUUAGAUGCAUUACACAUAAUUUCAAAAGGCAAAUCCCAAUUAGGUGGCUGAAUGAUAGGUGAAGAAGUCAACAAUUCCUUAAGCUUUGCAAAAGCAUCAAGACAAGAUUCAUCAAAGAUAAAAGGUGCAUCCUUAACAAGUAAAUUGCAUAGGGGUCUAGAAAUUUUAUUAAAAUCUUUAAUGAAUCUUCUAUAAAAACCAGCAUGUCCAAGGAAAAAUCUUACUUUUUUUAUGGAUUUGGGAUGUGGAAGAUUAGAAAUUAAAUCCACCUUAGCUUUGUCGACUUCUAUACCUCUGCUGGAAAUUAUAUGACGAAGGCCAAUACCUUGUUUUAUCAUGAAGUUACACUUUUCCCAAUUUAGAACUAAGUUCUUUUCUUUACAUCUCUGCAAAACUAAUGUUAGAUGCUGCAAACAUUCAUCAAAAGAAUCUCCAUAAACAGAAAAAUCAUCCAUGAAUACUUCAAGAAAUCUCUCAGCCAUAUCAGAAAAAAUAUAAGCAUGCAUCUUUGAAAGGUAGCAGGUGCAUUGCAUAAACCAAAUAGCAUUUUCCUAUAUGCAAAAGUUCCAAAGGGACAAGUAAAAAUAGGUUUCUCUUGGUCCUCUAGAGCUAUAGGGAUGUGAUUAUAACCUAAAUAUCAGUCUAGAAAAUAAUAGAAAUCAUGACUUGUAAGUCUAUCAAGCAUUUGAUCAAUGAAUGAAAGAGGAAAAUGAUCUUUUCUUGUGACUGAAUUUAAUUUUCUAUAAUCAAUACAAACACGCCAACCUGUAGUUACUCUAGUAGGAAUUAAUUCAUUAUUAGCAUUAGCAACUGCCGUAACACCAGAUUUCUUAGGAACGACUAGCACAGGGCUAACCCAAGAGCUAUCUGAAAUAGGAUAAAUAAUUCCUGCAUCUAAUAAUUUAAUUACUUCAGCUCUUACCACUUGUUUCAUGUUAGGAUUUAGCCUACGUUGCAUCUCCCUAAUAGGUUUAGCAUUUUCUUCAAGAUGAAUACGAUGCAUGCAAUCUACUGGAUUAAUACCUUUAAUAUCAGCGAUGGUCCAACCUAUUGCCUCCUUAUGCUCUUUUAAAAUACCCAACAACUUACAUUUUAGCUCAAGAUCGAGGGAGGAAGAAAUAAUAACAAGUAGAGUGUCAGAUUCUCCCAAGAAUGCAUAUUCUAGAGUGUCGGGUAGUGCUUUGAGUUCCAAUUUUGGUGGUGUCUCUGCAGAUGAGCUAAUCUUCUUCUCAAAAUGAGUCAGUGGUUCUGCCUUUGUCUUCCAUUUAGUUGUGUCCAUAAUUAGAGGUGCAUCAAGUAAGGCGUUGACUUCUGCAAUUACACUGUCAUUAUUAAAAGAUACAUCAGAAUGAGUUAGACAUGCCUCUAAUGGAUCAUCAGUAUAGUUAGAAAUGAAUGAAUCUUCUACUAAUUCCUCUAUCAUAUUUGCUUCGAUAAAUUCAUCUUCUUCAUGUGGCUGCUUGGUAACAUUAAAAGUAUUUAAUUCCAUGGUCAUAUUACCAAAAGAUAGCUGCAUGUUUCCAUUCCUGCAAUUAAUAAGAGCAUCAGCUGUAGCUAAGAAAGGACGACCUAGAAUAACUGGGGUGUGUUUCUUAGGAUCCUGUACAUGCUGAGUAUCAAUAACAAUAAAAUCAACAUGAUAAUAAAAAUUAUCAAUCUGUAUCAACACAUCCUCUAUAAUACCACAAGGUAUUUUCAUUGACCUAUCAGCAAGUUGCAAAAUAAUAGAAGUUGAUUUUAACUCACUUAGUCUAAGCUGCAUGUAAACAUAAUAAGGCAAGAGAUUAACACUAGCACCCAAGUCCAAUAAUGUUUUAUCAAACAAUUAGUUCCCUAUAACACAUGAGAUAGUAAGGGAACUUGGAUCCUUAAAUUUUGGUGGCAUUUUACAUUGAAGUAAAUUGCUAGUUAGUUCAGUUAAAAAUGCUUUUUUGGUGACAUGCAAAUUUCUCUUUUUAGUGCAUAAAUCUUUCAAAAACUUGGCAUAGGAAGGAACUUGCUUAAUAGCAUCGAGUAAAGGGAUGUUUAGGAAGGAACUUGCUUAAUAGCAUCGAGUAAAGGGAUGUUUAUACUUACCUGCUUGAAGAUUUCCAUAAUCUCACCUGUUGAAGUCCUUUUCUUUACCUUUGUUAACCUUUGAGAAAAAUGAGCCUUGGGAAUGUAAGCUUGUGGGCCACUCCCUUCUAGAUCAUUUGGUGAUGAGUCUUGUGAUGGAACUGGAUCUGAAGAAGUAAGCUCAGAUGUCUUCCUUAUUUGAACCUCCACUUUGUUAUCAAACAAUUUUCCUCUUCUCAAGGUCAUAAUAGAUUUUGCUUCUUCAUGCUGAUGGCUUAAACUCGAUCCAACUUCAUGCACUCUUUUAGGAUUAGGAACUGGUUGACUUAGGAAUUUUCCUUUUUCUCUCUCAGCCACAAUAGUUGCUAAUUGACCCAAUUGAUGUUCAAGCUUUAGAAUAGCUUGAGUGUUUGACUGAAAAGCUUGUUGGGUUGACUGAAUGAAACUUUAAAGUGUAUCUUCUAAAGAAGGUUUUCUUUUUUGGGGUGCAAUAAAUCGAAACAUAAGCUGUUGGGUAGGAGGAUAUACUUGGUUAGGAGGGAUAAAUUGUUGAUUGGGCAAGCUAAAUUGUUGUCCUCCUUGGUUUGACAAAGGUUGAUUUUGUUUCCAAGAAAAAUUAGGAUGAUUCCUCCAAUUAGGAUUAUAUGUGGGUGAAUAUGGAUUAUUAGAGGUUUUCUCAUAUUAUUGUAAGGCAUGUACCUGCUCAGAAUAAGCCUCUUGAUAGGCUAGUAAUGAUGGACAAUUCUGUGCAGUAUGAGACAAGUUAGAACAAAGAGCACAAACCUCAUUAGCUACACUAGGAUGAUGAUUCAUUGAUUGGUUCAGAGGUAAGGCAUCUACUUUCCUAGAAAGAGUAGAUAGAGUGGCUUUCACAUCAAAAUCAUCUUCAACUUCAUAUAGACCCUUUCUAGAAACUUGAGGCGAUUUCUCUAUUUGAUGUGAAAAAUUCCACUGUUGAGAAUUCUCAGAAAGUGAAUUAAAGAAAUCCCAUGCAGCCCUUUCAUGUAGGUUAAAAAAUCUCCCACCAUUCAUAGACUCUACCAUAUGAUGAUUUGACAUGGUUAAACCGUUAUAAAAGCAUUGUAUAAGUCUCCAUUUCUCAAAACCAUGGUGGGGACACUUGAGGAGUAAAUCAUUAAAUCUUUCCCAACACUCAUAAAAUUGCUCACCCUCUCUUUGAUAAAUAUCAUUUAUCUCUCUCCUAAGGGCAUUUUUUUUAGACAUAGGAUAAAACUUGGUGAGGAACUUGUUGCUUAAUUCAUCCCACGUAGUAAUAGACCCAGCAGGAAGUGAAUUCAACCAAGCUUUCGCUUUGUCUUUUAAUGAGAAAGGGAACAUACGAAGUCUAAUUGACUCAUCAUUAAAAUUUUGAAAACGGAAUGUAGAGCAUAUGUCAAGAAAUUCCUUAAUGUACAAAUAUGGAUCCUCUCUCUCUAACCCAUGGAAAGAUGGUAAAAGUUGAAUGACAGAGGGCUUAAGUUCAAAGUGUGUUGCUGUAGUUUGUGGCAACACAAUACAAGAUGGUUGGUUGGCUGCAAGUGGUGAAAAAUAUUCUCUAAAGGUUUUCUCUGCUUGCACUGAUGGAAGUAUUGGCAAUAGUCUAUUAGGGUCAUCUAUCACUUCUGAAGAACUAUCUCGACUACUAUCAAUUUUUAACUCUUUUUUUUACCAAACGAUAUGUUAAAUCGCGUUCCCAAAUACUCAUAAACUAACUAGAUAAGGAAAGAAAAAAUAAAAUACAAUAAAAUAAAAUAAACCAACAAUAAUGAAAAUAAACGAAAUUUAAAAAUAAAAGAAAUCAAACAACCAAACAAUGAAUUUAAAGACAAAUAAAAAUAAAAAUAAAAAUUAAUAAAAAAUUAAAUUAAUUAAAUAAAAGACAACCUAAAUUAUAACUAGUGGAAGAAUCAAAUCAACCUAAAUUAAACUGACUUUCUGGCACAAUCCCCAGCAACAGUGCCAAAAACUUGUUGUGAAAAAUUUUAAUAUACUCGCAAGCGCACGAAUCUAGAAAUAAAAUAGUGGUAACGAGGUCGAACCCACAUGGAUUGUUAUAAAUUAAAAAGUCUAAUUUAAAUCUAAAAUUAAUAUUAAUUCUAACCUAAUUGAGCAAAUUGAAUUUUUAAGAGAAAUUAAACUAAUUAAACUAAGAAAACAAUUAAAGCAAAUGAGAAAUCAAUAAGACAAAAAUUACCAAGGUUUCAGAAUCCACCACUAUUCAAUUAAUAAUUAUCUAAUUAUUAAUUAAUCCCAAAUUUUAGAGUGACAACUCGAAAUCAAUCUAUGUCAUCUCAUAAAUAUAACAAUUAAGCCCAAUUAAAAUUAAUCUUGUGUAGGUUCUUUUUCUUCUUAAUAGUAUGAUAUCUGGAGAUGGCCAAUGGGCCGGGCGGCACGUGGCACGGCACGGGCACGACACGUGUCCGUACGACAUGGCAUGACACGAGCACGUUUCGGUGGGGCACGAGGCACGACACAGUACGCAUGUGGGCCGUGCCGGGCCUAGAAUUUUAGGCACACGGGCCUUAAAGCACAGCACGAUUAGAGAUGAGCCAAAGCACGACACGCGAAAAAGCAUAUAAUAAGCACGGUUCAUUAGUGGGCUAGCACGUGGCCUGUGGGCCAUCAAUAGCACGUGGGCCAAAAUAUAUCUAAGUAAAUUUUUUUAACAAAAAGUAAAUAUAAAAUGUUAUGAAAUUAAAGUAAAAUAUCUUGAAAUUAAAUGUUUUAAUAUAUUUUUUAGCAUAGACUUUUAAAAAUUAAUUUAAAUCAUUAAAUCUUAGUUUAAAUAAAUAUUCUAAUUUUUUAUGUUUAUAAUUUAUUAAAUGAAUAAGUAAAUAUCAUGAUUUUAAUAAAUAAAAUUAUAAAUAUCAUAAUUUUAUUUAUGAUAUUUAUUAAAUGAAUAAUGUUAUUUAUGAUAUUUAAUUUUAUUUAUGAUAUUUAUUUAAUUAUUUAUUUAUGUUUAUAAUUUAUUAAAUGAAUAAGUAAAUAAGUAAAUAUCAUGAUUUUAAUAAAUAAAAUUAUAAAUGUCAUAAAUUUAUAAAUGAUAAAUAAAAAUUAAAAAUUUUAACAACAUUAAUAAUAAAAUAUUUUUCAUAUGAAAUAUUUUUCAUAUUAAUAUUAAAUCAUAACUUAGUUAAUAUUUAAUAGAGAUAUGUUUCAUUUGUGAAUGAAAUAUUUUUCAUAUUUAUACACAAGAAAAAUUUAUGAACGAAAUAUUUUUAUGAUAAAUUAAAAAAUACAUUUUCAUUAAAUGAAGUUCAAGUACAAUUAUAAUAUUAGUAAUUCAAACAAAAUUAGGUGUAAUUUGCAUCACUACAGUUAACAGUACAUCCCAGCUAGGUUGGCACCUACUGAACCAUCUAUCAUUUGCAAAUUUACAACCUUCUCACUAAUAAAAUUUGUUUCAAAAAGUUACAAGAAAAAAAAGUCUCUAGUCUUUGGAAGUGGCUUCAAUGUUCAGUACUCUGCAUAAUCUGGAUUCACUUCAUCUUGAUCAACAUCCAAACUCUCAAUUUGUUUAAUUAAAGCAUUUUGCCAAUCUUGUUGCACUCGACGUUCAGCAUCUUCUCAAUCUUUCAAACAUAACAAAUAGUCUAAUGUCUCUGAUGACAAUCGUGACCGACGUUCAUCUAGAAUUCUUCCACCUGUACUAAAAGCUGAUUCUGAUGCUACAGUUGAAGCUGGAGGGGUUAGUAGAUCACGGGCCAUAAUGGAUAAUAUAGGGAAAAAAGAUGUCUUACCCAUCCAAAAUUCUAAAAUAUCAAAAUUUUGCAAUUGUGAAGGAGUUGCUAAAUCUUCAAGAUUGACAGAACAAUAUCUUUGCAAUUCAUUACGAUUAGUAUCAAUACUAGAGGCAACACCCUUACCUUUGAGUAACAAGAGGUGAGCUGGAUUUUUAUAAAAAGUCGAUGCUUGUUGAACAUUAGAAUAUGUAUUGCUUGAUUCGAAUUUAUUUCGAUAAAAAUUAAAAAGUUCAUGAAUAGAGGACAUAAUUCUAUCAAGCUCGGUUUGUAAAUUUUCACUAAUACUCUCAACUAAAGGUUUUGCACCAACUUCCUUGAUUGUAGGAUCCAACACUGUUGCAAAAAUAAAUAGGUGGGGAAUAUCUUUCCAAUAUUUUUGGAAUUUUUCCUCCAUGGCAUCACAAAUAUUUUUAAACAUAAUAUUCUCUCUAAAAGUCUUAAAAGUAUAACUCAUAUUAUACAAGUGCAUUAACACUCUACAUGAAGUAGGCUCAUAAACAGUAGAACAUGCAAGAGUAGCAUCAUAAGAUACCUUUAAAAAAUCCAUAAAUUUAAAUGCAACAUUCCAAUCAUAAUCAGUGAUAUGAUAAUCUUCAUAAUUCAUUCUCUCAUUGUAAAAACUAGAAAUUGCUUCAGAAUAGUUUUGGCAAGAAAGCAACAUCAAAUACGUAGAAUUCCAAUGAACUUUCAUGUCAAUGUUGAAUUUUAUCCUUUUCAAUCCAAAAAUUUUCAACGUAGACAAAAAUUGUUGACGUCUUGAAGGUGCUCUAAUAAAUAAAAUGGCUGCUCUAAUUUUUUCUAAAUAAUGAUUUAUAUGAGUCAUACCAGCUUGAACAAUUAAAUUAAUAAUAUGACACACAUCUCACAUGAAAAAAUUUUGAACCACGUGCAGGCGUGAGAGUAGAAAUAUUCCGCAAAAACAUAUCAAUUGCAACUAUAUUGGCAGAUGCAUUAUCAAAUGAUAUGCUAAACAAUUUAUCAGUAAUUUCAUAUUCUCUUAAAACAGACAUUAUAGCUGCAUAAAUUACUGAACCAGUGUGAGGAUAUUCUAAUUCAUGAAAUGCAAGCAAUUUUUUUUUCCAACCUCCAUUUACCAUUAAUCUCAUGUAUAGAGUACGAAGUCACACAAAAUAACCAACCAUAUUAAUACCAGUCCAACAAUCAGAAGAAAUUGAAAUAACACCAUUAAAAUUGAUAAAAGUAUUAAUUAAAAGUUUGUUCAUGUCAUAAAAAAUUUUAGUUAAAUCACGUUUUAAUGUAUUUCUAGGCACUUUCUUAAGUUGAGGCUGAACAUACCUUUGCAGAAAAUUUAUUAGACGUUCAUCUUCUGAAAAUGUUAAAGGUUGUUCUGCUGCAGCAAUAUACCGAGCCAAUCCUUCUCGCAUGUUCUGUUGUGAAUAUCUGAAUGAUGUUAUACCGGAAGGUCCAGAACCAUAUUGUGAGAGUUGGGUUUGUGUUGGGUCUUGUGGCGCGUGUUUUGUCUGACAAGUUUCCAUAUGUCAUCUAAGAGGUCCAGUUCCACCAUUGCCUUUGGCACUUAAAGCGGAUUGACAAUAUUUGCACACUGCUUGAUCCACCAUUUCACCUUUUUUGUUUUGACGUUUUUCCAAAGUAAAACAUGACCAAACAAUCGAUGUUCUUUGUCGUUUGGAGGUAGUAGUAGGAUUGGCAGUCGAAGAAGUAGAACCACUUUGACUUGCUUGAGAAGUAGGAGGUGAUCGUUCCGGUGGGACAAUAAAUAUAUUACUUGGAUCAAAUUCUGGUGCAACAAUUUCUUCAUUUGCAACUUCCUCCCCCUCUUCAACAAAAUUAAAAUUCUCAUCUAACUCAAAAUGAGAGUGAGACAUUUUAUAUAAUUAGCGUUUUGGUAAAUAAAGGCGGUUGGAAUGUAUUUGUGCGGGUGAAAAAAAAGAAAAAAAUUAUUGAGCAAGAGAAUGGAGAUUCGUGUGUUAAAUGGUGUUGAAUGAUGUUUUGCUUUUGUUUGAGAUUUCAGUAACAAAGGGAAAUUGUUGGAAUUGUAGCAAAGUUUCGAGAAGAUUGGGCAAGCAGAGACUAGAGAUGACUGAUGAGACAAGAGAGAUAACGAAGAGAUAGAGAUUGAGAAGUGAGAUAAGUUCGAAAAUAAUUUAAUCGUUUAAAUAGAAUAAAAAAGUAAAAAUAUUAACAGUCAAAAAGGGGCAAACACGCAAAGCUUCCUGCAAGGUUGCAACUGCAAAGCUUCCUACAACUCUGCAAGGUUGCAGCAAAUUAAACUGUUGCAUUUAAUAAUUCAUUUGUCCGUUGGAAUUGUAAGGUGAGUAAUUGAUUUAAUUUAAAUUUUUUUUUGUUAUUAAAAAUCAGAAAUAGUUAAUUGUUGAGGGACCUGUCUAUGGUACCGAUUCUGUAACAAACAUCUCCCGUCAUCCCACCAUCCGAUUGUCUAUUGUUUAGUUUCUCACUCCACAUCCAACCACAUCCAACGGCUGAUGCUGCAGUUUGUGGCUCACAGAUUCUGUAAGCUAGUCAAGUCCAAUUGUUGAGUGCCCAUGUUGUGAAAUUGACUAGUCACCUAGUCAUAUCAACUUUAUUGUUUUUUUUAAAGACAUAUCAACUUUAUUGUUAAUUUAAUUAAUUCAGAAUUUUUUUUUGUCCUUUGGGUGAGUAAUGAAAUUAAUUUAGAAUUUUUUUGUCAUUAAAAAUCAGAAAACAUUAAUUACUAAUCGGAGCCCAACUGCCCAUGCUGUACAAUUGAGUAGUCAUAUCAAUUUUAUUGUUAAUUCAAAAAAACUUUUCCGUUGGGUGAGUAAUAAAAUUAAUUUAGAAUUUUUUCGUUAUUUAAUAAUUAAAAAAAUUUAAUUUCUAAGUGCAACAUUGUUAUUUAUUUUUUAAAAUAAUUUUAGUAAUUAAUUUUUUUUUCAAAACAACGUAUUAAAUUAAAAAAAAAUUAUGGUUCAUUGUUACAAGAGAAUCACGCAACUAUCACAAUGUUAAUAAAUUCUAUCACAAGUGUGUUGAUGAGAUAAUAUUAUAGUAGGAAUACGGGAGGAGCUUGCAUUCAUUAUGUAGAGUAUUUUAUUUUUUUGAAUUUAAAUUCUCAACUCAAAUUUUCAACACGGUAGUUGUCAUAUAGUGCACAUGCAGACGUGCAGAUUGCAGUGCAGCUGUGCAGUCAAUUCAAGUUUCAGGAUUUGAAAAUUGUGAAAGUUGCAACUUGCAAGCGUGUUGUAAAAUUGAGUAGUUAUGUCAAUUUUAUUAUUGCGUGACUGUAAAAUUUUAAAAUUAUGUGCAGUGUAAUCAAUUAAAAAUUUGAAAAAUUAUGAAAGUUAACCGACAAUGAUGUUUAAAUAAUAAAAAAUUGGGAUAAUUGUGCAUUUGUUUUAAUAUUUUCAUUUAUUUUUUAAAUAAUUUAAGAUCUUUUUCCUACAUGCCAACCACGCACUUGCCUCAUGGCUCCACAAAAAUUAAGAUCUCAAGAUUCAUUCAUUCACAAAUAUUUAUAUUUCACUAAAUAUUUUUUACUUACUCUUUUUACUCCCACCGACAAAGUAAAUAAAAUUAAUUUUUAUCUUUUUAUUACUAUCUAAUAUUAUAUAUACACGCCAUUAUGCUAUGAUGCUUCACAAUUCUUAUUCUUCUUCUUUUUCCUCUCAAACUUUCCAAUAUUUUAAAAGCCAAAAUCAUUAUGAAUCUGCAGCAACAUAAUAUGAAUGCAGAAGAACCUCAACACUCUCAAGAAUAAAAUGUUGAUGUAGUUGGACCUCAACAAAACGCUAGGCUAAAUCAGUCCAGAAGUCAUUCUUUAAAUGAGCUUUUUCAAAAUUUUGCUACAAUAAGGGAGGAAAUAAUAGAUAAUAGUUUGCAUCGUCCAUACAAACGGAUGAUCUUGAGGUGCAACUAUUGUCAUCGAGAAGUUAUUUAUUCAGACAGCCAUGGCACCUUGGGUUUACGUCGACACGUGUCAAAUUGUUUAGUUCGCCAUCUUAGCCAAGAUAGAAUUAACCUUGCUCAUUUCCCGUAUCCAUAGUUGUGAUUAAUAAAUGUUUUUUUCAUGCUUGUUAUUCGUCAAUUGGUCGUAGUUCGCAUUUCGUAGUUGUAACUUGUAAGUUGUGACCUAUGAUUUGUUAUAUUGAUAUUUCGUAGUUAUGACUUAUUGUAAUUAUUAUUCGAGGAUUGUAUUUUUAAUUUUAAUUAAUUAUUAUUAUUAUUAUCUAUGGAAUUAAAUUUAUGUAUUGUUGUGUUAUGAUUGAUUAUUGUGAAAUAAAAUAUAUAGUUGUGAAUUUGUGAUAAACUAAUAAUAAAAUGUUAAUUGCCUCUUAAUAAAAAUUAAUAUGAUUAUGAUUAUGAUUAUGAUUAUUAUUAUUAUUAUUAUGUUGGUGGGCUUAAAAAAACACGCCAAGUACGUGGGUUUUUUUAGGCACGUUAAAAAAAAAGUUGGUAGACUUUUUUUGGGCACGGCCCACGGCACGAUACGAGCCCGCUCGUGCCGUGGGCCGUACUGGGCUCAACUGAAAAAAAUAUGGGCACAGCCUUGCCGGCCCACGAGCCCUUGUGGGCCGACAGUUGCCGGCACGGCCCAUUGAACAUAUAUAGGGAAUUAAUUAAAUGAAAAAAAUAAUUAUUUCAUUGAAUAGGGUUUCAUCCUUAACCUCAACAUAAGAAAAUUAGCUGGAUAUACUUGAAUUAGGAGCAACAAAAGAAAUAAAAUCAGCCAUGGGAAGCCGAACUGCUGCAGCCGGUUUUCUCCCGAAUCGCGUCUGCUUUUUUUUUCCUUCCUAUGGCGACUACUUUCAGUGUUCUCUUCUUUUUUCCUGGCGGCUACCCCCUAAUUCGUUUUAUACUAUAACGCCACCACAAAAUCCUCAAAUCAAAAUGAUUUUAAAACAAGCCAAGCACAACCAACUUUAAGCCCAUGCAUGUGAAACCCACUUGAAAUCAAUGGUCAAUGCUUUUCCAACUAUUCACGUGAGAUGCACACUUAGAAACUCAAUUAUUCUCCUUUAAGCAUCCUUUUUCCUCUUUUCUUUUAUUCUGCACAAGCGGCAAUUAUUUCCAUAAACUCUAAUUUGUUUCCUUUUUAAGCUCCCUUUCAUCAAUGGCUUCCACAAAUUGAUUUGAUCUUUAUUGCUGUCCAAUUAUUAUUCCUUAUGCACUUUUCAUCCAUAAUCUCCAAUUAAUUCCCUAGUCAAUAAAAAAAUUCAAUUAAUUAAAAAUAACAAAUAAAAAUAACUAGCAAUUAUGUAAUUAAGGAUAAAAUAUGUAUAUAUUAUAUGCUCAUCAUUCCAUUUGGGUGUAUUGGGGUUGUGGGUUUUGUGAGUUUUUCCUACUUUUGUAAAUUCUUAUUAUUAGUAAAAUUAUCUUUCAGUCUUUGCCCGUGGACGUAGGCAUUACGCCGAACCACGUAAAUUAUUGUGUUCUAUUUUCUUUGCAUUUGUUUGUCACAUUUAUAUUUCUCCAAAAGUUACAGUCAUCGUAAUAUUGGUAAUUGUUCAACCUCGCAAUUCUGCAACACCAUCCUUACACUAUUAACGAAGAGAGAGAGAGAGAGAGAGAGUAAAGCAUCCCAAAAUGUAGAGAGCUUAAGAUUUAACUCUUUGAUAGAGAGUGUAGAGAAACGGAGUACUAACAAGUGAGUUCUUAAAAAGUUUGGGGAGUGUUCUCUUGAGUGUUCAGUUGAGAUCUAUAUUAUUUGUAGGGAUGCGAGAGAUUGUUUCCUUCGGUAGAUUGUUUCCUUCAAGAGCGUUGAGAGUACUAAAUGUAUUUAAGUAUUUGGAAAAUAAGGUUUAAUUACUCAAAUUUAUACUCUAUUAAUUGUUAAUAAAAUAAUUAUUCUCUCUUUGCCUCCUUGGAUGUUGGUAUCGUUGCCAAAUCAGGUUAAAGACAAGUGUCUUUAUCUUUUUUAAAUUAUCUAGUGCCUAUUGAUUGCACAUCUGCGCAUAAGUGGCAUUGAACUGCAACAAAUGACACUUUUGCACACAACACCACAUUGGAUACGUCACCGAGCAAGUUACCAGCAACUCGCAUCUUAUGAACCUAAUUUACAUGUGAAUAUAAAUGAGCGUGGCAUUGGCAUGUUACUAAAGAUAUUGUACAUAAAUCUACUAUUCUUAAUACCAACUAAAUAUUGGCCGUGUAUCAUUGUGGACAAAACCUUUAGGCAACAGCGAAGUCAGAUAACAGCGAAGUUAGAUAUUCAAUAUAGUUGGAGUUAUGUUCAAACAACAAUAUGAUUUAAAAAAUUUUAGUAAGUACUGAAAUUCUAAAUUGACUUCACUGAAAUAAUAUAAUUCAAUAAAUUCAUAAUCGUACUCAAUUAGCCAUAUACUUAUGGUAGCUCGAAGUUGUACAUGCUCUAAAACAUAGCGGCUACCUAAAACAAGUGUAUAAAAUUUUCGUUAUGAAAGAGACUCUAGGGUGCUGAUUUUUAUCAUCAACAAAUCCAAAAGAAAAUGGCUAUUUGCCCUUUUUGGCCAAACAAUAGAGAAAAUUUUGUAAACAGUCAAAUAAUAUUCUGUCAUAUGAGAGAGUAGAGGGUUAUAUUAAAUUAAAAAAUCAAUGGGACUCACUAAUGCUCCUAUCUUUGAACUCACUAUUCUACCACAGAACACCAAUAAAUUGUCUCAAUUAAAAUUUUCUCCACACAAUGACAGAGCAGAGAACCCCACUAAAUUAAAAUAGUUAGUAGGACCCACUAAUGGUGCCACUUUUGAACCACUGCUUUACUACAUGGCAAAACACUAGUGGUCUGUCUUACCUAAUUUUUUCUCCACAUUUAUACACUAAUAGGAAAAAUGACUCACUAAUGUUAAAAAAAAUGAUUUGGAUCUAGCGCAAAACUGAGCUAUUCUCACCUCUUCAUAAUUGUUUUUAUACACGUGCAUGUAUAGAAUAUAUGGUUAGGAUUUAAGUAAUUUUAUAUUGUUAUCCAAAAACUACCAAAUCCGCUAAAAAAACGAAGAAAAACUGUGAUUGAAAACAUAAAGAGAUAGAGGAAUUAUUACCUAAUAGGAUUCAUAUCUUCUCAUAUUCUGGUAUCCAAUGUUUUAAAAAUCUAUAUGUGACAAUCAUCAAAAUGUAUGGUGAGGAUUUAUUACAAGCCUCUUAAGAGAUGAACUAAUAAAAAACUCGCACUUCAUGAUUCCAUGGCUCCUAGUGUUUUUUUUCCCUCUCCAUCAAUAACUCAUCUUCUCCUCAACGAUUAAUCACUGCACACAAAAAAAGGAAAGAAAAAAUGAAGAAGGAAAGAGCAGGCAGCCAGUGCAAGAAGAAAAAUUAAAGAAGAAGAGCCUACGUUUGAGCGUGUACUUUAACAAGUACAAUUAUCCAAAGAGUUUAUUUUAAUUAAACCUAUUAAGGAAUAAAAGUCUCCUCUAUAGCAAUUUUAUUUUCAGAUGGCAGAUCGAAGGUCCAACUUUAGGAUGAUACAAACACCCAAGAACUAAUUUUAGCUGAGAGUAGCAGAUUAGUCGUGCAUGAAGAGAAUUCUUAUGAUGUUGAAUCAAAUAUUGGCCAAGUAAUUAUUCACAUUCAAGAACCUAAUCAAACUACGACUUCCUACCUUCAUAACUUCGGCAUUAUUUUUCUUUUGUUUUUAGAAAUUGCAAAGACUUGAUUUUGAUAGAGAUCAUAGCUGAUCAAAAGUGUUGUGCUCUGUAGAGUGAACUAGAGAACGUAAGAUUUUUGAGAGUUAGGGAAGAAAAAUAAGAGUUUAAGAGUUGUUAAUAAAAUUCAAAUAAACAAAUCUUAGCCAUUCAUUUUGUUAAUAGCCACGUAUGAAGUAAAUCUUCAAAAAGUCAGAAAUUUCAUAUCAUCAGAGAAUUUGAAUCAGUUGGUUAUAUCUGUGAGCAAAAACGGAUGAUUAAAUCCCCUAAGAACAUUUCCUAGAACACUAUUUCCAAUGGCAGCAUAAGCCAUGCAGGUUAAUAAAGAAAUGUAAAAUAAUGUUGUUCCACCAAUGGCAUAUAAUGUCAUUUUCUUCAUCACUUCAUUUUGUGGUGGCUUUAAGGUAUCUUUCAAUUCACCAAGGAAGUAAUAGUAAUAUAUAAGUAUCAAUUGCUUAUUUAUUAAGAUGAUAUAUUGUCAUUUAUCUCCCUAACAUAUGGCCUUAAAGACAAAAUUGAAUGCCGAAUAUACAAUAGAGAUGAGAUUUAGGAUAUUUUGUUCACCAAUAGACUGUUAUCGUUGAAUGUUCUCUAAAUUAUGAGUGUGAUAUAAACUUUGAAGUGGAUAGGUAUCACUACCGUAGAUUAUGAUGGACGAUGCCAUGGCUUGGCUUCUAAACUCAUGCCAAGCCGUUGGCAACAACGGGGGUGUGGUUGUAAAUGAACAAGAAAGCAAGGCAAGAUUGGCACGCAGGCUGAGGCGUGACAGCUAACGCAUGCUAUGAGACAAGUGUGGGAAGCGCCAGACAUUACACGCAGCCCACGGACGCCACAUCUUACAAGUGUUCAGGCGCAAAGCAUGCACACAGUACACAAGCUGAGUUGGAUAGAAUGCGAGAUGGCACAAGGUAGUAACGCUAAGGCAUGUAUGGGCAGCGCAUAUGCUAGUAGGUAGUGGGCAUAAAAGUGUGCAAGGAAGCACGUAAAUGGGUAAUGUACAAUAGGGGUGGGCAUUCGGAUCGGGUUAACCAGAUCCAAAUCGAACUCGAAAUUUAUUUCGGAUUCGGUUCGGUUCUGGUUAACAUAUAAAAUCCGAACGGGUUGAAAAUUAUAACCUGAUCGGAUUUUAAAUUUUGUUCGGGUUGAACCCGAACCGAAUUUAAAAACUGAUCGGGUUGGACCUUAAAAAUUAAAUCUCUCUCUCACCAUUCACGCACGCCCAAUUCCAAUUUCAAGAUCCCUAAAGUAACUGCUUAAGCCUUCAAUAAUCCCCCUCUUCUCAUCUUCUUCCACAAUAGCAGCACAACCCUCCUCCUAGCGCAGCCCACAGAUGUUCAGCCGACGCCCAUGCUGCGGCUCACUCACCUCACGACUGACUCACUCUCACUCCACCGCCCGUUCGCUUUCGAUCAAGCUGUUGUCGCUUCUAUCUUUGCCAUCGCCUCCGACUGUUUCCAAUCCAUCUUUGCAACCAGUAGGUUACUUAUUAUUUUUUUAUUAUUGUUAUUAAUUUAUUAUUAUUAUAAACAAUCGCCGUAUGUUCCUGGUUCAUGCUCUCAAUUGGUUUGUCAUGAAGCAAAAUGUAUUAAAUAUUAUUGAUUGAUGCAUGUCUUUCAUAGCAUAAAGUGGCUUAGAUUGGAGCUUUUCUGAAAAAGUGAAAAUUUCAUUUAAUUAUUUAGUAUUCACGGAUAAGAAAUAGACUUCAUCUUUUUUCUAAUGCCACACGUCUAGAGAGCUUUGCCUGUGUUUUAGUUGGAUAAAAAUUGUUGCAAAUGUCACACGAGAGGAGGGAAGCAUAAAAGGUUUAACCCGAAUGAACCCGAAUUAUCAAACUGAACCAAUCCGAAUUGUGAACCCGAACCAAACCGAAAUAAUUUUGGUUCGGUUUGGUUUGGGUUAGCAUUUUCAACCCGAUUGGGUUCAAUUCUUCAACUCGAACGAGUUGUAACCCAAACCAAAACCCGAACAAUCCGAACCGAAAUCUGAUUUGCCCACCCCUAAUGUGCAACACAUUACAUGGGGGACAAACUACGCAAAUAUGAGAGGCAUGCAUUCGAAUUACAUGUACAAGCUAUGUUCAAGCAAUGGCGGUCGAAUGUUAGCCUUGGUGGUUGGAGUUCUCUGGAAAUAGGUCCUAGAAGUGGGUAGUUAUCGGUGCAACUAAUAGGACAUGACCUUAAAAUUCACACUAGACAUAGGUGUUCACCUUAUAGGGUGGAGAGACUAAAGGUUAUAAUGUCAUACCAUAAGUAUAUUAGCAACUGGUCAUUGUUAAUAGAUUUAAGGGUAUGAGACUUCCAAUAUGCGAUAGUUGAGGAUGCAGAUUUAUUCUGCCCAGUACUGCAGCACUUGCUGUAACAACUGGUGCUAACUUGAUAAACAACAGUCACCCCAUAAGGAGAGUUUGAUCAUUCAACUACUAUAAUCUCAAUUGAAACUUAGACACAUUUAACCUAGUUUAUUUCAUUACGGUAUUGUUUUAUUUAAUUCUCUCACAAUCAUUAAUUACGAUAUAAAUUACUUCACAAUUGUUUGCUUCGGUCUUAAGUUGUUUUGCACUAUUGCGAUUGCUUUAGCAUUUCGAGUAACAUCAAUCUCUGUGGAGACGAUCUUGAAUACUCAUCACUUUAUUACUUGUUGUGUAUACUUGCACAUUGGCAUUGGUAGUAAUUGCUUAUAAAAUUAACCAACAAGUUUUUGGCGCCGUUGCCGGGGAUUGAUUGUUUAUUUUUUAAGUGUGAAGUAAAUUUUGAUAGUGCCAAAUUUGAUUUGAUUCAUUCUAUUUAUUGGCAGAUCGGUACAUGCAUGCGCAAAGACAGAUCUGUGGCAUUCCAAUUCGAUCCUGAGAUUGAAAGGACUGUCAGGAGACUGCGAAGAGAACAAAGGAAUUCAAACACUGUUUCAAGCAUGAAUAAUUUACAGGAUGCGGGAAAUUUGAAUCCUCACGGGCCCUUACAACCAGUCAACAUUCAAGAAGAGCAGAAUGAACAUGCUAAUGGGAGACAGCCAGGCAAUAACAAUAUUAUCUACAUGGCUGAUGACAGAGACAGAGUUAUAAAAGAUUAUGCUGUGUUAACCCCUCAAGUUGUACACCUUGGUAUCAUCAGACCUGAAGUAGAAGCUGCAAAUUUUGAGUUGAAGCCAGUGAUGUUUCAAAUGUUACAAACAGUUGGUCAAUUCAAUGGAUUGCCAAAUGAAGAUCCUCAUCUCCAUCUUAAAUUGUUCUUGGAAGUAAGUGAUGCUUUCAAGAUUGCUGGAGCAACACAAGAUGCCUUAAGGCUGAGGCUUUUUCCUUAUUCCUUACGAGAUCGAGCAAGAGCAUGGUUAAAUUUGUUACCAUCUGAUUCCAUUACUACAUGGAAUGAAUUGGCUGAUAAAUUCCUAAUGAAAUAUUUCCCACCGACAAAAAAUGCAAAGUUGCAGAAUGAGAUUACUUCCUUCCAUCAACUUGAAGAUGACAGUUUGUACGAGGCUUGGGAAAGAUUCAAAGAAUUGCUCAGAAGGUGUCCUCAUCAUGGUAUUCCUUGUUGCAUUCAAUUGGAAACUUUUUACAAUUGGUUGAAUCCGAGUACGAGGUUAAUGGUGGAUAUUUCAGCAAAUGGAGCCCUGUUAUUCAAAUCUUACACUGAAGCUUAUGAAAUUCUGGAGAGAAUUGCCAAUAAUAAUUAUCAGUGGCCUUCAGCCAGGCAACCAGCAGCAAGAGGACCAGCAGGGGUACAUAACAUAGAUGCAAUUACAGCCUUAUCAACGCAAGUAACCUCAUUGACUAACAUGGUAAAGGCCAUGACAUCUGCUCCAGCAACAGUAAAGCAAGUUGCUGAAUUUUCUUGUGUAUACUGUGGUGAAGAACAUGACUUUGAUAAUUUUUCUAGAAAUCCAGCUUUAGUAAACUUUGUGGGUAAUUUCAAUCGACAACCUCAGAACAACUCAUAUUCAAAUACUUACAACCCUGGCUGGAAACAAUACCCAAAUUUCUCAUGGACCAGUCAGAAUCGAAAUGCGCUUGCAUUAAAUGGACAAAAUAGAAACCCACAACCACCUGGUUUUCAUCAGCAGAGUCAAGGGAAAAAACAUAUCAGUUAGGAUCCAAUCACUUCACUGAAAGCAAUGAUUAAGGAGUACAUUGCAAAGAAUGAAGCAAUUGUGCAGAGUCAAGUUGUAUCCUUGAGAAACCUGGAGAACCAAAUGGGGCAACUAGCCACAGCAAUGAGCAGCAGAACUCAAAGAAGCUUACCUAGCAAUACAGAAGACCCUAGAAGAGAGAGCAAAAAACACUGCAAGGUAAUUAAUUUGAGAUCUGGAAAGAAUGUUGAUACCCUAGUUGAUGUGACAAAAAAUGAGAUGAAAUUCAAUUCAGCACAAAAACCGCCUCAAAAUGGAAGCAUGUUACAACAAGCCCCCCACCAAGACACUGGUUAUAUGAGCCAAGCUAUAGCAACUGCAAAGGAAAUUUAACUAGAACAUGCUGAAAAAGAGGUUGCAACACCAGUAGCCACAACCUACACCAAACCGAACAAGCAGAGUUUGAUACCUCCUGAAGCUACUAAGCAGUUUAGACAUCCACCACCUUUCCCAUAAAGGUUCCAGAAGGAAAAACAAGAUAAGCAGUUCAGCAAAUUCCUGGAAGUGCAGAAGCAAUUACACAUAAAUAUACAUUUUGUGGAAGCUUUGGAGCAAAUACCAAAUUAUGUGAAAUUUCUAAAAGACAUCUUGGCAUGAAAAAGAAGGAUGGGAGAGUUUGAAACUGUUGCUUUAACACAGGAAAGCAGUCAUAUGCUUCAAAUUAAGAUUCCUACAAAAGUGAAAGAUCCAGGGAGUUUUACAAUACCCUGCUCUAUAGGAACUAGGUAUGCUGGCAGAGCACUUUGUAACCUGGGAGCUAGUAUUAAUUUGAUGCCAUUGUCUGUAUUUAAGCAGCUGGGAGUAGGGGAAUGCAGACCAACAACAGUCACUCUGCAAUUAGCUGACAGAUCUCAUGCAUACCCUGAAGGAAAAAUAGAUGAUGUACUAGUGAAGGUUGACAAAUUCAUCUUUCCAGUGGAUUUCAUUGUACUGGACUUUGAAGCUGAUAAAGAGGUACCCAUUAUACUUGGAAGACCUUUUCUAGCAACUGGAAAGACUCUGAUAAAUGUGUAGAAAGGAGAGCUCACCAUGAGAGUAAAUGAUCAACAAGUCACAUUUAAUGUACUAGAGGCUAUGAGGAACCCUGAUGAAGUAGAAGAUUGUAAUUUCUUAAGUGUAGUGGAUUUUGUUGGAGCAGACAAAAUGGACAGAUGCUGCAGUAAUGCACUCGACAAAGUCACUACCUUUGAGGAUGUAGAAGAGGAAGAUGUUGCAGCAAUUCAGACAAAUUGGAUGGACAAAAAGCAAUUUGAUAGGCACAAUAGGUUUAUUAAACACCUGAAUCUUUCAGACAGGGAAGUAAAAAUAACUUUACCAUCUAUUGAAUCACCUCCUAGUCUUGAAUUAAAAUUGUUACCUUCACAUUUGAAGUAUGCUUAUCUUGGUCAAAACAACACUCUCUGUAAUCAUUUCUUCUACUUUGGAUGCAGGUCAAGAACAGAGUCGAGUAGAUUUGUUUGGAAAAUACAGAAAAGCAAUUGGAUGGACCAUGGCAUAUAUAAAAGGGAUAAGCUCAUCAAUAUGCAUGCACAAAAUCCUGUUAGAAGAUUGCUCCAGCAAUUCAGUGGAGCACCAGAGAAGGUUGAACCCUAUUAUGAAAGAAGUAGUGAAGAAAGAAAUCAUUAAAUGGUUGGAUGCUGGAAUCAUAUACCCAAUAUCAGACAGUUCAUGGGUUAGCCCAGUUCAAUGUGUUCCAAAGAAAGGAGUGAUAACAGUAAUAGCUAAUGAGAAUGAUGAAUUUAUUCCUACAAGGACAGUGACUGGAUGGAGAGUAUGUAUGGAUUACAGGAAGCUCAACAAAGCCACAAGGAAAGACCAUUUCCCACUUCCAUCAUAGAUCAGAUGCUGGACAGACUUGCUGGAAAAUAAUACUAUUGUUUCUUAAAUGGGUAUUUAGGCUACAACCAGAUUGCUAUAGCUUUAAAAGAUCAAGAGAAUACUACAUUUACUUGUCCUUAUGGAACAUUUGCCUUCAGAAGAAUGCCCUUUGGGUUAUGCAAUGCUCCAACAACUUUUCAGAGAUGCAUGAUGUCUAUAUUUUCUGAUAUGGUAGAGCAGACUUUAGAAGUUUUCAUGGAUGACUUCUCAGUUUUUGGAAAAACAUACAAUGAUUGUUUACACAACUUGGAAGAAGUCUUUAAAAGAUGUGAGAUGACCAACUUAGUACUCAAUUGGGAAAAGUGUCAUUUCAUGGUGCAAGAAGGAAUAGUGUUGGGUCACAAGGUAUAAAAGAAUGGCAUUGAGGUAAACAAAGCCAAGAUAGAGGUAAUAGAUAAACUGCCACCUCCAACUUCAGUAAAAGGUAUUAGGAGUUUUUUGGGUCAUGCUGGAUUAUACAGAAGAUUUAUUAAGGUUUUUUCCAAAGUAGCUAAACCACUAUGCUCAUUGCUUGAACAUGACAAACCUUUUCACUUUGACAAAGAUUGCCUUCAAGCAUUUGGAGAAUUAAAGAAAGCUCUGAUCACUGCUCCAGUAGUUAUAUCUCUAGAUUGGACUUUACCAUUUGAACUGAUGUGUGAUGCUAGUGAUCAUUAUGUGGGAGCAAUAUUAGGGCAAAGAAAGGAUAAGGUUUUUCAUUCCAUAUACUAUGCAAGCAAAACUUUUACUCAAACUCAGAUCAAUUACACCACUAUAGAAAAAGAGUUGCUAGCAUUAGUAUUUACUUUUGACAAAUUCAGAGCUUACUUGGUGGGUACUAAAGUAACUGUUUACACAGACCAUGCAGCCAUCAAAUACUUAAUUUCAAAGAAGGAUGCCAAACCAAGAUUAAUCAUAUGGAUCUUAUUGCUUCAAGAAUUUGAUCUGGAAAUUAAAGAUAGAAAGGGGACUGAGAAUCAAGUGGCAAACCACUUAUCACAGCUGGAAGCAGACACUAGUACCUUGAUAAGGAGGGGCAUCACUGAAACAUUUCUUGAUGAACAGCUGUUGGCAAUACAGCAAGCACAGAUGCUGCAGCAGUCAGGACCCCCAUGGUAUGCAGAUUUUGCUAACUACCUAGUAAAUGGGAUGCUACUAACUGAGCUGAAGUUUCAGGAGAAAAAUAAAUUUCUUCAUGAUGUUAGAAGUUAUCAGUGGGAUGAUCCACAUUUAUAUAAGUUAUACUCAGAUAAAGUAAUACGAAGAUGUGCUUCCGAAGGAGAAAUACACCACAUACUAGAGUCAUGUCAUGCUGCAGCAUAUGAAGGACAUUUUGGUGGUCAUAGAACAACUGCUAAAGUUCUGCAAUCAGGUUACUACUGGCCUACUAUUUUUAAAGAUGCUUAUCAAUUUGUUAAAUGUUGUGACAGGUGCCAAAGGACAGGGAACAUAACUAAAAGACAUGAAAUGUCAUUGACUAACAUUCUAGAAGUGGAAGUUUUUGAUAUCUGGGGAAUAGAUUUUAUGGGACCUUUUCCACCAUCCUUUAGGAACUUAUAUAUCCUUGUUGAUGUGGAUUAUAUCUCCAAGUGAGUAGAAGCUUCAGCAUUACCUACCAAUGAUGUUAAAACAGUGGUGGCUUUUCUACAGAAAAAUAUUUUUUCCAGGUUUGGCACUCCUAGAGCAAUUAUUAGUGAUGAGGGUACACAUUUUUGCAACAAAGUCUUUGCUGCAACUAUGAUGAAAUAUGGAGUCAGACACAAGGUAGCAACAGCAUAUCACCCACAAUCCAUGGUCAGGCCGAAAUGUCCAACAAAGAAAUUAAAAAGAUCUUAGAAAAAGUGGUGAACCCAACGAGGAAGGAUUGGUCUUUACACUUACAUGACUCUCUAUGGGCCUACAUAACAGCAUACAAAACUCCACUCGGCAUGUCUCCUUACCGAAUUGUUUAUGGAAAGGCUUGUCAUUUGCCACUAGAGCUAGAGCAUAAAGCACACUGGGCACUGAAGAAAUUAAAUUGGGACAUUCAUGCUGCAGCAGAGCAAAUGAAGCUUCAACUUUGUGAGCUUGAUGAAUUACGACUAUUUUCAUAUGAAAAUGCAAGAAUCUAUCAAGAGAGGACAAAACACUGGCACGAAAAACAUAUUCAACACAUGCAAUUCAACCCUAGUCAAUUAGUGUUGCUACACAAUACAAGACUAAGAUUAUUUCCGGGAAAGCUCAAGUCACGAUGGUCUGGCCGUUUAAGCUGUUAAAAUUUUAUCCUCAUGGAGCUGUUGAUCUUCUAGAUGAACAAACAAGUCAAGAAUUCAAAGUUAAUGAACACUGGGUUAAGCAUUACAUACAUCCAGCGCCCGAUUGUUCAAAAGAGGUGUUACUCCUUAAAGAACCCAGCUAUUGAACAAUGAAAGAAUGUCAAGCUGAAGGACCUUAAAUCAAGCGCUCCAUGGGAGGCAACCCAUUGUGGAGACAGCCACUUUAAACCAACUUUGAUCUCCUUUAAGUGCAGAGGUGAGCCACGUGUCAGAGGCUUUAGUGUGGAGUAUGUAACCGUUGCUAGAGUAAGCGAAUGGGUGCUGCAGCAACCAAUUUUACCGUUACAGUAAAUUAAAAGAUGGAGCCUCUCACUUACCGUUGGAAAUAAAUCAUGACAGAUGGAGGGACAUUAGCCUCAAUUUGUUACUACUACAGCAAUGCCGAGGUAUAAGAAAACAGCCAGCCGCCUCAAAGAUCCGUCACGCUUCCAGAGUUACCACGCUGAAGAAAAAUAUGAGGAAUUCAUAGAGCCGUGUAAGAUUCUGGAAGAAAAAGGGUUUCAAUUUCCAGAACAACUCACUGGAAUUGUGCAAACAAUUCACAAUGCUGCAGCAAAGCGAGAAUGGUUAGAGUUUUGCAACCACCCUCGGGAUCCUGUGGUACCAGUAGUCAAAGAAUUUUACGCCAAUUUGGUAAGCCCUGAUCAGCACAACAUUUGGGUAAGAAACACACUUGUUCCAUUAGACUCCCGUGUUAUAAAUGGCUUUUAUAAUUUACCUGCUGAAAUUAAUUGUGAGUAUGCCAAGUUGCUUGAUAAAUUGACCCCGAAAAAGUGGAACACCAUUUUCACAACUCUUACAAUCGAAGGGGCAUCAUGGGCUAACGAGGACGGACGUGUAGUUAAUAGGAUAGAUUUGAAACCGUGAAAUUUCUGAAAUCUAGGCUUAUGCCCACCACUCAUACUACUACGGUUUCACAAGAGAGGUUGGUCUUGUUAUAUGUCAUUGUUUGAGGGCUUCUCAUAGAUGUGGGUAGCAUCAUCGCAAAAGAAAUCCGGGAUUGUGCAGUUAAGUCUCACUGAACUGCUGCCUUGCUAUUUCCUUCACUCAUCACCAGCAUUUGUGUAGUUUUUCGGUGUUCGUCUUGACACACGAGAUGACCAUGUCAAGAACGAUGGUGCGCACCAUUGAGAGAGUUGCUGGUGAGAGUGCGGGAAUAACCACUGAACCAGCUGUUGUAACAGGUGCAGGACGGGCUAUUGGCUUAGAACAGACUAUCCAGGCACUCAGCACCAAUAUAACUCAAUGUGCGGAAGCUCAGCAGAGGGAAAACGAUCGGUUUUGGAGUUGUCUACAGCACCUGGACAACCAACUACACCAAUUUGCUCUGUACAUGACACGCACUCACAGGAACUUCCCUGAUUCAUUGCUCCAGCAGUAUAAUUUUGACAGCAACACCACAGGUGCUCCAGCAGAAGCCAGUGAAGAAGCCACUGCCACAGAUGAGCCAGCAGAAGAAGCUGCAGCUGAACAUAAGUAGAGGUAGAAUCAAAAGAUAUUGAACCAUCUGAGGAAGAAGGUGACAAGUCUGAGACUGAUAGCUCACCCACAGAGGCAGAGGACAACUCGGAGAAAGAACGUGAGGAACCUUCUAUCCCAACUCAGUCCAAAACCAGGAAAAAGCACAUUAUUCAAGAAGAUGAGGAGGAAGACCUUGAAGAGGAACCGUCUAUUCCAGUCUUUGCGGGAAAGGGAAAGGGCAAGGGUAAAGCAAAAAUGACAACACCUCUAGCCUUUGACGAUGAAAUGGAGCAAGUUGAUGCUGAGCUGGCUGCUGCAGUAACCAGAGUUAUGUCUACACCUGCAGAAGCCAAGCAACUACUUGCUAUCACAGCUGAGGGCCAGGCAGCUGAUGCAUCAACUCCAAUUCCUCCACAGCAAACUCCUAGCCAGCCUGUUCGUACCAGUCCGCAACAAUACAGCAAAAGAAAAGGCAGUACGUCUAAAGGCACUGCUACAGCAACCCCAGCCACAACUCCUCUCACAAGCCCCGUGAAGAAAAAGACAAAGACAUUGUCAGCUACUUCCCCACAAGUUUUACCAAAGUAUAAGCUGCGCAGUGCAUCCAAGAAGCGCUGAUAGCAUCCCGUCAUGUGCUGCAGUCCCCACCACAGGGGAGUAUUCUUUCCUUGCUAGUUCACUUCAUUAAAAAAAAAACAUUUUUUCCUUCUAUUUGUCAAUUUGUGUGGUAUUUUCUAAGGUCUUUCAUAUCCUUGUCAGUUCGUGUGCCCUUGUUAUGUAUGCUUGUGAGGACACAACAACUCUCAAGUUUGGGGGGGUCGUGUUUCCGAAUGCAUGUGUUUAUGUUUCUGUUGUGUGAAGCUAUGUUAUCUAAUAUUUGUGUAUGGAUUUGAAAACCUAAUGAAGAUAAAUUGAGUGUUAUUCAGUAUUUAUGAGAAUGCCAAGUAGAGAUAGUUAUAGAUGGAAGUGAAAUUCUGUCCCGACACUUAGACUUUGGUUGAAUUGUAUGAGACUGCUAGAGCAGAGCUAAAAGAAUAGAAAAGAGCUUAAGUUUGGGGGGAGAAGCAAGUUUGAUUGACUGUGAUAUCUAUGAAAUAAACUUUGUUCCAAUGGCUCAAGUUGCUGAGUAACCAGAUCUGAGUAUGUACCCCAUAUGCAGAAUUGUGUUCAAAGGUAGCGAGAGUUAUGAGCAAUGCUGUUCAUGAGCCCCAUAUUCAGCCUUGAGUAAAAGAUACCUCUAGAUAAGAUUAUACUGCAAAUAUUGCUGCAGUAACUCUGAUCUGGGCAUGGUUUGAGUAAUUGGGUGUCCUCAUUACAAGUGAUUGACAUUCACAUGAAAGAUAAAUGUUACAGUGAGGAGGUUGAUUACUCCCCAGUUUAUCAAUAUUAAAAUCAUCACAGUUUGAGUAUGUGAAACUUGUGCUACCCCAUUUAUGAAUGAAGUGUUAUCACUGCUGAAAUUCAUGUAGUCCCUUGGUGAUGUUAUAGCAUCUCUGGAAUUCAAUCAAAGGAGCACACACACACUAUGGACAGAAAGAAGCUUAAGUCUAGAACUGAUUUACUAUGGUCAUUUUGCAUGAUUGGGAUUGUGAUCUGAAGGUGGAAAAAUCCUUGCAAAUUUGAUAAAAGAGCUAAAAUUACGUGCAUGAUUGUUUGUCGGAAGUGUUAGUAUGUGUCAUUACUUGAGGGCAAGUAAUGGUUUAAGUUUGAGGGUGUGAUAACUCUAGGAAAUCAGAGUUGUUACAUCAAUUCUAGACUUAAAUCAAGAUCAUUUAGAGAACAAAUAAGGUGUUUUUAUUACAUUUUGGUUACAUUUUGCAUAAACAUUCAUUUUAGUUGAGUCUUAAUAAGUUUUGCUUGAAUCAAAGUAAUUUGUGCUAAAAAUAAGUGCAUAAUUGUAGGUUUUCAGAAAGUCUUAAUUCAUGAGAGGAUGUUGAGACAUUAGAUGAGCAAGAGGAGGAAAGAAUGUCUAGUAUUACUGUAAGUGUAAUGAUCAAUUUUUUUUCUUUAUUUGUUAGCACUUUGCAAUGAUCUAAAUAAAUAGUUAUAAAUAAUAAAUAAGGUAAAUGUUCUUUCAAUCCCUAUAGAUUAAACCAAUUACUCAAUUAGUUUUUGUGCUCUCAUGUUGUUAUUUUUGUUGGAAUUAGAUUUAAUUUUUCAAGGGUGAAAUGGUAUUUAUAUCUGAUAUUGUUUAAAAUUGAAAUAAAUUUGACAAGAAACUAUGAACAAUAGAUGACGAAUCAGAUUUCAUGGAAUUAUAUAUAUAGUAAGGCCAGGGAUGACAAAACCUGGGGUUGGGCCCAGGAAUGGCAAAUCCUAGCUCCGACACGGACAUGUUUUUUGAACACCUAGGCUAGGCAUUUUGUUCGAGCUUCAAAAGCCUUGGAUUUUAUAUUUUAUAAUAUUAAGUAUGUAUAUGUUUAGAUUUAUAUAUUUUUUAUUUUUUAUUUUUUUCAAUGAAAUUAGGCAUGAAAUAUGAAUUUAAAUGUUCAAAAAUUUUAACGUAUGUAAUAGAUUGGCCGAAUAAAUAUAAUUAUUUAAAAUAAUAUAUUUUUUAUAAUUUUCUUAUCAAAAUUAGAAUUUUGGACACUAUUGAUUGUCCGGGGCUAUGGCCUGACCUCAUCCCUUGACUAGAUAUUACUUGGCCCAUAUCGCGUAAGUUCUGUCCAAGUCCGAUUGCGCGGAUAUUUUUGACACCCCUAAAUAAGAUUUUAAUGCAAUUAUCCAUAUUUAAUUUGGUCACUUUAUCAACUAGUAAUAAAAUUUCUGUACUUUUAUCAAAAGUGCGACCUUAUGUCCAAUGAACCUCGAUUACUAAAAUGAUCUCAAAUUUCAUCAAUGCAUUUUAUAAAAUGAACUAAAAAAAUGGAAACAAUUGAAUUUGAAUGCUUUCAAACUCGGGCAAAACUAUGGUACCACAGUAGUACCAUACCACAGCUGGAUUCAGCCAUUGGAUCCAGCCUAUAGUUGUCACCAAAACUAAAUCCAAUGGCUGGAUCCAGCUGUGGUAUGGUACCACUGUGGUACCAUAACUGGACCCUUCAAACUCAUUAACAAAAUAAUAUUGAAACUACUUGUGUAACAAAUAGGGCGCUAAGUGAGAUGAACCCUUUAUUAGUAAAAUUUUUUGUUUUCUGUGUAAAGAAAAUUUUACGAAUACAAUAAAAUUUAAAAAGAGAUUAAAAAGAAGAAAAAUAUGAUAUGAAUAUAAAUGGUAUGAGACAAACACCGAUGCGCAAUUCCAAUAAGAAAACAAUUUUUUAUUUGAUUAAAUAACUUCAUACAAGGAAAAUGCCAAAAUCAAGGGUUCGGUGUUGUUUGUUUUUUCACUUAAUAUUGAAACUAGAUCCAGCUAUUUUCAAUUUUUUUUGUUUUUAAAUUAACACCGAAAAUUUAUCAAAUAAGUUUGAAUAAAAUUAAGUGUGAAAAAGAAUAACUUAACAUUUAAUGUUGAAUGCUAGAUGGAUUAUUUAACUUUUACUUUCGAAACUACCAUCAUAUUGAAUCCAUUCUAGCGCUAAGUUUACUAAACAAUUUUAUCAUAUGGUUGUUCACUUCUUGCUGACCAUUUGAAAGUGAUUCUAUUGUUUUCUCCAAUUUUAUCAUAGGAUUUGUCUGCUUUUCCCCUGCAUAUUUUGUGAAAUAAAGAUAGAAUCUGAAGUUGGCAGCAUAAAUAAGCUCAUUUGAGAAGCACAUAAUUUUAGGGGUGGUCACGCAUUGGUUGGAUAAGAUUUGUGAAUACUCAAUCUAAACCACUAUUGAAUGGGUUGAUAUAAAAUCAAUUCAAUCCAACCCAAUAAAUAUGCUCAAUCCAAUCCAACCUGACCCUUAAAUCAUCAGGUUGGGUUGGGUUGAUCAAGUUGAAAAUUUGAAUGUCAAAUUAAAAUUAAAAUUAAAAAUUUAAUAAAAAAGAUAUAAGACUUAAAACGAGACUUAUUAAAAUUAAAUGUAAAUAUAUUAUAACAUAAAAAUUUCAUUCAUGGUCUAGCAUUCGAUAAAGAAAGCUAAAAACACUUAAAUGUGUGGUCACCUAGAAUUUGUAAGGCCUAUAAAUACAUGGCCAUGUCUCCGACUGAAGCAAUGAAGUUAAGAAUAACUAAAUUUUUCACUAGUAAAAUACUUUCCACUAAUCAAAUAUUCCUAAUAAAAAAUAUUUCCACUUUAAUUAUUUUAGCCUACUAUCUACCCCUGCUCCAACUCCUAUGCCUUCCACUUCCUUAAUUCUUGGGAAUCGAAUCUUAAAAAUUUUUUAUAUCAUGGAAUUAAAGGAGGAAAGAUCAAAAUGAAAGAGUAUGAUAAGUUUCUUUUGAAAAAUGAAUUAUUUUUUCAACAUUUCUUUGAUAACGUAUCAUUCUCACUAUAAACUAUAUUGUGAUUAUUUUAUGUUGUUUGCUUAUUUUAUUUUAUAUCUUUGGUUACUACAGCAUUUUUCUAGAGUAAAAAUAUAUAAAAGCUUCAAAAUAGGCAUGGAGUUCCAUGCAUAUUCUGUUAUUCCGUCUUUCGAUUUAUUGACACAUUGACACAAAACAAGGAUAGAACUAGUUUCAGAGACAACUUAAAGUUGAAAAUUACAUAAAUUAAGCUUCUUAUUCAAAAGCCGUACGUGCUGGUUUUGGGGGGUCAAUGAGAAAAAUGUCAAGAAGUUGAUCGAUUGUGGUGAAUUUAAAAUCUGGAUACAGCUUUGAAGCUUCAAUGUCAUCCUCUCCAAGUUCAAAGUUCAUCGAGUCACCCUUUGCAAGUAGGCUGUGCAUGAUGGAUAUUGGUAUGUCUUCUGGAGGUGGUAAGGCUGCAACAAUUGAAAAAUUAAUAGGUUGUAAUAAACAAUAUCAAUUAAGUGUAAAAAUGAAUGAGAUGUCAAAGAGAUCGAAGCUUAUGAAAUCUUAUAGUUAGGGGUGGAACUAGGCAGAGACGAAGAUAUGAAUUUUUCUUAGAAUGAGUUAACUAAAAUUUUUUCAAUUUAAAAAAAUCUAAAAUAAAAGCUGUUACAUCACCCUAACAUUAAAUAAGUACUUUCAGGUUUGAGAAAUACUUUAUUAAUUGACUUCAUUUAACAAGAAAAAUUAUCCUAUGUACACCAUACCCAAUUUGGCACAAUUAAAUAGUUUUUAUUUUAUUGACUUUCUUAAACUUUUUAAUUAUCUAAUAAUACUCGGAUUGUGGGGUAUUGUACGCUUAGUUAGAUACUAACUUCAAACAAUCAACAGUCAAAUGAGUGAUAAAUAUCAUACACGAGAAACAUAUUAGGUUAUGGCAAAAAUUUAUAAAAGAUGAGCGCCUGCUUUGAAAUUUAACCAAAAAACAAAUUUACGUAUUGACCCUACUAGAUUAUACUUUGGGCCCAUAGAAUGGAACAUCAUUCCGGUUCCGCUCCUGCUUGCAUUGAUUUUAUCUUUUAUGACUUUAUAUAAAAGUGAAUAAUUUUAUUAAACAAAAAAUUAAAUCAAAAAUCAAAAUUCUUACUAUGAGAUAGCUUUACUAGCUCUUCCUCAGAAACUUGAAUUCUUUUAAAACUCUGUCCAAUCUUCUGUUCCUAAAGGGAGAUCAAUUCAAGAUGUGAUAAAAUGUUUGUUUGCGGUCAAUAAAUCGCAAUUCGAUUGCAUGUCCUUGGAUCAUUUAUCACUUUUAUUGUACAUUUAGCUAUAUCUUCCUCGUAAUUAAAGACAACUGAAAUAGAUAAAUAGAUGAUAGAACAUCAAAAAGAUAUUCAAAAAAAUGAAAUUUUAGUGUAAAUUUUAUUUUAAUAUGCGUGGACUUCUGCAUUGGGAAGGUAUACGUACCUUUUGCUUCACCACUUCCAUAAACAACAACAUCAUCAUGUGAUUCAAAUGGACGAAGCAAGACAUUCACAAAGUAAGCACCACAGAGAUUUGCUGAGACAAAGGUGUAGGGAAUUUGAGCUGCUUCUAUUGCCCUUCUUACUAUUCGUUUUUUCUCCAAGUAAGCUUCAAAAGGGGGCAGAGGCCUCACCCUGUCCUCUUCACAUCCAAACUCAGAUGGAAGAAACCUCUAGCAACCAAAACAUAGUGUGUUUAAGAUUUGUUCUAUAUAAACAAAUUGAAGCAAUGCAGCACUGAAUUGUAAAAAGACACUAAAAUGUUACCAAGACACAAAUACGAAAUUAAAGUUUGUGAUUUUAGGUAUUUUGCUAAUUAAGUAGUGCUGGUAUAUAUUUUUAUGUCUUUUAUAACUAACUACUAUUGCGUAGUUUAAAUCUACAUUUACAAAAUGCGGACGUCUACACUUAAAAGUUUCUAAUAUUUUUCAAUUAGCAAACAAACUAUAUUUCAAUUUCUCCCCCCAAAAAAAAAAAAGCACGAUUUGGUUUAUUUUUUAAAAAAGAAAGAGCUCAAUCAAAUACCUUGAUGUUACCCGCAACUUUGAUGGCAUGAACAAUUUCCAGUUGAUCAAGAAACUGAGGAUAAGCUACAGUAGAUAUCACCACAUCUACUUCCUUAAGUAUAGAUACAAUUUUCUUGUGCUCGUCCAGCUCUCCCUGUUUUAAUUUCAACACUAUUAUUACAAAUAAUAUCGAAGGGCUCCAAUUAGAUCAACACAAAAUUAAUCUCAUAAAAAGAAGUAUAAGAGGUCUGAGGUUCGAAUUUCGCGCGUGCAUUUAAAGGGGGAAAAAAGAGGAAAAAAAAAAAAGAAACAAAACCAAAGGAGAUCGAGAUAAUUGAGUAAUGAAGUAACCUCAAUAAUGGUGACGCCAAUACCCUGAAAUUCCUUGUGGAUUUCAAGCUUGGAGGGUCUUGAAUUUUGUGUAACAGGUCGAGCAUAAACAAAAGUUUUGUGACCAGAAGAAACACUUGCUUUCACCAUAUACUUACCGAGGUAUCCAGUACCCCCAAAGAUAAGUUUCUUUGGUUUUGUGUUCUCACCUUCCAUUUCUUCCUUUCAUUUCAAUUUAUCUUUUCAUAUUCCCUUCCCUUUUUACACAUUUAUAUGUUGAAAAUGUGAGACUCGACAGUUCAUGCGGAUAUAAUUGCUGCAAACGAACGGAUAUAAUUGAAGAAACAAAUUUAUGAAUGCUAGAAAUAUCUAAGCAUCUAAUAAAUUUCUUUUAGACAGGUAGAAAUAUCUAUGCAAAAGUUGUUAAAAAUUAGCCACAACGAAAAAUGCUAAAUGUGUGGUCACCUAGUGUUUGUAAGGCCUAUAAAGACAUGGCCGUGUAUCCAAUUCAAGCAAGGAAGUUAAGAACAACAAAAUCUUCCACUAGUAAAAUCCUUUCCACUUCCCUUUAUCUUUGAUCAAAUAUUAUUGAUCAAAAAUAGUUUCCACUUUAAUUAUUUUAGCCCACUAUCUACCCCUGCUCCAACACCUGCCUUCUACUCCCUCAAUUUUUGGGAACCGAAUCUAAAAAUUUUUAUAUCAUUGAAUUUAAAGGGGGAAAGAUCAAAAUGGAAGAUCAGUAUGAUAAGUUUCUUUUGAAAAUGAAUUAUUUUUUCAAUAUUUCUUUGAUAAUGUAUCAUUCUCACUAUAAACUAUAUCGUGAUUAGUUAUGUUUUCUGCUUAUUAUUAUCAUUAUUUUAACAUCACAGCAUUUUUCUAUAUAGUAAAAAUAUAUAAAUGCUUAAAAAUAUGCAUGGAGUUCCAUGCAUGUUCUGUUAUUCUUUCUUUUGAUUUAUUGACACAAAACAAGGAUAGGACUAGUUUUGGAAACAUAAUUAAUUAAAGUCGAAAAUUACAUAAAUUAAGCUGCUUAUUCAAAAGCCGUACGUGCAGGCUUUGGGGGGUCAAUUAGAAAAAUGUCAAGAAGUUGAUCGAUUGUGGUGAAUUUAAAAUCAGGGUACAGCAUUGAAGCUUCAAUGUCAUCCUCUCCAAGUUCAAAGUUCAUCAAGUCACCCUUAGCAAGUGCGCUGUGUAUAAUGGAUAUUGGUAUGUCUUCUGGAGGUGGUAAGGCUGCAACAAUUGAAAAUGGAUAGGUUGUAAUGAACAGUAUUAAUUGAGUUUAAAAAUAAAUGAGAUGUCAAAGAAAUUGAGACCUCUGAAAUCUUAUAGUCAAGGGUGGAAUUAAGCAUAGGUGAAGAUAAGAAUUUUUCUUAGAAUGGGCUAACUAAUUUUUCUUUAUUUUUAAAAAAUUUUAAAAUUAAAGCUGUUAAAUCACCCUAACAUUAAAUAAAUACUUUUAGGUUUGGGAAACACACAAUUAAUUAACUUCAUUUAAUAAGAAAAAUUAUCCUAUUGUGACAUCAUACCCAAACUGGUAUAAUUAGAUAGUUUUUAUUUCAUUUUCUUGAUUUUUUAAUUAUCUAAUAAUGCUCAGACUGUGGGUUAUGGUACCCUUAGUUAAAUACUAACUUCAAACAAUUAACAUUCAAAUUAGUGAUAAAUAUCUUACACAAGAAACAUAUUUGGUUAUGGUAAAAAAAUUAUAAAUGAUGAGGGUCUGCUUUGAAAUUUAACCAAAACAAUUCACGUAUUGACCCACUAGAUUUACACUUUGGCCCAAUGGAAUAGAACAUCAUUCUGAUUCUGCUUGUAGUGAUUUUAUCCUUUUAUGACUUUAUAUAAAAGUAAAUAAUUUUAUUAAAAAAAUUAAAUAAAAAAUCAAAAUUCUUACUCUCAGAUAGCUUUACUAGUUCUUCCUCAGAAACGUGAACUCUUUUGAAAUUCCAUCCAGUCUUUUGUUCCCAAAGGGAGAUCAAUUCAAGUUGUGAUAUAAUGCUUGCUUGCGGUCGAUAAAUCACAAUUCGAUUGCAUGUCCUUGGAUCAUUUAUCACUUUGAUUGUACAUUUAGCUAUAUCUUCCUCGUAAUUAAAGACAGCUGAAAUAGAUAAAUAGAUGAUAGAACAUAAAAAAGAUAUUAAAAAAAUGAACUUUUAGUGUAAAUUUUAUUUUAAUAUGCGUGGACUUCUGCAUUGGGAAGGUAUACGUACCUUUUGCUUCACCACUUCCAUAAACAACAACAUCAUCAUGUGAUUCAGAUGGACGAAGCAAGACAUUCGCAAAGUAAGCACCACAGAGAUUUGCUGAGACAAAGGUGUAGGGAAUUUGAGCUGCUUCUAUUGCCCUUCUUACUAUUCUUUUUGUCUCCAAGCAAGCUUCAAAAGGGGGCAGAGGCCUCACCCUGUCCUCUUCACAUCCAAACUCAGAUGGAAGAAACCUCUAGCAACCAAUACAUAGUGUCUUUAAGAUCUGUUCUAUAUAAACAAAUUUGAAGCAGUGCAGCACUGAAUUGUAAAAAGACACUAGAAUGGUAAAAAGAUGCAAAUAUUAAAUUAGAGUUUGUGAUCUUAUAUAUUUUGCUAAUUAAGUAGCCUAUAGCUAACUACAAUUGCCUCACCUAAAUCUACAUUUACAUAGUGCGGACAUCCACAUUUAAAAGUUUCUAAUAUUUUUCAAUUAAUAAACAAACUAUAUUUCAAUUUCUCCAAAAAAAACAAAAGGACAACAAGCGAUUUAUUUUAUUUUUAAAAAAGAAAGAGCUCAAUCAAAUACCUUGAUGUUACCAGCAACUUUGAUGGCAUCAACAAUUUUCAGUUGAUCAAGAAACUGAGGAUAAGCUACAGUAGAUAUCACCACAUCUACUUCCUUAAGUACAGAUACAAUUUUCUCGUGCUCGUCUAGCUCUCCCUAUUUUAAUUUCAACAGUAUUAUUACAAAUAAUAUCGAAGGGUUCCAAUUACAUCAACACAAAAUUAAUCUCAUAAAAAGAAGUAUAAGAGGUUUGAGGCUCGAAUUUCGGGCGUGCAUUUAAAGAGGGAAAAAAAGAGCAAAAAAAUAAAUAAAUAAACAAAACCCAAGGAGAUCGAGAUAAUUGACUAAUGAAGUAACCUCAAUAAUGGUGACGCCAAUACCCUGAAAUUCCUUGUGGAUUUCAACCUUGGAGGUUCUUGAAUUUUGUGUAACAGGUCGAGCAUAAACAAAAGUUUUGUGACCAGAAGCAACACUUGCUUUCACCAUAUACUUACCGAGGUAUCCAGUACCCCCAAAGAUUAGUAUCUUUGGUUUUGUGUUCUCACCUUCCAUUUCUUCCUUUCACUUCAAUUUAUCUUUCAUCCUCCCUUCCCUUUUUACAUAUUUAUAUAUGAUAUCAGGAACUCACAUUUUUAGUGUUGAAAAUGUUAUACACACAGAAUCUGGUAAAUUUGUGUUUCUUGAAAAAGUUGCUUCACCUAAACUAUUAUUUUUUAAUUUUCAUCAAUAAUCAAUAUUCUUAACCACAUAAAUUUUAUCUCCAUUAUUGUUCCCCGAAAAAAAAAAAUAUUUAAUUAUAAAUUUCAAUAGCUAAAUGUAUUAUUAAAAUAUUUGAAUUUUUUCAACCACGAUAAAAAGAAGUCUAAUCCGACCAACAAGUGCUUAAUUUUCUACAUGUUGAAAAUUUGACUUGAAUGUGGGAAAACAUUAAAGACAAUAGGACAAAAUAAUUGAAAUCAUAAUUCUCUCUUGAUCUAGUCUUUAUAUGAGUAAAUUUUAUUAACACAAUUGGUGGUUAAUAAAUUAAAAAAAAAAUAGUUAAAUCUUAAUCUUAUACUAACACUAAAAUACAAGUGACAUAAGAUCUAUAAAAGAUCAAGAGUGUUCAGACUAAGGAUAUUAAUCCAAAUAAUUGCUCCGCAAAAGAGUGAUAAUGAAAUAGCAAAAUUCCUUGACAAUUUUGUUCAUGCAAUUAAAUACCAAGUGGUGAGAGCAAAAACAAAUAAAAGGCCAAAGCCUUUCGGCUUUAGAAUUGAAAAGGUGGGGCCCAUUUUGAAGAUUCUAUAAGUAAGCUUUUGGGUUUUGGACGAAGAGGAGAGUAGGGGUGGGCGCGGUUCGGUUCGGUUCGGUUUUUUACUAAAUUUUUCAUAAUCGUUCGAUUACGAUUAUUUUAAAAUCAUAAUCGCGAUUAAUCAAAUCACCAAAAUAAUCAAAUACUCGAUUAAUCGAAAUAAUUCGAUUCGGUUCGGUUCGAUUAUUUCGAUUAUGGACCUAUUGGAUCUAUUUUGAGUUUUUUUAAAUUUAAAGCCUUAAACUAAUAAAUCUACCAUAAACAUAAAAAGUUAACAAACAAAAAUUGUAAAAUAAAAUAAAAUAAAGCUUGCUACAAUAUUAAUUUCUAAGAGGAUAAAAUGUUUUGAGGAAGAAAAUGUUAAUCCAACAGGACACAAAUUCAUCAAUUGGAUUUCCAUUUAAGCAGCCUUCCAGACUGAGAAAGUGAGAAUCCCAUCAACAUGGCAACAUGCAACAAUAAUAUGACUUGAUUGACUUAUAUAAGUACUUCAAGUCUUGCAAUUAAAUUAAAAAUUGUAACUAAUUAAAUGUAAAGAACCCGAGGACCUGCAAUUCUUCGACUAGCCAUGUACAAAUAUAAAUGGCCAACCCAACAGGCAAAUUUUCAUAGAAAGUAAAGCAUUUUCUGGGCACCAUAAUGAUCAUGGAAGCUGAAAGUUUAAGUGAAAGCAGAAACAAAAGGGAAGAAGACAGUAAGUCAAGGCAAAAGGUGCAGAGAGAGACAGAGUUAAUUGGAAAUGCCAAAGACAGAGUUAAUUGGAGAACUGUCUAAAUUCUCCAUUAUUACCACUCAUGAUUUGAUGGUUAUCUAAAUUCUCCAUUUCCGUAACACAGGUACAAACAUGAAAUAUUUCAGCAGCGGUUCCUUUCAAUUACAAAAUCACAAAAAUUAAAUAUCACAAAAUCUUGCAUUUACUUAAACAAGUUCUGGUUCCUUUCAAUUACAAGAAAUAACAAUAUCAUUCCGUUUCCAUCACUGAAGAACUUCGAUUGAAAUCAAAACUUUUUUUGUUGUUUACCUUGUGAAGGCGAUCGAGAGUGAAGGAAAGGAGAACUUCUUAAGGUUGCUGAGAGAUAAACUUCCAGAAAACAAAUACCAAUCUUCACAGUUCACACGGCAGGUGACAGUGGCAGCAGCAGCAGUGAUGACUGACGAGCAGCGGCGGCAACGAGCUUGCAGCGGUGGCGACGAGCAGAGGGGACAGAAGAAGACAGAAGUGUGGCUGAAGGUCACGACGAACAGCGGCCAGCGGGAAUAGAAGAAAUCACGACGAGCAACGGCCAGCGAACAGAAGAAGUCACGACGAGCAGAGCAGCGGCCAGCGGGAGACAGAAGUCAGAAGUGUUUAGAUUUAAGCUUUAGGGUUUUUUUACAAUCGAUUUAUUUGAGAUUCCGGUUCGGUUUUUCGGUUUUUUUAAAAAAAUCGAAAACCGAACCGAUUAAUUUUACUAUUUGUAUGAUAUUACUAUUUCGGUUUUUUAGAAGUAAAAAAACCGCACAAAAACCGAACCGAACCGAUCGGUUCGGUUCGAUUUUUGAUUAAUUAACUUUUUUUGCCCACCCCUAGAAGAGAGGGAGCCGCCAAAGAGGAAAAAAAAAGGCAGACGCAAGGCAGAAAAGGAGAAGAAGAAUAGUGGCAGCAGCAGUAAUUUAAUUCUCCAUGAUUGAUUUUAUUUAUUUUGUUGCUCCUUAUUUAAGUAUGUCUAACUAAUUUUCUUAUAUUAAGAUUAAUGAUGAAAUCAUAUUUAAUGAAAUAAUUAUUUUUUUAUUUAAUUAAUUUCUUAUACGUGUGCUUUAAUGUUUAUGAUUUUUGUUGAAAAUGUGAGACUCGACCGUUCAUGUGGGGGACUCAAUUUGUGGUGUUUCCGUGCAAUAAUGUUGUACGCUAUAGAUGUUAAAAUCAAUGGAGCUAUUUCAGCAGUUCAAAAUCCGAAAAUUGUCUCCUUAUUUCUGAGUGAUAAAUUGAUAACAUCUUUUAGUGUGAGAAAUUUAUAAUUUUUUACUUAGUAAUUUUAUCUCAGCGUCUUUGACUGUUUACACAUAAAUUGACAAAAUCAGCCACGAUUCUUAUGUUUCCCCUUAUAAAUGGAUAAUUUAAAUUUGUGAUAAUAUAUAUUUUAUUUAUUUUUCUUUAAAUGAUAGAAUAAUAGACAAAGUUCAAAUUAAUUCCUUAUUUCCUUUAGUUUUAGGACUCAAACUCGGAACCAACCAAAUAAUACUAUUUGAAAACCACUCAUUAGGCCGGCAACAAAUAAGUGAUAAUAAGUUUUUGGUUUAUAAACAAAAUGACGACGUUUUCUAUGCGAAAUGAAUGGUGACUAUUGCUCUAUGCCACGAGCAAUUUUUGUGAGUAUUCAGAUUCUCACAUGAAUAUAUAAUACAAUGGUUGAUUGAUAAAAGGAUGACGGGUCUUUUGUGAGCUUUGUAGAUAUAUUUUUCUUCCAAUUGUACUAUUGCAAAAAAAAAAAAAAAGGGAUCCGAAUCUUCAAUUGAUUUUUUUAAAUUGUUUUAAGGGGAAAUUAAAGCACUUACGUGGUCUUGUACAAUUUUUAUAAAUAUAUAUAGUUGUUUUAAAAAAUAGUGACAUCGUCUCUUCCUACGACAACUAUGUCUUUUAUUGUAGUGAUCGAAUUAUUUUUAUCUAGGCGUAAUUAUUCCAAAAGUAUCUAUAUAAUCAUUUUGUUAAAUGACGAAAUGUGACCAUUUUUUUCUCAUUUUUUUUCAUUUACAGUGCUGAUAUUUUCAUACCACAAUUUUUGUAAACCCACCCUACUUCAAGAAAAUAAUUAUAAUAAAUUCACAUUAUUUUUAAGAAAAUUCAAAUAAAGAAGAAGUUUGAGAAGUAAUUAAUUAAAUCUACCUUGAUUUGUUUUGUGACUUUAAUUUUUUUAUCAUAUUUGACUAAAAAGAUUGCUUUGUCAUAAUUUUAAAUUGAUUAUUUACUCUUAUAAGGUAAAAGUAGCAAAAUACCAAAAAAUUUACUUUAAGUUCAGAGUUUUUGAAUUUUAUACAAAAUUUAUAAUUUCUAAAAAAUGUAUCAAAACAAAUUUAUUAGAAUGAUUAUUAAGAUUUAGUUAAACUAACAAAAUAUUUUUAUGGCAUAAGACUCAUGUAAUUUAUUGGAUGUCAUGUUGUAAGUCACAAAACUAAAUACUUAGAUUGUUAGAUAUAGGAACAUUAUCACAUUAUCUUUGGAUAAUUUGGUCAUUUUAUGUAUCUUGGGUAAAACAUUGAAAUAAAAUUUAUCUUAAACCAACCUUAAUAGCAAAUAUGGCUAAACAAACAUAAGUGAAAAAAAUACAUAAGAAUUAAUUGAUUAAUUGCCCAAUCUCUUUGUUUAUCUCUAUUUUUUGAAAAUAAUGUGAGCUUAUUAUAACACUUCUAUCUCCCUCAAGAUUUACAUUCGGGUGACUAGCCAAAUAUAGAUGCUUGAAAACCAAAAGGCUUGGGAAAAUAAGAAAAUCUUAUAUAUUUUCACUAUCUGUUUCAACAAAUUUAUACACAUGGAAUCUGGUAAAUUUGUUUUCUUGAAAAAGUUGUUUCACUUAAACCAUUAUUUUUUAAUUUUCAUCAAUAAUCAAUAUUGUUAACCACAUAAAUUUUAAUUCCAUUAUUGUUCCCUGAAAAAAAUUUAUUUAAAUAUAAUUUUCAAUAGCUAAAUUUAUUAUUAAAAUAUUUGAAUUUUUUUUAAACCGCGAUAAAAAGAAGUCUUACCCGACCAACAAGUGCUAAAUUUUCUACACGUUGAAAAUUUGACUUGAAUGUGGGAAAACAUUAAAGAAAAUAGGGCAAAAUAAUUGCUCGGUAAAAGCGUGAUAAUGAAAUAGCAAAAUUCUUUGACAAUUUUGUUCAUGCAAUUAAAUGCCAAAUGGUGAGGUUGGGGAUCAUUGAAGAAGUUGAAUGGUCUUUGGCCAUUAUGAAUGGUCGAUCCGCAAUUCAUUCAUGAUUUGUCAAUAUUUGCUCAUGGAAAUGGCGGAUAUUUCACCGGAUAUUGGACCGCAAGCUUAAGGCGAUCCUUACACGCCAUCUGUUGAAAAAUUCAAAAUUGAAAUUCAAAUACACAUGCAUGCAUUCAGCUUUGACGAGGUAAAUUUGAAGACAAAUUCCUUGCAUGCAAAUUUCAAGCACACCAAUAUUGAGCUAGCGUGAUCCAAUUGCAUGUGCUACUUAGGGUUCAUGGAUGAUUUGACCUGAACAGGCCAAUUCCUUACCUCAAAAGGUCAACUAUCUAUCUGACCUGUCGAUUCCUGAGCCUCCCCUCCCGGUUGGCGUUUGUCAGCCACUAGAGCAAGUAAGAGAACCUACAGUGAAUGAACUUAAAGAUAAAGAACAGCCUAUCCUAGAUCUUCCCAUUUUCAAGAAGAUCCCGGGCUCGAUCCGGUUUAGUAUCAAGGUGAGGGAUCAGUGUUUUCUAAGUGAAUCGAAAGCUUUCUUUCUUUAAGAGAUUUCAAGUCUGGGUCCCCUCGAGCACCCUUCCCUUGAACCUGAACUGGUCGAGAGAGAUGAACCCGCACCACAUUUUAUAACAGAACCAACUGGUUUCACACCGGAGGAACAAUUCUUUGAGGCCACGCAACGACCCAAACAGUUUGGAAAGCGUAUAUAGAAUGCAACCCUUGUUGGAGAAAAAUCAGGUUUUUAAAUUUUUUAUAAAACCUUUUGAAGAUCGCUCUCAUAUAAUAUAUAAGAAUUUGUAAUCUAGAAAUCGUACCUUGAAAAUCCGAUUUGGCUUUUUCCGUUGAAGUGAUUUAGGCUCCUAGAUCACGAUCCGUCACCACCACUCUUGUUAGAUCACGAUCCGUCACCACCACGCUUGUUAGAACACGAACUGGCACCAAUGAUCUUCCAGGUUAUGACUCAGGUUCGAUCAGCACUUGACGUGUGGGUGCCUUUAUCACUACCAAAGCAACUAGCACGAGAAAAUUUUUCUCUCAACAAUAGAGAGAAAAAUCUUUUUCUCUAAUCUGUAUAAAGUGGCUUUUUUUCUUUUUUUUAGAGAAAAAUAAGCCUUUUAUAUCACCCUUUAGUGAAAACCCUGGGCUCCAAAUAAUCAAAAAAUAAAACUCACGUUAUUUGCUUUUUCUAUAGGGGACCCACCUUGUAAAAUAACAUAAGGCCCCUUAAACAAAAGCUAAUUAAAUGGAGCCUCCUACUAAAUGAUAAAUUUAGGCUUUUGACCCAAAUAGCUAGUUAUCUUACUUAUUAGUCCAGUAGUGGUGCAGUCAAUUAAAUAAGCUAACCCGGGGAUCAUUUGGGAACAUACAAUAGUGGCUACAAUAAUUAGACCUGUAAUUAAACUAGCCCAAUUAUUUAAUUCCAAAUCUACUCCACUAAAAGAUUGGAAUUGGCUUCCAUAAUUGUAUGCUCGAAUAAUAAUUCGUCCCAAGCCACAUUGAUUUCUUUACUGCACAAUCCUUUAUACCACUUCGUUAAUUAAAUUGAUAUCUCAACUGUCCAAUCAAUUUAAUAACAUCUUAUUCCUUGAUCCUUACUGGUUUUCUCUAAUGAUCAUUUUCAACAUACUAAAUAUGUUGACACACUCUGGCCAGAGAAUUCUAUGAUCAAGUGCCGAAAACCCAUCAAGAGAUGUGUUGUACAAAUUCUAUAUUGUUAAUCCAUAACUCCAAUACUCAUAAUUGCUCCCACCAAGAUACCGGGUAAUCUUGACCACAAGGAUGUGUCGUGCCCAUUGGUAACUCAAAUGGAAUAACAAUUACAAUCAUGAAAUCAUAAUUAACUCAAGAUUAAGAUUACAGUAAAAUCAACGCCUAUGAGAUUUAAUAAGUCUGACAGUUAUUACAAAGUUAAUUAAAUCUCAUAUGUGAUCCUAUUCAAUGUAGUCGUUCUACAUCAAUAAAUUCAUACAUGAUUAAGACAAAUCAUUCAAUGAAUUUAUUACAGUCUAUACCUAAAUAAAGUGCCCAACUUUAUUUAUCAACUGCGAACUAAAUUUAUUUAAUCAUAAGAUAACUUGUAUUUAUGUCUUCUGUGAAUCCACAUGGUGAUCACAUAAAUACAUAUAAUAUGAUUAAAUGGAUUUUAAUAAAAAUAUUAAUGCAAUUAAGAUAUUUGCAUAAAAUACCUCAUUAUUUUUAUUAAUCAGAAAAAAUGUUUAUUACAAUUAAAUAAAGACAUAUGCUUUUAAAGAGCAUAUUUUCCUAACAAUCUCCCACUAGCUCUCAAAGUAUAUCUGACAUAUUGCACAUGCUCUAGGGCUCUAAGUGCAGGUUAUAAAGGUUUCCCACUAAUGGCCAUUGUAAUAAGAUCUGUCAUUUAGCAUCUAAUGCCAUUUGGGGUACUGUCAUAUAACCUUUCUACACUAUUCCCUUAUAAGAUGAUACUUCCUGUCAGUAUGUUUUGUUUCUUGUGGUUCCUUAGAUUGAGCUACUGCACCACCACUAUCACAAAAUAGUUUAAGGGGUGUAGUUACAACAGGUACCACCUCAAGAUUUUGUAGGAACUUGUGGAGCCUAUAUAGCUUCUUUUGCAGCUUCAGAUGUAGCCACAUAUUCAGCUUCAGUUGUGGAGUCUGUGAUACAAGAUUACUUCACACUCAUCUAACUAAUAGCUCCACUUCCUAAUAUAAACACAUAGCUGGAAGUUGAUUUUCUAAAAUCCUUAUCUGACAAAAAAUCAGAAUUAGUAUAACCCACUAGAAUAAGUUCAUCACCAGAAUACACAAGCAUAUAAUUUUUAGUUCUUUUCAGAUACUUUAUAAUAUGCUUGACUGCAGUCCAGUAUUGAGGUCCAGGAUUAAAUUGAUAUCUGCUAACCAUCCCUACCGCAAAACAGAUGUCUGGCCUAGUGCAAAGCAUGGCAUACAUGAGACUUCCCACAGCUUCUGCACAGGGAACUCGUCUCAUUCUCUCUAUCUCUUCAGAUGUUUUAGGUGAUUGAUCCUUAGAGAAUGUAAUUCCAUGUCUGAAUGGUAAUAAACCACUCUUGGAAUUUUUCCAUGCUAAAUCUAGCCAAUAUCUUAUCGAUAUAGACCGCUUGAGACAAGGCUAAAGUUUUAUUCUUCCGGUCUCGUAGUAACUUGAUACCAAGAAUAUAACUUGUCUCUCCCAAGUCUUUCAUAUCAAAUUGUUUUGCUAACCAAAUCUUUAUUGUAGUCAAUACUCCUAUAUCGUUUCCAAUCAGGAGAAUAUUGUCUACACAAAGAACUAGGAAGGCUACAAAUUUUCCCUGAAUUUUCUUGUACACACAUGGUUCAUCAAUGUUCUGAAUGAAUCCAAGCGAUUUAAUUGCUUGAUCAAAUCUGAUGUUCCAUGACCAGGAUGCUUGCUUCAAUCCAUAAAUGGAUCUCUGCAACUUACAUACCAUGUGUUCUUAGCCUUUUUGUAUAAAUCCAUCUGGUUGCUGCAUGUAGAUGUUUUCUUCAAGAUGCCCGUUAAGAAAGGCAAUCUUGACAUCUAUUUGCCAAAUUUCAUAAUCUAGCACUGCGGCAAUGGAGAGCAGAAUCCUGAUGGAUUUAAGCAUAGCAACCGGAGAAAAGGUUUCCUCAUAAUCGAUUCCUUCUUUCUGAGUAAACCCUUUGGCUACUAAUCUUGCUUUAAAUGUUUCCACCCUUCCUUCUACUCCUCUUUUUCUCUUGUAGAUCCACUUGCACCCUAUAGGUUUUACCCCAUUUGGUGCCUCUACAAGUUCCCAGACUUUAUUGGAAUACAUAGAUUCCAUUUCUUGAUUCAUGGCCUUUUUCAAAAUUCAACAUCUCUAUCUAUUAGAGCUUCGUUGUAACUAGUGGGAUCUUGUACAUGUUCAUCUGAAAUAGCCAUAUAGGUUUCUCACAAAAGCAUGUAUCUCGCAGGUAACCUAGUUACCCUCCCACUACGACGAGGUUCUAAAAGUGAUGGUUGUUCAAGGAUAAUCAUGUGCUGAUCAACUUGUUGUUGCUGUUCUUUAUGUUCUAUAACAGGUGUUGAAAGCUGAGCAUCAACCUGAUCUCUUUUAUUUCUCUAGUUUUACCUUACUCUUAGGUUAUAAGUCAUUAUAUAGUCUUCCUCAAAGAAAGUAAAGAAUAUUUCUAUAAAUACAUUCCUAUCUUGAGGACUACAAUUCAGACUUUCCCUAUUCCUUUAAGAUACCUAAAACAUGCAAGCUUCUGAACACGAAUCCAUCUUCUCUAUCUCUGAUUCUAGUAGAAAUACUAGUAAACUCCAAAUACGAAUGUGUCUCAAGCCAUGUUUGUGACUUUUUCAUAAUAGCUUGGAGUAGUAGACACCGAGAUAGAUGAAACUAAGUUCAAUAAACUUUGUAGUUUCAAAUACUAGUAUCUGGAAUCAAAAAGGUAAAUGAUAAAUCACUUAGUAUAUAUCUUGUCUUAUCCAAAAGAAUCUUGUUUCUCUAUUUAAUUACACUAUUGUAUCAUAGUGUUCAUUGACAACCAAAUAGUGCUUGAAUUCUCCAUAGAGAUAUUCUUUGUUUCGAUCAUAUCGAAGUUCUUUUAUGUUCCUGUCUAAUUGCUUCUGUCUUAUCCAUGUACUCUUUUGAAUUUCAAAAGCAAUGGAAUCAUGACGCAUUUAGACAAACAUAAAUAAAAUGAAUAUUCAUCAACAAGAUUGAUAGAAUACUCAUAACCUCUUAUAACAUGUAUACUGAUUAGUUCGUAUACAUUUGUAUGCGCUAAAUCAUCAAAUACAAUGUUAUGCUUUUAGCUCAAAAAGAGCAUCCUUGUCAUAUUACUUUUCUAAAUAAGAUUUAUAGAGUUACAAUGAUCAAUCUUAAUAGGCUAGCAAGUCUAUCAUUAAUCAUUUUCUUAAAAUCUUAUUAUAGUUUAUAUGACUUAAGCAUAAAUAUCAGAGGUGAUUUUUGGUUAGAAGAAACAUUUCUUUUCUUAGAUAAAUGCAUAUACUUUUUAUCAUUAUAUCUUAAUUUGAAUAGAUCAAUGUACUUCUAUGAUAUAAAUUGUCUUUAUAAAUAACCAAAAUAAGUAAUAAAUAGAGGAUCCAAAAAUAACAGUGUACUUCUGUUUAUUAAAACAAGCCACCGAAAUUAAAUUCCUCUAAUAUUUGGAAAAAUAAAGACAAAUAUCAAAACUAAAGUCUUGUAAAAUUGAUCUAGUCUUUCAAUUGAUAUAAACUAGCAUGUCCUCAACUGCUGUUUGAAGCUUUCUUCACUUAAUCUUUUGGUUUCCUGAAAACCAAAUAAAUUAAUUAUAAAUAAGAUUAGUUAUCUCAGAAUUCAUUAUUGUAUGAAUCAAUAGAAAUCUGAACUAAUUAGGAAGCUUAAAAAUUUCAUAUACCUGAUUUUAAUAAUCUUAGGACAAUCUUUCUUCCAGUGACCCUUCUGUCCACAUUUGUAACACUUGCCUUUUGGCUUGCCACUUCUUUUAGUGGACAGUUUGUCGAUCCCAACUCUUGCUUGCUCAUUCUUGUCUUUCGACUUAAGCCUUGAAGAGAAUCCUUUUUCAGGAAGUUUUCUGCUAUGAUAAAAUUCUUCUAUAGCAUGUAGUUCGUGCAUUAAUUCAAUUAAGGUCAUAUCUUUAUUGUUUAAGAUAUAGCUGACCUUAAACUCUUUAAAUGUAUCAGGUAAAGAUUCAAUCACAAUGUUAAUCUUUGAUUUAUCAUUGAUUUGAACACCAUGAAUCUCUACCUCAUUCAAAUAGUCCAUCAUUUUGAGGACAUGAUCACGAACUUUUGUGCCCUCUUCCAUCUUAGUAUCCGUAAUACGUUUUAAUGCUGCUUCUCUAGCAAAAUGAGUAUUUUGCCCAAACAUCUUAUGAAGACAAGCCAUUAUUUCAGUGGUUGUUUCCAUGCUCCGAUGUUUCUUAUGCAGUUCCACAGAAAUCGAAGCCAAUAUAUAGCGUUUAGUCAUUUUGUUAGCUUCGUACCAUUUCUCAUAAGGCUCCCUCUGAUUUCUAUAAUCGUAUAAGGAUGGUUCAGGAGGGCAAGGCUGGGUCAACACAUAUUUGCAGCCCUUAGCAGUGAGAAUAUUAAAUAGAUUGCGUUUCCAAUCUAAAUAAUUUUCGCCAGUGAGUUCAUUUUUAACAAGGAUAAUUAAUAAUGGGUUGAUGGAAGACAUUUUCUGAAAAAACAAAAUAGACAUGCAUAAAUACUUUGAAACAAUAUUCACAAUAAAUGACAAAAAUGCAAAAAAUCAUAAAUGCAUUUUAAUUUAUUGUAACGAUAAUCUAGUACCGCUUUGACAAGCUAUCCGUUGGGGAAGUCAUGUCUACACUUACUAGACCCAAUUAUCCAUUAGAUUAUUUACUUUCAUGUAGAGACAUGAUAAAUAAUUAUCGUUAUCCUUUUUGGGCCUAAAUUUGUUAACAGAGCUUCGUUGGGAAGGUUAAUAACAAAUUUUAGUUGAGUGUAUAACCAUUGUUUCAAUCUACAUAUUUUUUAUAUCAAUAGUCACCGUUGGGGCGAACAAUCGAUUAAAAAAUAUUUCAAUUUUAUCUUUGAAGAAGUUCAUCAAAUAAAAUAUCUAAUAUAUAUACCCUCCGUAGGGAGCAUCACCGUAUCAUGAAGUCGAGGUAUAUAUAUAAUUUUAUUAUUGAACUAACAAUGGAGCCCAUGGGAAAAAUUAUCUUGAAUUUUCCCUCUCCCACUGAAUAUUUUAAAAUUGAUUUUUCCUUUUUAAAAUAUACAUAUUGUUAAUUGCAUGCUUCCUAUAAUAUUAUCUAGAUGAUAUCCAAUAUUAUUAAGCAUAGGCAAAUUUCAAACAAUAUAAUGAAAUUCAUAAUUAAUGAAUGACAUGUAUCAUUAUACAUAGAGUGGCACUACCUAUUCUAUAUGACAUGUUAUCAUGGCAUGUUAUCAUCCAAAACAUAACAUAUAGAAAAAUAAUUAAUUAAUCUUAAUUCAUGGCUUUCCUAAUAAUGAAAAAUACAUUAACCCUAAGCCUCAUCUUCAUUGGGCUUCUUGUCAAUGUCCAUCUUCCAUAAGCUUGUCUUUGUUAAUGGACUAGGGGAAAUUGAGCUUUUAAAUUUAUAAUUGGUCCAAUUUUAAUUUUUGAAAGGAAAUAAAUAAAUGAUUAAAAUUUAUUAUUAAAAUAAAAAUUUUGGACCAAAAAUAAAUUUAAUACAUUCAAUUUUAUCUAUGCAUUUUAAUCUAUUAAGCCCAAUUGAAUUGAGCCUAAAACUAGGAUUCAUCAAACCCAAAACUAUUUUUGGACUUAAACGCAAAAAAUUAAAAAUUUUCUGCCCAAAUGAAACAUUAUGGAACCAUAGGGACCUCCAUGAUAAAAACCAUGAAACCCUAAAUUCAUAUUUUUCUUUCUUUCUUCUUCCCUAGCCGCCAUAUCCACAAACGGCCACUGUUCAGGCCAAUCUCACCGGACAGCCGUUAUCAACGUCGAGUUUGCCGUCGUCGAUACGCUGGAAGCAAAACAACCCUGCACACGCUGCUGCUGGCCAGGCUGGCCGCGCAUGCUGCUGGCACGUGUGCUGCUUGCUGCGCGCACUGCCAGCAUGCGCUUGCAGCGUGUGCCGCUCGUUGGCUGUAGCGAGUGCACUGGUCGGUGGUCGAUGUCGAAAUUUCCGGCCUCCGUCGCUUUGAUCUGUCAUCCGUGAUUGAUUUACAAAUUUCCUAGGCCAAUUUUGGCUUACAAAAUUCUAUAACAGUAAAUUAAAUCAAGAGGGAAACAUGGUGAUUAAAAAACCACCCCUCUUAUUACAGAUCCAAACGAAAAAUACAGUAGAAAAUCUAACCAUGAAUUAAGACAAACCAAAACAUGCUUUAUUCAUAUAUUAAACAAAUAAUAUAUAUCUGAAUAAAUUAUGCCACUCUAAUACAUAAAUUUCAAGAAUGAUUUCAUACGAAAUUCUUAUAUAUUAAUAUGAGGAGGCUCUGAUACCAAUUGUUGGAGAAAAAUCAGGUUUUUAAAUUUUUUAUAAAACCUUUUGAAGAUCGCUCUCAUAUAAUAUAUAAGAAUUUGUAAUCUAGAAAUCGUACCUUGAAAAUCUGAUUUGGCUUUUUCCGUUGAAGUGAUUUAGGCUCCUAGAUCAUGAUCCGUCACCACCACUCCUGUUAGAUCACGAUCCGUCACCACCACGCUUGUUAGAACACGAACUGGCACCAAUGAUCUUUCAGGUUAUGACUCAGGUUCGAUCUGCACUUGACGUGUGGGCGCCUUUAUCACUACCAAAGCAACUAGCACGAGAAAAUUUUUCUCUCAACAAUAGAGAGAAAAAUCUUUUUCUCUUAUCUGUAUAAAGUGGCUUUUUUUCUUUUCUUUAGAGAAAAAUAAGCCUUUUAUAUCACCCUUUAGUGAAAACCCUAGGCUCCAAAUAAUCAAAAAACAAAACUCACGUUAUUUGCUUUUUCUAUAGGGGACCCACCUUGUAAAAUAACAUAAGGCCCCUUACACAAAAGCUAAUUAAAUGGAGCCUCCCACUAAAUGAUAAAUUUAGGCUUUUGACCCAAAUAGCUAGUUAUCUUACUUAUUAGUCCAGUAGUGGUGCAGUCAAUUAAAUAAGCUAACCCGGGGAUCAUUUGGGAACAUACAAUAGUGGCUACAAUAAUUAGACCUGUAAUUAAACUAGCCCAAUUAUUUAAUUCCAAAUCUACUCCACUAAAAGAUUGGAACUGACUUCCAUAAUUGUAUGCUCGAAUAAUAAUUCGUCCCAAGCCACAUUGAUUUCUUUACUGCACAAUCCUUUAUACCACUUCGUUAAUCAAAUUGAUAUCUCAACUGUCCAAUCAAUUUAAUAACAUCUUAUUCCUUGAUCCUUACUGGUUUUCUCUAAUGAUCAUUUUCAACAUACUAAAUAUGUUGACACACUCUGGCCAGAGAAUUCUAUCAUCAAGUGCCGAAAACCCAUCAAGAGAUAUGUUGUACAAAUUCUAUAUUAUUAAUCAAUAACUCCAAUACUCAUAAUUGCUCCCACCAAGAUACCGGGUAAUCUUGACCACAAGGAUGUGUCGUGCCCAUUGGUAACUCAAAUGAAAUAACAAUUACAAUCAUGAAAUCAUAAUUAACUCAAGAUUAAGAUUACAGUAAAAUCAACGCCUAUGAGAUUUAAUAAGUCUGACAGUUAUUACAAAGUUAAUUAAAUCUCAUAUGUGAUCCUAUUCAAUGUAGUCGUACUACAUCAAUAAAUUCAUACAUGAUUAAGAUAAAUCAUUCAAUGAAUUUAUUACAGUCUAUACCUAAAUAAAGUGCCCAACUUUAUUUAUCAACUGCGAACUAAAUUUAUUUAAUCAUAAGAUAACUUGUAUUUAUGUCUUCUGUGAAUCCACAUGGUGAUCACAUAAAUACAUAUAAUAUGAUUAAAUGGACUUUAAUAAAAAUAUUAAUGCAAUUAAGAUAUUUGCAUAAAAUACCUCAUUAUUUUAUUAAUCAGAAAAAAUGUUUAUUACAAUUAAAUAAACACAUAUGCUUUUAAAGAGCAUAUUUUCCCAACAACCCUUAUGGACUGAAUCUUUAUUACACCCUUGGCGAGGAACCAAGAGUCAUUUACUACAUGCUUAUUAGGCACUGCCGCAGCAUCCACUGGUACAAGGAAGAGGCACGAUAGCGAAGAUCAAUCCAUCUCAAUCUGCAAAAACGAAAAACAUUGCCUUAGGCAUGCAACCCCAAAAAAAGGAUAGAAAGACUGCUCUAAAUUGAUUCUUUUAUGCUGAUAAACUCCAAUUGCAUUAUAGGAAUUACAAAAAAGGGGUUCUUUCGUAUACUUAGGUGAUGUUUGGUUGGGGGGCGAGAAUGGAGGAGAGAAAAGUAAUUUAAAUUUUAUUUUUAUUUUCAUUGUUUGGUUGCACAAAAUAUAUAAGAAUUUAAUUUCUAUUAAAAUUUAAUAUCCCUUAUAAUGUAGACUUUAAAUUCCACACCAAAAAGUGAAGAAUUUAAAUUCCUCUUAUGUUGAAAACACAAGUUUUCAAAAUUGCCCUUCAACAUUUCAACUUGUUUAAUGUUAUUAAUAAUAAUAAUUAUUUAUAAUUUUAUUUUAUCAAUUUAAUAUUAUAAAUAAUUUUAUAUUAAUCAAAUUCAAUGAAUGAUUUAAAAAAAUUAAUAAAAUAAAUAAACUUAUUUAUUUAUUUAAUAUGAAAAUAUAUAAAUAUAAUUAACUAUCGCCGUGCCUUCACCGGAUUUCUGCCGGAACUUCGCCGGACCAUCGCCGGAUUUUUGCCGGACCACCGCUGACACACCAAAUCUCCGCCGGAACUCGCCGGACUUCCGUUGGAAAAUAGCUGGUCGACGUUGACCGGCGCUGACUUAUGUUGACCUACGUUGACUUAUAUUGACUGGCUUUUAUUUAUAUUAAAUUAUAUUAAAUAGUUUAAGAUAUUAAAUUAUUUUAUAUUUUAUAUUAAAUAUAAAUCAUGAAUUGUUUUAGAACUGUUUGAAAUUAAAAAAGUUUGGUAUUAAUAUUAAAUUAUAUUUUAUUAUUAAUAUAGAUAAUUUAAUAUUUAAGGCAAAGGAUAAAUUUGUCCAAAAAAAAUUAAAAUUCCUUUCCCUAUUAAAUUUUAUGUCAAACCCAAUAAUGAAAUUUAAUUUCACUAUUCUCUUUCACUCCUCUCUUCUCCUUUCCCCUCCAUUCCACUCUUUUCCUCUCCUCCCCUUUCUUAAAACCAAACACCACCUUAUAGCUAUUAUCGUCGCAAGCAUAGCGGAACCCAAGCUCAUGCUCACGAUAGCACAACGUGGCCUACGGUGGUACCACGAUGUCCCUAGAGUCAUAGACAAGCUUCGCAUAUAGACAACCCGUACAGUAUAGCGGAUGCACGUUUAAGCCUCACGAUUCCGUAACACAGCUAGGCUUAAGGCCAACUACUGGCUAUACUGACUACUUAUUAUUGUUCUAGAGCGGGGAAAGUCUUCAAGAAUGCUGCUACCGAAUGAAGUUCAUCUUUCCCCUCUUUCCCUAUAAUAAAGUGCAGGCCCCCGUAGAUAGAUAUCCCAUAUAGCCCCUCCUCACGUCGACUUUUUGCCGUUGAAUCCCGAAGAAAGAAUAAAAUAGACAAAAUUCCUAACAAAAAGAUAGUGAUGGUUCCUCUUUGAGGGCCCGAAGGGCAACGUACCUAAUAGAUAAAGGAUUUUUCAAACGGGAACUCAUCUUGUACCGCAACUUAAACAAUCAUUGUCGGAAGGGCCGGAAACUUGCGUUUUCUUAUGAUAAAUUGUACCAUGAUGAUCUUCUAUUUAUAUUCUCUAGUUUAUCUUUCUUCAAGUGAGAUAGUUGAGCCCGCCCCAAGCGGAACCGCAUGAGUUCACCGGGGUUGAGCACGGUCCGCCAAAAUCGGCAUAGGUUAGGUGCUAUUGAUGGAACAUGGUAAGCCUAUCUUUGUUCUCUAUAUGGAAGUGUUGCGGGAUUAAAGGAGUUGGAAGAUGAGCAAGAGUAUUCUCAAUCGACACUCCUAAAAAAGAUAAUAGGUUCUAUGAUAAGGAAUAGGAACAACAAAAGCAAGUCUUUUGAGUAUAAUCCUGGUAUCUUUCUACAAUCGUCUUUGUGGCGUAGGCCGAUCAAUCCCCGAAAUAAGAUCACUUAAAGGAAAUGAGUGGAAAUAAGACAGGUCUAUAUUCCUAUAGAAAGAAAAGCCCUUUCCCUCCCUGCACGAGUGAGUUGCCAAGUGCCUCCCAAGAGGGCAGUCUACCACAAGAUCUUACUUAUGAAUGUCAAGGAAGAAAAAGAAAGACAGGUAGGUUUGUAAACUAAAGCCAGAAGCCCGGGAAGAGGUGUUCUCCAUUAGUACAAGUAAGCGGCUGAGUUAGCAAAGCCUACCCUACUAAUGUAUUGUAUAGUAGCGCCUUUUCCUUUUUGAAUAUAACUAAGGCUAGCUCACUGGUAGUAGAAGGAAGCAGAGAUUCAGGCAGUUAGGCAUCAGUUUGAGUUCGAGAUCGAGACCCCAUAGAUAAGGUAGGUGUUAAUAGAUCAGUUCGGUCUCUGAGGCCACCGAGUAAUCAUAGGUAAGUAGCAGCUAUCUCCGACCGAGCAAGUGUAGAGGAAGAAAAGACAUAAUUAAAAAAAUUGUGUAAAAUAAAUGAAUUUAUCCAGUUAAGGCAUGCUUGAUUGCGCAUUCCUUUACGCAUUCCGCUGACCUUUCCAUUACCAUGGGAAAGCCUCACUCUCGGUGAAAUGGAUAACAAACUGAAUAAGCGAUCAUCGUCCGGUGGUCGGUAGCUCUACUAAGCGAAUAACCGCUCGCUGCUUUUUCUUCGCGAAUAACAUGUGCGGGUAGCCUAGGAAAAGAGAAGCAAGCUACCUUCGCCUACCUCCCCGCCGCUCAUGACAAGCAAGCAGCAUACUAGGUUUCAUUAUUAUAUAGGACUUCUUUUGUGCUACCACGCCUCUCUUGACCUCUGCUUGCAUCUCGAGAAAGUAUAAGGGUCACCGAAAGUGAGGGAAGAGAUAUCCAAUUUGAUAUCUUAUGAUAUAUUGAGGAUGCUGCAAUAGUUUGGUUUCACCUCUAGAUGGUGUGAGUGAAUCAGGGCUUCCAAAACCUUUCUUUUUUCGGUAUGCCGCUCCGCGAGUAAGGAGUGCCACGCACGAGCGGAGCGAAAACAAAGCCGGUCAAAGAUUCCAUUGGAAAGGUAGAUGACAUUUCUGCUAUUUCGGUAAUGCUUGAGCAGGGGCAGCCCAGUCUUAGUCUAACUAAGUAUUCUAUCCAUACUAUGACACUGCGCAAAAGAACCAGGCAUAGUGUGAAACAUGAUAAUACAAAUAGGGGCGUGCCACAUUCUUGGUUUAAGUAUACUAGAACAUAUUCCAUUUUGUUGACGGUGAAUGCCUGUCGAGCCACAGGCGGAAAAAUAAUAAAAAAGUUUCUAAAAAUAAAAAUACUAAAAAAUAAUUGAUAAGGGGGGUUGAGCAUCCUUUGUAGAGCACUUUGCUGGCGCUACACUAUCACGUUACAACUAGCAUCCCCUUUUUGCUAUUUCUAUCUAUUAUUAGUUGGGGCUUUUCCCAAACUAAUAGCAAGAGAGGGAGUGAAAGAGGCUGGAAAGUACGAAGCAGGUUCUAUGCAAUUGACUCGACUGAAAGGAAGAUUUUUUACUUAGGCCCAGGAGAGGAGGGCUCUUUGGGACUGGGGGAGACGAGUGGAUUAUAGAGCUAGGAGUGGAUCGAGGGUUUGUCCAUUGGGAUUGGUUUGAUAUGGUUUGCGUGUUACUGGUUGCCGGAAGAGUUAAUAUCUCCAUUAACUAAACCCUUUCUUACCCUAUGAUAGAUUCAUGAAAUGAGCAAGCAUCUGAUAUAUUUUACACCUUUUCAUAACGCCUAUGUGACUUGCCAAAGCUGUCGCUCCGUAUUUCUUGCUUAAAGCACCGCAACUUAUACGCUUUAAAGCUGCGCUUUAAACUUAACGGCAUUUGAGCAUCCAUUUUCUUACUCUUUGUCGUAGAGGCUCUCUAACCGGAGAGAGGCUUGCUAUCGUAACCUUUACAAGCCAUGAUCUAAAAGUGAUUGCCCCCCAGGCGAGAAAGACUAAUCUUAGAAUUCCGCUUGAAAACGAGUCCUGUCCUUGCUUUUCUAAAAAGUUACUAUCCCCAACAGGAUUGGAACUCUAGUUGUUCAAGUUCCGUUCACCUCCUUUAACUUUCAAUUAGUGAAAUUCUAUUUAUUUCUUUCUUAGGGAAUUGUGGUCGACCCCGACUAGAUGACCUGGGCCUGAAGAAUGACAAGCUUUCGCAAUGAAAUCUUUCUCCAGAUAAUGCCUUGGUUACAUAAAUAAUCUACUCCGAUACACCUACCCGUGGUAUAGGUGUGUUCAAACACACCACGCUAUUUUUUUCCUUUUGAGAGGGUACUCCGAGUAGUGGGUACCUCGUAGGACCUCAACCCGCCUACUUGGGUCUUGUAUGGAUAUGCAGGAAGAUCUUUAGCUAACCCAUACCUUAUCUAAAUACCCAGGUUCCGUGAUAUCAUAUCCCAAUUCUGAUUCUUUUGCCAUCACCUUCUAUUACUUCCUUGGUCGAGCAUCUAUCAACACCUGACGAUGAGGAGAGUGAUCAAUUCACCAUGUACCUGAUUCAAUACAACUAUCUAGCCCUAUUAUCGAAGCACUUCUUUAUAUACGUCGCCAUUUGACGAUCUGUCUUUAGUAGGUCGUCUAUUCUUUCUUACCGAGAAUCGAGCGCGAGGCUUGAAGACCCUACCGCAUUCCGGCCCCGGGGCCCUCAAUUGGUUCUUUCUCUCUUCUCUUUUACCAACGAGUGGUGAGUUACAUAUGUACCUUUAGUAGUCUGUUAUCUCAUACGCUACCCUAACUACCAUAUGUACUUUUCUUUUGCUAUCUAAUCAACCCAUUGAUUCAGUCUUGGAAGGUGGUGCGUACCAAUGGCGUUUGUUAAGUCUUUGAUGAAGUGGGUUUCUUGCCUGACGAAGCCCUUCAAACUAUACUUGCACCUUAGUAGCCAUUAAUAGCAAACCCAACCUGAUGGAUCCUUGCGCUUUAUGAAAGUACGCUGUACUGGCCUUCCUUCCUCUACCUGUCAGGGAGACUUAUUUUCUUUAUUUUUAAGGCUUCUCAGACUCUUGUGGAUUCGCCUCUUUCUUCCCUCGCUUGUGACCAGCUUCUCUUGUUGUUGUUCCUAGAAAAAAAGUAGAAGUCAUGUGACAAGAAGUACUUUUUCUCAGCGCGUUCGUUGGAGUCGUGGAAGCGAAGCAAGGCUCGUUAUAGAGGAAAUAUGGAAUCUUCUAGAAAAACGUGGAACCCAUGCCCCUUUUCGCUUGAAAGAGCUUUGAUCACGACUGGUUGUAAACAAACUACUGUCUCGCCUCUACUUUCUAUCGAGCUCCGCUCUCCCCGCCCCAUUCAUGGCUUGUUGUUCCCCAAACUCUUUCUGGCAGAACCCUUCGAAUUUUUAGAGAAAAACCACGCUAAAUGUUUUUGAGAUUUUGAAACUUAUUGCACCUAACCUUUGGGCAUAUCAAAACAAGAAAAGGCACUACCUGCGGAAGAGAAAGAGAGAGGAAAAAAAAUACGCAUGUCAGUCUAUUCUACAUCUAUAUUGUUCAAGCAAAAAUCAAAAUAGGAUGUCUAUAUGAUGAUUUUCUAAAUAAAAAAGAAAUAGUGAGUGAGAAAGAAGAUGUGAGUCUAAAAGGCAACAAUCAAAUGCCCCUUUAUUAGUAAGGUUGCUUGCUUGUUACACAAGUCGUAUUUGGCUCGUCUCCUUCCGUGAUACGCACCUGGUAGUAGUAGCAGCCCGACCAUAAAUCCAACUUCGAGAAGUAAAAGAAAAUCAAGACAGAUGCCAAGAGAAACUAUUAGACUUGUUUAUUGCGUUGCGAAGAGAGAUCUACCGUUUAUCCACCAAUCUGCCUUGCUCUUUAUGAGCUGAGCUAUUCCGUAUGAAAAAAAAGAAUCCAAUCAUCUACCUAAGGCGCUUCUAGAUCCUUCUUUGAUUCGCGAGAACUCGCUCAGCCUAACCAAAGCAUCAUAACAACAUCCAAAGGUUGACAAAGUCAACGCUACUAAGGACCAGGGUGAGCGGAAUUCAGUAGAGGCUCCUCCUUUCGCCUGAUCCACUAAUCAAUGUCCUCGCAGAUGGACUGAGCAUCAAACGCUUGGGGGAGGAAAGUGAACAAGAAGCAAAAAUUCUAUUAAUUAGAUUCUGCUAUCAAGAGAAGGAAUACCUGGCAAAGUCCCAUAUCCUCGUCACUAGCCUUGGAGGGGAAUCAACUCAACCGAUCUCUCUCUGUCUUCAUCUCUCAAGGACCCUGACGGAACUACAUGAAAAGCUAAGCAAAGGCGAGUAACGUUUCCCUCCGCGGGGGCCUAUUCCUCCUCCCUCAUUUCCUUAAUAAUAAAGUAAGCUUUCAAGCCCCUUUACUUGCUUGAUAUUCUAUUAGUAAAGCGCUGGAGCCCCACCUGUAUAUGAUCUCUUCACCAAAAGUCACACCAAAGCCAUUAAAAUUGAAAAUGGCCAAAGCUUUUUUCAUGUAUUCAUAUUGUAAGCUUUGCCUAUAAAUAGAGAAGUUGAAUGCAUUUGUAAAGCAUCCCAAUUUGUGAGAAGUAGAGAGCAAUUGCAAGUGAACUCUUUGAGAGAAUUUGAGAGAGCUUCCACUUGAGUGUUCUAGUGAGGUUCCAUGUUGUGAAAAAUUUUAAUAUACUUACAAGCACACGAAUCUAGAAAUAGAAUAAUGGUAACGAGGUCGAACCCACAUGGAUUGUUAUAAAUUGAAAAGUCUAAUUUAAAUCUAAAAUUAAUAUUAAUUCUAACCUAAUUGAGCAAAUUGAAUUUUUAAGGGAAAUUAAACUAAUUAAACUAAGAAAAUAAUUAAAGCAAAUGAGAAAUCAAUAAGACAAAAAUUACCAAGGUUUCAUAAUCCACCACUACUCAACUAGUAAUUAUUUAAUUAUUAAUUAAUCCCCAAUUUUAGAGUGACAACUCGAAAUCAAUCUAUGUCAUCUCAUAAAUAUAACAAUUAAGCCCAAUUAAAAUUAAUCUUUUGUAGGUUCUUUUUCUGCUUAAUAUAUGAUAUCUAAGAAUCUUAUGUAAACAUAUUGAAUAACAAAGAGUUAAAGUUUUCCUAAGUACUAUGUGUAAAUAAUUUAAUGAAAGACAUAAUCAAAUAUAAUCAUGUAUAAAUUUUAUAUAUCCAAGCAUAGAUUUAAUCGAAAAUCAAUCAUAACAAUCAAUAAUGCAUGACAGAAUUGGUGAAAAUAUUUAAUAACACCCAAUUAAUCAUGUGAAACAAAAACCAUAAUUAUCAAAGAACAUAUAUAGGGAAUUAAUUAAAUAAAAAAAUAAUUAUUUCAUUGAAUAAGGUUUCAUCCUUAACUUCAGUAUAAGAAAAUUAGUUAGACAUACUUGAAUUAUGAGCAACAAAAGAAAUAAAAUCAGCCAUGGAAAGUCGAACUGCUGCAGCUGGUUUUCUCCCGAAUGGCAUCUGCUUUUUUUUUUUUUCCUUCCUCUGGCGACUGCUUUCCGUCUUCUCUUCUUUUUUCUUGGCGGCUACCCCUUAAUUCUUUUUAUAUUGUAACGCCACCACAAAAUCCUCAAAUCAAAAGGAUUUUAAAACAAGCCAAGCACAACCAACUUUAAGCCCAUGCAUGUGAAGCCCACUUGAAAUCAAUGGUCAAUGCUUUUCCAACUAUUCACGUGAGAUGCACACUUAGAAAGCCAAUUUUUCUCCUUUAAGCAUCUUUUUUCCUCUUUUGUUUUAUUCUUCACAAGCGGCAAUUAUUUCCAUAAAAUCUAAUUUAUUUCCUUUUUAAGCUCCCUUUCAUCAAUGGCUUCCACAAAUUGAUUUGAUCUUCAAUGCUGUCCAAUUAUUAUUCCUUAUGCACUUUUCAUUCAUAAUCUCCAAUUAAUUCCAUAAUCAAAUAAAAAAUUCAAUUAAUUAAAAAUAACAAAUAAAAAUAACUAGUAAUUAUGUAAUUAAGGAUAUAUAUAUAUAUAUAUUAUGCUCAUCAAAUACCCCCAAACUUAGAUUUUGCUAGUUCUCCAGCAAAACUAAAACUAAAAACAAAAAUAAAAGUAACGAAAAAAAUAAAUCCUAACUAAACUACUUUCGCAGGUAAUCGCGAUUGCAUUUAGCGUAUGCAACAAACCUUUAAACCCCUAGGCGGCCCUAGUGGACGAGUUAUAGUCUCGUGAGGACUUCAGUGAUAAUACCCACAAACAUCAUUUAAAUAAAUAAAUAAAAAGAACAAAAAAACAAAAAAAACUUUAAAUAAAAUAUGAAAAUAGCCUCAAAGAUUGCAUAAAUUAUAUAGCUCAAAGAAAAUGUCAAAUAUUGGCAAAGUUCUAACUUUAAUUCAAUAGUCAAUCCCAUCUCUCUUUCGAUUCUUGUAGUGUGUGUGUGGAAUCAAUUCAAUCAAAUCCAUUCCCAAAAUCAUCAAUAUCAACAGCCUUCGCCUCAAACAAAGAAAAGAGUAAGUCAAAUUAAUCUUAUCAUCUUAAUCUCCAAUUUUUUUUUCACAGGCUUUUAUGUGCAUUUUUUUUAGCACAUGCACUUGAUUUUUUUUCUAUUUUUUUCCUUUCUUUCUUUCUUUUUUUUAACCAUAGUCAUGAGCUUUCACUUUACCCCUUAAGGUAGUCUUCUUCUCAUGGUAAAUUAUCCUCUACAUAUUGGUGGUACAUAGGCCCAAAUUACUCAAGGAUAGCUUCACUCUUAAGGGUUAUAGAUAGCUAUUUCUGACUUUGGUGUCUGUGUAUACUAUUUUGUAUUGUCGAGAUAAGAAUCAAGACAAACAAUCAUUUACUCUAUCUAAAAUUCUCAACUCAGACUGCGUCAAUCUCAAAUUUCAAGUCAAAAUUACGAAAGAAUUAAUAUUAGUACUCAUGAUUAAAGAAUCUCAAUCAAGAUGAAUUAACACAAGAAUCAAGUAUAAACUAAGACAAUAUUCAACCCUUUCUAAGAACUAUAUUCAUUGUCAUCAAGUUCUUAUCACUGGCUUUUCACAUAAAAACAAAAAAAAAUAAUUUUUUUUGAAUUUUUGAAUUUUUUGAUUUUUUUUUGGUUUUUUUUAAUAAACAAAGCACACACUAUUACCACUCCCAAACUUAUUCGGAACAUUAUCCUCAAUGUUUCACAAACAAAAGAUAUGCAUGCAAAAAGAUGAGAAAAUAAAUAAAUAAAAACAUAAAUAAUAAAAGAAAAAGUUAGAGAGAGCACACCUGGGUGGGCUGGAAAAGCUUAAAAGAAAAUGAUAAAUAAAAAGAAAACGAUAGAAAAGAAAAAUACUAGAAAAGAAAAAAAACAAAGAAAAGAAAACCUACUCUUUAAAUAAAACAAGAAUGUAAAAAUGAAAUUAACUAAUCCUGAUAAACAAGAUCAUUUAAAAGUAUCUCCUCGACUUCUGGUGUUCUUAACUCUAAAAAUGGUUUUAAUCUUUGACCAUUGACCUUAAAUAAAUCACCAUUUUGAGGAUUUUCAAUCUCAAUUGCUCCAUAAGGAAAGACAGUACGAACUAUAAAAGAACCAGACCAUCGAGAACAUAACUUACCUAGAAAAAGAUGCAAUCGGGAAUUGUAUAAAAGUACUUUCUGACCUGGUGUAAAUGAUUUUCUCAAAAUGUGCUUGUCAUGAAAUACUUUCAUUCAUUGCUUGUAAAUCUUGGUAUUCUCAUAUGCAUCAUUCCUGAUCUCUUCAAGUUCUGCUAGUUGUAAUCUUCUCUUGGAACCAGCUUGCUGCAUAUGAAAAUUAAAUUUCUUGAUAGCCUAAUAUGCACGAUGCUCUAACUUUACUGGCAGGUAACACACUUUUCCAUACACAAGUCUAUAAGGCGACAUCCCAAUUGGUGUUUUGAAAGCAGUCCUAUAUGCCCAUAAUGCAUCAUCAAGUCUCAAAGACCAAUCCUUUCUAUCUGACCUAACUAUUUUUUCCAGAAUUUGCUUGAUCUCUCUAUUAGAAAUUUCUACUUGGCCACUGGUUUGAGGAUGGUAUGGGGUGGCAACCUUAUGUGUAAUGGAAUAUUUGUUCAAAAGAGUUUUGAAAGGUUUAUUGCAAAAAUGGGUACCGCCAUCACUAAUGAUUGCUCUAGGGAAACCAAAACGAGAUAGAAUAUUACUUUUCAAGAAUUUCACUACAAUUCUAUGAUCAUUGGUUUUGCAUGGAAUAGCUUCAACCCACUUCGACACAUAGUCCACUGCAACCAAUAUAUACUGAUAACUAAAAGAUUGAGGAAAAGGUCCCAUGAAAUCAAUACCCCAUACAUCGAAGAUCUCAACCACCAGAAUAUGAUUGAGUUGGCAUCAUAUUCCUCUUUGAAAUGCUACCCAUGCGUUGGCACCUAUCACACAAAGAAUAGAAAACAUAAGCGUCAUGAAAAAGAGUAGACCAAUAAAAACCACACUGUAAAAUUUUUGUUGCUGUCUUUUUAGCACAAAAUGACCUCCACAAGCUUGUUCGUGGCAAAAAGAGAUGACACUUUGAAUUUCAUUUUCUGGAACACAUCUCCUAAUAAUCUAAUCAGCACAAUAUUUGAAUAAAUAUCACUACUAGAAAAAUGCCUUUUACUAUCACUCGUCUUCUGACACUUUUCUACAAAGUAUCAGUAGUUACAUAUAUUUGGGUCAUUUUCUGUGUUUAAUAGACAAGUGUCACAAAUUACUAAUUUUAUGGUGUUUGUAGAUUAAACAUCAGAGAUUAUCGACACUAAGGUAUCAGAAACAACAAAAAAAAAGUCUAUUUUUGUUUUAGUUGCUACUCGAACCUAAGACCUCAAAACUAAAGUGGUUUAUGUUCAAACAACAAACCACCAAGCCAAAUUUGUAUUUUAGUUUAUGUUGAAAAUGUUCAAAUUAUCAUAUUAAAAUAACAACAAUAUAAAGCAAAAGAAAAAACCCUAAAAUCAACAUAAACAUAAAAUUCCCUAACUUCUAAUUCUAUGGCCAGCCGCCUCAUCUCUAUGGCAAGAUCCUUCUUCUUCUUCGUACCUCUAAAAAAUUCCCCUUCGAGCCCUAAAAUUCAAGGGUCCAUGCCAUGGGAAAUCCUAACAACAUUGCUCAAAUUCUAAGACCCAUACCAUACGAGACCCUAACGAGCUACAUCAGGUUGCGAAACAUCCACCAUGCCACUAUGCCACAAGCUCAGAAGAUCAUGUUUAGAUCUCCACAUUUUGCUCACUGCUGAGUGUUAGAAAAUGUAUAUUUAUAAAGAAGAAAAUCGUCAUUUUACACUUCAAGUUUUACUAACACCCUUACUUUUAUGUAAUUAUGUGUGUUGUAUUAUAAUUAAAUAUUUUAUGUAUUUUAGGGGCAUCAUGGUUAUUUCACAAUGAACGAGAAAUCAGACGGCAAAACGGACAUCACUUUUGAACUCAGGACAGUCGAAAACCUUAGGAGGAGCAUAAAAGGAAAAUGUCAUUGUUCACAUGUACGGUACUAUUCACAUGUACGGUAUUGUUUAUGUUAGUGUUCACGACACUGUUCACAUAGACGGAAUGAUGACGUGAUAUUGACCGAUGAUGUGGCAUUGACUGAUGAGGUGUCACAAUCCUGUUGGACUAAAAUUCUUAUGUACUGUUGAUCGAUGACGUGGCAGCAUAUCAAUGGACCAAAAAUCUCGCGUACGGUACAUGCAUUACAUAGGAUUAUUUUCAACCAAACCAUGUCACUGUUCAAGCCAGGUCAAACCGUGUUACUGUUCAAACCACGUGCUCAAACCGCGUACUGUUGACUGAUGACGUGGCGCAAUCCUGAGCGUCCGAAAUGUUUUUGAUCCGAUGGCCAUGAUUUACUCAAUGUAUCUAUAAAAAAGGGGCUCUCCCCCCCUAAUUUGGCAUCUCUGAAUCCAUUUUUGGACUCCAUUUUCUGUAAUUCUUUCUCCAUCUUGUAUUUUUUACGUAUUUUAAUAAAUUUCUAUUUUACCCCUAGUUCAAUUAUGAGUAGCUAAUUUUCUUUCAAGCUUGGGUUGAAAGUGAAGUCUCAACAUGUGUCAUGGGCUUUAUUUGGUAAAUUUAUUUUCUCUUCCCCUCUAGUUUUUGUCGAUGUUUUGACUUCUCUUCGAUAAAUUAUAAUAAUCUUGUCUAGAUACCACAUUGAUUUCACCGGCUCCCUAGUACAAGGUUAUUAUUAUUUGGCACGAUAAACCCUUAGCACCAUAUUAUUAGAGCGUGGUUCAUGAGGUGUGGAAUCCCCCCUCAUGAUUUAAUUCGCAUUAAUAAGAAAUAUUUAGCCUAUGGUGCAUGUUGAUACGGAUCCAGAUACCCAAGUACGUCAUUUCAAUAGAUUUCUCUUCAAUAUAUUUUCGCCAUUUCAAUUCCAAUUUUAGGAUAAUCUAAGUCACUUUCACCACAAAUCCAACCACCCAUUUAGAAAAUUAAUUCUACACACAAUUAAAACCCACCUCUUCGUGGGAUUGACACUCGUCACCAUUGAUCUAUUCUACAAUAGAUUCGUGCACUUGCAAGUUCAAUAAAAUUUGUACAACAAGUUUUUGGCGCCGUUGCCGAGGAGGUAAGUUAUUUUAAUUCGUAGAAUUAAUUUUUGUGAAUAAUUUUUUUAUUUGUUUUCUUGUAUUUUUUUUUCUUAUUAAAAAAAAGUGAAUCUACAUUUAGAGGUAAUAAUUUCUUUUCUUUCUCUAUUCUUUACAAUUCCGCAAUUUAAUUUUUAAGUUAUUUUCUUUGUAAUUUUUUUUGUUUAUUUUAUUAAUUUAUUUUUAGUUAAUUUAUUUCACGUAUUUUUUUUAGUGUGUUUUUAUAAAAAUGUUUUAACAGCGUGAUAAGGUUAGUACCGUAAUUUCUCAUUCUUCUUUAUUUUUAUUUGUUUUGUUCCUAUUUAUUUUGUGUUCUUUGCAUGCAUGGUCGAAGGCCAUUAUUGCCUAAUCUUGAGCCUAUAGAACUUGAACUUGAAAAAAUAUUGCGCACACACAAACACAUUAAAUAUAAAAGUGAAAUGGAUUUGCAACAACAACCACCACCACAGGAGAGGCCAUUUAAGGACUACUUCAGUCCCUUAGCUAAUUUGAGCACAUCUUGCAUAAGAUACCCAAAUGUAGCUGCUAGGAGUUUUGAAUUAAUACCUAGUGUGCUAAAUUGUCUCCCAACAUUCUAUGGCUUAGAAAAUGAGGACCCAUAUAAUCAUUUGAAUGAUUUUCAUGUUGUUUGUCAAACUUUUAAAUAUGAGAAUUUUUCAGACGAUGAUGUUAAACUUAGAUUAUUCCCAUUUUCUUUAAAAGAUAGAGCUCGUUCAUGGUUAAAUACUUUGCCUGCUAAAAGUAUUACAUCAUGGGAACAAAUGGUAAUGAAAUUUUUGAAUAAAUAUUUCCCAGUGCAUAAAACCAAUGCUAUUCGCAGGGAAAUUUCAGAGUUUACCCAGAGAGAAGACGAACAGUUUUUCGAAACAUGGGAGCGAUUCAAUGGGCUACUCUUGAAGUGUCCACAUUAUGGGUACGAGAAAUGGCACCAAUGCCAAUACUUUUUGGAGGAAUUAUUACCAAAUGUGCAAGACUGGCUAAUGGCAACAAGUGGAGGAGAGCUAAUGUCAAAAAGUGCAUCAGAGAUUUGAGAAUUCUUCCAGCGACAAGCGGAUAAUUCCCAACAACGGAGUCGAUCGCUCAGAAAUACUAAAAGAAUUAAGGGAGUGAAUAAGGCUCACAUUGGCGAGUCAACUUCGGGAAUCAAAGAAGUCAAGGAGAUGGUUGAAGGUCUCUCUCGACAAAUAGCAUCGUUAACGACUGCUAAAUCAACAAAACCACAUGACCAUGAUUCAUACUCAGAUCAAGCCAAUGCCAUAGGUGUAAUGAGAAAACCAUCAAAUUACAACCCAUACUCCAACACAUAUAACCCUGGAUGGAGAGACCACCCCAAUUUUUCAUGGUCUCAAGGAUUCCAACAGAAUGGACCAACAGCUCCAGCUCCACCAAUGCAAACAAUUCCUCAAAUUCCUCAAGCCUCUCAACCACCAUUUAGACCAUACAAUCAGAACCAAAACUACUCUCAACCCAGACCGUGGGAGGAUGCAUUCCAGAAUUUCAAGAAUGUUACUUACUCUAUGAUUGAGCAACAGAACUGCACCAUUGAUGGACUACGAAAUGAGAUGAGAGCAGGCUUCAACUCACAAGCCCAAUUAGUUUCAAGCCUCAAGAAGAUGGUGCGACAACUUGCUUCUUUAGUUCAGACCUUGGCGAUAACUGUUUCCAAGUCAACUAAUACCUAAUCCUAAAGGAGUACAUGAAGUAAGUACCAGUUCACCACAGCAGCAUGGAGAGGUCAAAGCAGUCAUGACCUUACGAAAAGGAAAAGAAGUCGACAACAAAGUGGAGAUGCUAGUGACAAAAGAAAAUCAAAUUGUACCUGUGAAUGUUGAUGGCUCACCAUCGGAAGAGAAAGAAGAAACCAACCCACAAGAAUAUGUUCUCUAAGCUCCAUUUCCUCAGAGGUUAGCUAAAGGAAAGAAGGGAAAAUCCACAGGUGAGGUUCUUGAAAUCUUCAAAUAGGUAAGUGUUAACAUCCCUUUACUUGAUGCUAUAAAACAAGUUCCAUCUCAUGCCAAGUUUCUUAAAGACCUUUGUACUAAAAAGAGAAACAUUCACGUUCAAAAGAUGGCAUUUUUAACAGAAAACGUUAGUUUUACACUCCAACACAAAAUUCCUUUAAAAUGCAAAGACCCAGGCUCCCCCACUAUCUCAUGUAGUAUAGGGAACCACACAAUUGAGAAUGCUUUGUUGGAUUUAGGAGCUAGUGUAAAUCUGUUGCCUUAUUCAGUAUUUGUGAAACUUGGACUGGGAGAAUUACACCCAACUCUAGUGGUGUUACAACUUGCAGAUCGAUCCACGAAAAUACCUCGUGGUAUUUGUGGAGGACGUGCUUAUCCAAGUAGACAAAUUUUAUUUUCCUGUUGAUUUCAUUGUAAUUGACACUCAACCAAUACAGGAUUCAAGGAAGCACAUCCCCAUUAUUCUAGGCCGACCUUUCUUGGCAACUGCGGAUGCUCACAUUCAAUGCAGGAUUGGAAAUAUGCAGUUAUCCUUCGGCAAUAUGACUAUGGAGCUAAACAUCUUCAACAUUACCAAACAACCUCACAAUGCAAAUGAUGAAAUUGUUGAUGUGGAUUUAAUUGAAGCAUUAGUUGAUGACACUUUUCUUUCAAACCUUAGUGAUGAUCCUUUACAAACAUGUUUAACUCACUUUGGUUUUGAUUUUGAUAUUGACAGAUCAAUUGAUGAGGUUAACGCCCGGCUUGACUCAACACCAUCCAUGGACACUAAUAAAUGGAAGUCAAGAGUUGAACAACUCGCACCAUCAGAGAAGAAACUCAUCCCAUCAUCAGAAUCACCACCGAAACUCGAGCUCAAACCAUUACCCAACACAUUGGAAUAUGCGUUGUUGGGAGAAGAAAGUAUUCUACCAGUAAUCAUCUCAUCAUCCAUAAAUGACGAACAAAAAGGUAAGUUGUUGGAUAUUUUAAAAGAGCACAAAGGAGCAUUAGGAUGGACCAUAGUGGACAUAAAAGAUAUAAACCUAGUCGACUGCAUGCAUUACAUUCACCUUAAUAAAAAUGCUAAACCUACUAGGGAAAUGCAACGUCGGUUAAAUCCUAACAUGAAAGAAGUUGUUAGAACUGAAGUUCUUAAGCUAUUAGACGCAUGUAUCAUUUACCCAAUUUCUGAUAGUUCAUGGGUCAGUCUUGUACAAAUUGUCCCUAAAAAGUCAAGAGUCACAGUAGUUACGAAUGCCGAUAAUGAAUUGAUACCCAUUAGAGUGACUACAGGAUGGCGUGUAUGCAUUAAUUAUAGAAAGUUGAAUUCUGUCACACGUAAAGACCAUUUUCCUUUACCAUUUAUCGAUUAAAUGCUUGAUAGAUUAGCAGGCCAUGAAUUUUAUUGCUUUCUAGAUGGCUACUCAGGAUACAAUCAGAUUCCCAUAGCACCAAAAGAUCAAGAGAAUGCCCUUUUGGUACUUUUGCAUAUAAGAGGAUGCCAUUUGGAUUAUGUAAUGCACCUGCUACAUUUCAACGAUGCAUGUUAAGCAUUUUUUCUGAUAUGGUUGAACGAUUCCUUGAAGUCUUUAUGGAUGACUUUUCUGUCUUUGGUGACUCGUUUGAUCAAUGUUUACAUCAUCUAACACUAGUUCUGCAGAGAUGUAUCGAGAAGAACUUGAUCUUAAAUUGGGAGAAGGACCAUUUUAUGGUAAAACAAGGUAUUGUUCUCGGUUACAUCAUUUCGAGCAAAGGUAUUGAGGUUGACAAAGUCAAGGUGGAUCUCAUUUCUAAUCUUCCUCCACCCAAAAUAGUUAGAGAAGUAAGAUUUUUUCUUGGGCAUUCUGGUUUCUAUAGACGUUUCAUUAAAAAUUUUAGCAAAAUUUCUAGACCUUUAUGCAAUCUACUUGCUAAGGAUGUAUCUUUUAUCUUUGAUGAUUUAUAUCUUGUGGCAUUUGAAAAACUAAAGAAGUUGUUAACAUCAUCACCUAUCAUUCAGCCCCCAAACUGGAACUUACCAUUUGAACUCAUGUGUGAUGCAUCUGAUUAUGCAGUAGGAGCAGUUUUAGGACAAAGAGUUGAUCGAAUUCCCUAUGUUAUUUACUAUGCUAGUAUGACAUUGAAUGAUGCACAGUUGAACUAUUCAACUACUGAAAAAGAAAUGCUAGCAGUAGUGUUUGCAUUGGAAAAAUUUUGAUCUUAUCUUAUUGGUUAUAAAAUAAUUGUAUUCACAGAUCAUGCUGCUCUCAAAAUUUCUUCUCACAAAGAAAUAUGCAAAAGUUAGACUAAUUCGUUGGGUGUUAUUUUUGCAGGAAUUCGACUUGGAAUUUAAAGAUAAGAAAGGCACAGAGAAUGUUGUGGUUGACCAUCUCUCUCGUCUCCAUUUUGACACAAUUAUGGAAACAUUACCAUUGAAUGAGUCAUUUUCAUAUGAACAAUUAAUGAGUGUGGAAGUAUUACUGUGGUAUGCUGACAUCGUGAAUUAUCUUAUUACAGGUCAACUUCCAAAGCAUUAGACCAAGCAAGACAAGGCCAAUUUUUUUGCGGAAAUAAAGAAUUUCUUUUGGGAUGACCCUUAUUUGUUCAAGUAUUGUACAGAUCAAAUUGUUAGACGAUGUGUCCCAGAAAGUGAAAUUCAAAAUAUCCUUUCAUUCUGCCAUGAACAAGCUUGUGGAGGCCAUUCAGCGCUAAGAAAAAAUCAACUAAAGUUUUACAAUGUGGUUUCUAUUGGCCAACUAUAUUUCGAGAUGCUUACACUUUCUGUUCUUCAUGUGAUAGGUGUCAACGAAUAGGGAGCAUUACACGAAGGAAUAUGAUGCCACUAAAUCCAAUUUUAGUGGUUGAGAUUUUUGAUGUGUGGGGUAUCGACUUCAUAGGUCCCUUUUCCCCUUCUUUUGGCCAUCAAUACAUAUUGGUUGCUGUUGACUACGUAUCGAAAUGGGUAGAAGCAAUUCCAUGUAGAACCAAUACAUAGGAUUUUUAAAAAGUAACAUUGUUUCACGCUUUGGAUUCCCUCGAGCGAUAAUCAGUGAUGGUGGUGCCCACUUUUGUAACAAAGCAUUCAAAGCUCUUUUGACAAAGUAUUCAAUCACUCACAAAGUGGCGACCCCAUAUCAUCCGUAAACCAGUGGCCAAGUUGAGAUCUCCAAUCGAGAAAUAAAGCACAUAUUAGAAAAGACGGUGAGGCCAGACAUAAAAGAUUGGUCAUUAAGACUUGAUGAUGCAUUAUGGGCAUAUAGAACGGCUUUCAAGACCCCGAUUGGGAUGUCACCCUACAGGCUAGUGUAUGGAAAAGCUUGCCACCUACCUGUGGAACUCGAGCAUCGUGCAUAUUGGGCCAUCAAGAAAUUCAACUUUGACAUGCAGCAAGCUAGCUCAGAAAGAAGAUUACAACUGGCAGAACUUAAAGAAAUUCGCAAUGACGCAUACGAAAAUGCCAAAAUUUACAAGCAGCGAAUGAAAGUCUUUCAUGACAAGCAAAUUAUGAGAAAAUCUUUCACUCCAGGUCAGAAAGUGCUUUUAUUAAAUUCUCGCUUGCACCUAUUCCCAGGUAAGUUACGCUCUCGAUGGUCUGGCCCUUUUAUUGUUCAUACUGUUUUUCCACAUGGGGCAAUUGAAAUUAAGAACCCAAAGAACGGUGUCACGUUUAAAGUUAAUGGUCAAAGAUUAAAGCCAUAUCUAGAGUACCAACCACAUAGAGAGGACACCGAAAUAAAUUUGAGUGACCCACCAGAUUUGAAUUGAGUUUUUCUUUCUCUCUUUUCGGUGAUUUGAUUUUUUUUCUUUCUUUCUUUUUAUUAUUCUUUUGCUAAUUGAAAUUAUUUUUGCAUAGGUGUGUUUGUUUAACCAUUAAGUUUUCUCUUAUCAUUGUUAAUCAUGAGUGCCAUAGCUAAACAGUUCCUCCUGAACAUUCUUAAACCACUUCAACGUGUCAAAUCUCAUCUCAAAAGGCAAAUUCGAUUUUGUAAAACACAUCGUAUUUGGGCUCUGCAACCACCAGAGUUAGUAUCUUUUGUUGAGGAUUUAGAAAGCCAACUCAGAGACAUUGAGAGAAGUGUGUACAAUAUCCAGUUGGAACUUAAGGUAAAUUCAAUAAGAGGACGAUUGUAAUUUUUUUAUGUGUUUUAGUUUAUUUUUCUUUGUUUGUGUGCUUUAGUUUGUUACCCCGGUGAAGUGGCGGAUAACGGUAUUCCGUGACAAUCAAGUCGGUUACUUCAGUUUCCCAUAAUAACUGAUAUUCUGAGGUGAAGGUAUGGACAAAAACGAGAUUCUAGUAAAGCUUUACAAUUGAUUCCCUUCACUUCCUCAGAAUGCCCUCCUUACAAUCUAUAAAGCUCGGUCUGAACGCAUGCGAUUGCUCAUGAGGAAUAACAUACCUGCUGACAUCCGUUAGUUAAUCGAGGCUAAAGUAUGAUUGGCAGGUGAGUUACCUUCAAAAUUUAUUGCAUACAUGUAAAGGAAAUUAUGCAAGAAAAUGAAGAGCUCGAAGAAUUUCUGUUGCUUGUCAUAAAUGCGCCAGAAUGAGUUGCGAUAAAAAACCAUGUUCUUUAGGAAUGAUGUCUGAUAACAGGUAAGAUAAGAUUCAAUUCAUUAUGGAUGGCUUGAAUAAGGAGUCAUUGGAUGAUAUCUUUUUGUCUCUUGAAACACAUCCCAGUGGAUAUGUGCAAGGAGCGAUUCUCCAGUUAUGACCAUUAUUCCAGAAAGAGCAUGCACGAUAUAGUCUCGGGAAUCUGACUAUAAACGACCCUGUUUGCCAGUUUAUAAGAAAACUGGAUGGGAAGCCUAUCCUCGACUCAUAGAGGGCGUUCAAGCCGUUUCUGGACGUAAAACCAGAGGAAGAUAUGAGCCACAGUUGCAACUACCUGUAAAUAUCCUUUUACUUCACUGUUGUUUUAUUUUACUGUUGUUUUAUCAUUUGCAUUAUUGUCUUUAAUAAUUUUAUUUUAUCAUUUUUUUUACUGUUUGUAUUUUUACUCUCGAGCCAUGUGCUUUACACGUUAAUUGACACUGACAUGUUACCUCAUACACAACUGUGACCCACUGUCACCAAGAUUCUUAAAUAUGACUUUUUGUUAAGCACUCACAAAUUGUUUUUGAGAAGUAUCCCAAUGGCAGCUACUCCCAAUAGACAAUUCAAGAACAUUUGUGUGCUUUCUGGAUUUAACUAUGACAAAUAUAAAGAGUUCGUUGAGGCAUCCAUAAAUCUUGGUCGAAGCAUAGCAGAGAGAAAAUUACACUUGGUGUAUGGAGGAGGUAACCAUGGGUUAUCAAAAUUGGUCUCAGAAGCUACUUUUGUCAGAGGAAGCCAAGUGUUAGGCAUCAUCCCAAGAGCCCUAAAACCUUUGGGCUGUUUGUCUGACUCACCGAUUGGAGAAGAGUUAGUCGUCUCAGGUAUGGAAGAAAGAAUAACUUAAAUGCUUAAUCAUGCUGAUGCUUUUAUUUUCCUUCCAGGAGAUCUUGCAACACUAGAGGCACUUAUCACACUAGCAUGUUGGGCCCAUCUGCACAUUCACCAGAAACCCAUCGGUUUGUUAAAUGUUAAUAACUUUUAUGAUGACUUUAUCGCAUUUCUUAACCAUGCAAUAAAAAACUAUUUCAUUCCUUCCACAGCGAAAAAGCAUUUUAUUUGUGCUCACAGUGCUAAUAAGCUACUUGAUUUGUUACAAGCUUAUAGACCGGAGCCAGACCCAUGGACCUUUGUGUUGGAGCGUCCAAAUAAUGAUGGUAAUAGUAGCCGCAGUAAGAAGUACAAAUUAGAUUUAACUCUCCGCUUGUAAAUAUUUUCUUAUGUGUUACACCACCCAAGUGAUGUCUUCUAAACUCUACUUCUUUCCUUUCAAACAUUGAGGACAUUGAGGACAAUGUUUCGUUCUGGUUGGGGGGAGGGAAUAGUCGACAAUUGUGGAAUCUUGGUUAACUUUUUAUUAUUUUUUAUUGUAGAAACUAAUUGUUGCUAACUUUUUGUUGAAGAUGGCUGAAUAUGGAGUGUAGUGACUCUAGAAACGCAUCUUCAUCGUUUGAAAAAAAAAUAAAAAAAUUUAAAAAAAAACAAAAAAAUUCAGACAUUUUCGUUUUCUUUAUUAAGUUUUGAUAUUCAUUUUUCUUCUUCUUUUUAAUUUCUCCUUUAUAAAUAUACACUUUCAAAUUUUUGAGUCGAAGAUGGCUGAAUAUGAAGUGUAGUGCCUCUAGAAACACAUCUUCUUAGUUGAAAAAAAAAACUAUUUUCUUUUUCUAUCAUUUUAAGUGUAACUUUUCUAAUUAGUUUUUCUGCAUCAUUUUCACAUUUCUGCAUGCAUAUUUUCCUUUCAUGCUUAGAAUAGGUUGGGGGGUAGAAUGUUGUUUGAAAAAAAAAUAAAAAAAAAAAUUGUGUGAUUUGUUUUAACAUUGGAUGACAUGAUGAAUUUUAAAUUUUAGUAUUUGUAUUAUCUUUGGUCUUAAGUGAUGUUACGCUAUGUUUGCUACUCUAUAUGUUGAUGUCGGAGACAAAAAUGAGUUGCUUGAAGGAAUGAACAUAUCAUAAUAAGUACCAAGUGAAUUUUUGAGCCUAUCAUUUUUCUUGGAGAGUAAACUUUUUGCCUAUUCUUCAUACAGCUUAGCAGUUUAUUAUUUUGUACACGAUUCUAGAUUUCUUUUGAGUUAACCCUUAAAAAAAAGUUGUAAAAUUAAAAAAAAAAAGAAAAAAAUGUGUGUUGCUACAUUUAGAGGCCCAUCUAACUAGUAGAUAUGGAAGAUUAUUUAGAGCCCUAAAAGACGAUGGAAAGACCAUCUUUGAUCCGUUUGAACCUUUUUAAUCAUCCCUUUUUCUAGUAGUGUAUGGAUCAUCCCAAAAGAAAUUCUUCACUUCGGAUAAGAGCUUUGUUCUAUCUUGCUUAGUCAUGUGUUAUGGGAUUUGACAUGUGGCAAGGUAAUUAACUAUAUCAGCAAACCAUAGUACAACAUUUACACUCAUAAGUUGCUCAUCCGGAAAAGACUCAUUCAAAGGUAAAGAUUCUGGAAUAAAUUUAAGAUCAAGGCAAAACAAGUGAUCUACCAGAACAUUUUCAGAACCUUUUUUAUCUCUAAAUUCAAUGUCAAAUUCCUAUAAAAGCAACACCCAACGAAUCAAUCUUGCCUUAGCACCUUUCUUAGUAAGCAAAUAUUUUUAAAGCAGCAUGAUUAGUAAAAAUAAUCACUUUACAACCUAUAAGAUAAGAUCUGAAUUUAUCAAGUGCAAAUACCACAGCUAGCAUUUCUUUUUCUGUAGUUGAAUAGUUCAACUGUGCAUCAUUGAGUGUCAUUCUAGCAUAAUAAAUCACAUAAGGAACACGAUCUAAUCUUUGUCCUAAAAUUGCUCCUACAACAUAAUCAGAUGCAUCACACAUAAUUUCAAAAGGCAAAUCCCAAUUAGGUGGCUGAAUGAUAGGUGAAGAAGUCAACAAUUCCUUAAGCUUUGCAAAAGCAUCAAGACAAGAUUCAUCAAAGAUAAAAGGUGCAUCCUUAACAAGUAAAUUGCAUAGGGGUCUAGAAAUUUUACUAAAAUCUUUAAUGAAUCUUCUAUAAAAAUCAGCUUGUCCAAGGAAAUAUCUUACUUCUUUUAUGGAUUUGGGAUGUGGAAGAUUAGAAAUUAAAUCCACUUUAGCUUUGUCGACUUCUAUACCUCUGCUGGAAAUUAUAUGAUGAAGAACAAUACCUUGUUUUACCAUGAAGUUACACUUUUCCCAAUUUAGAACCAAGUUCUUUUCUUUACAUCUCUACAAAACUAAUGUUAGAUGCUGCAAACAUUCAUCAAAAGAAUCUCCAUAAACAGAAAAAUCAUCCAUGAAUACUUCAAGAAAUCUCUCAACUAUAUCAGAAAAAAUAUUAAGCAUGCAUCUUUGAAAGGUAGCAGGUGCAUUGCAUAAACCAAAUGGCAUUCUCCUAUAUGCAAAAGUUCCAAAGGGACAAGUAAAAGUAGUUUUCUCUUGGUCCUCUAGAGCUAUAGGGAUCUGAUUAUAACCUGAAUAUCCAUCUAGAAAACAAUAGAAAUCAUGACGUGCAAGUCUAUCAAGCAUUUGAUCAAUAAAUGAAAGAGGAAAAUGAUAUUUUCUUGUGACUGAAUUCAAUUUUCUAUAAUCAAUAUAAACACGCCAACCUGUAGUUACUCUAGUAGGAAUUAAUUCAUUAUUAGCAUUAGUAACUGCCGUAACACCAGAUUUCUUAGGAACGACUUGCACAGGGCUAACCCAAGAGCUAUUUGAAAUAGGAUAAAUAAUUCAUGCAUCUAAUAAUUUAAUUACUUCAGCUCUUACCACUUCUUUCAUGUUAGGAUUUAGCCUACGUUGCAUCUCCCUAAUAGGUUUAACAUUUUCUUCAAGAUGAAUACGAUGCAUGCAAUCUACUAGAUUAAUACCUUUAAUAUCAGCAAUGGUUCAUCCUAUUGCCUCCUUAUGCUCUUUUAAAAUACCCAAUAACUUACUUUUUUGCUCAAGAUCGAGGGAGGAAGAAAUAAUAACAAGUAGAGUGUUAGAUUCUCCCAAGAAUGCAUAUUCUAGUGUCGGGCAGUGCUUUGAGUUCCAAUUUUGGUGGUGUCUUCGCAGAUGAGCUAAUCUUCUUCUCAGAAUGAGGCAGUGGUUCUGCCUUUGUCUUCAAUUUAGUUGUGUCCAUAAUUGUAGGUGCAACAAGUAAGGUGUUGACUUCUGCAAUUACAUUGUCAUCAUUAAAAGAUACAUCAGAAUGAGUUAAACAUGCCUCUAAUGGAUCAUCAGUAUAGUUAGAAAUGAAUUAAUCUUCUACUAAUUCCUCUAUCAUAUUUGCUUCGAUAAAUUCAUCUUCUUCUUGUGGCUACUUAGUAACAUUAAAAAUAUUUAAUUCCAUGGUCAUAUUACCAAAAGAUAGCUGCAUGUUUCCAUUCCUGCAAUUAAUAAGAGCAUCAGCUGUAGCUAAGAAAGAACGACCUAGAAUAACUGGGGUGUGUUUCUUAGGAUCCUGUACAUGCUGAGUAUCAAUAACAAUAAAAUCAAUAGGAUAAUAAAAUUUAUCAAUCUGUAUCAACACAUCCUCUAUAAUACCACGAGGUAUUUUCAUUGACCUAUCAGCAAGUUGCAAAAUAAUAGAAGUUGAUUUUAACUCACCUAGUCCAAGCUGCAUGUAAACAUAAUAAGGCAAGCGAUUAACACUAGCACCCAAGUCCAAUAAUGUUUUAUCAAAUAAUUGGUUCCCUAUAACACAUGAGAUAGUAAAGGAACCUGGAUCCUUAAAUUUUGGUGGCAUUUUACAUUGAAGUAAAUCGCUAGUUUGUUCAGUUAAAAACAUGCAAAUUUCUCUUUUUAGUGCAUAAAUCUUUCAAAAACUUGGCAUAGGAAGGAACUUGCUUAAUAGCAUCGAGUAAAGGGAUGUUUAUACUUACCUGCUUGAAGAUUUCCAUAAUCUCACCUGUUGAAGUCCCUUUCUUUACCUUUGUUAACCUUUGAGGAAAAUGAGCCUUGGGAAUGUAAGUUGGUGGGCCACUGUCUUCUGGAUCAUUUGGUGAUGAGUCUUGUGAUGGAACUGGAUCUGAAGAAGUAGGCUCAGAUGUCUUCCUUGUUUGAACCUCCACUUUGUUGUCAAACAAUUUUCCUCUUCUCAAGGUCAUAAUAGAUUUUGCUUCUUCAUGCUGAUGGCUUGAACUCGAUCCAACUUCAUGUACUCUUUUAGGAUUAUGAACUAGUUGACUUAGGAAUUUUUCGUUUUCUCUCUCAUCCACAGUAGUUGCUAAUUGACCCAAUUGAUGUUCAAGCUUUAGAAUAGCUUGAGUGUUUGACUGAAAGGCUUGUUGGGUUGACUGAAUGAAACUUUAAAGUGUAUCUUCUAAAGAAGGUUUUCUUUGUUAGGGUGCAACAAAUUGAAACAUAGGUUGUUGGGUAGGAGGAUAUACUUGGUUAGGAGGAAUAAAUUGUUGAUUGGGGAAGCUAAAUUGUUGUCCUCCUUAGUUUGGCAAAGGUUGGUUUUGUUUCCAAGAAAAAUUAGGAUGAUUCCUCCAAUUAGGAUUAUAUGUCGGUGAAUAUGGAUUAUUGGAGGUUUUCUCAUAUGAUUGUAAAGCAUGUACCUGCUCAGAAUAAGCCUCUUGAUAGGCUGGUAAUGAUGGACAAUUAUGUGCUGUAUGAGACAAGUUAGAACAAAGAGCACAAACCUCAUUAGCUACAUUAGGAUGAUGAUUCAUUGAUUGGUUCAUAGCUAAGGCAUCUACUUUCCUAGAAAGAGUAGAUAGAGUGGCUUUCACAUCAAAAUCAUCUUCAACUUCAUAUAGACUCUUUCUAGAAACUUGAGGCGAUUUCUCUCUUUGAUGUGAAAAAUUCCACUGUUGAGAAUUCUCAGAAAGUGAAUUAAAGAAAUCCCAUGCAGCCCUUUCAUGUAGGUUAAAAGAUCUCCCACCAUUCAUAGACUCUACCAUAUGACGAUUCGACAUGGUUAAAUCGUUAUAAAAGCAUUGUGUAAGUCUCCAUUUCUCAAAACCAUGGUGGGGACACUUGAGGAGUAAAUCAUUAAAUCUUUCCCAACACUUAUAAAAUUGCUCACCCUCUCUUUGAUAAAUAUCACUUAUCUCUCUCCUAAGGGUAUUUGUUUUAGACAUAGGAAAAAACUUGGUGAGGAACUUGUUGCUUAAUUCAUCCCACGUAGUAAUAGACCCAACACGAAGUGAAUUCAACCAAGCUUUUGCUUUGUCUUUUAAUGAGAAAGGAAACAUACGAAGCCCAAUUGACUCAUCAUUAAAAUUUUGAAAAUGGAAUGUAGAGCAUAUGUCAAGAAAUUCCUUAAUGUGCAAAUAUGGAUCCUCUCUCUCUAACCCACGGAAAGAUGGUAAAAGUUGAAUGACCGAGGGCUUAAGUUCAAAGUGUGUUGUUGUCGUUUGUGGCAACACAAUACAAGAUGGUUGGUUGGCUGCAAGUGGUGAAAAAUAUUCUCUAAGGGUUUUCUCUGCUUGCACUGGUGGAAGUAUUGGCAGUAGUCUAUUGGGGUCAUCUAUCACUUCUGAAGAACUAUCUCGACUACUAUCAAUUUUUAACUCUUUUUUUACCAAAUGAUUUGUUAAAUCGCGUUCCCAAAUACUCAUAAACUAAAUAGAUAAGAAAAGAAAAAAUAAAAUACAAUAAAAUAAAAUAAACCAACAAUAAUGAAAAUAAACGAAAUUUAAAAAUAAAAUAAAUCAAACAACCAAACAAUGAAUUUAAUGACAAAUAAAAAUUAAUAAAAAAAUUAAAUUAAUUAAAUAAAAGACAACCUAAAUUAUAACUAGUGGAAGAAUCAAAUCAACCUAAAUUAAACUGACUUUCUGGCACAAUCCCCGGUAACAGUGCCAAAAAUUUUUAAUAUACUCGCAAGCGCACUAAUUUAGAAAUAGAAUAGUGGUAACGAGGUCGAACCCACAGGGAUUGUUAUAAAUUAAAAAGUCUAAUUUAAAUCUAAAAUUAAUAUUAAUUCUAACCUAAUUGAGCAAAUUGAAUUUUUAAGAGAAAUUAAACUAAUUAAAUUAAGAAAACAAUUAAAGCAAAUGAGAAAUCAAUAAGAUAAAAAUUACCAAGGUUUUAGAAUCCACCACUAUUCAACUAGUAAUUAUCUAAUUAUUAAUUAAUCCCCAAUUUUAGAGUGACAACUCGAAAUCAAUCUAUGUCAUCUCAUUAAUAUAACAAUUAAGCCCAAUUAAAAUUAAUCUUGUGUAGGUUCUUUUUCUUCUUAAUAGUAUGAUAUCUAGAGAUGGCCAAUGGGCCAAGUGGCACGUGGCACGACACGGGGACGGCACGUGUCCGUACGACAUGGCAUGGCACGGCACGAGCACAUUUCGGUGGGGCACGAGGCACGACACGGCACGCAUGUGGGCCGUGCCGGGCCUAAAAUUUUAGGCACGCGGGCCUUAAAGCACAGCACGAUUAGAGAUGAGCCAAAGCACGGCACACAAAAAAAUACGUAAUAAGCACGGUUCAUUGGUGGGCUAGCACGCAGCCCGUGGGCCAGCACGCAGCCCGUGGGCCAGCACGCAGCCCGUGGGCCAGCACGCAGCCCGUGGGCCAGCACGCAGCCCGUGGGCCAGCACGCAGCCCGUGGGCCAGCACGCAGCCCGUGGGCCAGCACGCAGCCCGUGGGCCAUCAAUAGCACGUGGGCCAAAAUAUAUCUAAGUAAAUUUUUUUAAUAAAAAGUAAAUAUAAAGUGUUAUGAAAUUAAAGUAAAAUAUCUUGAAAUUAAAUGUUUUAAUAUAUUUUUCAGCAUAGACUUUUAAAAAUUAUUUUAAAUCAUUAAAUCUUAGUUUAAAUAAAUAUUCUAAUUUUUUUAUGUUUAUAAUUUAUUAAAUGAAUAAGUAAAUAACUAAAUAUCAUGAUUUUAAUAAAUAAAAUUAUAAAUUUAUAAAUGAUAAAAAAUAAAAAUUUUAACAACAUUAAUAAUAAAAUAUUUUUUCAUAUGAAAUAUUUUUCAUAUUAAUAUUAAAUCAUUACUUAGUUAAUAUUUAAUAGAGAUAUGUUUCAUUUGUGAAUGAAAUAUUUUUCAUAUUUAUACACAAGAAAAAUUUAUGAACGAAAUAUUUUUAUGAUAAAUUAAAAAUUACAUUUUCAUUAAAUGAAGUUCAAGUACAAUUAUAAUAUUAGUAAUUCAAAUAAAAUUAGGUGCAAUUUGAAUCACUACAGUUAACAAUACAUCCCAGCUAGGUUGGCACCUACUGAACCAUCUAUCAUUUGCAAAUUUACAACCUUCUCACUAAAAAAAUUUGUUUCAAAAAGUUACAAGAAAAAAAAGUCUCUAGUCUUUGGAAGUGGCUUCAAUGUUCAGUACUCUGCAUAAUCUGGAUCCACUUCAUCUUGAUCAACAUCCAAACUCUCAAUUUGUUUAGUUAAAGCAUUUUGUCAAUCUUGUUGCACUCGACGUUCAGCAUCUUCCCAAUCUUUCAAACACAACAAAGAGUCUAAUGUCUCUGAUGAAAAUCUUGACCAACGUUCAUCUAGAAUUCUGUCACCUGUACUAAAAGCUGAUUCUGAUGCUACAGUUGAAGCUGGAGGGGCUAGUAGAUCACGAGCCAUAAUGGAUAAUAUAGGGAAAAAAGAUGUCUUACCCAUCCAAAAUUCUAAAAUAUCAAAAUUUUACAAUUGUGAAGGAGUUGUUAAAUCUUCAGAUUGGCAGAACAAUAUCUUUGCAAUUCAUUACGAUUAGUAUCAAUACUAGAGGCAACACUCUUACCUUUGAGUAACAAAAGGUGAGCUGGAUUUUUAUAAGAAGUCGAUGCUUGUUGAACAUUAGAAUAUGUAUUGCUUGAUCCGAAUUUAUUUCGAUAAAAAUUAAAAAGUUCAUGCAUAGAGGACAUAACUGUAUCAAAAUUUGUAUCAAGCCCGGGUUGUAAAUUUUCACUAAUACCCUCAACUAAAGGUUUUGCACCAACUUCCUUGAUUGUAGGAUCCAACACUGCUGCAAAAAUAAAUAGGUGGGGAAUAUCUUUCCAAUAUUUUUGGAAUUUUUCCUCCAUGGCAUCACAAAUAUUUUUAAACAUAAUAUUCUCUCUAAAAGUCUUAAAAGUAUAACUCAUAUUAUACAAGUGCAUUAACACUCUACAUGAAGUAGGCUCAUAAAUAGUAGAACAUGCAAGAGUAGCAUCAUAAGAUACCUUUAAAAAAUCUAUAAAUUUAAAUGCAACAUUCCAAUCAUAAUCAGUGAUAUGAUAAUCUUCAUCAUUCAUUCUCUCAUUGUAAAAACUAGAAAUUGCUUUAGAAUAGUUUUGGCAAGAAAGCAACGUCAAAUACGUAGAAUUCCAAUGAACUUUCAUGUCAAUGUUGAACUUUUUCCUUUUCAAUCCAAAAAUUUUCAACGUAGACAAAAAUUGUUGACGUCUUGAAAGUGGUCUAAUAUAUAAAAUGGCUGCUCUAAUUUUUUUAAAUAAUGAUUUAUAUGAGUCAUACCAGCUUGAACAAUUAAAUUAAUAAUAUGACACACACAUCUCACAUGAAAAAAUUUUGAACCACGUGCAGGCGUGAGAGUAGAAAUAUUCCGCAAAAAACAUAUCAAUUGCAGCUGUAUUGGCAGAUGCAUUAUCAAAUGAUAUGCUAAACAAUUUAUCAGUAAUUUCAUAUUCUCUUAAAACAGACAUUAUAGCUGCAUAAAUUACUGAACCAGUGUGAGGAUAUUCUAAUUCACGAAAUGCAAGCAAUUUUUUUCCAACCUCCAUUUACCAUUAUUCUCAUGUAUAGAGUGCGAAGUCACACAAAAAUAACCAACCAUAUUAAUACCAAUUCAACAAUCAGAAGAAAUUGAAAUAACACUAUUAAAAUUGAUAAAAGUAUUAAUUAAAGUUUUUUCAUGUCAUGAAAAAUUUUAGUUAAAUCACGUUUUAAUGUAUUUCUAGGCACUUUCUUAAGUUGAGGCUGAACAUACCUUUGCAGAAAAUUUAUUAGACAUUCAUCUUCUGAAAAUGUUAAAGGUUGUUUUGCUGCAGCAAUAUACCGAGCCAAUCCUUCUCGCAUGUUCUGUUGUGAAUAUCUGAAUGACGUUAUACUGGAAGGUACAGAACCAUAUUGUGAGAGUUGGGUUUGUGUUGGGUCUUGUGGCGCGUGUUUUGUCUGACAAGUUUCCAUAUGUCAUCUAAGAUGUCCAGUUCCACCAUUGCUUUUGGCACUUAAAGCGAAUUGACAAUAUUUGCACACUGGUUGAUCCACCAUUUCACCUUUUUUGUUUUGACAUUUUUCCAAAGUAAAAUAUGACCAAACAAUCGAUGUUCUUUGUCGUUUAGAGGUAGUAGUAGGAUCAGCAGUCGAAGAAGUAGAAUCACUUUGACUUGCUUGAGAAGUAGGAGGUGAUCGUUCAGGUGGGACAAUAAAUAUAUUACUUGGAUCAAAUUCUGGUGCAUCAAUUUUGUUUGAGAUUUCAAUAACAAAGGGAAAUUGCUGGAAUUGUUGCUGGAAUUGUAGCAAAGUUUCGAGAAAAUUGGGCAAGCAGAGACUAGAGAUGACUGAUGAGACAAGAGAGAUAACGAGGAGAUAGAGAUUGAGAAGUGAGAUAAGUUCAAAAAUAAUUUAAUCGUUUAAAUAGAAUAAAAAAGUAAAAAUAUUAACAGUCAAAACGGGGCAAACACGCAAAGCUUCCUGCAAGGCUGCAACUGCAAAGCUUCCUGCAACUCUGCAAGGCUGCAGCAAAUUAAACUGUUGCAUUUAAUAAUUUAUUUGUCCGUUGGAAUUGUAAGGUGAGUAAUUGAUUUAAUUUAAAAAUUUUUUGUUAUUAAAAAUAAAAAAUAGUUAAUUGUUGAGGGACCUGUCUAUGGUAUUGAUUCUGUAACAAACAUCUCUCGUCAUCCCACCAUCCGAUUGUCUAUUGUUUAGUUUCUCACUCCACAUCCAACCACAUCCAAUGGCUGAUGCUGCAGUCUGUAGCUCACAGAUUCUGUGAGCUAGUCAAGUCCAAUUGUUGAGUGCCCAUGCUGUGAAAUUGACUAUUCACCUAGUCAUAUCAACUUUAUUGUUUUUUAUUUGAAAGGCAUAUCAACUUUAUUGUUAAUUUAAUUAAUUCAGAAUUUUUUUGUCCAUUGGGUGAGUAAUGAAAUUAAUUUAGAAUUUUUUUGUCAUUAAAAAUUAGAAAACAUUAAUUGCUAAUUGGAGCCCAACUGCCCAUGCUGUACAAUUGAGUAUGAAAUGCAAGUUAUGCAACCCAAGAGGGGGGGUGAAUUGGGAUUUUAAAAUUAUGCAAUACAAUUCGUACAACAAUUUAAUCUAUUGCCUUAAUCAAAUCAAAAACAAUAAAUUCAAUUAAGCAUAAUAUUAAAAGAGUAAGGGAAGAGAAAACAAACACAAGGAUUUUUACGUGGUUCGGCUAUCCCCGCCUAUGUCCACGCCUCGAGGCACACCUGGCUUGAGGAUUUCACUAUCCAAGCCUCCCAAAGCUUCAAAUGUUUACAAUUGACUUCCAAGGUGUUAAUGGACCUUUACAACAAGAGAUUAUCUCCCCAAUCUCUUCACCCCGAGUGUUUCUCACACUUGUACACUCACAAUUUGAUGAGAAAUGAAAAUCACAAUAAUGAAACUCUCUUUAAGAGUAGAUAACAAAUUAUAGCUCAAUGAUGAUUCAAUAAAUGAUGAUUUGCAAAAUGGAAGCUCAAUAUAUGUUAUAUAAUCUUGUUUUUCCUUGUAUUAGUUCUUAAAAUGAAGUUGGAGUUGAGUUUUUAUAGUUAAAUCCCGAAAAAUAGCCGUUAUAGGCAAAUUCCCGCGCCCAAGUGGUUAGCCGCUUCAUUUAUCCGGCUAGCCGCUCAUAAACAGUGAUAUUACCAUUAUUUUUGAAUUUUGCUACAGUAACAAUGUUCACUAAAAUUACACUUUGGCCCAAAUCUUUUUAUAAUUAUAUUAUAGCCCAAAACAUCAAUAAUCUUUACAAAUAGGUCCAAUUUCAGAAUUUCCUAAUAUAAUUGUCUUUCCAAAACUUUCUGAAUUUAUGAUAUGGCCCCAACAAUAUUAUUAUUUUGCAAAAAGGUCCUUUUCAACAUAACACCCAUAUUUUUCAAAGUUCUCAAAACCUUUCACUUUAGUCCAAAAUAUUCAUAAAUUAUAGUAUGGCCCAAAAUAUUUCAAAUGUUUGUAAAAAGGUCCAACUUCGAAAUUCAAUAAUAAUACUUAUUAAAAUCAAAGAUUUCAAAGCUUUGCAUUUAAGUCCAAAUUUCUCAAAACCACAAGGUACUUUAUCUUAUAAAAAUAAAACCUUUAGUUUAUGAAAAGUAAUUAAUUAAAUUAAUCUCUUGAGCUUCUCAAAUGCUAAAUCAUGCAUCAAUUAUAUCAUACCGGCUUUACAAGAAUUUAUCGCACUAAUUUAUUUGUUGAGUUCUAAACUUUAUUCUUAAUUUCGUCGUUUGUCCAUUGAGUGUCUUGAGCUUGAUUUCACUUGAUUCACUUGCAUAAAUAUUACCCUUAAAAAACUAGUGAAAGUGUGAAAUACAAUAUUUAUUAUUUUUACUUAAGACACAUGUUUGUUAUCAUCAAAAUUACAUUAUGUGUAGCCCUUUAGGCUAACAGAGUAGUCAUAUCAAUUCUAUUGUUAAUUCAAAAAAUUUUGUCCGUUGGGUGAGUAAUAAAAUUAAUUUAGAAUUUUUUCGUUAUUUAAUAAUUAGAAAAAAUUAAUUUCUAAGGGCACCGUUGUUAUUUAUUUUUUAAAAUAAUUUUAGUAAUUAAUUUUUUUUUUCAAAACAACGUAUUAAAUUAAAAAAAAUUAUGGUUCAUUGUUACAAGAGAAUCACGCAACUAUCACAAUGUUAAUAAAUCCUAUCACAAGUGUGUUGAUGAGAUAAUAUUAUAGUAGGAAUACGGGAGGAGCUUGCAUUCAUUAUGCAGAGUAUUUUAUUUCUUUGAAUUUAAAUUCUCAACUCAAAUUUUCAACACGGUAGUUGUCAUAUAGUGCACAUGCAGACGUACAGAUUGCAGUGCAGCUGUGCAGUCAAUUCAGGUUUCAGAAUUUGAAAAUUGUGAAAGUUGCAACUUGCAAGCGUGUUGUAAAAUUGAGUAGUCAUGUCAAUUUUAUUGUUGCGUGAUUGUAAAAUUUUAAAAUUAUGUACAGUGUAAUCAAUUAAAAAUUUGAAAAAUUAUGAAAGUUAACCAACAAUGAUGUUUAAAUAAUAAAAAAUUGGGAUAAUUGUGUAUUUGUUUUAAUAUUUUCAAUUAUUUUUUAAAUAAUUUAAGAUCUUUUUCGUACAUGCCAACCAAGCACUUGCCUCACGGCUCCACAAAAAUUAAGAUCUCAAGAUUCAUUCAUUCACAAAUAUUUAUAUUUAACUAAAUAUUUUUUUACUUACUCUUUUUACUCCCACCGACAAAGUAAAUAAAAUUAAUUUUGUCUUUUUAUUACUAUCUAAUAUUAUAUAUACACGCCAUUAUGCUAUGAUGCUUCACAAUUCUUCUUCUUCUUCUUCUUCCUCUCAAACUUUCCAAUAUUCUAAAAGCCAAAAUCAUUAUGAAUCCCCAGCAACAUAAUAUGAAUGCAGAAGAACCUCAACACCCUCAAGAAUACAAUGUUGAUGUAGUUGGACCUCAACAAAACGCUAGGCUAAAUCAGUCUAGAAGUCGUUCUUUAAAUGAGCUUUUUCAAAAUUUUACUACAAUAAGGGAGGAAAUAAUAGAUAAUAGUUUGCAUCGUCCUUGCAAACGGAUGAUCUUGAGGUGCAACUAUUGUCAUCAAGAAGUUAUUUAUUCAGACAGCCAUGGCAACUUGGGUUUACGUCGGCACGUGUCAAAUUGUUUAGCUCGCCACCUUAGCCGAGAUAGAAUUAACCUUGCUCGUUUCCCGUAUCCAUAGUUGUGAUUAAUAAAUGUUUUUUUUUCGUGCUUGUUAUUCGUCAAUUGGUCGUAGUCGCAUUUCGUAGUUGUAACUUGUAAGUUGUGACCUAUGAUUUGUUAUAUUGAUAUUUCGUAGUUAUGACUUAUUGUAAUUAUUAUUCGAGGAUUGUAUUUUUAAUUUUAAUUGAUUAUUAUUAUUAUCUAUGGAAUUAAAUUUAAUUAAAUUUAUGUAUUGUUGUGUUAUGAUUGAUUAUUGUGAAAUAAAAUAUAUAGUUGUGAAAUUGUGAUAAACUAAUAAUAAAAUGUUAAUUGCCUCUUAAUAAAAAUUAAUAUGAUUAUGAUUAUGAAUAUUAUUAUUAUUAUGUUGGUGGGCUUAAAAAAAACACCAGACACGUGGGCUUUUUUAGGCACGCUAAAAAAAAAGUUGGUGGCCCUUUUUUGGGCACAGCCCACGGCACGGUACAAGCACGGCACGAGCGGGCUCAUGCCGUGGGCCGUGCUGGGCUCAACUGAAAAAAAAAGGUGGGCACGGCACGACCCAUUGGCCAUAGUUAAUGAUAUCUAAGAAUUUCAUGUAAACAUAUAACAAAGAGUCAAAGUUUUUCUAAGCACUAUGUGUAAACAAUUUAAUGAAAGACACCAAAUAAAAUAUUAUCAUGUAUAAAUUUUAUAGAUCCAAGCAUAGAUUUAAUCGAAUAUCAAUCCUAAAAACCAAUAAUGCGUAACAGAAUUAGUAAAAAGAUUUAAUAACACCCAAUUAAUCAUGUGAAGCAAAAACCAUAAUCUUCAAAGAAUAUAUAUAGGGAAUUAAUUAAAUGAAAAAAAUAAUUAUUUCAUUGAAUAGGGUUUCAUCCUUAACCUCAGUAUAAGAAAAUUAGCUAGAUAUACUUGAAUUAGGAGCAACAAAAGAAAUACAAUCAGCCAUGGGAAGCCGAACUGCUGCAGCCGGUUUUCUCCCUAAUCGCGUCUGCUUUUUUUUUCCUUCCUCUGGCGGCUACUUUCCGUGUUCUCUUCUUUUUUCCUGGUGGCUACCCCCUAAUUCUUUUUAUACUGUAACACCACCACAAAAUCCUCAAAUCAAAAGGAUUUUAAAACAAGCCAAGCACAACCAACUUUAAACCCAUGCAUGUGAAGCCCACUUGAAAUCAAUGGUCAAUGCUUUUCCAACUAUUCAUGUGAGAUGGACACUUAGAAAGCGAAUUAUUCUCCUUUAAGCAUCCUUUUUCCUAUUUUCUUUUAUUCUUCACAGCAAUUAUUUCCAUAAACUCUAAUUUGUUUCCUUUUUAAGCUCCCUUUCAUCAAUGGCUUCCACAAAUUGAUUUGAUCUUUAAUGCUGUUGAAUUAUUAUUCCUUAUGCACUUUUCAUCCAUAAUCUCCAAUUAAUUCCCUAAUCAAUAAAAAAAUUCAAUUAAUUAAAAAUAACAAAUAAAAAUAACUAGCAAUUAUGUAAUUAAGGAUAAAAUAUGUAUAUAUUAUAUGCUCAUCAUUCCAUUUGGGUGUAUUGGGGUUGUGGGUUUUGUGAGUUUUUUUCACUUUUGUAAAUUUCCAUUAUUAGUAAAAUUAUAUUUCAGUCUUUGCCCGUGGACGUAGGCAUUACGCCGAACCACGUAAAUUAUUAUGUUCUAUUUUCUUUGCAUUUGUUUGUCACAUUUAUAUUUCUCCAAAAGUUACAGUCAUCGUAAUAUUGGUAAUUGUUCAACCUCGCACUUCCGCAACACCAUCCUUACACUAUUAACGGAGAGAGAGAGAGAGAGUAAAGCAUCCCAAAAUGUAGAGAGCUUAAGAUUUAACUCUUUGAUAGAGAGUGCAAAGAAACGGAGUACUUACAAGUGAGUUCUUAAAAAGUUUGGGGAGUGUUCUCUUGAGUGUUCAGUUGAGAUCUAUAUUAUUUGUAGGGAUGUGAGAGAUUGCUUCCUUCGGUAGAUUGUUUCCUUCAAAAGCGUUGUGAGUACUAAAUGUAUUUAAGUAUUUAGAAAAUAAGGUUUAAUUACUUAAAUUUAUACUCUAUUAAUUGUUAAUAAAAUAAUUAUUCUCUCUUUGCCUCCUUGGAUGUUGGUAUUGUUGCCAAAUCAGGUUAAAGACAAGUGUCUUUAUCUUUUGUAAAUUAUCUAGUGCCUAUUGAUUGCACAUCUGCGCAUAAGUGGCAUUGAAUUGCAACAAAUGACACUUUUGCACACAACACCACAUUGGAUACGUCAUCGAGCAAGUUACCCGCAACUCGCAUCUUAUGAACCUAAUUUACAUGUGAAUAUAAAUGAGCGUGGCAUUGGCAUGUUACUAAAGAUAUUGUACAUAAAUCUACUAUUCUUAAUACCAACUAAAUAUUGGCCGUGUAUCAUUGUGCACAAAACUUUUAGGCAACAGAGAAGUCAGAUAACAGCGAAGUUAGAUAUUCAAUAUAGUUGGAGUUAUGUUCAAACAACAAUAUGAUUUAAAAAAUUUUAGUAAGUACUAAAAUUCUAAAUUGACUUCACUGAAAUAAUAUAAUUCAAUAAAUUCAUAAUCGUACUAAAUUAGUUUUCAUAAUCGUACUCAAUUAGCCAUAUACUUAUGGUAGCUCGAAGUUGUACAUGCUCUAAAACAUAGCAGCUACCUAAAACAAUUGUAUAAAUUUUUCGUUAUGAAAGAGACUCUAGGGUGCUGAUUUUUAUCAUCAACAAAUCCAAAAAAAUGGUCCCCGAGAAGCAGUGCAUCAAAUUAUGCUCCCCAUGAAGAAUGAGUUAUGAGAGUAUUUGCAAGUUUUGACUUACGGUACUAAUGGUUUAAUGAGAAAAAAACAUGGAGUGGUAAGUGGUUGCCCUCAUUGGGUAACUAAUAACUGGCUAAUUGCCCUUUUUGGCCAAACAAUAGAGAAAAAUUUGUAAACAGUCAAAUAAUAUUCUGUCAUAUGAGAGAGUAGAGGGUUAUAUUAAAUUAAAAAAUCAAUGGGACUCACUAAUGCUCCCAUCUUUAAACUCACUAUUCUACCAUAGAACACCAAUAAAUUGUCUCAAUUAAAAUUUUCUCUAAACAAUGACAGAGUAGAGAGCUCCACUAAAUUAAAAUAGUUAGUAGGACCCACUAAUGGUGCCACUUUUGAACCACUCCUUUACUACAUGGCAAAACACUAGUGGUCUGUCUUACCUAAUUUUUUCUCCACAUUUAUACACUAAUAGGAAAAAUGACCUUCACUAAUGUUAAAAAAAAAAACGAUUUGGAUCUAGCGCAGAACUGAGCUAUUCUCACCUCUUCAUAAUUGUUUUUAUACACGUGCAUGUAUAGAACAUAUGGUUAGGAUUUAAGUAAUUUUAUAUUGUUAUCCAAAAACUACCAAAUCCCCUAAAAAAAGAAGAAAAAUUGUGAUUGAAAACAUAAAGAGAUAGAGGAAUUAUUACCUAAUAGGAUUCAUAUCUUCUCAUAUUCUGGUAUCCAAUGUUUUAAAAAUCUAUAUGUGACAAUCAUCAAAAUGUAUGGUGAGGAUUUAUUUUCUCAUUAAAUAUAUUACAAGCCUCUUAAGAGAUGAACUAAUAAAAAACUCGCACUUCAUGAUUCCAUGGCUCCUAGUGGUUUUUUUCCCUCUCCAUCAAUAACUCAUCUUCUCCUCAACGAUUAAUCACUGCACACAAAAAAAGGAAAAAAAAAAUGAAGAAGAAGGAAAGAGCAGGCAGCCAGUGCAAGAAGAAAAAUUAAAGAAGAAGAGCCUACGUUUGAGCGUGUACUUUAACAAGUACAAUUAUCCAAAGAGUUUAUUUUAAUUAAACCUAUUAAAGAAUAAAAGUCUCUUCUAUAGCAAUUUUAUUUUCAGAUGGCAGAUCGAAGGUCCAACUUUAGGAUGAUACAAACACCCAAGAAUUAACUUUAGCUGAGAGUAGCAGAUUAAUCAUGCAUGAAGAGAAUUCUUAUGAUGUUGAAUCAAAUAUUGGCCAAGUAAUUAUUCACAUUCAAGAACCUAAUCAAACUACGACUUCCUACCUUCAUAACUUCGGCAUUAUUUUUCUUUUGUUUUUAGAAAUUGCAAAGACUUGAUUUUGAUAGAGAUCAUAGCUGAUCAAAAGUAUUGUCGUCUGUAGAGUGAACUAGAGAACGUAAGAUUUUUGAGAGUUAGGGAAGAAAAAUAAGAGUUUAAGAGUUGUUAAAUAAAAUUCAAAUAAACAAAUCUUAGCCAUUCAUUUUGUUAAUAGCCACGUAUGAAGUAAAUCUUCAAAAAGUCAGAAAUUUCAUAUCAUCAGAGAAUUUGAAUCAGUUGGUUAUAUCUGUGAGCAAAAAUGGAUGAUUAAAUCCCCCAAGAACAUUUCCUAGAACACUAUUUCCAAUGGCAGCAUAAGCCAUGCAGGUUAAUAAAGAAAUGUAAAAUAAUGUUGUUCCACCAAUGGCAUAUAAUGUCAUUUUCUUCAUCACUUCAUUUUGUGGUGGCUUUAAGGUAUCUUUCAAUUCACCAAGGAAGUAAUAGUAAUAUAUAAGUAUCAAUUGCUUAUUUAUUAAGAUGAUAUAUUGUCAUUUAUCUCCCUAACAUAUGGCCUUAAAGACAAAAUUGAAUGCCGAAUAUACAAUAGAGAUGAGAUUUAGGAUAUUUUGUUCACCAAUAGACUGUUAUCAUUGAAUGUUCUCUAAAUUAUGAGUGUGAUAUAAACUUUGAAGUGGAUAGGUAUCACUACCGUAGAUUAUGAUGGACGAUGCCAUGGCUUGGCUUCUAAACUCAUGCCAAGCCGUUGGCAACAACGGGGGUAUGGUUGUAAAUGAACAAGAAAGCAAGGCAAGAUUGGCACGCAGGCUGAGGCGUGACAGCUAACGCAUGCUAUGAGACAAGUGUGGGGAGCGCCAGACAUUACACGCAGCCCACACAUGCCACAUCUUACAAGUGUGCAGGCGCAAAGCAUGCACACAAGCUGAGUUGGAUAGAAUGCGAGAUGGCACAAGGUAGUAACGCUAAGGCAUGUAUGGGCAGCGCAUAUGCUAGUAGGUAGUGGGCAUAAAAGUGUGCAAGGAAGCACGUAAAUGGGUAAUGUACAAUAGGGGUGGGCGUUCGGAUUGAGUUAACCCGAUCCAAAUCGGUUCUGGUUAACAUAUAAAAUCCGAACGGGUUAAAAAUUAUAACCUGAUCGGGUUGGACCUUAAAAAUUAAAUCUCUCUCUCACCAUUCACGCACGCCCAAUUCCAAUUUCAAGAUCCCUAAAGUAACUGCCUAAGCCUUCAAUAAUCCCCCUUUUCUCAUCUUCUUCCACAACAGCAGCACAACCCUCCUCCUAGCACAGCCCACAGAUGUCCAGCCGACGCCCAUGCUGCGGCUCACUCACCUCACGACUGACUCACUCUCACUCCGCCUCCCGUUCGCUUUCGAUCCAGCUGUUGUCGCUUCUAUCUUUGCCAUCGCCUCCGACUGUUUCCAAUCCAUCUUUGCAACCAGUAGGUUACUUAUUAUUUUUUUAUUAUUGUUAUUUUCAUACCAUAAAGUGGCUUAGAUUGGAGCUUUUCUGAAAAAGUGAAAAUUUCAUUUAAUUAUUUAGUAUUCAAGGAUAAGAAAUAGACUUCAUCUUUUUUCUAAUGCCACACGUCUGGUGAGCUUUGCCUGUGUGUUUUAGUUGGAUAAAAAUUAUUGCAAAUGUCACAUGGGAGGAGGGAAGCAUAAAAGGUUUAACCCGAAUGAACCCGAAUUAUCAAACCGAACCAAUCCGAAUUGUGUAAAGGGUUUCAGUAUUUUAUCUAUUCUACCUUUAAAAACUUGUGGUGCAUUUUUUAAUCUAAACGACAUUACUAACCGUUCAAAGUGUCCUUUAGAACAACUAAAAGUUGUCCAUUGAACAGAUUCUUCAUGGAGUCAUAUUUGUCAAAAACCACUUUUACAAUCAAAUUUAGAAAAAUAUCUAGUAUUUGGUAUACAAUUUACUAGCUCAUCUUUAUUAGGUACUUUAUAACUAUUGUCUAAAGUAUUGUCGUUUAAUCUUUUAUAAUUAAUUACCAUUCUAUUCUUACCUCUUUUUUGUUCACUAUGAUUAUUUACAAUAAAUAUUGAACUUCUAUGUCUACUUGUAUUAUUUCUUAUUACUAUUAUUUCUAAUAAUUCAUUUAUAUGCAUUUUAAAUUCAUUUUGUAUCUUUAACCUAUAAGCUAAAUUAUGUGUUUCUAUUGUUAUAUUUGGAUUAAUAAUUUAGAAUUUAUAUACUUCUUUAUUAUCUUUUCUAAUUGUGUUGUUGCCUAUUAUUUUUAAUGUUUCUUACUCUUCUACUUUUUUUUAUUAUGUCUACAGCCCAUUUUUCACAUUUUAAACAUUUUACUUCUUUUUCUAUACUCAUAACAUUUUCUAAAUACUUGUCUAUCUCUUCAUCGUCUAAAAUUUCUACUUCAGUACUUUCUAACUUAUUAUACACGUGCAUGUGUCACUUUCUAAUUCUAUCUUACUAUUGUCUGUUAGCUCUUUAGUAUGUUCUACUUUGCUAUCUUUUUCUUCUUCUUAUAAAAAAAAAAUCAAAGAAUUUUGUACCUACUUCUUUUUCUAGCGUUAAAGUCUUCUUUUCAUAUGGCAAAAUGUGUGUUUCAUAUUUGGGUUGAGUAAAUGUUCAUUUUUUUAAAGAAAUUAAAUGCAUUUGGAGUUAUUAAUAUACUGCUAUUAUUUCCUGAUAUAAAGUUUAAUCCAUUAAUAAAUGUAUAUCCUACUUUCCUAUUAGAAAUAAAAGUUUGUGGUAAAAUGUGUGUUUCUCCAUUUAUUCUAAUAGGUAUAUUAGCUAUACAUUCUAUUAUUUGCAUUAAUUUAAACUGUCUAAUAUUUACUGAAUUUCUUAACUUAUUUCUAUUUUCUUUAGGUACUAAACUAUCAUGUAUAAUACAUUAAUUUCUAAAUCUAAUUCUAUUAUUGUUAGAAAUUAAUGUCCUAGAAACUUAUACAUCAUUCUUUGGUAUAAAUUCUACAAAUUGUAAUAAAAAUUUUGAAUUAGGAUAUAGAGAUAUAAACACAAAUAAAUUCUUUUGUAAUAGUUGCAAAGAUAAAUACCAAGAUAAAAAAGCAAUAGAAAUAAAUAGAGUAGGAAGUGAAUUAAUAAAUAUAGAUGUAGAAUUAUUAUUUAAAAAAGAAACAAUUUACACUAAAGCAAUGAUAGACACGGGAGCAAAUAAAUGUUAUUAUACACGAUAGUUUAGUACCUAAAGAAAAUAGAAAUAAGUUAAGAAAUCCAGUAAAUAUUAGACAGUUUAAUGGUGAAUUAAUGCAAAUAACAGAAUGUAUAAAUAAUGUACCUAUUAGAAUAAAUGGAGAAACACACAUUUUACCACAAACAUUUAUUUCUAAUCAGAAAGUAGGAUAUAAACUUAUUUUAGGAUUAAACUUAUAUUAGGAAAUAAUGGUAAUAUAUAAAUAACUCAAAAUGGAGUUAAUUUCUUUAAAAAAUCAAAAUUUAUUCAACCCAAAUAUGAAACACACAUUUUGUCCUAUGAAAAAGAAGACUUUAAUGCUAGGAAAAGAAGUAGAUAUAGAAUUCUUUGAUGUUUUAUUAGAAGAAUAAAAAGAUAGCAAAGUAGAAAGUACUAAAGAGCUAGCAGACGAUAGUAAGUUAGAAUUAGAAAGUGACAUAUGCACAUGAAUAAGAAGUUAGAAAGUACUAAAGUAGAAAUUUUAUACGAUGAAGAGAUAGACAACGAUUUUGAAGAUGUUAUGAGUAUAGAAAAAGAAGUAGAAUGUUUAGAAUGUGAAAAAUGGCUUGCAGACAUUAGAAAAAAAGUAGAAGAGUUAGAAAAAUUAGAAAUAAUAGGCAAGAAUUUAAUUAGAAAUAUAAAAAGAACUAUAUAAAUUAGAGAUUAUUAUUCCGAAUAUAACAAUAAAAACACAGGAUUUAGCUUAUAGCUUAGAAGAUAGAAAUGAAUUUAAAAUGCGCAUAAAUGAAUUAUUAGAAUUAAAAGUAAUGAGAAAUAGUACAAGUAGACAUAGAAGUACAACAUUUAUUGUAAAUAAUUAUAACAAAAAAGAGGUAAGAGUAGAAUGGUAAUUAAUUAUAAAAGAUUCAACGAUUAUACUUUAGACAAUAGUUAUAAGAUACCUAAUAAAGAUGAGCUAGUAAACUGUAUACAAAUGCUAAAUGUUCACAAGGACAUUUUGAAUGGUUAGUGCUGCCUUUUGGAUUAAAAAAUGUAGCUCAAAUUUUUCAAGCAAGAACGGAUAAAAUAUUAAAACAUUUUUCAUAAUUUUGUAUAGUUUAUAUAGAUGAUAUUUUUUUUAGUCAUAAUAAGUUCAUGCACGUAACUCACUCACAUAAAAUUUUAUAUUGUUUUAAGAAUAAUAAUAUAGUAAUUUCUAAAAAGAAAAUUGAAUUAUUAAAACAAAAAAUAGAUUUUUUAGGACUAACAAUUGAUAGAGGAACUAUAGAAUUACAUCCACAUAUAUUUAGUAAAAUGUUAGAAUUUUCUGAUAAAAUAGAAGAUACUGAAGAACUAUAAAAAUUCUUAGGAUUAUUAAAUUAUAGUCAGAAAUUUAUAUCGAACCUUAGUACACUAACAAGACCUUUAUAUAAUAAGUUAAGUAAAAAUGGAGAGAAAUAUUUUAACAGUGAAGAUAUAAAAUUAGUACAAACUCUUAAAGGAAUAGUUAGGAAUCUUAAGCCAUUAGCAUUAUCUAUAGACAGUUAUUAUAAAAUUAUACAAUCUGAUGCAAGUAGUUUAGAAUGGACAGGAAUACUAAUACAAAAGCCCAAUAAAGAUAGCUCAAAAGAGAAAGAAGAAAUAACAAUGUAUAGAAGUGAAAAUUUUAUAGAAAUAGAAAGUAGAAAGUCAAGUACAUAAUUAAAAAUUCUAAGAAUAAUAAAUUUUUUAAUCUCGUUACAUUUGUAUAUACAAAAUCAUAUAUUUACAAUAAGAACAUAUUAUAAUAAUAUUAUAAAAUUUUAUAAAAAAGUACAAAAGAACCAUUUUUGAGAAGAAAAAUUCUUUUAUUAGUAAAAGAUGGAUAUAUUUCUUAGAAGAAAUAACAGGUAGAGAAUAUAAAGCAAAAUUUGAACAUAUAGUAGGAAAAUAUAAUAUUUUAGCUGAUAUUCUUUCAAGACUAAUUAUUCAAUAAUUAUUUGAUAAGAAUGGAGUGAUAUAUGAAUUUCGGUCCAAUAGCACUUAGAGAGUUCCCUUCAUGAACAAAUUUAAGGUUUAGAAGUAAAUAUCAAUUAUUGGACAAUCAACAAUCCAUCUUAGAUAAUUCGUAGAAUUGUAAUAACCUAAAAGAUAAAUUUAAAGUAGCCAAUGCACUCUUGCAUUACUUUAGACAGAUUAAUAAGCAUGUAGAACGUAAUCGUUUUGCAUUUUUCGUAUUAGUCAGAGGUAGACAACUAGGCAUUUAUAGUCAGUCGAGAGAGAUAGUUGAUCUAACAAUCAAUUAUCCUGAUCAAUACUAUGGAGGUUUUUAUAUAUUUCAUGAAGAAAUAGAAUUUGCUAGACAAAAGAUAGGACCAAAUACAAUGUUAGAUAUUUAAUUAACCUUUUAACAGUGCAUCAACACAUCAAACAUAUAAUUAAAUAAUUCUUUAGACAAUGCAUCAUCAUUAUCAUCAUCAUCUAUACAGUUUUGCAACCAUUGUGAAAUUAUGACACACACAGUUAGAAAACUUAAUGAUACUAGACAUCAUCUAGACCGUGUAAAUGAAAAAUGUAAACAAAAAAUGAUUGCAUUAGAGAGUGAAGAUAAAGAGUUAAUUGGACAGAAUAUUAAAUUACCAAAUAAAUAUCAUAUUCUACUAUUGGAUCACUAAAAAACCCAAAAACAAAAACAACUACUGAAACAAUUAUUUAAUCAUAUCCGAGCAGGAUAAUUAAUAAAAAUCCACCAUAAUUCUUCCUUCCUUGGUGGCAGCAUAGACAUUGUAAAAGAAAAAAUAGUAGAAAAUCUAUACCAAGACUUUGUUUCUUUAGCCAACCAAUUAUUUUAUAGUCAGUUAAAUUUCUUAAUCUAAUUUGUACUUAGAUGGUCAGAAUUAAGGAAUAUUACCCCUCUUGGACAUGAUUUGUCUAUAAUUUCCUUUGAUUAUUCUUUAGCCCAAACCCUAGACAAUGAAGAUUUAUUAUUAAAGGCUAUCAGUUUUGGAAUGAUAUGCACUAUUUAUAUUUUCGGCUUAGACAAAUUUAAAUUAUUUCCAUCAAUAUUAAAUAGAGCCGUAUCUAUUAUAAAACCUCACUUUUGAUAAUAAAUUUCCAUUUUUUACCACCAAGACCCCAAGUGAUUAAUAAAAUGAAAAUAGGUGUUAUAAUACUAGCAUAUCAUUUCAUUUUUAUAAGCGAAUCAAAAAGUUUAGAAGAAGAAUUUAUCAUGAUAAGCCCAACUUCUCUACAAAAGAUUUAUAUAGAAGAACACAUGACAUGGCAGUCUUUUAUGAAUGGGUGGACACUCAUGAUAAGAUCAUAGCCCAAGGAGAACAUUAUACUAUUAUAGCCAAAAAGCAUCUUGUUCGUGAGGAACAACUUAUUCCUUCGCUGCAAGUAAAAGUUGGCUAUCCAAAAACACGUGAAGUAUACUUGGAGGCACUAAUCGGGAUUAAUGACAUGCCAUCAUCAAGGGAAGGAUCUGAAGCUAUGAGUCAUCAAUCUUUGAAUGAAAGCAUAGCUGAAGCUGUUGAUGAAAUGAUUGAUAGAUAAGCGACCCCACCAAAAAUAUUAGCUAGCAUUGGCCAGUUAGCAGUAGUUAAAAAGUCAAGUAAUCAGUCUUUAUCAUUGUCACGUUUUAUAGAUGCCCUUACUUUACUCACUAUCCGACAAGGAAAAAACUACGAAUGCAUCUUUGUUGCUUUGUCAUUUUAUUACCGACAGUGAAUUAGGUUAAAAAAAAUAGUAGCCAGUUGCUAUUUGUCAACAGUGAGUCAUUACAAAAUAAUAGUAGCCAGUCAAUCCUUUUAUUGUUUACCUUUAGACAAUCUUUUGGCAAUUUGCCAGAGUAAAGUGUACUAUCAAAAUCUUAUCUCUUGUACAUCGAGUCAAUAAUUGUAUCAAGUCUUCAAGUUGUAUAUCUAGACCUCUCAAGUUUAAAAAGAAGAGAGGUGAAGUCAUAGAAAAAAGGCAAUUCUGCAUACACAGUCAAAAAAGCAAUAAACUUGUCUUUAUAAACACUUAGUAAUCUUUUAUACAUUAAUUGGCUAGCUCUUAUCAAGUAAGUAAAUUUUAUUUCUUUAAUUUUGCCUAUUUAUUUUUCGGGAUCAGAAGUCUUGCCUAAUUAACGAACAUAUGAAUUAUAUUUAAAGCAUUAACAAUAUGUGGUCCUUGUUAUUAUUCAAGGGAAAAGAGUUUGGAAGAAAAGUUUUUGAAAAAUGGGUUUUGUUUUUGACAAAAAUAAUAAGUGCUUAGUAAAAGUUUCUGCUGAUUUUCUAAAAGCAUCUUUUUUAACACAGUCUCUAUUGGCCCGUUUAGCCAUUAAUGUGUUGAGAAGGCAUUUGUGGUCGUGAGUCGGGAGUUUGAAAGUGUUUUUAACCAGCAUGUUUUUAGAAUUAGUUUAAUAAACUUUGAAAAGGGAUCAAAAAGGCAACUACGCAGCUUGUGAUAUCGGCAGUGCAGACUGAUAUAAUUCCCAUUUGAGUUAACUAUUAGAAUAUGUGUCGUUGAUUUCCUAUCUAUAUACUGUAAAUUCCCAAAAGUUUUAUGAAAGCUAAUAUUGUACAAAAUAAAUUUUUAAGUUUCAGUUGAGGCAGCGGCUCAAAAUAAAUUGUUUUGCUUGAAUAUGCAUUUUGUAAAAUACAAAUGUUCACACUUUAGAAUUUGACAAUAUAACCUCAGCGGAUUCAAAAAGAUUGUUUAUUAGUGGGAGGGUUAAAUUGCAUAAGAACAAGAUACAAAAACUAAAGUUUUAUGGGUUUGUGAGUUUAUGGAGGCUAUUUUAAUAAAUUUAGUAGGGGCUAAAUUAAAUAUUAGUAAAUUAAACCACCCACAUGAGUUAUUGUGGAAUUUUAUUUUUUUAAUUAAAGAGUGGGUUUUUAUAAUUUUUUAUGUCAAAGUUUAAAUUUUAUGGGCUUGUGAGUUUACAAGGGCUAUUUUUAUAAAUUUUAUAUAGUUGUUUUAAUAGAUUAACGGGACUGAUUAGAAACUCAAAUAAUAUCUUGAUUUUUAAAAUUUAUUUUCUCCAAUUGGAACUCAAACCCACUGGUCAUGAGUUGGAUCCGCUCCUAAACAAAAUGUACUCUUUAACAUGUUUUGCAAUUAGUCGAAACUAAAUAUUUAUAUUUUUUUUAUAAUUGGCCUCUAUAACUUUGACAACUUAAAUAAUUUUACGGACAAUAAUUAUUUACUUUUUAUGGACUUUAACCUCUAGAUAUUUAUCUCUAUUAUUUUUACACCUCUAAAUUUUAAAUUUUGGCUUCGCACGUCAAUUCGAAGCAAUAUCUAACGUUGAGUUACUAUAAAUUAUGAAGAUGUGAGAAUUUUAUGAAAUGUAAAAUCAACAUAUAGAGACAAACUGUGCGUGUGACAAGUUAUACAUAAAAGUUUGUAAUUAGACAGUGCCAUUAGGUCUAAAUUGCAUUUUAUAAUAUGUGGAAUUCAAUCUUGGAGAAUAAAAUACCUUUUGUUGCACCACUUCCAUAAACAACUACUUCAUCCUGUGAUUCGGAUUGACGAAGCAAGACAUUCACAAAGUAAGCACCAUAGAGAUGACUGAGACAAAGGUUAUAGGGAAUUUUAGCUGCUUCCACAGUUCUACUGCCCCUCUUACCAUUCGUUUUUUUCCUCCAAGUAAGCUUCAAAAGGAGGCAGCUUUGUGAUAAUGGAACCAACCAGCAAAAAGCAUUAAGGCUGCAAAAAUCAAUGCGCCAAUUGCGGUACAAUAGAGUUGUAAUUCACUAGUUAUUCCAGAUGCUCGCCAAAGCUGAAAAAACCCGGAGGUUAUUUGUAUUCCUCGGAAACCCCCGCAGAGGCCUUACCCUGUCUCUUCACAUCCAAACUCAGAUGGAAGAAACCUCCAGCAGCCAAAACAUAGUAUGUUUAAGAUCUGUUCUAUAUAAACAAAUUUGAAGUAUUUCAGCACUGAAUUGUAAAAAGACACUAAAAUGUUACAAAGACGCAAAUACUAAAUUAGAGUUUGUGAUUUUAGGUAUUUUGCUAAUUUACUAGCCCUCGUAUAUAUUUUUACGUCUUUUUUAGAUAACUACAAUUUCUUAGCUUAAAUCUACAUUUAGAAAGUGUGAACACCCACAUUUAAAAGUUCAUAAUAUUUUCCAUUUACUAAACAAACUAUAUUUAAAUUUCUGAAAAAAAAAACAAGCGAUCUAUUUUAUUUUUCAGAAAGAAAGAGCUCAAUCAAGUACCUUGAUGUUGCCAGCAACUUUGAUGGCAUCAUUAAUUUUCAGUUGAUCAUGAAACUGAGGAUAAGCUACACUAGAUAUCACCACAUCUACUUCCUUAAAUAUAGAUACAAUUUUUUUCUCGUGCUCGUCUAGCUCUCCCUGUUUUAAUUUCAACAGUAUUAUUGUUAAUACUUAAGCUUACAAAUAAUAUUGAAGAUUCUAAUUAGAUCAGCACAAAAUUAAUCUCAUAAAAAGAAGUAUAAGAGAUCAUUCCACGCGCACUUAAAAAAAAGAGAGAGAGAUCAAGAAAACAAAAGGAGAUCGAGAUGAUUGAGUGAUGAAGUUACCUCAAUAAUUGCGACACCAAUAUCCUGAAAUUCCUUAUAGAUUUCAAGCUUGGAGGGACUUGAAUUUUUUUUUUUUUUUAACCGGUCGAGCAUAAGCAUAGGCUUUGUGACCAGAAAAUACACUUGCUUACACCAUAUAUUUGCCGAAGUAUCCGGUACCCCCAAAGCUUUUGCGUUCUCACCGUCCAUUUCUUCCUUUUACUUCGAUUUAUCUUUCAUAUUCCCUUCUCUUGUUGCGUACAUUUAUAUAUAUGAUAGCACGAAAGAGCUCAUUGCAUUUUUGUCAUGAAAAUAAAAAAUAAAAAAAUUGGCAUUUUUGUUCUUUUUUUUACUAGAAACGCAAUGGAUUGAACAUUUAUAAUUAGUAAAAGAAUAAGUGUGACUUCACAGUUUAUGGAGUUUUUCAUGCAAUCAUGUUGAUGUUCAUAAUUUUAAAAUUAAUGGAGCUAUUUCAGCAUGUUGAAAAUCCGAAAAUUGCAUCCAUCAUCUAGUACUUGUGUCAUGUCAUGGAGUUUUGUUCUCUUAUCUUUUUUAUUUUAAUAUAUUACUUGUUUGACAUACUGCCUGUGGAGAUAUUUCUUAGGUGAAAUCAUAAUUUACUUUUUUAAAAAUAAUUUAAAUAUGUGAUAUAUAGUAUUUUUAGGCCUCGUUUGAGAUUAAUGUUGAAAUUCAAUAACUUGCUUAUUUCAUACUGGUGGCAAAAAUAUUAUUUGAUAAAUUUUGUAAAAACUACUUAUUUCACAAUUUCUCCAUCUUGAAAGUGGCUUUUAAAAGCAGGUACGGGUUGUCUUUCAUAAUCAGUUUAUUAUAUAAGCUACCACACUUUUUUAAAUUUCCUAUUAUAACCUUAAAAUUUUUAAAAAUAACUAUAUCUUAUUUUUUCAUACACCCUGAUAUAUAAGCCAUAAUAUCAUAUUAUCACCACAACAAAUUAUAAAACUAUUGUGCAUUCUCUUCAGUAUCAAAAUUUUGAUCCAACAAGUUCAUUGGAUUUUAUUUAAUUGAGAUUUUUUUUUCUUUAUGUAAUUUUAUGUGUUUUAAAAAGAAAAAGAUAUGUCUAAACAUUAUUAAAUAUACUCCAGAAAAAUAAAAGGUAAUUUAAACUUAUAUCUAUUUUGGUCAUUAUAUAAUAAAAUAACACGUUUGUAAUCAAAUUUACUGAACGCAUGUACAUUGCUUUUUAAAUUCAAACGCACAACAACUACAACAAUAAAGUUUAUCAAAUACUAUACUUCUUUUUUAAUCAACAACUUAUUAUAUCUAGAUAGCAAGAGUAUCUUAUUUAAUCAACGACCACAAUACCAAACUAGUCCUUAGUCUAAUGAUAACUCAGUCUCAUCUCCAUUCAUGUGAGCAGACAUCAAACAUUAAAACUCUUAUUUUCAAUUCAAGAGGUUUUUACUAUUUCAAUUAGAUGAUACCAUCUCAAAUUUAUGACAAUAUUAUCUUAACAGCAAUUAGAUCUUAUAAAUGAUCUUAACAGCAAGUAGUUCCUAAAAUGAAAAAUGAACAGUGUCUUUUCUUCUAUGCAUCCAGCAAGUAGCAAGGCAAUGAGUCAUUUUUAUGCAUAUUCAGAUUCUCGCACGCAUAAUACAAUGGUCUCACAUGAAUAAUACAAUGGUUUAUUCACAAAUGAUGAUAGGUCCCUUGUCUGCUUUUUAGAUAUAUUUUUCUUUCAUUUUUAUUCAUAAAUAGGUAUCAAAAUCUUCAUUUGAUCUGGAAAAAAUAUAAGGAUAUAUUUUUAUUUAAAAGAUGGUCAUAUAAUCUUUUUUUUAGGAUAAUUAUAUUCUUUAACUUUCAUGAUCUAAUUGUAUUUUAUCCAGACUUAAUAAAAAAAAUCUAUAUAACUAUUUUGAAAACAAGAAGAUCUUUAUAACAUAUUUGGAUUUAAUGUUGCUAACCUUCCAAAAAAAAAAUUGAUAGUUAUUGCAUAAUAAUAUAAAACUAAUUAAAUCUUAACCAUAUAUAAUUAUAUAUACAUGCACAUGUGACAAAAGAUUAUGAAGAAUUGAAUACAAUUUAGCUGAGUAGUGGAUUCCAAUCCCUUCAUAACUGUUUCGCCAAACCACAAGAAUGUUGCAACUUUUUUUCUUUUUUUCUUUUUCUUAUAUUUUCCAUUUAGUAACAACUAAGUAACUGUACAUUCUAAUGAGGAUGUAAAUUUGAGAAAUCAACGAAAAUAGCUAUAAAAAGUUUAGGAUUUUUUAAAUUUGACCCCUCAAAAUUUUUCCUAUCAUAACUAACCAAAUGCUAGUUUUUUUUAACCAAAUAGUCCUCAUUACUUUCAAUAACUUUACCAACAAAUGGUGCCCCUACGAAAAAUCCAGAACAAUCGGAACCUCAACACUCUCAAUUCUCCCAACAAAUCAUUAAACCCCAUUACUCUCAACAAAUAACCAAACCACAUCAAACAAGUAUUAUGUAACUGAAGAUAUAAUCAUCAAUUGCAUUGCUUCUUAGGAUUAAUGUAUGUUCUUACACAAAAGAAACUUUUAAUGUAUUAAGUUUAGGAUUUAGUUCGAAAUUGAUGUGCAUUUUGUUGUAAAUAUUGUUAUCUUCUAUCAUAAAACAAUGUGAUUUCUUAAUGUACUUAGUUUGAGUUGAGAAAUAAAAAAAAAAUCAUUGAAAACAAUAAAAAUUUGAGGUAAAACAAGCCUAGAUUAAGUGCAACAUGAAAGUUCACGUGCGAGAAGCAGUGAGACAAGUUUCUAUUGUACAUAAACACAGCUACCUGUUGCACAUAAUCAUAAUAUGUGCGACAACCAUGUAAAAUAUAUUGGGUCUCUCCAAAAGUCAUAACUUAGGCUAUGUGUGUCUGUUUUGAGCAUAUAAUAUAUCGUUUCGAAGCUUGUGAUAAGAAGAACCAAGGUAUAUUAGUGUGAUAUACACGUCAUACUAAAAUGAAGUUUCAAAGUCACUGUAUUUUAGUGCGAUAAGCAAAUGUUGGUGCGACAGGCACCUAUCGGACCAAAAGAUAGUUUCAAUGUGAUUGUCUUUUGGUGCUACAAGUGAUUGUUGCUCUAAUAUGCUUUGAUUUGUCUCGUCACCAGUUUCAAAAUAAUAUAUUAUAUGUUCAAAACGGACACAUAUAGUUUAAGUUAUAGCCUCUGAAAGAUAUCAAACACAUUUUACAUGGCUAUCGCACAUACUGUGAUUAUAUAUGUUAGCCACCUGUCUCACUGCCUGUUGCACAUGAACUUUCCUAGCCCACAUAAUCUAGGCUUGUUUUACCUCAAAUUUUUCUUGUUUUCAAUGAUUUUUUUUCCUCAACUCAAACUAAAGUACCUUAAGAAAUCACUUUGUUUUAUGGUGUAAAAUAAUAACAUUUACAAUAAAACUCACAUCAAUUUUGAACCUAAAUCUUAAACCUAAUACAUUAAAAGUUUAUAUUGCGUAAGAACAUACAUUAAGAACAUUCAUUAACCUUAAAAAGCUCUCCAAUUGAUGAUUAUAUCUUCAGUUAUGGAAUAUUUAUUUGAUGUGAUUUGGUGAUUUUUUGAGAGAGAUGAGGUUUGAUAAUUUGGUAGAAGUGUUGAGAGUGUUGAAGUGUUGAUUUUUUCUGAAUUUUUUUGUAGGAGUGUCAUUUGUUUAUAAAUUUGUUGAAAGUGAUGAGGACUAUUUGGUUAAAAAAAAACUAGUAUUUGGCUAGUUAUGAUAGGAAAAAGCUUGAGGGGUUAAAUUUAAAAAAUUCCAAAAUUUUGUAUCUAUUUUGAUAAAUUUCCCUAAAAUUUAAGCUUCGGGCUUAACAAAGCCCAAGCCAGAGCCCAGC
rnacentral:lncRNA from 1 species